rnacentral:lncRNA from 1 species
GACGAUGAAGAAUGAUGAGAAGGACUUGAUGGGCAAGGCUCUCAUGAAGCGUGUGAUGCAAACUUGGCUGCCUGCCAGUCGUGCUCUGCUUGAGAUGAUGAUAUUUCACCUUCCCUCUCCCUCAAAGGCACAGAGGUAUCGUGUGGAGAACUUGUACGAGGGUCCCCUUGAUGAUAUAUAUGCUAAUGCUAUCAGAAACUGUGACCCUGAUGGUCCUCUUAUGCUGUAUGUCUCCAAGAUGAUUCCAGCAUCUGACAAGGGUAGAUUCUUUGCCUUUGGACGUGUUUUUGCCGGGAGGGUUGCAACUGGCAUGAAGGUCCGUAUCAUGGGUCCCAACUUUGUUCCUGGCCAGAAGAAGGAUCUGUAUGUGAAGAGUGUCCAGCGUACUGUUAUCUGGAUGGGAAAGAAGCAAGAGUCUGUUGAGGAUGUUCCUUGUGGUAACACUGUUGCUUUGGUUGGUUUGGAUCAGUUCAUCACCAAGAAUGCAACCCUGACAAAUGAGAAGGAAGUUGAUGCCUGCCCAAUCAGGGCAAUGAAGUUCUCUGUGUCCCCUGUUGUGCGUGUUGCCGUUCAGUGCAAGGUGGCAUCUGAUCUUCCUAAGCUUGUUGAGGGUUUGAAGCGGCUGGCGAAGUCUGACCCUAUGGUUCUCUGUAGCAUUGAAGAGUCUGGUGAGCAUAUCAUUGCUGGAGCUGGAGAGCUUCACCUUGAAAUCUGUUUGAAGGAUCUGCAGGAGGACUUCAUGGGUGGUGCUGAAAUUAUUGUUUCCCCUCCCGUCGUCUCCUUCCGUGAGACUGUUCUUGAGAAGUCCUGUCGCACUGUCAUGAGCAAGUCCCCCAACAAGCAUAACCGUCUUUACAUGGAAGCUCGCCCAUUGGAGGAGGGAUUGGCUGAGGCUAUUGAUGAUGGCCGCAUUGGCCCACGUGAUGAUCCUAAGGUGCGCUCUAAGAUCCUAUCUGAGGAGUUUGGUUGGGACAAGGAUCUCGCCAAGAAGAUUUGGUGCUUUGGACCUGAGACGACUGGGCCCAACAUGGUUGUCGACAUGUGUAAGGGAGUGCAGUAUCUGAAUGAAAUCAAGGACUCUGUUGUGGCUGGGUUCCAGUGGGCAUCGAAGGAAGGUGCAUUGGCUGAGGAGAACAUGCGUGGCAUCUGCUUUGAGGUCUGUGAUGUUGUUCUGCACACUGAUGCUAUUCACAGGGGUGGUGGUCAGGUCAUCCCAACAGCCCGGAGGGUCAUUUAUGCUUCUCAGCUCACUGCUAAGCCAAGGCUACUGGAGCCUGUGUACCUGGUUGAGAUCCAGGCCCCGGAGAAUGCACUCGGCGGUAUCUAUGGUGUUCUGAAUCAGAAGAGAGGGCACGUGUUUGAGGAGAUGCAGAGGCCUGGUACCCCGCUGUACAACAUCAAGGCUUACCUCCCGGUCAUCGAGUCGUUCGGGUUCUCAAGUACCCUCAGGGCUGCGACAUCUGGCCAGGCUUUCCCCCAGUGUGUGUUCGACCACUGGGACAUCAUGUCUUCGGAUCCUUUGGAGGCCGGCUCCCAGUCUGCGACCCUUGUCACGGAGAUCCGCAAGCGCAAGGGUCUGAAGGAACAGAUGACCCCUCUAUCUGAUUUCGAGGACAAGCUCUAAACUUUUAGUUCUGUUAUCAUAUGGGUCUAGUUUGCUUUUGCUGCUAAGAGAGCUGCACUAUUAUUUUCUGUCUGUUGAGUCGUGGCUGUAUUGCUAUUGGGAUGUCCUAUCACUUUGUUUUGAUGUCUAUCGAUGUUAAAACUUAGAUUAUAUAUCUGUUAUCCACUGGUAGUUCGUUGUUUGUGUUAGAUCCUGCUCUGCCUGAUUAUUUAUUGCUAUUUUCUUGCUCUAUAUUUUUCAUGUUUGUCCAGCAAUCGCAUCAGUGUUUUUCUUAUUCAUUGCAUUAGUUUUCUCCCUGCUCUUAUCAUCAUUUUACUUUGAUUGAUGCACUCGUCCAGGUUUUAUGCCCAUCGAAAUGUGUUCCCUCGUCAUGCAGUUGUAUCUUUCAAUUUAUCCUCAAACUUGCUUGUUUAAGCUGCAGUUUGUGUCAGUUUUUUAGUACAGUACAUAAUUCUCCAGUUUAUACUCUACAAUUUCAUAGACACAAACUGAUGAUGAGAAAUUACUCCCUCUGCAACUAAUGGUAUACAUCAGUAGAGUUACUUGAGAAUAUUCUGUAGUAGAAGCAUCUGUUGCCUGUUGGUGCUGACAAUAUCUGAACUUGGCAUCUAUUCUUUGGAAUAAUGAAGGGUGCACGAGAGCAAAAGUUCCCUUCUCGAUCCACUUUUGAGUGUUUGGUAGAGUGUAUAAAGGGUGCAUGAGUCCAUACUGGUUUAACACAAAUACACUAAGGACGCGUUUGGUUGCCUGCAUUAGGCCCAACCAGACCCGCGCGGGAUGAAAAUAGGUUGUUUGGUAGCCUGCAUUCACUUGCUGGGAACAGCCAAAUCGGCUGUUUUUUACGAGCCAGAUCGAGCGCAAGGAGUGGGCCCCGAGCUACUGUAUGCCUGUACAUGAUAUCUUCCCCUACCUUCACUAACCCCCUCCCUAAUCCCCUUCUUCCUCCUCCAUUCAGAUCUAUAUAACGAAGCUUCGAUUCAAGAUAAGUUCUACACAAAAAAGAUGCACAUCGAUCUUAUGGUUUUAUUCAGACGAUCGGUUUGCAGUUUCAUCGAUCGUAGAUGAUUAAUUUUGUGUUCAUGUUUGCAUCUAUUUUAGGCGCUCGGAAGAGCUCCACAUCGUUGAGGAACGUGAGGGAGCGCGAGCGCGGCUAGACGCGGAGGCGCAAUAGGCCGUGUGCCUCCGCCGCGGUGCGGCAUCAGGUGUUUGGUUGGGGGCUCGGAGAGACGCGGAGGCGCAACAUGUCGACGUACAUGAGGAGAUCGAGCUUCCUGAGGAGUGCUCGUUGUCGAUCCGUCUCCUGCCCGUGCAAGGCAGCACGUACUCGUGAUGGGUGCUUGCCAAGCAGCCGGAAGCGACGGUCCGAGUGGCGUGCAUCGAGUUUGACCCGAGUGAGCUCACCGAUGACCGCGGCGACCUCGACAUGACCGUGAAGAAGCUGACACGGUCGGAGGCCGGUAACGACGCGUUCCCGGCGGUGACACCGUGCGGGCGGUGGGUGGUGUUCUGGUCGGGUCGGGCGGGCCAUAAGAACCUCUACAUAGUCGACGCAGCGCCAUGGGAAGAGAUGGUAUGGAGGGUCACAGACGACCAGUGGAUCAACAUGAUGCCGAGCUGGUCGCUGCACGGGAAGCUGGUCGCACCCAUCUCGGGGCCGACGGGGAGGGUCUUGAGCUUCUUGACAUCCCAGUAGUCGAGCAACGAGUGGAGGUGGAGCGCGUCCGACGGUGGCCGCGGUGAACUAGUCCGACGCUAGUGUGCCGAACUAGUCCGAGUAACUAUGUGUGAUGUGUAGAUGUUAUCUCUUAAUCAUAUCCCAUGUAUACAACCAAACAUCGUGUAGUUGCAUGUGCCGAGCCAAUGCAGGACACCAAACACCGUGCAAAAACCCAUCCCCUAAUGCAGGCAGUCUCGAUGCAAGUAACCAAACUAUGUGUAGAGGUUGGUUUUUUGCCUGUUUACGCUCAGUCAGGCUGAGGUGGGACAAGUAUGCAAUGCAGGUAUUUUCGGAGAUGUCAACCAAACGCACCCUAAGAGCAUGCAUGAAGAGAGCAUCCAUGAAAAGGGAUGGUGAGAUGAGCAUGCAUGAAAAAGAAACAACUAUGCUGAGAUGAGAAUGCAACCAAACACACUUUUACGGAUUGAACCUUUGUAGGCUUGAAAGAACUUGGCAUCUCUUCUUUGGAAUAUUACAGAUUGAACCUUUGUAGGCUUAAAAGAAUAUUUGCAUGAUUCUCAAGCUCAGUCACUUCUCUUGGGCCUCUUCCAAUGCACCGGUGCUAACAUGAGGUGCUAAGCACAUUAAAAAGUUUAGCAACUAAAGCCUCCAAUGCAUAGGUGCUUAAGUUGUUGUAGCUAAGUAUCAUUUAUUUAAUGAUUUAGCAACUAAAUUUCUUCAUGCAUUGGUGGGCUUCUUUUAUUUAAAUGUUUUUCCUAGGUUCGCGCGCUUGGCAUUGUUUCUUCUGGGUCACCACACUCAUCUUUCUCAUCUUAAUUAUCUCGUCACAUCAGAUUUUUUGCCUACACGGUACCCUUAGCACAUGUACAAGGUGGAGCAUUGGGACGGGCCUUAUUCCAGGGUUAUAGAAAUAUUGAGUUGUGAAGUUGUUCAUGAUAAAUUGUGAAGUUAUUCAUGGCAAAUAGUUGUUGAAGAGAUUGGUAAACGGUAGCUGCUCGGUUGGUUAGCAAGUAGGGGGUUAAAAGGCUAAUCAACAAGUAAAUCAGCUAAUUUAACAGUUUACCAGCUACUCCCUCCGUCCCAAAAUAGGUGUUUUGAAUUUAGUACAACUUUGUACUAAAGUUAGUACAAAGUUAAAACACUUAUUUUGAGACAGAGGGAGUACUUGGUAACCGUACGAGUAAAAGAUCUGCAAGUUAACUGGUUAAUCGGCCGAGGAAAUUUUAGGCAUAUACUUGAUUUAUCUAAUAUUUUCUUAUGACUGUUACUAGAUGCACAUAGUUAUACACAUAGGCUCUAUGUAAUUAUGACUCCUGCAAGUAAGCUACAACCUUUUAAUAUUUGCUAAAACAAGCGCUUAGGUAAAGUGUGGUUAAUAGAACACUACAUGAUUCAGCAUAUUUGUUGUCUGCCAUGGAAGACGGCAAAGGCACCAAAAGCGGACGACAAAGCCCUUUGCCCUUUGCCACCGGUGGCAAACCUGCCCGGCAAAGAGGGUGAUGGUAAAUGGGUUCUCUGUCUUCUGCUUCUUCAAAGCGGACGGCAAAGGCACUUUGUCAUACGUGGCGGACGACAAAGAACAUGGACGGUAACAAAUAGGGCUAACGGCAGCCUUUGUUGUCUAUUAGCGGGAGGCAAACACCCACAUCCUUUGCUGUCUGCCACAGAUGGCAAAGUAACCAAAUGGUAUAGCUCCCAGAUUCCACAGGCUGCUGCCACGUGGCCUCUUUGCCGUUUAUGGCAGACGACAAAGGCCCCUUUGCCGUCGGUGGCAGACGGCAAAGAGGCUGCAUUGCCUCUUUUUCUGUUUUUUUCCUAUAUUCAAGCAUUUUCACAAUAAAUAGAUGAUAUAUAUAUUUCACAAGGCAAAUUUAGAGCAAUCAUAUGAGAUAUCCAACACAUAUAAUUUCAUCAUACAUGCAUGGUUCCAUCCAACCAUACAUAGCAAGUUCCACAUAUAUGCAUCCAACCAUACAUAUUACAAUAGUUUCAUCCAACCAUACAUGCAUAGUUCAUUGAUACAAAAGAAACAGAGAAAGGAAUAAGAAGCACUCCAUCAAUGCAAGCUUCUGUGAAGUGAAUGAAAUCUGCAAAAUGGGAAAUAAGAAAGUUAGAAGAAGAAGAUUAGAAGAAGAAGAAGAAGAAGAAGAAGAAGAAGAAGAAGAACAAGAAGAAAAUGAAGAAGAAGAAGAUGUAUAUGACAUUUAUGAGCUAACUUAGGUAACAAUGAUAUUUAUGAGCUAAAUUAGGUUAAAAAAGGACAUUUAUGAGCUAACUUAGCUAAACUGGAUCAUUUCAAAACUAACAUAGGUAAAAUGGAUCAUUUUGGAGCUAACCUAGGUAAAAUGGAUCAUUUAUGAGCUAACUUAGCUAAAAUGGAUCAUUUUAUAGCUAACUAGGUAAAAUGGAUCAUUUUGGAGCUAACCUAAGUAAAAUGGAUCAUUUAUGAGCUAACCUAGCUAAUAUGGAUCAUUUUGGAGCUAACCAAGCUAAACUGGAUCAUUUUGUAACUAACUUAGGUAAAAUGGAUCAUUUUGGAGCUAACCUAGGUAAAAUGGAUCAUUAUUGAGCUAACCUAGGUAAUUAUGCCAUUUUUGAGUUAACUAAGCAUAUUAUGCCAUUUUUGACAUUAGUAAGCUAAGUAUAGGUAUUUAUUGAGCUAACCUAGGUAAUUAUGCAUAUUAGAGCUAACUUAGCAUAUUAGAGCUAACUUAGGUCAUUUUGGAGCUAACUUAGGUAAAAUUGAUCAUUUUGGAGCUAAUUAAGCUUAUUAUGUCAUUUUUGAGGAAAAUAAGCUAACUAUAUGACAUAUAUGAGGUUACCAAGGUUGUUAUGCCAUUUCAAACCUAGGUAAGCUAAUUAUGCCAUUUUUUACAUAAGUAAGCUAAGUGUAUGUCAUUAUUGAGCAAACCUAGGUAACUAAGCAUAUUAGAAAUAACUUAGCAUAUUAGAGCUAACUUCAGUCAUUUUGGAGGAACCAAAGCUAAGUAUAGAUCAUUUUGGAGCUAAGUAAUCUAAUUAUGUCAUUUUGGAGGAAGAUAAGCUAAGUCUAGGUCAUUAUGGUAAGCAUUUUGGAGGAAAUAAAGCUAAGUCUAGGUCUUUAUGCAUUUGGUAAGCAAAACACUAGAGAAAACUUACCGUCAUCACGGAGAGGUGAAGCACCAUGGUGGCUCGUGCCGGUACCACCACCUGGAGAAGGAUUGUGCAAUGCUUGUCUGGAGGAACACUGCACCAAAGAUCAUUUGCAAUGUCUCAUUAGCAUGACGACACUCAAAUGUUAAUAUUAGUAACUAAUGACCAUUCAAAUUAAACUCACCGUGGUCCCCGGAGCAAUCUCUGGCAUCGGCGGAGGGGUCUGACCGGCCUUCUAGCACACAGACUUCACAUUUGAUUUUCACGGGUCAGUCAUACUAGUUAGUAAUGAAAAGAACAUUAAGUGAAUGAUUUGUCUAAUAUGCAGAAGAAACUUACCACGAGGAGCUCGUACAUGGCCCGGUUCUGCAUGUCAUUUCAUGCCCUCUCCUCCUCCAUCAAUCUUGCCGUCCUCUCCUCCAACCCCCGCUGCUUGUCCUCCGCCUCCUGGUCCCUCUCUGCUAGAAGCGCCAGGGUUCUAUCUCUCUCACUCUGAAGAGCAGCCUGCAACACCACUCCUCGUUAGCAUUGUAAUCAUCGAUGGCUGCACACACAAUGUAAUGCUUGAAAGAAAUCUGAGUCUGUAGAACUAACCUGGAAGGCAAGCUCGAUUGGCCAUGGACGAGGCCUUAUCACAGAAUCUGAGCUUGUUUGGCGCGCCUUGAUCUCCGGGAGAGUGCAAGGACAACGGAUAAGUCCAUCUCCAAUGGCUAUCGAGCCAUGGGACCUCCCGCCACCAGAUAUCAUCACCAGCUCCAGAUCAAACUGCCCGCUCGGGUUAAAGUCCUCCCCUUUCCUCGCCUUCCCCACAUCUCUGUACCUCACGAGCUUGUUGUGGGAGGAGAUGUUGGUGAAGUUCUCUGGAUGAUCAAGGUCAGACGUAGAGAAUGCCUUGGCCUUCUUGUACGGGGCAGUAUGGUCCAUGGCAUAGAGGUCGAACACCUCUGGCACCGGUGCCAUAUUGUAUCCCGCCUAAAAGAGAGGAACAUAGUAUUAGUAAUUAAAGGGCUCAAGCUAGCAUGAUAGAAUGAAUUGCAUGAAUCAUGAAACAAACCACAUGCCCAGUUCCGCCCGUAUUGAUAUAAGUUGGCGCUGCCUUGAUGGUGUGGCACACCUCUCAUUUGGGCACGCUUGUCCUUGGCAUCUUUGUGGACGGCCCUCCAUGUGUCCGAGCACCACUCAUCAACCAAUGCCUCCCCAACAAUCCAUCUUAUCCGCACACCAUCUCGGGGGCACCUAAGUCAGUAAAGAGAAACUUGAGCGCUACGCCUAUGAAUCAAAUCAACAAAAAUAAGAACAAGGGCUUAAGAAUAUAGGAAAUUACCGUCAUGUACUCCUCCUUCUUCAGAAACUUUCUGCGGCACUUCUUCUUGGGCUUCCGAACACCAUGCGAGGCGAAGUAGUCUCGAAUAGCCUGCACCGGAGCCUCGUGCCAUAAGUUUUGUAGUAGGCGCCUGCACUCGGCAUCGAUAACCCAUGCACAGGCCUCCUUGUAUCCCUCCUCACACCAGUAGAAGGUCUAUAAUCAAACGAGACAACAUUGAUUAGUACAAUAACUAAGCUUAUUCGAAGAUUUUUAAUUGUAUAAAGGAGAAAUUACCAAAAACCUUCUGAUCACCAUGUCGGCUCUCGUGUGGCACAAGACACCGUCGAUCAUCUCCUCCGGCAGGGUUGGGGCAGCCAAGUAGUGCUCCGAGGUCAAUCCUAGCUCUGGAAGUUGACCCUCACCGGGCAACAUGACCCACCCCGGGAAGUUUUGCCGGCAAAUCACACCAAGGACUUGGAUGGGCCUGCGGACAUCCUGAGGGUGGUCCCAACCCCUGCAGUAUGACAAGGCCAACACAUUAUAUAUUUGAGAAAACAUGAUGGCAAAAGGUACAAAAAGAGUAAAUGCACAUACCUCUUCCCAUUAGGCCAAAUCAUCACGGGUCGCCGGCACGGACGGGAGCCGUGUACUACCACGCUAGUAGACGGUGCCCCCUCAACCACCUCGUCCUUGUUGCUGUUAUCACAAAUAUGAUGCCCGCCACCAUCAGCAUGGCCAGUUGACCCCUCAGGCGGAUCCUGCCAGGUACCCCAUCCGGACGUCUCUUGGGACGUAGCCUGGGCCGGAGUCACGUGGGCCCAAGUGUCCUGGCCCAAAGUCUCAUGGGAUGAAGGCCCGUCGACCCGAGGCUCGUGGACCGGAGUCUUGUGGGCCAACGUCUCAUGGGCCGAAGGCCCAUCGGCCUGAGGCUCCUGGACCGGAGUCUGCCUAGCCUCCUCCUCAGACGUGCCCCCUUAGCAGUCGUGUGCUCGGGUGACUCAGCUGGGGAUGGCGACGAGGAAGGUGUAGGAGCCUACCUACCUCUCCUGCGGCCACGUCCUCCCCGACCUCCUCUCUUCCUCCCUCCCCGAACUCCUCUCCCGGUGGGCAUCGACACCGACAAAGAAGCACCCACCGGUGAAGCCAUACCCUCGUACAACACUCUCCAGAGAGGUACUUGUGGAAUGGAAGUACCACUUGUUGGGGAACAUAGCAUGCAAUUUCAAAAAAAAUCCUACGCUCAAGCAAGAUCUAUCUAGGAGAUGCAUAGCAACGAGAGGGGGAGAGUGUGUCCACGUACCCUCGUAGACCGAAAGCGGAAGCGUUAGGUUAACGCGGUUGAUGUAGGAUUCGCCCUACCCCCCCCCCCCUAAUCCUUUCUUCCACCAGAGGGAAAAGGAAGGAGAGGGAGAAUGAGAGGGAAAGGGGGGCGCCGCCCCCUCCCCUAGUCCAAUUCAGACUGCCAUGGGGGGCACGUGGCCACCCCUUGUGGCCCUCCUCUCUCUCCACUAAGGCCCAUGUAGGCCCAAUACUUCCCCCGGGGGGUUCCGUAACCCCUCGGUACUCCGGUAAAAUACCCAAACCACUCGAAACCAUUCCGAUGUCCGAAUACUAACUUCCAAUAUAUGAAUCUUUACCUCUUGACCAUUUCGAGACUCCUCGUCAUGUCCGUCAACUCAUUCGGGACUCCGAACAAACUUCGGUGACCAAAACACAUAACUCAUAAUACCAAGCGUCGUAACCGUAUUUAUUAGAUAUGGUGUGUUCUUUGAUGUCUCUUGCCGAUUUACUACUAUCAUUUUGGGGUUAUGCAUUAGAGAAAGUCACAUUCAUGUUAAAUAGGGCACCAUAUAAAUCAAUUGAGACGACAUCGUAUGAACCGUGGUUUGGCAAGAAACCUAAGCUGUCGUUUCUUAAAGUUUGGGGUUGCGACACUUAUGUCAAAAGGCUUCAGCCUGAUAAGCUCGAACCCAAAUCGGAGAAGUGCGUAUUCAUAGGAUAUCCUAAGGAAACAAUUGGGUAUACCCUCUACCAAAGAUCCGAAAGCAAGAUCUUUGUUGCCAAAAAUGGAACCUUUCUAGAGAAGGAGUUUCUCUCGAAAGAAGUGAGUGGGAGGAAAGUAGAACUUGAUUUGGUAAUUAUACCUUCUCUCAAUUUGGAAAGUAGUACAUCAGAGAAAUCCGUUCCCAUGAUGCCUACACCAACUAGAGAGGAAGUUAAUGAUGAUGAUCAUGAAACUUCACAUCAAGGUGCUACUGAACCUUGUAGGUCAACCAGAGCAUGAUCUGCACCAGAGUGGUACAGUAAUCUUGUUCUGGAAGUCAUGUUAUUAGACCAAGGCAAACCUACGAACUAUGAAGAAGCUAUGAUGAGCCCAGAUUCUGAUAAAUGGCUUGAGGCCAUAAAAUCUGAGAUAGGGUCCAUGGAUGAGAACAAAGUAUGGACUUUGAUGGACUUGCCUGAUGAUCAGCAAGCCACAGAAAAUAAAUGGAUCUUCAAGAAGAAGACCGACGCUGACGGUAAUGUUACUAUCUACAAAGCUCGACUUGUCGCGAAAGGUUUUUGACAAGUUCAAGGAGUUGACUACGAUGAGACUUUCUGACCCGUAGUGAUGCUUAAGUCUGUCCGAAUCAUGUUAGCAAUUGCCGCAUUUUAUGAUUAGGAAAUCUGGCAAAUGGACGUCAAAACUGCAUUCCUCAAUGGAUUUCUUAAAGAAGAGUUUUAUAUGAUGCAACCAGAAGGUUUUGUCGAUCCUAAAGGUGCUAACAAAGUGUGCAAGCUCCAGCGAUCCAUGUAUGGACCGGUGCAAGCAUCUCAGAGUUGGAAUAUACGCUUUGAUGAGGUGAUCAAAGCAUAUGGUUUUAUACAGACUUCUGGUGAAGCCUGUAUUUACAAGAAAGUGAGUGGGAGCUGUGUAGCAUUUAUGAUAUUAUAUGUGAUGACAUAUUAUUGAUCGGAAAUGAUAUAGAAUUUCUGGAUAGCAUAAAAGAAUAGAUACUUGAAUAAUAAUUUUUCAAUGAGAAACCUCGGUGAAGCUGCUUAUAUAUUGGGCAUCAAGAUCUAUAGGGAUAUAUCGAGAUGCUUAAUAGGACUUCCACAAAGCACAUACCUUGAUAAAGUUUUGAAGAAGUUCAAAAUGGAUUAGUCAAAGAAAGGGUUCUUGCCUGUGUUACAAGGUGUGAAAUUGAGUCAGACUCAAAGCCCGACCACUGCAGAAGAUAGAGAGAAAAUGAAAGUCAUUCCCUAUGCCUCAGUCAUAGGUUCUAUCAUGUAUUCUAUGCUGUGUACCAGACCUGAUCUUUGCCUUGCCAUAAGUUUGGCAGGGAGGUACCAAAGUAAUCCAGGAGUGGAUCACUGGACAACGGUCAAGAACAUCCUGAAGUACCUGAAAAGGACCAAGGAUAUAUUUCUCGUUUACGGAGGUGACAAAGAGCUCAUUGUAAAUGGUUACGUCGAUGCUAGCUUCGACACAGAUCCGGAUGACUCUAAGUCACAUACGGAUACAUAUUUAUAUUGAAUGGUGGAGUUGUCAGUUGGUGCAGUUCCAAGCAGAGUAUCAUGAUGGGAUCUACGUGUGAAGUGGAGAACAUAGCUGCUUUGAAAGCAGCUCAUGAAGGAGUUUGGAUGAAGGAGUUCAUAUCCGAUCUAGGUGUAAAACCCAAUGCAUCGGGUCCAGUGAAAAUCUUUUUGUGACAACACCGGAGCAAUUGCCUUGGUGAAGGAAUCCAGGCUUCACAAGAAAACCAAACACAUCAAGAGACGCUUCAACUCCAUUCGUGAAAAGGUCAAGGAAGGAUAUAUAGAAAUUUGCAAAGUACAUACGGACCUGAAUGUGGCAGACCCAUUGACUGAGCCUCUUCCGCGAGCAAAACAUGAUCAGCACCAAGACUCCAUGGGUCUUAGAUUCAUUACAAUGUAAUCUAGAUCAUUGACUCUAGUGCAAGUAGGAUACAGAAGGAAAUAUGCCCUAGAGGCAAUAAUAAAGUUGUUAUUUUAUAUUUCCUUAUUCAUGAUAAAGGUUUAUUAUUCAUGCUAGAAUUGUAUUGAUCAGAAACUUAAAUACAUGUUUGAAUACAUAAACAAAUACCGUGUCCCUAGUAAGUCUCUACUAUACUAUCUCAUUAAUCAAUGAUGGUUAAGGUUUACUAACCAUGGGCAUGUGUUGUCAUUUCAUAACUUCACAUGUAGAUCCUGCCACGACGCUUUGCUUGCAACUGCACCAGCUUACUACCCCACCAUUCAAAAAUAUACAUGUAUCCGGUUUGUGACUUAGAGUCAUCCAGAUCUGUGUCGAAGCUAGCGUCGACGUAACCCUUCACGACGAGCUCUUCGUCACCUCCAUAAACGAGAAACAUAUCCUUAGUCCUUUUCAGGUACUUCAGGAUAUUCUUGACCGCUGUCUAGUGUUCCAUGCCGGGAUUACUUUGGUACCUUCCUACCAAACUUACGGCAAGGUUUACAUCAGGUCUGGUACACAGCAUGGCAUACAUAAUAGACCCUAUAGCCGACGCAUAGGGGAUGACACUCAUCUUUUCUCUAUCUUUUGCCGUGGUCGGGCAUUGAGCUGAGCUCAAUUUCACACCUUGCAACACAGGCAAGAACCCCUUCUUGGACUGAUCCAUAUUGAACUUCUUCAAUAUCUUAUCAAGGUAUGUACUUUGUGAAAGACCUAUGAGGCUUCUCGAUCUAUCUCUAUAGAUCUUGAUGCCUAAUAUGUAAGCAGCUUCUCCAAGGUCCUUCAUUGAAAAACACUUAUUCAAGUAGGCCUUAAUGCUGUCCAAAAGUUCUAUACCAUUUCCUAUCAAAAGUAUGUCAUCUACAUAUAAUAUGAGAAAUGCUACAGAGCUCCCACUCACUUUCUUGUAAACGCAGGCUUCUCCAUAAGUCUGCAUAAACCCAAACACUUUGAUCAUUUCAUCAAAGCAAAUGUUCCAACUUCGAGAUGCUUGCACCAGCCCAUAGAUGGAGCGCUGGAGCUUGCAUACCUUGUUAGCAUUCUUAGGAUCGACAAAACCUUCCGGCUGCAUCAUAUACAAUUCUUCUUUAAGAUAGCCGUUAAGGAAUGUCAUUUUGACAUCGGUUUGCCAUAUCUCAUAAUCAUAGUAUGCGGCAAUUACUAACAUGAUUCGGACGGACUUCAGCUUCGCUACUGGUGAGAAAGUCUCAUCGUAGUCAACCCCUUGAACUUGUCGAUAACCCUUAGUGACAAGUCGAGCCUUAUAGAUGGUAACAUUACCAUCCGCGUCCGUCUUCUUCUUAAAGAUCCAUUUGUUUUCUAUCGCUCGUCGGUCAUCGAGCAAGUCUGUCAAAGUCCAUACUUUGUUUUCAUACAUGGAUCCUAUCUCGGAUUGCAUGGCUUCUAGCCAUUUGUUGGAAUCUGGGCCCGCCAUCGCUCCUUCAUAGUUCGAAGGUUCACCGUUGUCUAACAACAUGAUUUCCAGGACAGGGUUGCCAUACCAUUCUGGUGUGGAACGUGUCCUUGUGGACCUUCAAAGUUCAGUAACAACUUGAUCCGAAGUACCUUGAUCAUCAUCAUUAACUUCCUCUCCAGUCAGUGUAGGCACCACAGGAACAUCUUCCUGAGCUACUCUACUUUCCGGUUCAAGAGGCAGUACUUCAUCAAGUUCUACUUUCCUCCCACUUAUUUCUUUCGAGAGAAACUCUUUCUCCAAAAAGGACCCAUUCUUGGCAACAAAGAUCUUGCCUUCCGAUCUGAGGUAGAAGGUAUACCCAAUUGUUUCCUUAGGGUAUCCUAUGAAGACACAUUUUUCCGACUUGGGUUCGAGCUUUUCAGGUUGAAGUUUCUUGACAUAAGCAUCGCAUCCCCAAACUUUUAGAAACGACAGCUUAGGUUUCUUCCCAAACCAUAAUUCAUACGGUGUCGUCUCAACGGAUUUAGACGGUGCCCUAUUUAAAGUGAAUGUAGUUGUCUCUAGAGCGUAUCCCCAAAAAGAUAGCGGUAAAUCGAUAAGAGACAUCAUGGACCGCACCAUAUCCAAUAGAGUGCGAUUACAAUGUUCGGACACACCGUUACGCUGAGGUGUUCCAGGCGGCCUGAGUUGUGAAACGAUUCCACAUUUCCUUAAGUGCGUACCAAAUUCGUGACUUAAAUAUUCUCCCCCACGAUCUGAUCGUAAGAACUUUAUUUUUUGGUCACAUUGAUUCUCUACCUCAUUCUGAAAUUCCUUGAACUUUUCAAAGGUCUCAGACUUGUGUUUCAUCAAGUAGACAUACCCAUAUCUACUUAAGUCAUCAGUGAGAGUGAGAACAUAACGAUAGCCUCCGCAAGCCUCAACGCUCAUUGGACCGCACACAUCAGUAUGUAUGAUUUCCAAUAAGUCGGUUGCUCGCUCCAUUGUUCCGGAGAACGGAGUCUUGGUCAUUUUGCCCAUGAGGCAUGGUUCGCAUGUGUCAAAUGAUUCGUAAUCAAGAGACUCCAAAAGUCCAUCAGCAUGGAGCUUCUUCAUGCGUUUGACACCAAUGUGACCAAGGUGGUAGUGCCACAAGUAUGUGGGACUAUCGUUAUCAACCUUACAUCUUUUGGUAUUCACACUAUGAAUGUGUGUAACAUCACAUUCGAGAUUCAUUAAGAAUAAACCAUUGACCAGUGGGGCAUGACCAUAAAACAUAUCUCUCAUAUAAAUAGAACAACCAUUAUUCUUGGAUUUAAAUGAGUAGACAUCUCGUAUUAAACGAGAUCCAGAUACAAUGUUCAUGCUGAAAGCUGGCACUAAAUAACAAUUAUUGAGGUUUAAAACUAAUCCCGUAGGUAAAUGUAUAGGUAGUGUGCCGACGGCGAUCACAUCGACCUUGGAACCAUUCCUGACGCGCAUCGUCACCUCAUCCUUCGCCACUCUCCGUUUAUUCUGCAGCUCCUGUUUUGAGUUACAAAUAUGAGCAACCGCACCGGUAUCAAAUACUCAGGAGCUACUACGAGUACUGGUAAGGUACACAUCAAUUACAUGUAUAUCACAUAUACCUUUGGUGUUGCCGGCCUUCUUGUCCGCUAAGUACUUGGGGCAGUUCCGCUUCCAGUGUCCGCUUCCAUUGCAAUAAAAGCACUCAGUCUCAGGUUUGGGUCCAUGCUUUGGCUUCUUCCCGGCAACUGGCUUACCGGGAGAGGCAACUCCCUUGCUGUCCUUCUUGAAGUUCUUCUUACCCUUGCCUUUCUUGAAACUAGUGGUUUUAUUGACCAUCAACACUUGAUGUUCCUUUUUGAUCUCCACCUCCGCUGAUUUCAGCAUUGAAAAUAUCUCAGGAAUGGUUUUCACCAUCCCCUGCAUAUUGUAGUUCAUCACAAAGCUCUUGUAGCUAGGUGGGAGCGACUGGAGGAUUCUGUCAAUGACCGCUUCAUCCGGGAGAUUAACUCCCAGAUGAGACAAGCGGUUGUGCAACCCAGACAUUUUGAGUAUGUGCUCGCUGACAGAACCAUUCUCCUCCAUCUUACGACUGUAGAACUUGUCGGAGACUUCAUAUCUCUCAACCCGGGCAUGAGCUUGGAAAACCAUUUUUAGCUCUUGGAACAUCUCAUAUGCUCCGUGCUGCUCAAAACGCUUUUGGAGAGCUGUAAAGCAUGCCGCACUGAACUAGGGAGUAAUCAUACUACGCGACUGCCAGGCGUUCAUAAGGUCUUGAGUUGCUGGGAAAACGGGUGCUUCACCUAGUGGUGCAUAUAGGACAUAUGCUUUCUUGACAGCUAUGAGGAUGAUCCUCAAGUUCCGAACCCAGUCCAUAUAGUUGCUGCCAUCGUCUUUCAGCUUGGUUUUCUCUAGGAACGCGUUGAAGUUGAAGGCAACAUUAGUGUGGGCCAUUUGAUCUACAAGACAUAUUGCAAAAGUUUUAGACUAAGUUCAUGAUAAUUAAGUCCAUCUAAUCAAAUUAUUUAAUGAACUCCCACUCAGAUAGACAUCCCUCUAGUCAUCUAAGUGAUCCAUGAUCCGAGUCAACUAGGCCAUGUCCGAUCAUCACGUGAGACGGACUAGUCAUCAUCGGUGAACAUCUUCAUGUUGAUCGUAUCUUCUAUACGACUCAUGUUCGACCUUUCGGUCUCUUGUGUUCCGAGGCCAUGUCUGUACAUGCUAGGCUCGUCAAGUCAACCUAAGUGUUUUUGCAUGUGUAAAUCUGUCUUACACCCGUUGUAUGUGAACGUUAGAAUCUAUCACACCCGAUCAUCACGUGGUGCUUCAAAACAACGAACUUUCGCAACGGCGCACAGUUAGGGGGAACACUUUCUUGAAAUUAUUAUGAGGGAUCAUCUUAUAUACUACCGUCGUUCUAAGCAAAUAAGAUGCAAAAACAUGAUAAACAUCACAUGCAAUCAAAUAGUGACAUGAUAUGGCCAAUAUCAUUUUGCUCCUUUUGAUCUCCAUCUUUGGGGCGCCAUGAUCAUCAUCGUCACCGGCAUGACACCAAGAUCUCCAUCAUCAUGAUCUCCAUCAUCGUGUCUUCAUAAAGUUGUCACACCAACGAUUACUUCUACUACUAUGGCUAACAGUUUAGCAAUAAACACUACAAGAAAUAUGUCAACUAGUGACCUUGUGUCAGUGACCCUGGAAGAAUUGGUCAUAGAUCUAUGACCAUUUGAGACCAAUUGGUCAAAAGCUGUUCGGGGGGCUCCAAACCCUAAACUAUUGCGACCAUUUUGGUUAGAAAGGUCGUAAUUUCCUCACACCAAAUGGUCACAAAGCAAAGAGGGCUAGUCUGCUGCCUUAUUUCUAGUUGUUAACGACCAAAAUAGAUGGUCAUAGCCUUGUAGAUUGUGGUUGGUUGUGAUGACUAGGCGCCACCUCAUCAAUUUUGCCUAUGUGUCAUGUCUAUGUGGCAGUUUUUGCCCUAGGUUGUGAAGCAACCUAUAUUUUUGUCAUUCCAAAAAUUCCCAAAAAAAUGUCAUAAAUUGUUUGGAUCAAUCUUCAUCAAAUAUGUCAAAAACCUUCCUUGCCUAGUUCAAAAAUAACUCAACAAUAUUCAUUUUCCUAUUCUGUUCAGAGCAGCACUUUGUGAAGGAAGUACCACUUUGGCAUGUCCAAAUGGUAUCCAUUUUCUACAGUGCUUUCCUAUGCCCAAAUAACCAUCCUCCACCAAAUGCCAGCUCAAUCCAUUCAUUAUUUUGAGCCCAGCUUCAACAUUCGUAUUUAUGUCCAGUGUGGUACUUUGUAAAGCAAGUACCACCUAGGCUCCUCCUUUUGAGGUGAAAAUUUGUGAAGACGGUCUUCUUAGUAACUGAUCAUCCUCAGCCAAAACUCACGCCCAUUAGCCAUGUGCAUUUCCCGUACCGCAAAUCAAACACUUGGCUGCUUAUUCAUGUUUGAGCAUCGAUCGGUCUCCUCGUGAGAAUCUUAUGUUGUGAUUUUCUUCCUAGCACCUACCUGGGGAGUGCCCAACCCACUAGACAUGCCUAGGCCGCCCAGAACACAUGGCAACGCCACGGUCACGUGGUGACCACUCGGCGGGCAUGUGAGCUUACGCGCUCUAGAGUUGGGCCCCUCGGCCACCGUCCAAACCUCGAUGUAUCGCCAUCAAACCAUGUAUUUCUGAUUAAAUAGAUACUUAUUUACCUAGAAAUGAUUUUUGGAAAAAAUAAAGAGCAAACUAUGAGGCAGCUGCAGUUCAAAUUUGACCCGCUUCCAACUGAAUCGACGGGAAUUUGUCUUUUUCACCAGAGGUGGAUCAAAAAUUUUGACACCCAACCAUUUUGUCAAUUGUGCAUUAUAUAUGGCCUAGUAUUUAUAAAAUUGAUUAGGUACAAUUUUGCAACAAUUAUUUGGUAGUUCCUUCACAAAAAAACCUCCUUUUAGGCACUCGGAAAAUGAAAAAUGAAUUUUCCGUGCAAAGAAAAUGAAAACUUCCUUAGGCAACAUUGUUUGGAAUUCUAAGAUGCACCCUCGUGCACAAUAUGAGAUCAUUUGAACAAACUAUGCCAUGAAUGUGGCCAUAAGAUUGAUCAUUUGGCUUGAAAGCCAUGAAUCUUCAUGCUUGAUAGCUCCUUUCUGAGAACAUUUUUUUAAAAUAAUUACCGUAUUACAAGUUUAUUAUUUUUCCUGGAAACUUGGUCACAUAUAAUGACACAAUGCGAAGGUUUUCCAAUUUUUUGAUAUUUUUUGAAUUUUUUAUGACCGUUUCAAAAUGCGGUCAAAACGGCGGGCUUGACCGUUCCUAGCUAGUGGUUGAAUCUUGGAACUUUUUUGGUGCUUCUAUGAUUAAUUAGAUACUUAUGUACCUAGAAACGAUUUUUGGAAAAAAUAAAGAGCAAACUAUGAGGCAGCUACAGUUCAAAUUUGACCCGCUUCCAACUGAAUCGACGACAAUUUGUCUUUAUCACCAGAGGUGGAUCAAAACUUUUUUCACCCAACCAUUUUGUCAAUUGUGCAUUAUAUAUGGCCUAGUAUUUUAUAAAAUUGAUUUGGUCCAUUUUUGCAACAAUUAUUUGGUAGUUCCUUCACAAAAAACCUCCUUUUGGGGUCUCGAAAAAUGGAAAAUGAAUUUUCCGUGCAAAGAAAAUGAAAACUUCAUUAGGCAACAUUGUUUGGAAUUCCAAGAUGUACCUCGUGCACAAUAUGAGAUCAUUUGAACAAACUAUGCCAUGAAUGUGGCCAUAAGAUUGAUCAUUUGGCUUGAAAGCCAUGAAUCUUCACGCUUGAUAGCUCCUUUCUUAGAACACUUAUUUAAAAUAAUUACCGUAUUACAAGUUUAUUAUUUUUCCUGGAAACUUGGUCACAUAUAAUGACACAAUGCGAAGGUUUUCCAAUUUUUUGAUUUUUUUUGAAUUUUUUAUGCCCGUUUCAAAAUGCGGUUAAAACGGCGGGCUUGACCGUUCCUAGCUAGUGGUUGAAUCUUGGAAUUUUUUUGGUGCUUCUAUGAUUAAAUAGAUACUUAUGUACCUAGAAAUGAUUUUUGGAAAAAAUAAAGAGCAAACUAUGAGGGAGCUAUAGUUCAAAUUUGACCCGCUUCCAACUGAAUCGACGGCAAUUUGUCUUUUUCACCAGAGGUGGAUCAAAAAUUUUGACACACAACCAUUUUGUCAAUUGUGCAUUAUAUAUGGCCUAGUAUUUUAUAAAAUUUAUUAGGUACAAUUUUGCGACAAUUAUUUGGUAGUUCCUUCACAAAAAACCUCCUUUUGGGCACUUGGAAAAUGAAAAAUGAAUUUUCCGUGCAAAGAAAAUGAAAACUUCCUUAGGAAACAUUGUUUGGAAUUCCAAGAUGCACCCUCGUGCACAAUAUGAGAUCAUUUUAACAAACUAUGACAUGAAUGUGGCCAUAAGAUUGAUCAUUUGGCUUGAAAGCCAUGAAUCUUCACGCAGGAUAGCUCAUUUCUAAGAACACUUUUUUAAAAUAAUUACCAUAUUACAAGUUUAUUAUUUGUUCUGGAAACUUGGUCACAUAUAAUGACACAAUGCGAAGGUUUUCCAAUUUUUUGAUUUAUUUUGAAUUUUUUAUGCCCGUUUCAAAAUGCGGUCAAAACGGCGGGCUUGACCGUUCCUAGCUAGUGGUUGAAUCUUGGAAUUUUUUUGGUGCUUCUAUGAUUAAAUAAAUACUUAUGUACCUAGAAAUGAUUUUUGGAAAAAAUAAAGAGCAAACUAUGAGGUAGCUACAGUUCAAAUUUGACCCGCUUCCAACUAAAUCGGUGGAAAUUUGUCUUUUUCACCAGAGGUGGAUCAAAACUUUUUUCACCCAACCAUUUGGUCAAUUGUGCAUUAAAUAUGGCCUAGUAUUUUAUAAAAAUGAUUUGGUCCAAUUUUGCAACAAUUAUUAUGUAGGUCCUUCACAAAAAACCUCAUUUGGGGCACUCGAAAAAUGGAAAAUGAUUUUUUGUGCAAAGAAUAUAAAAAAUCCCUUUGUUGAUACUGUUUACUAUUCCAAGAUGUAAACUUUUGUACAGUAUAAAGAACUCAUUUUGAACAAAUAUAAAUAAUAUAAAGAAUAUCAUUUGAACAAAUAUUUGUUAGGUCUUUUACAAAAAAGAACUCAUUUUGAGCACUAAAAAAUGGAAAAUGAUUUUUUUGUGACCUAUUUAAAAGGUCAUAAAGUCUUCUAAUUGUUUGCUGCGUUCUGAUUGGUCUAUAGGCAUAUCACGCGGAUCAUGCAUCCGACACCGUCGGAUGCUCCGGGAUCCAACGGCGGACCUCAUCCCCUCACCCUCUCACCCACGUAGCCCUCUCACCCCCCUCACCCACGCAGCCCCCACUCCCCAUCGUUCCAACCCUAGCCCCCACACCCCCACUCUCCCGCACCCGCACCCGCUCGCCAAACCCUAGCCGCCGNNNNNNNNNNNNNNNNNNNNNNNNNNNNNNNNNNNNNNNNNNNNNNNNNNNNNNNNNNNNNNNNNNNNNNNNNNNNNNNNNNNNNNNNNNNNNNNNNNNNNNNNNNNNNNNNNNNNNNNNNNNNNNNNNNNNNNNNNNNNNNNNNNNNNNNNNNNNNNNNNNNNNNNNNNNNNNNNNNNNNNNNNNNNNNNNNNNNNNNNNNNNNNNNNNNNNNNNNNNNNNNNNNNNNNNNNNNNNNNNNNNNNNNNNNNNNNNNNNNNNNNNNNNNNNNNNNNNNNNNNNNNNNGCCGCCAUCCACCUCGUCUCCCCGAUCCAGAUGGAGAUCCAAAGCCCUAGGCCGCUCUCCUCCGCUCCACCUCCGUGUCCAUGGCGACAGACGCCUCCCCCCUCCGGCGCGCAAGAGCCCAGGGCCUCAGCCGGCAACGGACCCCCCUGAAGACGACGCCCGCCGCUGCCGGCGGGGUACAUCUUCAUGUGGAGCGGUGAGACCAGGCCCAAGUGCUUCAGGUACAGGGUGUUGGGCCUGCCGCGGGGGAAGCUGGACGCCGUCUCCUGGAUCAGGCGCAGCGCCGCGCUCUUCCUCUACGACUUCCACGCCAAGUACCUCUACGGGCCCUACUGUGCCAAGACGGUGCGCGCGCUGCUGGCGGGGCUUGGCGAGGACGACCACCGAGUGGGGCUGCGCAGGACGCCCAAGCGCGUCGCCAAGGCCUUCCGCGACGACACCCGAGGUAUAACCCGUGGAUCCCUUCCCUUCGUAAUUGCGCAUGCUUGCGUUCGUUCCCUGUUCGUUCCCUGGACUUAGCUCCCCCGCACUGUCUAGAGUCGUCAAGCACCAAAGCGACGCCGUUUGUGAAAUGUCAGUACUUGCGUAAUCUGACUAGAACUAGAUUUUGGUGGUUUUCGUUUGGUAGGACUUUUUAGAUGUAUUCUUUGAUUUCUUUCUUUCGUAGCAAGUUGGUGUUAUGUCAGUACUCGAUAGUAUGUCUCUUGAUAUAGUUGGCUCUUGCAGAUUGUGCUGCUUGUCCAGAUACUGGAAUCUUAGGUGCUAGGUUGACUUGCUGGUUCACGGGUGACUGCUAUUUUUAGGAUUUGGGAAUCAUUAGUGGGAUCAGACGGCAUAUUGCUAUUGCCAAAAAUAGUGUGAUGUCGUUUCGCUUGUAUGCCAUACUCUCGCACCAAGUCUUGGUAUAUAUAUGCUGAUCUCAUCCCAUGUUGAACCUGAGCUCAAUAAUUUUGGGAAAUACUGAGACAUCAGAUGGCCUAUCAUCAUCUAUACAUAGCUGCUAGUUGACUUUGUCAUCUUGUAAGCGCUCUAGGCAGUGUCUCGAGGGUGAAAAAUAUGAGAACAAAAAAGAAUUACUGGAUUAAUUUACAACAUCCAUCCUUUACUUCGUCCAUGUCAUUGUUGUUUACCCCUGGGAGUAUUUUUAACUUGAAAAUCUCUGGUGAACUGCCAUUUGGAGUACAUUUGCUUGCUCUGUUAAUUUUUUUGGGUUACUCCAUCUUGCUCUGUUAUGUAAAAUUUGAUAUGUGGAGUAGCAGUAGUAAGCUAGACCCUCCAUCUUGCUUUGUACAUAGUCAAAGCUACUCCAAGUUAUCAGCACUACUGUUAACUUCUCAAUGUGCUUGGAUUACAUUUAACUUGUAGUACUCCAGUAAUUUUGCUUAGAAUAUUUAACAAGAUUGAACUGAACAUGUGUGGAGUAAUUUUGCUUGGAGUAUUUAACAAGAUUGAACUUGUCAACAUUUAAAAGUAUUUUUUAGUAAGUAUUCUGAACAUGCUUCUGGACCAUCAUCACCCUCCUCUAUGCAGGAUGCAUGUAUCACACUUUGAAUCAGCCUGUACUGGCCUCAAAAUAACACUGUGCGUACUUGUUCACUACUUACUAGAUUGAUGAAUCAAUCAGGAUGCAUGCUGAAACUUAUGAUUCAGGCUUUUUUUGGUUCUGUACCUGUUUGGUUACGUGUUGAGAUGAUUUCUUGUAUGGAUGAUGAUUAUGUGAUGUCCUGUCCAACAGUAUGUCAAUCUUUUCCAUGUCUACUUUGCACGUCACAGCUACACGAUGAGUAGUUCUUUUUUCAGUGUUUGUGAUAUUUCUUCUCUAAACCAUGGAAAGAAAUGUCAAUCCUGAAUGUUUGCUUGUUUUUGUAAGGCCUGAAUAUUUCUUCUCUGAACAGUAUGUCAAUCCUGAAUAUUUCUUCUCUGAACAGUAUGUCAAUCAUCUAUAUUUCUUCUCUGAACAGAUGCAGAGGCUGCUGUUCUUCCUCCGUACAGCCGGGGGCGAUGCAAGCACCUGACGCCCGCGUCCUCAACUUCAGCAGUUCAGCAGGUAUUGUUCUGUCCCUCGCCAUCUGUACUUGAAAUCCCUUGCAUCCAUAUCAUUACACUAGCUAAUAUAUUACAACAGAAUGAAUCAACUACUCUCAUGGUCUAUCCCAUCCCAUCUAGUAUUAUUUACUGUCUAUCUGUCUAUGUAUUUACUCUGAACAAAAUUCAAUCUGCACAUCUGUAUCUGCAUUGCACAAGUACAGAUACAUCCGCCCCUGCUAUUUUCUUGUUAUACAUUACAUAGAUGCAUACAUGCGCCAGGCUAUUUCUAUGUCUGUUUGUCUGACCUCUCAAGCAUGCAUAUCUCUUUCGUAUGUACUGAAUUUUGUAACAAUUUUGUUUUCCUCAUACUUACAGGAUGCUGCACUCGCUACUCAUGUUUUCUGAUGCUGCAACAAAGGACUAUAUGUGGUUUCUUCAGUGGGGUUGUCGCUGUCGCUCCUCAUGUUCAAUAACGUUUCAGCUCUAACUUGGUUAUACAACAGUUCAAUUCAGUCAAUCUGUUGGAACUAGUUUGUUUAUUACUUGUAUACAUAUUUUAUAUCCUGCCCUAUGCCCUUGUCGACUUGCUUAGGUACAUAAUUGUUAUGUCUUGCAAUAUGGUAUUGAUGAUUGUCAAUGUAUUCAUGUAUACCCCCCCUCUCUCUGUUUUUCUGUCAAUAGCUAGUAGCAUAAGUUGGAGCUGGCUGUACCAGGAACUUAAUCUGCUUUUAUUCAACCAGAUCAAGUACAAGUACAUUAGUUCGUAAUCUGCUAUUAAUACAUCUCCUAUUCAUAAAUUUCCUGAUUGGUGAUGUUACUGUAGAUAUGAUGUAGGUUCAGUGCUUACUAUUUUCUGAUUUGAUGCAUGUUACCUUCGUUUCUGUCUAUGCCUUCUUUAGUGUUUUGCCAGCUAACUAGUCUAUUGGUCGUUUUGAAAUAUGAAGAUGCUGCAUGUAAGCACUAUUGCUGGCAAUUUGGCACAUCAUAUUAGUCUUAUCCCAUGUUUUGUCACUAGCAUACACUACAAUCCCUUGUCCUGUCACUACCAUACACUACAGUUUUAUUAAAAGGGGGCACAUCAUUUGCUCUAUAUAAUAGUGCUGAUUUUGCGCUGAUAUGAACUUACAACAGUAUUACAUUGUAGUGUUUUCUGCAUGUUGUUGUAUCACUAGUUUCAUGCUGCCUUCUCAUUUGAACCUAUUACUUGUUUUUGUUUUAAUCCUUGAUUAGUAUCAAUUGUUGUAUUGUAGACUUAAAAUUGUGGUGGUUCCUCCUUUACAGAAGCUCGAGUGUGAAGUCGUGAAGUGUGAAGCAAGUGUGAAGCAAGUCUGAAGCCAAGUGUGAAGCCGUGAAGUCCAACUCAUUGUAGCAUAUCUGUGUUGUAAAGAUUGUAAUACAUUUAUUUAGUGGUAUAUUUGAUGAAUUUUAUGCGUUCUUUGUUCUAUUUGAAAUAUUGAUUAUGUAUGUGAUUUGAAAACUUGUGGAAUGGAAACUUGUCCAGUGAGGCCACUUAUGAAAAUAAUUUGUCAAAUUUGUACAUUUUUGACAUGUGGGACAAAUUUGAGAGAUGAACAUGACAGGUUGGACCCAUCUGACUAGUGGGACCAGCUUGAAUAUAUAAUAGUUGAAAAUAGAAAAUCAAAAUAGAAAAUCAGUAGACUAAAAGGCCAUGGCCCAAAAACAAAAAGGCUGCAAUGUUGGGCUUGGUCCAUGAAGCUGACAAAAAAUUCAUAGGAAAAAAAAUAUAAAUGGGCUGAAUUAAUGGGCCCGGCCCAUAUAAACACCGAAUUGGACCAGGCUGAAUCUUGUGCCACAUCAGCUUGCCACACUGGAUGCCUACGUGGACUGGGGAGGCUGCUAGUGACCAAAACGCCACAGUAGGAAUAUUUUGGUCAUAAACAUCCACGACCUUCUCACAGAGAAGGUCGCUAUAGUCAGUUUAUGACUCUCAGCUUUUGACCUUCUGUUUAUGGUCACAAAAAGGUCGCAAAUGAAAAACUAUGACCUUUCAGUGACCAACAGUGGAGGUCACAAGAUAGCAUAUUUCUUGUAGUGAAAGUAAAGUAAUUACAUGGUGUUAUUCAAUGACACGCAGGUCAUACAAUAAUUAAGACAACUCCUAUGGCUCCUGCCGGUUGUCAUACUCAUCGACAUGCAAGUCGUGAUUCCUAUUACAAGAACAUGAUCAAUCUCAUACAUCACAUAUAUAUCAUUCAUCACAUCCUUUUGGCCAUAUCACAUCACAAGGCAUAUGCUGCAAAAACAAGUUAGACGUCCUCUAAUUGUUGUUGCAUGUUUUUACGUGGUUGCAAUAGGGUUCUAGCAAGAACGUUUCUUACCUAUGCCAAAACCACAACGUGAUAUGCCAAUUUCUAUUGACCCUUCAUAAGGACCCUUUUCAUCGAAUCCGAUCCGACUAAAGUGGGAGAGACAGACACCCGCUAGCCACCUUAUGCAACUAGUGCAUGUCAGUCGGUGGAACCUGUCUCACGUAAGCGCACGUGUAAGGUCGGUCCGAGCCGCUUCAUCCCACGAUGCCGCCGAAACAAGAUAAGACUAGUAGUGGCAAGUAAAUUGACAACAUCUACGCCCACAACAAAAUUGUUUUCUACUCGUGCAUAGAAACUACGCAUAGACCUAGCUCAUGAUGCCACUGUUGGGGAACGUAGUAGAAAUUUAAAAUCUUCUACGCAUCACCAAGAUCAAUCUAUGGAGUUAUCUAGCAACAAGAGAGAGAGAGGAGUGCAUCAACAUACCCUUGUAGAUCACGAGCGAAAGCGUUCAAGAGAACGGGGUUGAUGGAGUCGUACUCGUCAUGAUCCAAAUCACCGAUGAUCCUAGCACCGAACGGACGGCACCUCCGCGUUCAGCACACGUACGGAGCGGAGAUGACUCCCGCGCCUUGAUCCAGCAAGGAGGAGGGAGAGGUUGAGGAAGAGAGCUCCAACAGCAGCAUGACGGCGUGGUGGUGGUGGUGGAGAGGCAGUACUCCGGUAGGGCUUCGCCAAGCUCUUAAUGGAGGAGGAGAGGUGUUGGGGAGGGGAGGGGCUGCGCCUUGGAUGUGGUGUGCAGCCCUCCCCUCGCCCCUCUAUUUAUAGGGGAAGGGGGAAGGGGUCCGGCCCCCUCUAGAUGAGAUCUAGAGGGGGGCGGCGGCCAAGGGGAGGGGGCUUGCCCCCCCAAGCAAGGGGGGCGCCCCCUCUAUGGUUUCCCCCCAACCCUAGGCGCAUGGGCCCAAGGGGGGGUGCGCCCAGCCCUCCAGGGGCUGGUUCCCUGCCCACUAUGGCCCAUGAGGCCCUUCGAGAGAGGUGGCCCCUCCCAGUGGACCCCCGAAACCCCUCCGGUGGCCCCGGUACAAUACCGAUAUGCCCCCGAACUUUUCCGGUGACCGUAUGACAACUUCCCACAUAUAAAUCUUCACCUCCGGACCAUUCUGGAACUCCUCGUGACGUCCGGGAUCUCAUCCGAGACCCCGAACAACAUUCGGUAAUCACUUACAAGUCUUCCUAAUAACCCUAGCAUCACCGAACCUUAAGUGUAUAGACCCUACAGGUUCGGGAAUCAUGCAGACAUGACCGAGACAGCUCUCCGGCCAAUAAACAACAGCGGGAUCUGGAUACCCAUGUUGGUUCCCACAUGUUCCACAAUGAUCUCAUCAGAUGAACCACGAUGUCAAGGAUUCAAGUAAUCAUGUAUACAAUUCCCUUUGCCAAUCGGUACGUUACUUGCCCAAGAUUCGGUCAUCGGUAUCCCAAUACCUUGUUCAAUCUCGUUACCGGCAAGUCACUUUACUCGUACCGUAAUGCAUGAUCCCAUGACCAACCACUUGGUCACAUUGAGCUCAUUAUGAUGAUGCAUUACCGAGUGGGCCCAGAGAUACCUCUCUGUCAGACGGAGUGACAAAUCCCAGUCUCGAUCUGUGUCAACCCAACAGACACUUUCGGAGAUACCUGUAGUAUACCUUUAUAGCCACCCAGUUACGUUGUGACGUUUGGUACACCCAAAGCACUCCAACGGUAUCCGGGAGUCACACGAUCUCCUGGUCUAAGGAAAUGAUACUUGACAUUAGAAAAGCUCUAGUAAACGAACUACACGAUCUUGUGCUAUGCUUAAGAUUGGGUCUUGUCCAUCACAUCAUUCUCCAAUGAUGUGAUCCCAUUAUCAAUGACAUCCAAUGUCCAUGGUCAGGAAACCGUAACCAUCCAUUGAUUAACGAGCUAGUCAACUAGAGGCUCACUAUGGACAUAUUGUGGUCUACGUAUUCACACAUGUAUUACGAUUUCCGGAUAACACAAUUAUAGCAUGAACAAUAGAAAAUUAUCAUGAACAAGGAAUAUAAUAAUAACCAUUUUAUUAUUGCCUCUAGGGCAUAUUUCCAACGUGCCGUCGCUGCAGGGCCUGGGUAGCGGUGGGAAUAGUAGGGGACGGUGAGGCCUCCACGGCAGCACAGCCGGCCACGGGAGGCAGGAGCAUGCGGCACGACCGACGCUGCUUUGGGCAGUCGGAGCAAGAAGACUAGAGGUUGAAGAAGCACUACGUCCGUUGGUUGGACAUCAUACAGUCACUGGAGCUAGAAUCGUUCAUAUUGACUAAGUUGACAAAGCCCUCCGUCCCCGUCAACUUAGUAGGCCCACAAGUCUGCCUCCCACCAAGGUGGGUCCCAGCUAGUAGGGGGAGUAUUCAUUUUUUGUGCGUAAUANNNNNNNNNNNNNNNNNNNNNNNNNNNNNNNNNNNNNNNNNNNNNNNNNNNNNNNNNNNNNNNNNNNNNNNNNNNNNNNNNNNNNNNNNNNNNNNNNNNNNNNNNNNNNNNNNNNNNNNNNNNNNNNNNNNNNNNNNNNNNNNNNNNNNNNNNNNNNNNNNNNNNNNNNNNNNNNNNNNNNNNNNNNNNNNNNNNNNNNNNNNNNNNNNNNNNNNNNNNNNNNNNNNNNNNNNNNNNNNNNNNNNNNNNNNNNNNNNNNNNNNNNNNNNNNNNNNNNNNNNNNNNNNNNNNNNNNNNNNNNNNNNNNNNNNNNNNNNNNGGCCCGUCCGGUGGGUCCCAGCAGUCAGGGGGAAACGUUUUUUUUCACGAAAUACGGUGGCCCGUCCGAUGGGUCCCUGCUGUCAGGUGGAGGUAUAAUUAUUUUGCACGUAAUAAGGAGGCACUUCCUUGUGGCUGCCGUGGACGCAUCUGUCAGCCUCUCCACGUACAGUACUCUUCCGAUGGAAGUCGGUCAUUGACCACAUUGACCACGCCACUCCGAGAGCACCACGGUGGUGGACGACGGCAAGGCCUAGGAAGGGGACGACACGGAGCCGGGGAAGACACGGUAGCGGAUGCCCAUGCAGAGAGGAGUACGAGGGUUCACUGGUUCGGCUGCGGUGUGAGGCUGUCGUCGCCGCAGAAUAACAAGGGGUGUGGGUGAGUGAAAGGAUGGCCUGGCCGGCGGUGGGAGUAGUAGGGGCGGUGAGGCCUCCGCGGCAGCACAUCCGGCCAUGGGAGGUAGGAGCAGGCGGCACGACCGGCGCUGCUUUGGGCAGCUGGAGCAAGAAGACCAGAGCUUGAAGAAGCACUAUGGCCGUUGGAUGGACAUUGUACGGUCAUUGGAGCUAGAAUCGUUCAUAUUGACUAAGUUGACAAAGCCCUCCAUUCCCGUCAAGUUAGUAGGCCCACAAGUCAAGCUCCCACUAUGGUGGGUCCCAGCUAGCAGGGGGUAUUCAUUUUUUGUGCGUAAUAAGGAGGCACUUCCUUGUGUGCAAAGAUAUAGCUAGUGGGUCCGACAUNNNNNNNNNNNNNNNNNNNNNNNNNNNNNNNNNNNNNNNNNNNNNNNNNNNNNNNNNNNNNNNNNNNNNNNNNNNNNNNNNNNNNNNNNNNNNNNNNNNNNNNNNNNNNNNNNNNNNNNNNNNNNNNNNNNNNNNNNNNNNNNNNNNNNNNNNNNNNNNNNNNNNNNNNNNNNNNNNNNNNNNNNNNNNNNNNNNNNNNNNNNNNNNNNNNNNNNNNNNNNNNNNNNNNNNNNNNNNNNNNNNNNNNNNNNNNNNNNNNNNNNNNNNNNNNNNNNNNNGAAAUACAGAGGCCCUUCCGGUGGGUCCUAGAUGUCAGCCUCUCCACAUACAGUCCACUUCCGAUGGAUGUCGUUCAUUGACCACGUUGACCAGGCCGCGCCGAGAGCACCAGGGCGGUGGACGACGACAAUGCCUAGGAAGGGAACGACACGGAGCCAGGGAAGACUCGGCAGUUGUUUCCCACGCAGAGGGGAGUAUGAGGGUUUAUUGGUUCAUCUGCCGUCCCCGAAGAAUAACAGCAUGUGUGGGUGACUAGAGGGAUGGCUAGGCCAGCGAUGGGAGUACGGUGGGGCGGUGAGGCCUGCGCGACAGCACAGCCGGCCGCGGGAGGAGGGAGCAGGCAGUCCCGCCGGCGCUUGUUUGAGCGGCUGGAGCAGGAAGAGCAGAGAUUGAAGAAGCACGACAGCCGUUGGAUGGACAUCCAAAAGUCACUGCUCUUGUGUGUUGACGAAGUUGACACAAUGUUGCGUGUGUGUCAACCUUUUUUUAGGAAAGCAUACGCGUCAACCUGUAGUAGGUGCACAAGUCAGCCUCAAAUCUGUGGAAAACAACAUAAAACCCAUCUCCCGUUAUUUCUAAUAAUGUACAACCCAUUUUCUAAUUCUUAAGAAUUUUUUGGAGAACAUCUUCUUUUUGUUAGCAUUACACCCCAUAUUGUGGCCACGGUUCAAAAGUAUACGAAAUUUUGCAUAUUUUGGUGCAGUCAACUGUUUUUAAUCCCGAAAUAUUGAUUCACAUUCAAACUAUUUUGAAAAAUAAUUCAUAUAAAUAUAAAAUCCAAAUAAUUCUCCACACAUAAAAAUCAAUGGAAUUUAAAAUCUUGUAAUGAAAAAAAUGAAACUAAUUUCUGGUUUGAUAUGUUUUAAAAAUGUACAGCCCAAUUCUGGGCAAAUCGAAUGAAACUCUCAUCAUCUUAAAAGAUUUGCAGCCCAGCAGGGCUGAUAAAGCAAGUAGGCCUCGUUUGGGUAUUUCUUUAAAAAUAAUAGAACCGGGCUAGCCAUUUUCAGCUAGAAAAAAACACAACUGGGCUCAUGAUGUGGUAAACAUAAAUAAAACCCUGGCUAAACGGGCCACAGCCCCCGCACAACCCCGUUGUUACCCUGAUCCGUCGUUAAAAGUAGUAUAAAUAACAACUGCUUGUUCCUCAAAAAAAAACUGCGCGGCCUGCUGGGUCCCUAGUGUCAGCCGCUCGCAGUGUAAUACUCUCGUUUAUUGACUAAGUUGACAAUGGCGUGAGCCCCAAAUGUCCAACCAUUAGGAGGAACCAUAUUUUUGGGCUUGUAAUAUAGAUGCACUUGCCUGCGUACUGCCAUGACGCUGGUGGGUCCCUACUGUCAUCCUCUCCACGUAUAGUCAUCUCCUUGUUCCUCUUGGUUGUUGAUGAUGUUGACAACGCAAGAGGGUGGCGCAUCGUGCAUGGUGAGCAAACCGAGGUGGAGGAAAACGGUGAGGCCUCGGACAGAAAGAACAGGAGCCGUGGAAGAUGCGUCGGUCCAGUCGCAGGCGGAGGGGAGUACGAGGGUUGACUAGUUCGGGUGCGGGUGCGUGUUGGGGCUGACAUUGCCGAAGAAUAACAGGAUGUGUGGGGGAAUAGAGGGAGGGGCUGGCCAACGUUGGAGGGUACGGUAGGGCGGCAGAGGCGCAGCUAGCCAUGGGAGGCGGGAGCAGGCGGAGCCCACAGGGUGGUUUGGUUUGGACGGCUGGAGGAAGAAGAAGACAAGAGAUAGAAGAUACACGACAUAUGUGGAUGUCAAUCCAACGGCUGGUAGGCAGAAUCGUUUGUUGACUGGCUAGUAAGUUGACACCACCUUGGAUAGGCUAUUUCCUCGUGGGUCCCAAAUGUCAGAAUCCAAAUCUGUCACGGUCAUGUAGCCUUUCCUAUGAAAAUUUACAGCCCAUUUGAUGUGCUAGUUUGAAAUAAGUUUGUGGGUGCUGGUGGGGGCUAAUCACUUGGCUUCUGUAAUGCAUAGUGAGCUCAAGCAGCCGGCGAGAGUGAUGUUAUUUCCCUUGGUUGGGAUUUGUUACAAUAUUUCACUCUAAAUUAAACGAAUGGCAAGCCAUUUGCCUUGUCUCAAAGAAAAUAUGACAGUCACAGCCGAGUUGAAAAGGGCAAGAACAUCUAACUCCAGCUUAAAAACUGUAGAAAAGCACGAGGGUUAAUUGUUCAUCUGGUUUACACAAAACCUAGGUUGAAAAGGGCAACAACAUCUAACUCCAACACUGUUUUCGGCAGUCACAGUCAAAUGGAUCGGCCAGGUCCAUAGAAUGAACAUCCUGGGUCAUAAAAUUUACUGGAUUAUGACCACAAUAUGUUGUAAAUAGAAACCCGACACGUUCACAAGCUCUUUUGCCCACCUAAAACUCCUUUUUUUUUGCUCUUCGACAUACCCAUCCGUCAAAACCAUGCUGCUGAUAAACUUAAGCCUGAUGGACAAUAGUAACCUCGCAUUCAGCAGGAAGAAUGUGACAAAUCUAAUGUUUGCACGGUUGGCUACAUAUCGUUCUAGCGUUAUUGUCUUCAAUCGAAUCUCAUGAGAAGUGAGAAAAUACCGAUGCUUGCAAAUCCACCGAUUGGUUAUAACUUCCUUACCCCGUCCUGUUGCCUAAAUAGACAUGAAGACUGAAAACAGUUAAGGUCUAAAAAAGAGUGUCGAAAGAGCAACAGCUGAACGGUUAAUUCUAGUAUGAUAUAUGCGGGCUUCCAAUGUGCGUGAAAUUAUCACCUUUAUAUACAACUUCUCCAGACAUGGAAAGCAUUGCAGCAAGCCAAUAAUCUUGUUUAGAUCAAAUUAUUCAUUUGGAUAUAUAAGAUCUUGACAGAAUCCAGCACCAUUGAUAGGCCAUCCAUGGAGAAACUCUUCAUUGAGCAUAGAACAUAAUAUUAGUACAAAAUGUGUACUCCAAGAUGAUAUAAAACUUAUGCCCAUAAAUUUAAAAUGCAAAUUAUGGUUACAAGUUUAGAUGAUAAUAUAAAGUCCCUGAAGAACUGUGGAGCCAAACACCAUAUUGAAAUGAGCACAGAGAUCAUGUAUUACACCCAAGGUCUCCAGUUUAGGCGCAGAGAGGACGGUUAUUUGCAACGGUGAAUAACUAGAAUCAAGGAUCAACCUUUGAAGUGAAGGGGCAUCUUGGAUGAUGAGCUGCCUUCUGUUAAAAGAAAUUCCAAUUCUUACAAGGUUAGGCGACUUUAUUUGGAGACAACUGAUUCUAACUAUGAAAACAAGCACCAAGCACUCCAGGGCAGGGCAACUAGAGUGGAUGAUGUUGUGCAAUGAGGCCUCCGAUAUACGAACCCGCACAAGUGAAAGUUUCUUGAGAAAUGGGAGUCGAAGGUUUAGUACCAGAUUGUAUGGUAGGUAGCACAGCGCAAAGGUGGCGGUGUGGAGAGAGGAGGAAAACCGCAAGAUGGACAUUGGUGCUGAGGGCACAAGUACAUGGCGUUCGGUAUGUGGUAUGUGAUUUCCAGGGGAAUAGUAGAACUCAAGCAGCUGUAGUUCUAUGAAUUCAGGGGAUUUCAGCCAGGCGUACACCAUGCAGGGAAUGGUAUGCUUGCUCAGGUAGCAUGACCGGAUGCAGAGGCUUUGAACGGAGCCCUGGUGGGAGGAUAUGAUGGCUCUGGGGAUUUCAAAAUCAUUGAAGAGAGAUAGGUGAUGACAGUCGAGAUUAAGUGGCACGGCGCGCCAUAGAGGGCGCCACUGAAUUGAGAGGACAUGGGUGCGGCAGCAAUCCUUGAUGGGGAAAAGCAAGAUGAUCUCCCCAAGGACAGUGUCUGGGAGAUCGCUGAUGCGGUCCACCCGAGAUUCUAUGGGUUCCUAGGAUCCGGUGGGGGCGGGGUCGUCGCUUCUCCCCACGUUGCCGGGUGUGGAAUCUACAACAGGCGUCGCCGCUGGCGGGAGCCUCAUCUUCUUGGCGUUGGGGUCGGCCGACUCCUUUUUCCUCGAGGGCGUCGUGUCGUGCUCAAGGAUUUGAGCAGAGUAAUGAAUGAUGAGCCUAGUUGUAGUGCGAGUGAAGAAGAAGGGGAGCUGGGGGUUUUCUGUAGUAGUGAGGAACAAGGGGAGCUGGGGUUUUCUGUAGGAGUUAGGUAAGGAAUAAGGGGGUACGAGUGGAGCGAGCUGACAUGAGGUGGGUGGGAGUGAGGAGGAAGAAGAGCACCCAUGUUUUUUUGGGGGGGGUGUGUGCUGGGUGUGGGUAGCGCCUCUCAUUCAGUAAAUAUAUGGGCUUUUGAAUUGAUUUUACUAUUUACUAGGGUGGAUGAGCUGUUUUGUCCUGGGCCCAGAGAAACAAUUACUACUAGUAUAGUGGAGACACUCUACAGCUACCCAGAAAAAUAAUUACUACUAGUACAGUGGAUACAAUACCACUUCUGGCUCCUCCUAGGUCAUCGAAACGUCUCCCUCUACUGAAUGUCGUUAUAUUUUGUUCACCGACAUGCGGGCCAUGCAAUGCAUAGGCCCAAAUGCCAUCCACCAAAUUAGAAGGUAGUAUGCAGGCGGAGAGUCACCCCGGUCGUAGCGCGGCAGUAACGAGUCGUCGUAUCACAAAACCCCACCUCCUCGCAGUCUAGGUUUGACAGACGAAGCAACCAUCAUUUCACUCUUCGCUGAAUCCCCUUAUCCCUCACCGUCUUCAAGAAAGGCAACACUCCCAUCUGCCACUGUUCUUCUCUCCCAAUGAAGGGAAGGUAAGCGGAUCCAUGAUGUUGGUAUAUUUUCAUUCAGUGAAAAAAAAGAACUUUUGCAAAGCAGUAACCGACCCUCACUCUCUUUUUUGUUUCAUUGUCAUUGCGAUUGUGUUUUUUUUCCAGUGGCUCCUAGUAUUCAUCAGUUUCAUGAUGGACCAAGGAGAACCAGGCAAAGAUCUGCCGAUAUUGGAGCAGACGCGGGAGGCUGAUCCCCACGAGACAGAGAGCUCCAAGAAGAUGGAGGCAGCCACCGAGCCGACCCCAGAUACGCUCACGGCCACUACUGAGAUGGUCAAUGCCCUAUUUGAGGUUACAACCCUCGUGGCACUGCAUGAGCAGUUUUCCCCCUUCGAGGAUGUGUCCCCCCCCCCCUGAGCUGCCCAAGGUGAUUUUUUUCUUUUCCGAUCUCGAUUGUGGUUUUUCACCUAAGUAUGUGGUGAUGAAUAAUGCAAAGUUUUAUUAGCUUCGAUGCCAUGCUAUACAUAGUGGAUUAAAAAACUUGUGUUUCUUAUACUGGAAAGUAAUUCAGAAUUAUUUUUCUAUUUCAAUUAGAGGCCUGAUGCAGACAAGGAUUGUGUGGUUGUACAUGUCACUCGCUAUGAGGUGGAUGACCUGAAUAUAUGCACUGGGAAAACAGAGUUCUUAGGCUGUUGGAUCCUGGAAGCCAUUUGCACUUAUACCAAUGAAGAGUUGUAUUCCAGCCUCACUGUUGUCUGGCGUGUUGACCAGGGUGUACUGAAGCACAAGAAGUUCAAAGCUACUCAUUUGUUUGUGAGGCAUACUGCUCUUGUCAAGCUUACGUAGGAAGAUGAUGUGGCAUGCCUCCACAAACAAGUUUAUGAGUGGCAAGGCCACAAGGUUGUCUUCAUGAAGGUUCACAGGAUUGAGCUCCUGUCGGACGUCCUCGAUGAUGUUCAUGGCAUGGUUCGUCUUGUGUCCAGCCCAAAUUAGAUCGAGGCAUGAAAUAGUUGCCCCAGCUAGUGUUUAAUAGUAGUUUGGAUUGUGUCUAAUUAUCUGAACCUUGCCUGUUAUCGAGCCCUUUGGGGCUAGUACUCUGUUUGAAUCCGUCUAUGGGAACUACUGCUACUUUUGUGUGCCCGUGAAUCAUGUGAGAACCAUCGUAAUUGUUGCCGAAACAGAUGCAUCCUCACUAGUUUUUUCAUGAAUAUGGCAUGGUAAGACAGAAGUUGUCAUGGUUUAUCAUACGAGCAGUGUGUGUUUUGAUGAAAUAGAGUACUCGUUUGAGAACUGUGCGCUGACGUAUACAUAAGUACUUGUAAACGCUGUUGGUGCUACCCCACUUGUAAGCAGUUGUGCAAAACACGACACAUUGGCUCAGCUCGCUUCAAUACUAGGCUGUCGACCAGCUAACAAUCAACAAUCUGCUGUCUGACAUAUAAGCAACUAUGUAUCUUGUUACAGUGGUUCAUGCAGUAACUGAGGCCACAAUGUAAAUUCCAAACAUUCACACGCUAGUCCAGCGUUCAUGUGGAACACUCACAUUAAACUCGGCUUCAUAAAAAACUUGAAAAUCAUAAGUUAAGCAAUUCUAUACAUCUCAAUGAUUCAUAUAACAUAACAAACAUAUAAUAGUUCACAACAAAAGACAAAGUUGUGAGAAGGUUUAUAAAUCAGGAAAAAACAAGCAAGGCUUCUCUGAGCAAAGGGCCUUCCGGCAGGCUUAAAUUUCCUGGAGUUCACUCUGGUUUUUUCUUGUUGCCACCAUCCAGGGUUAGGUUCUCUCAUUCCAGAAUAACCAAUUAUAAUUGUGGUCUCAGCUGGAAUGCUGAACUGAACCAUGCAGUGUACUGACCAGCUGAAAUUCUUAUGCAUUCCACUAAAUUUAAGCACCGCUAUUUGCAGAAAUAAGCAGACCACAAUGCCUCUUGUCUGCGCACCUGUCCAAAAAACCGCCGUGCAACCGUGCCAGCUAGUCCCCGGUCCAUGGAUGAACUGGUAGAAAGUGCAUUUCGGACUAGGAUGCAGUUGUUUUCGCUCGUCCCUACACUGCAGUCAGGAAGUAAAUCGUAUGAAUCAACUUCUUUUAGAUUGCGCUGGUCAUUCUACCUAGUAACUACAAAUGUAGGAAUACCUGGAAGACGGGUGGUUAGACGACGGCAGCGAGGGAUAGCCAUCUCAUUUUGUGCAGUUCUACUAAAUCUGAGGUGUGUGCUUUUGAUUGCGCGGAUAGAAAUGAUAGUGAGACAGACUUCCCGAAAUGAUAUGGAGACAGCCAUCCCUGUUUGCGCAAAUAUGAAAUACGGUUAUUUAAAUAGUGACAGAUAUUUGCAGUGGCGUAUGAUUAACAUCAGCAUCUAUUGUGUUAGACAGUAUGAAAGUGCCCUUAAGUAAGUAGCAUCACAUAACAUCAAUACUGCCACUAGAUUAACAUGCUGAACAAUAGCAUUAGUAUUACUAUCAUGAGAGUAGCACAUGGUCAGUAAAUGUGCAAUCAAAUUUGUGCAGUUCCACUGGGAUGAAGCAAUGUUAGCGGUGUGAGAUUCAAGUGUAACUGCAAAAACACAAUUCAUGGGAAAUAAAGCAAGACAGAAGCACUUCAUAAAAUGGUGGUGGCAUUGCUUCAAUUUAUCGACGGCACUAGACCAUUACUUAUAGUGACAUUACGUGGCAUUGCUUAAUGCUUCAUGUGAUUUUACAUUAAUGGUAGCGAUAUGGGCGUAGGGACGGCAGGGGCAUAAAGUGGUGAGGCAGAUGUGGUUGCCGAGAGCGGCAAACACUCAGGUAGCAUGUCUGCAUUUCUCCCAUUUUUUAUCUCCUCGGUGACAUUUUCCUAUGUGAGCACAGGAAAUCUAGACCUACUCAUUCUCAUUUGCAUUGUCCCCCAACACCUGUCACUUUCUUUUCUUUUUCAACCAAGAGACAUGUCCACUUCCCCUCACCCUUCGCCAUCCACCAUGCUUUCUUCGUCUUUUCAACCAAGAGACCGGUUGGGUAGCCAGUAUCUACUACUUUCCCUCGUUUCCUCUUAGAACCAAGUCCUAGAUUCAUGCUACGGCUUUCCCACUUUCUUCCCUGUUUGAACCAACUCUUAGAAUCGACUGUAUGAACUAGCUUUACCUCUAAUAAUAGUAAAAGUCUAGGUGGCUUUGGAAUAGCGGACGAAAGUAGAAAAUGAUCCACACGAAGCCAAGUGGGGAGCUGGGGCAAUAGAGCAAGGCAGGUUUCGAAGGAAUAUAUACCUAAGGGUUGUCGGCAUAUGGCAAAGAUGGCGUCGGGAGGCCGCAUCUUGGCCACAAUACCGCAGGGAGGAAGAAGGGGUUGGAGGCCCUCGCGAGCCGGCGCUCUCUCGGAGAGAACGGCACGGCCGCCGAUUGGUACGCGCGGGCAGCCAUUGUUCUCCUCCCUCGCCGCCGGCAACGGCGUGAAUGAUGCACCUACACCCCUGCCGCGGUCGAGGUUGUCCGACCGGAUUUGUGACCAGCCGUGAGCAGAGAAAGAGUGUGGCCACCCAUGUCUUGCUUAGAUCUGGAGAGCAUGAGAGAGUGAACGAGAGGAACCCUAGUAAAACAAGCACUAAGGCUCCUGCUUAUAUCCAUACUACUCUAUAGUGUACCAAUUUUGCACCCCAAACCAAACAUGAACCAUUGAUUCAGCUGUCUGUGUUGAAGAUCUAUGGUCAGAUCUUUAUUGAACCAAAACCAACGGCUAGGAUCUCCGGGAUUCGCAGUCUGCCCGCGCGCAUGGGUGCUUUCACCGCGCGCUCCUGGGUAUUCUGGAAGCACCUGGAGCGUCCCCACCAAGAUAAAAUACCAGUAAAAAAAUCCGGCACCAUUCUCUUCUCAUCAAAGCACUCUGUGUGUUUCGUGGUUUCACCGUUCCCCCUGCUGUCACCCCAGCCCCGUACCCGCACCACCACAAGUCGUCUAAAAACAGCUCUGCCCUGCGCCGCCGGCCGCGGCGAGCGCUCAGUUGCUCUUCCGUCCAAUUUCAACUCCAAUCUCUCAAACUCGGUCCGCCCAAGUAGUUUCUCCCUCAGGCGCUCACUGCCCUUGCUACUGUUCCACGUGCUCACCGCCACCACUUCCUGGAAUCUCCGGCUGUACAUGCCUCGGGCCAAUCCGCCCCGGAGACCAUCGGUGCUGCAAGUGCUAGCAACGGGAUGACAUAUCAGUGCAGCCCGGCCGCUGUUAACAAAGCAUCCUCAACCUCACACACUCAUAGCUUACAUGUUGAAGAGGUAAGAUACAAUUUGAGAAUCUAUGGAAGUGGUGCUAAUUUGUUUAAUGAUCUAUAAAUUUCCUAUCUCUGCAUAUCAGAUGCCAUAAAUCCAUACCCAGAUUUUGUAUUUCAUUAUAGAAAUCAAGAAAUUUAUCACAGCUGACCACCACGUGUUCGAGUUUAUGUCCACAAAGGUUUUUUUUAUUUCUCCUUCCAUAGAAGUGUUAUAACCAUUUAAAAACUCAUUUUCAUUGAUUUUAACGAUUUUAACAUUUAAAAUGAUUUUUUAAUGGAGAACGAUGUUGUAUGUUACACUGUACCAUGUGUACUGACAAAACGUCAAUACAGUCUAUUGUUAGAAUAUAUGUAUCGAUUAAUAUGCCAAAAAAAUGGUUUGUUACAAGGAGUUUGAGGUGACUUAAGCUUCGCGUGGCUUUACUGUUGCAUUAUCUUCCUAUGCUUAUGCUAAUGAUGUCUACAAUGUUGUUGCUCAGCGCCUUAGCAGAACCAAGUGCAGACAGUUAUCUAGGAAGCAAGUGAAUGGCUGUUCAAGUAACCAUACAACAAGAUCCAUUGGAAUGCCAGGACGGGCUCCUUUUCAAGAUAUUACAAUGUGGUUGACUCACAUAAUUUAUCAAAAGGGAAACAAGGUACAUCAUUAAUAUUUCUGGUCACCAGAAUCUUGAAACAAGAUUACAGCUUCUUAUAUGCUGUUACAUAAAUAAAACAACCUAUGCUUUGUGUGUUAAAAGAUUCUCACGGGUUGUUUUAAAUAUUCUAUACAUUCCAGCACAAAAAAUACUUGGUCCAGUGGAUCAGCCAAUUACUGGGACAAAAUGAUCAAUCAAUCCAUCUGGCAUGUCCAUAAAAUCAAAUACUCCUUCGAGUCGACACGCAACUCUACGAACAGAUGCUUCUGAGCGUAAGCGUUAUCAUGAUCGGCAAAGAUACUUGAAGAUGACUCUAACAGCGUGCUGCCUACCUGCAAAGAAACCGUGACUACAAACGGAGAAGGAAAAAUCCUGUAGUCAGUGAUAAUGCACAAUCUGGGAGUCAAACUUGUACUUUUACCAAUGGAAGCAUGCACACAACUACUCGCAUCGGUACAAUUACAGAAGGUACAUAUUAAUGCAAUAAUAUUUUGUCUUAAUUUUUUUAGUAUUAACAUAAAUUUCUUCAUGUCCUAAUUAUUACGUGAAUGACCACUCAACCAGGUUAUGUUUAUCUACAAAACGCACAUGUAUAUGUAUAUAAUAAGAAAUAUGCUUAGCAUUCUGAUUAUGAUAGGCAUUUCUGAUAAGUAGAUCAUUAACAUCCACUUCCUGCUCUACUAUUAUUUGUCAAUAAGUAUUAUAGUGUAUGUUUGUUUGGUGGGAUUCAUACCAAUAUUUUGAUGAGCUUGAACUUUCUGCAUCUUACAAUAUCCUUCGACUUGGCAUAAUUAGUCUGGUUGCUAAAAGGUAGACCUUGAUCAGUCCAUCUGACAUAUCUACAUCAAGUAAUGAAUUGACAGGUACUGGUCAACAUAAGCGUGUAGCAGCAUUCCUGGACAAGGGCAGUGGACAUAAGAGAAGGAGAAUGUCUAAUGGGGCAGGUUGUAGUAGUACUAGAAAGGGAAAACAUGAACAUGGUUUAGCCAAUAUAAGCACGAAGACCAUGACAGCACCAUCUAUGUCCCAAAUGGUUGUUUUCCUGCCCUAAAAGGUAAUAUAGUUGUUACGGUGUACCAUAGCUAUUUCUAAUGCAUCGAUCAUUCAUCAACUUUACCUGUUCUUUUUUUAACUAAUUGACAAAUUGAUGUAUAGACGAAGCUGGGCAAUCUCAUUACAAGUUCAUCAACAAAAUAAUGGCAUUUCAUUCCUAUGCUCUGGACUGUCCCCACUAACACAUUUUGCCAAAAAUUACCAUUUUCAUUGCAGAUCUCAGUAAUUCUUUGCAUGGCACAUAAACAACGCACGCACACGCAAAAGAAACUUUAAAAUUCAUCUACAAGGAGUACUUUCUCCUCCUCAUGCUUUGCCAUCUUCGAGAGAGCUUGCUCCCUGAUGGCCUGACGGAUCAUCUGACACUGAUUCAUCCGAUCUCCACAUCCAAGGUGCUUGGAAAGGAGUCGGAGGUACUCCUCUACAGUGAUGUGCUUGCCAUCAGUGUCGGGGGCUCAGGAUGGUCGGGAUGCAAGGAGGGGGUUGGCGCAGUUUUUAGAGAGGCGAAUAAUUCCUCCACUUUGACAAACUGAAAUUUCAUAACAUCGACUUACUUUUAGAACAGUACCAGGCUUCACACAGAGGUAACCAGCACCACUUGGUUACUACUCCCUCCGUCCGAAAAUACUUGUCAUCAGACUGAAUAAAAAUGAAUGUAUCUACAACUAAUAUGCAUCUAGAUACAUCCCCAUUAAUUCAUUUUGAUGGCAAGUAUUUCCGGACUUAGGGUGUACGUGCAAAGCACGUGCAGUUUACUAGUAUAUAGUGGAGUGAUUUUGUUGUACCAGCUUCAAAAAAAUGCCCUCCUACGUGUACCCGCGAGUGGGUGUGAGAGAACUAGUGCGUGCGUGCACCGUUUCUCUUCGUGAGAGUACAAUAUACUAUGCCCAAAGAACGUUCGCCACAAGAGUAAAUAGUAUAAAUGUGUGACGCGUGAGCUAAAAUAAAUGUGCACGAUGUCUUUUGUUUUUUAGAAGUUCUGAGGGUAGGGUGUGAAGAGCACAUAUGUGUGUGACGUCUACCUGCAUAUAGACGGUGGGUGCGAGAGGACUCGGGAGAGUCGUGACUCGUGAGGGUGCAUGUGCGUGAGAGAGAGGGGGGGCACGUAUCAAUGCAAUGCAUGUGUCCGUAAAUCAUUAUCCGACAAACGUUCGCCACAAGCCUUUUCUCGACGAACGCUGUAAGAACCGUUAGAUCGGCAUCCGACAAUGUCAGUUUUGCCAUGUCAUUUAACAGAACAACCAGUCCUCCUACAUACAAAUCUUCCACGUGAGUGUUAGCAACUGUCAUAUGCUCCCUCUGUUCCAAAAUGCAGUGCAUAUAGCUUUAUUGAAAAUGCGAACCUCGCAAACUUUUACCGAGUUUUCGUGUACCAAAUUGCACAUGUAGAAUACCCAGUAUAUAUCAUUUCAUUCAUCUUCGAGAGGCAACUAUAAAGAUGGGGGAGGAGUCUACAAAGAAAGACCAUCGUAUCACCUACAGAAAUUUCAACCAUCCUUUGGUGGGGAGGAAUAUCAUAGGAACUCUAUGUGAUAUGAUUUUUAUAGGAUUUUUUCCUUUAGAGCCAAUUGGUUCAUAGGACUAGAUUCAUAUACUCCACAUUUCAAAGGAAAUAAACAUGAUAUCAUUUUUAUAGCUUUAGAGCCACUUGGUUCAUAUGAAUGGAUUCCUAUACUCCCAUAAUUUCAAAGGAAAAUAAACAUUAGCGUAUAUUCAAUAGAAAAGUUCUUAUGAUAUGAACCAAAUUACAUCUCUUUUCUAAUCCCUCCUCACAGGAAUUGAGAUACAUGUCAUCUCUAGAUUCAAUAGAAAAGUUCCUAUAAUGUGAACCAAAUGACAUCUCUUUUCCAAUCCCUACUCAUAGGAAUUGAGAUACUCCAUGUCAUCUCUUUCCCUACAACUUCCAUGUAUACAUCUUCUAUUCCUAAAUGGCUAGUACAACCCACCGGUAGCUUUUUUCCAAGACAUGCAACUAUGGCGCAAGAACUAUAUAGUGUGUGAAUAACUUUGAAAGAUGAUCGCUGGAUGAAGCUAAUCUGACAGUGCAGAGAUGGCAAAUCCAAGCACUACUGGCCGUUGGAUAUCAUUAACAUUCCACCAGAUAUGCCACAUGUACAAUUUCGAAGACGGCUGAACUUAAGCAUAAUGCACAAACCUCAAAACACAAGCACUUCUCCUUUGUUCUAGAAUCUUCCAUAUCAUAAUUGAAUUUUUUUUCUAAAUGAAUUGCCAUUAUUUGUUUUUUACUUUAUGCUUUACAAUGCACAACCCCAUGAAUCUUAACAUUUUUAUAAAACUAACUGAUUUUGAAUGAGAUGAACUAUAAGAACUAAACGAACAUCUCCAUCAUGCAUAUAUGACUCAAAGCUUUAUAUGCUAUAGUGUGUAUUUAUUCAAAUUUCGUUUCCAAAUCUCAUGCGUUCAAUGCAUGUGUACCUUACUAGUUUUGAGUAGAGUAGCAAAUUUCAUGCGACCCUGGGUAUAUCAAAAUGCGAGCCCAUGCAUCAUUGCCUUUCGGUCAAACCUACGUCCACAAUUUUUUGUAUGUACUAUAUCUCCACUGGUCCCCGAACCCAAAAUGAUGCCUCGUUCCCGUAAAACCAAGCGGCCUACACAUAUUUAAGGCAUCGACUCGAACUCAAUCCCUCUCCCGUUUACUAUGACGUGGCCCCGCAUGCCGUAGUAUUCCUGCAAACCUACCGCCUCACGCAUCAUCGGUUUUCUUUAAGAGGACGAGCGAGAAGCCGAUUUGUAGUGGAGGCGCUUUAAAAAAGGAUCUGUAGUGGAUACCCCUACCCUAGGGUGCCCUAGGUAGCUGCCACAUGCAUCAUUGGUUUUCUCUUUUCUUUAUGCUCUUGCGCCCUAGAGUGAAAUGAUGGUUGCUUUGUCCAUCCAGCUUAAUGCGGGAAAGGUGGGGCUUUGUGAUUUGACCCCUCAUCGCUCAUUUUCUACUACUGCGGCGCUACAACCGGGGUGCCUCCAAUUCCAACCGCUGCUCCGAACUAUAAUUUGGUGCAUCGCAUGUGGAACAAGACGGUGGAUGAGCCACAUGUCGUCCAAAGGGGUCCUGUUAAGUGUGUCGCCAUUUCAUGUGUGGACUGACCCUGCUUGAGUUGCUACGCUAACACGACAGGAGCAGCCUACCACUUGGUUUUGCUCCUUGGUGAAUCCCGACUAUAUUGAUUAAAAAGAUACAUACUAAAUCACCCUCUCGGUCUCGGGUUUUUUGGCGUCUCGGUUUAUAGUGCAUGCACGUAGUUCUAGAUCAUCCAUUUGACUAACUAAAUAUGACUUACUAUGUCACAAAAAGUAUAUCAUUGGAUUCUAAAGCGGAUGUAGUUUCUAAACAUAUAUUGUUCAUCACAUAUAUAGCCAGUUAAAUUCUCAACCUAGAACGACGUGCAUGCCAUGUAAACCUAUACGCAGGAAGUAGUAAAAAUGAGGUGAUUUUACCGAGCGAUCGGCGGGGGAGCAUGGCCUGUCAUGCGGUCCCACGUGUCAUGAUGUACCAAGGCGAUGCGCGUGUCCCUCUUGUGGCAGAAGCAAUACUACGUGGUUUCAGAUGAUGGCGAACCGAAGUGUGAAAUAAUGGUUGCUUCGUCCAUCUGGGAAGGUGCGGCAUUGUGAUUUGGCGUAUCAUUGCUCAUUACUACUACUGGGGCGGUACGACUGGGGUGUGUCCCCCUGCUGUUGUGCACUGUUAUUUGGUGCUUGACACGUCGACCCGGUUGCUAUAUGUCCCACAUGUCAGCGAGAGGAAGUAUAGAAUUCAUGAAAGCGAGCGUCAACAGAGGAGUACAAGACACAGCUUAGUUUUUGCUGCUUCGCGCGAUCCAUCGAUACAAACCCGGACUAAAAGAAGGCGAGGGUGGGUCUUUUCCCGCGCGGCAGGCAGGGGAGUUUGGCAUAGUCGGUUCGAGGCAAGGAGGAGGAAGGGAAACAAGCAAAUAAAGGUUGAGCGACUGUCGGAGUAAAUGACCACGGGUAGCCUAGCCGGCUCCCUUUGUGUCGGAGUAAAUGACCACGGGUAGCCUAGCCGGCUCCCUUUGGCCCUCAGAAAAAACAAUGGGCUGACCGAGCCCUGAAGCACCCAAGACACGGGGCCGCCUUCUUCCGGCCGGCUAUCGCAUAGGCCGGCUGGCGGAAGGCGGCCCGGCCAUAAAGAACCCUUGGAGGACGCCACGAUAGGGCCGACUCCAAGAAGCCGGCCCCUGAAGGACCGACUCCAAGAAGCCGGCCUUAGAGGAUCGACUCCAAGAAGCCGGCACCUGGCAGAAGGCCGUGGGCCGCACCCUAAAGUCCACCCCCAUAACGGUGAUAGGACAGGGCGUGGCUAUAGUGGACCCUGCCACCCCCAAAUCUCGGAACACGCAUGGCUACAGUACGCCGUACGGGGCGGCCAUCUCCUGUCCGACGAGGCACUGUUGCCAUGCAGAUCAUGACGCCAUCCAUGACGGGUCACCAGUACGGCCCGUAGGCGGCGGGCCCCUUCGGUCAGAGAGACAUCCGAAGGCGGCCUGACCUCCCCCAGCCGGCCUGAGGCCAGGCCGGCUUCCUAUAGCUGGCUUGCUCCCCUCCUCGGGGCGCGCGCACCAUUAAGCAGACAAGACGAGGUAAGGCUAUAGUGAGAGCCCGCAAGGCGGAGGCACUGUAGCCAUGCUUACCUCGACAAAGCCUUCGUCAUCAGAGGCGAGGCAACAGUAACCAGCCCCUGACAAGACCCCCCAAGCGGUGGGGCCAGCCUGUCGACCAAUGGGCCGACAGCCGGCGGGACCCACCAGUCGGCGGGCCCCAGUAGCCGGCGGAGAAGCCGGCGGUCGUAGACGCUGACGACCUAGACCCACGCCCAGCCGGAUUACCAUUGUACCCCAGGGGGUAGGCCUAUAUAAACCCCCCUGGACACCCAUGCAAAGGUUUGAUCUCAUAGAGUUUUAGACACUACCAUAGGGAGAUAAGAUAGCUAGCCUUGACCUUCUUCCUCCUCCCACCGAACAGCUCAAGGAGCCUCUUGUAGCUUCUUAUCGAUCUAGUGAUCAUGCGGAGACCCCGCAAAGCAGGAGUAGGGGUAUUAUCUCCAUGGAGAGCCCCCAACCUAGGUAAGAUCCGCCGGCGUGCAUGUCUUCGCCUUAUCCCGUUUCCAGGCACCGGCGAUGUCUUACUGGCUCCCACAAUGAUAAGCCAUCCGUUGGCAUAUGUCGCACCUACCACCCGACAUUUGGCGCCCACCGUGGGGCCAGGUGCACCGUCAUCCGGAGACCUGCUCUGGACGGGAACCCUUUUCCUCCCCAGCGAGCAUAGCUAGCUCGGCACGCCCGAUGGCGCUUGCCCUGACGCGCUGCAAAGCGUCGACGACGCCUGCGCAGCGAGCUGCCUCACCGACCUUCUUGGCGAGACUCACAUCUCCGAUGAACCCGCAUCCAACGCGGGCACAGGCUGCCCCGAAAGCCGCCUCGUCAGCCUCCUCGACCAACUCCACGUCUCCGGCGAGCCUACCGCGGACUUGGAGUCGGUCGGCUCCACCGACCCGAUGCUUGUCGACUCCGACAUAGCAUCGCUCGAUGCCUUCCCCACCAACAUGAUCAUCUUCGACGACCCUCUCCCUCGAGCCGACAGUGGCAGCAGCACCGUCACCGAAGUGCUAGUCAUCAGCCACGGCGUCACCUCCGACGAGAACGCCCGCAACGCCCUGCAGGCUACGCUGCACGAUCUGUCCGCCCCCAUCCCGGCGGACGCUGACGCUGAGACGCUGGAGGCACGCCGCCUUGCCCUCCUCGCGGAGGGCCAUAGGAUUGCCUCCAUGAGACGUCUCACGGAAGCCCACCAGCGCGAAGUCGUCCGUGCUGCCUUCGGCACGCCGCCUCUAGAAGGGCCAAGCCAAGUCGGCGUUGUCAAGAAACACAGUGCGGCCAUCGCCAGCAUGUUGGGAGCGGUCCGCCCAGUCUACGCCACGCCCCUCGAGAAUCUACACGUCGCCCAGUCGAUCAUAGACGAGCUAAACAGACUGGGGGCCGACGAGCUCCCCUACAUGACCAGACGCAUCCAACAGCUGAUCGACGCGGUCGCAGAGCGGCACGAAGCCGGCGUCCGAGCCGGAAGCCCCCCUCGUCGAGAGCACGGCGCGACGUCACGUGCACCGACUGCGGGUGGCGCCCGUACAAGACAAGAGAAGGAUCCGACUGCUAGCCGCAGCCGGACUCGAAUCACCAUCGAGCACGACGCAGAAGGCCGUCCCCAAGGUGUGGAAUGACGAGGCGACCCGCCUCCUCCUCCGCCUCGCGGGGAAAGAUAUCACACCCCGCCGCCUGUCGAGCAUCCGACUCUCAGCAGCCAACUUGGUCGCCGCGAAGGAGUCGGUGAGAAUGAUGCCCGCCAUCGGAUCGACCGCCUUGUGCGAUCCGUGGCCCUGGAAGAAGAAGAUGAUGUCGGCCCACCUUGUUUCGGCCCCCGCAUCCGCGACGAGCCCUUUCCCAAAGGGUUCUCGCUCCCAAGAGACACGUCCAAGUACAACGGCUCCUGAAGCUGGAAGAUUGGUUGAUCGACUACUCCACCGCAGUUCGCAUAGCAAACGGCAACAGACACGUUGCCGUGAAAUAUGUCCCCCUGAUGCUCCAAGGCACGGCGCGCACCUGGCACAACAGCCUCAAGCCUUACAGAAUCAACAGCUGGCUGGACUUCACUGAAGCCUUCAUACGCAACUUCACCAGCACCUACAAACGGGCUCCCAAGCCCCGACAGCUCUCUUGUGCAUACAAGGGCCCAACGAAUCAACCCGCGACUACCUCACGCGUUGGGCCGAGCUCCGCAACUCCUGUGAAGGGGUGCACGAGGUUCAAGCCAUAGAGCACUUCACCGCCGGGUGCCACGAGGGCACUCUCCUCAAGCACCGACUCCUCUGCGAUGAGCCAGCAACCCUCGACGAGCUACUGAUCAUCGCGGACAAGUAUGCCUCGGCCGACUCUUCAAUGAAGAUUGAGCUCCGGGUAGACGCCUCUAGAAAAGUGCUAGCGCCGGCUCCCAAGAUGCCGGUUGGAGAAUCAAACCGGCGCCCGUAUCAAAGCAACCACAAAUGCAAGGCCCCUAUGCCGCCUUCCACUAGCCGGCAGGUGGCUACGGUCGAAGAAGAGCAGCCUGAAGGACGGCCGGCUCCCAAAACACAGAAGGCGGCAGGCCGGCUUGGCAGCCGGCUUUCUCCUACGAGCAAACUCUCGAUGCCCCCUGCAAGUUCCACAGCGGCGCGAAGCCGUCCAACCACACAACUCGGAAGUGCCAUUGGCUCACCCGAAUCUCCAAGGGCGAGGGGUUGUUGCCGCCUCUGCCUGCAGGCCAGCAGCCUCCUGCCCCGCAGCAGCCGGCCGCUCGACCUGCAGUCGGAGCUAUCCAAGAUGAGUUCCCCGAUGAGCAAGCCGCCUACGAUGUGUUCACCAGCCAGGCAGAAGAUCGGCGCAGGUGGCAUCGACAGCAGCAAGAAGUCAACGCGGUCGCCUCCAGUAACCCCGAGUUUAUGCACUGGUCAGAGAAGCCCAUCAGCUGGAGCCAGGACGACCACCCAGAGGUGAUGCCGUCUCCUGGCUCCUAUGCCUUGGUUUUGGAUGCCACCCUGGCGACAGAAAGGCGUGCUACCCCUUUCUCCCGUGUGCUGAUAGAUGGCGGGAGCAGUAUCAAUAUACUGUACCGAGAUACAAUGGAAAAGCUCAACAUCAAGCCGAAGCAACUCAUGCCAAGCCGGACUGUGUUCCACGGCAUCGUACCCAGCCUGUCCUGCUCACCAAUCGGCCAGAUCAAGAUGGACGUCCUCUUUGGGGGCAAAGAUCAUUUCCGCCGAGAGGCAAUAUGGUUUGAGGUAGUGGAUUUGGAGAGCCCGUACCACGCAUUGCUUGGCCGACCAGCGUUGGCCAAGUUUAUGGCUGUGCCCCACUACGCCUACCUCAAGAUGAAGAUGCUGAGUUCCAAGGGCAUUAUCACCAUAGCCGGAGACUAUAAAAAGUCUUCUGAGUGUGCAGCAGCCAGCAGCCGGCUGGUCGAGUCCCUCGCGAUCGCCGAAGAGAAGAAGAUGCUGAAUCGAGUUGUGGCCUCGGCUGGCAAGCAGCCGGCCCUAUCUCCUGACCCCAAAGAAUGUGAAGCUCAAGGUUCUUUCUAGCCGGCCAAGGAGACAAAGAAGAUACCCCUGGACCCGGAAUACCCGGAGAGGCACGAUGUCAUAGGCACAGGCCUUGAUAGCAAAUAGGAAGGCGAGCUCGUCAAUUUCCUCUAUGAGAAUCGGGACGUCUUUGCAUGGUCUCCCAAAGACAUGCCGGGUGUUCCGACGGAUUUCGCCGAGCACAAGCUACACGUCUGACCUAACGUCAAGCCGGUCAGGCAGCCCUUGCACCGCCUUUAAGAAGAGAAGAGAAGAGUUGUCGGUGAAGAGAUAGCCCGGCUCCUAGCAGCCGGAUUUAUUAUGGAAGUGUUCUUUCCCGAAUGGUUGGCCAACCCAGUCUUAGUGUUGAAGAAAAACAAGCAAUGGCGCAUGUGCAUUGACUACACCAGCCUCAACAAAGCCUGCCCUAAAGAUCCAUUUGCCGUGCCAAGGAUUGACCAAGUGAUAGACUCCACAGCCGGAUGCGAGCUGUUGAGUUUCUUGGAUGCUUAUUCAGGCUACCACUAGAUAAAGUUGGACCCAGCUGAUCGCUUGAAGACCGCCUUCAUCACCCCAUUCGGAGCUUUCUGUUACCUGACCAUGACAUUCGGCUUGAGAAAUGCCGGUGCCACCUUUUAGCGUUGCAUGCAGAAAUGCCUCCUCAAGCAACUCGGUAGAAAUGCCCACGUCUACGUAGACGAUGUCAUGGUGAAGACGGAGAAGCAUGGCACCCUGCUGGAAAACCUCAAGGAGACCUUUGAGAAUUUGCGCCGGUUUCAGAUCAAGCUCAACCCGGAGAAGUGCAUGUUUGGGGUACCAGCUGGCCAGCUUCUAGGCUUCCUGGUCUCCGAACGCGGCAUCGAAUGCAACCUAGUGAAGAUCAAGGCCAUAGAGAGAAUGAAGAUCCCUACCAAGUUGCGAGACGUCCAAAAGUUCACUGGAUGCCUGGCGUCUUUGAACCACUUCAUCAGCCGGCUCGGAGAGAAGGCUCUCCCCCUCUACCGACUCAUGAAGAAGUCCACUCACUUUGAGUGGAAUGACCAGGCGGACCAAGCUUUCCACGAGCUAAAGAAGAUGCUGUCCACGCCGCCUGUCUUGGCGGCCCCAACUGAGAAGGAGCCCAUGUUCCUCUACAUUGCCGCCACCAGCCGGGUGGUCAGCACAGUCAUCAUGGUCCAGCGUCUAGAAGAAGGCCGAGCUCAUCCAGUCCAGAGGGCCGUAAUAUUAUUUGAGCGAAGUAUUGUCCACCUCAAAGCAGAACUACCCGCACUAUCAGAAAAUGUGCUAUGGUUAGUACUUCGCCUCCAAGAAACUCAAGCCCUACUUUCAAGAACAUCCCAUCACGGUCGUAUGCACUGCCCCGCUUGCCGAGAUCAUAGGCAGUCGGGACGCAUCCGGCCGAGUGGCGAAAUGGGCCAUUGCACUGGCUCCUUACACAAUCUACUAUCAGCCCCGCACCGCCAUCAAGUCCCAAGCAUUGGCCGACUUCCUCGUUGACUGGGCCGAGACCCAGUACCUGCCACCGGCCCCCGACACCACUCAUUGGCGGAUGCAUUUUGACGGAUCCAAGAUGCGCACCGGCUUGGGAGCCGACAUCGUCCUCACCUCUCCCAAGGGUGACAAACUCAGAUACACAUUGAAAAUCCACUUUGCCGCCUCCAACAAUGUGGCCGAGUACGAGGCGCUCAUACACGGGCUCUGGCUAGCCAAGGAACUUGGCAUCCGCCGGAUCUUGUGUUAUGGCGACUCGGGCUUGGUGGUUCAGCAAUCAUCUGGCGACUGGGACGCCAAGGACGCAAACAUGGAAAGCUACCGUUUCCUCGUUCAGCAGAUCAGUGGAUACUUUGAGGGGUGCACAUUCCUUCAGGUGCCACGGGCCGACAACGAACAAGCAGAUGCCCUGGCACGAGUAGGCUUUACCCAGCAAGCUAUACCAACUGGCGUCGCCCUCCAACGCCUCCUCAAGCCAUCUGUCAAGCCGUCUCUGGAAUCCAGUUCCAUCUUCGUGCCGCCUGACCCCGACGCAGUCGGAUCCCACUUCGGGGACCAGGCAGGCGGCCCGGGGACUUCGGCAGCCGGCUCGGGGACUGCCAUAGUCGAACCCGGCCCGGGGACUGCAGCAACACAGCAAGCGGAGGCCGACUCCAACUCCUCACAACCCAGCCCACCCACCCUGGUUGCAGUAGCCGUUUUGGCAAUCGAAGAAGUCAUAGCUCCAUCAUGGGCUCAGCCCAUCCUCCAUUUCCUGAUAAACGGAGAGCUGCCGACUGACGAGAUCUCGGCAAGACAAGUCCAACGCCGAGCCGGAGCUUACACAAUAAUGGACUGAGAGCUAGUUAGGCGCAGUGCUACCGGAGUCUUCCAGCGCUGCGUAGAGCCAGAGAAAGGCAUAGCAAUCCUUGAAGACAUCCACCAAGUCGAAUGCGGCCACCACACCGCCUCCAGGGCGCUCGUUGCCAAGGCCUUCCGCCAUGGAUUCUUCUGGCCGACUGCUUUGGAGGAUGCCAAGGAACUAGUCAAACACUACAAAGGGUUCCAAGUCUUCGGCUCCAAGCAACACCUGCCGGAUUCUGCACUCAAGACCAUCCCCAUCACUUGGCCUUUUGCCGUCUGGGGGCUGGACAUGGUCGGCCCAUUCAAGACGGCGCGCGACGGCAUGACACAUCUGCUUGUCGCCGUGGACAAAUUUACCAAGUGGAUUGAAGCAAAGCCGAUCAAGAAACUGAAUGGGCCAACUGCCGUGACAUUCAUUGCAGACAUUACAACCCGGUAUGGAGUACCACAUAGCAUCAUCACCGACAACGGCAUGAAUUUUGCCAAGGGAGCACUGGCACGUUUCUGCGUGACACAGGGCAUCCGACUGGACUUAGCGUCCGUUGCACACCCGCAGUCAAACGGACAAGUUGAGCGAGCAAACGGCCUCAUACUCUCCGGCAUCAAGCCCCGACUGGUCGUGCCACUGAAGCGUUCGGCCGGCUGCUGGCUCGACGAGCUGUCGGCCGUCCUCUGGAGUCUGCGCACUACCCCAAACAAGUCAACCGGCUUCACCCCCUUCUUCCUUGUAUAUGGUGCCGAGGCUGUCAUCCCAACUGACAUCGAGUUUGACUCACCUCGGGUCACCAUGUACACGGAGGCAGAGGCUAAGGAAGCACGAGCAGACGCCGUCGACUUGCUGGAAGAAAGCCGGCUGUUAGCCCUCAGCCGGUCCACCAUCUACCAGCAAGGUCUACGCCGUUACCACAGUCGGAGGGUCAAGCCAAGAUCUUUCCAGGAGGGAGACCUUGUGCUCCGGCUGAUAUAGCGAACAGCCGGCCAGCACAAGCCCUCGGCUCCUUGGGAAGGCCCCUUCGUCAUCAGCCGGGCUCUGGGAAACGACUCCUACUACCUAAUCGACGCGCAGAAGCCGAAGGCACGCAAGAGAAACGACUCCGGCAAGGAGUCGGAGCGCCCGUGGAACGCUAAUCUUCUACGAAGAUUUUAUGGUUGAAAUGCAGUAUGUAUCACGCUACCUUUUGUAUUAAGUAUGAGACAACGGGCUCCCCGAGGAGUUCUCGGGGACUACCCUAUUUUAUCUAUGUAUGCCGGGUAUCAUACCCAUGGUUACGCCACUACAUUCAUUUUCUCCGUCCGGCACCGGGUUCGACUAGUCGGCCCGGGGACUUGCCGCCUUGAGUUAUGUCCAAGUUCUACCUACAGUCAGACAAGUAAUGUGCCGGCACCCAAGCCCUCUCUUGCGAAAGUCACAACUCAAAGAAUCGGCUGCCCGACUAGCAAGAGCCAAAGGCGGAAAGGACGCCCACAUGAAAAACGGCUAAGGACAAACGAACUUACAUAACACAAGCCGGCUCCCCUCUCGCCAACCGGCUGUCGAAGCAGCCGGCUCCCCUCUCGCCAACCGGCUGUCGAAGCAGCCGGCUGGCCGGCUUCCCUUCCUACUCCGCUACAAUCUAAGAAAGCUUGAGUACUUGCCUUCCCAGACGGCUGAACUCCUUACCCGGCCACAGAUUGCAGAGCAGCUGUCCGGCUGGGAAGGCGGCAACCAAGGGAAGGCGGCAAAGGAAAAAAGCCGAGAGAUAAAAAGCAAGUAGGAAUGGAAGCCAAGCACAUGCAUAAUAAUAUUUACACAAAAGGCCUUCGAGAGGCCGGAAUUCAACGAAGUUUGAAUACACCCCCAGUGGCUGGAAUUGCGCAAAGAUAACAAAAUCUGUUCAAAGAGUGACAAGCAGGAAAGUAAAAAUAGCGAAUCAAGCCAAGGGAGCGCCCGGAGCGUCAGGAAGAUUGGUGGAGACGGCGAUGUCGGCUGGAGGAGUGGCCGGCUGGCGAGUCUCGGCCUGGUCGUUGCCGGUGGCAGGCGGAGCAUUCGCGCGUGCCUCGUUGCUGGAGGCACGGUCAGGCUGAGGCUGGCUGGCUGCUUCGACAUCCGGCACAGCGUCUUCUCCGUGUUCCUCCUCCUCCUCUUCGCCCUCGUCGUUGGAGUCAAUCUCCUCCACCGAGUCUUCACCAUCGGCCGGGUUCAGCCCGAACCAUUCCUCCAGCUGCGCGACGCCGUCCUCGUUCACCUCAGGAGCAAAGGCGCUGGUGUCGGUGAAGUCGGCGAUCGCCGAGGCGCGCUGGAUGAUAGCCGGCCGCACCGCCUCCAGCUCCUCAUCAGCCUCCUGCCGCUAGGUCGCAGCUGGUCCAAGUUCAGCCCAGGUUACCAAGCCCGGACGAACUCUAGCGCCCGUCGAGCGCCGGAUCGAGCUGCUGAAGCCUUCCAGGCCUCGAGGCGGCCGAAUGCUACCUCCAGCCAGUCGGCAGUACGGUUGGGGGUGCGAGGAAUUACUUCGCUAGGCCAAAGGGCGGCCAGCACCUGUGCUCCGGCACGUUGAAGCCGGCGGAGCAUGCGGUAGGCCGGUUGGAGGCGGGCCUGGAUCGCCAGAAGCUGCUCUUCAAGCGACCGGUUGGCAUCCGGUGCAAUCUCAACCCCAUCCUACCGUCGGGCCUCAUGGUGAGCUUCGAUGUCUUGGUUGGCAGCGAUGGAGUAGCCAGGAAAGUACUCUUCACAAAGAAGAAACAAACAGAGCAAGUCAGGAGAUAAACUGGCUUACAAGGACAAGCAAAAGAGUGAAGAAGAAGGCGGCCUACCGUCAACCAAAUCCUUGACUCGGCCGUAGCCUUCGCUCAGAGCUUUGCCUUGCCUCGGCCCAGCUCACCGCCUCGGUUUCGUAUUCGGCUUUGAGGGCGGCCUCGCUGUCCUGCGCCGCCUUCAGGGCCGCCUUUUGGCUUUCCUCCUGGUCGGCCAGUUUCUUGUCCAGGCGGUCACGCUCCUAAGCCAAGGCGCUGAACUCACCCUCCUUGGUGCGAAGGGCGGUCUAGGCCACACCCAGCUGCUGCCUCAAGUCAGCGUUGGCUCCUGCCAAUAUGGAAGGAAGAAAUUAAGAAAGAAUUCGGCAAGAAAGAUCCGAACCGACUGCUCAGCAGUCGGCCCGAAUCUCGGGGACUACACCCAGUGGGUGCGCUGACGCGCCCCCACAUGAGAUAAAAGGACAAAGACACUCACGGCGGCUCUCCCACAGAUCGGCGGCCUUUUGGUUCACCUCCCGGACCUGGGAGUUAAAGGUAGAGGCAUGGAGGUUGUGAUAAUCCUGCAAACAGGACGAAGAAGCGAGCAAGAACAAAUCAUUAAAACAAAGUCUUCGAAGAAGUUCCAAGCCGCCUGCUCAGCAGCCGACUCGGAACUCGGGGACUACACCCAGUGGGUGCGCUGACGCGCCCCCGCGGAAAAAAUCAAGAGCGAGAGAACUCACCCGAACGACCGCCCGUGUCGCAAGAAACUCUCGGGUACACUGCUUCAGCGCGGUGGCCCGAGCCUGAAGCCAGCUACGGACAUCUUGCGCCGCCAAGUUCAACGCGGUUAUCCCACCGCCUGACGUCCACCUUGGCGAGCUAACGGUGGCCGACUCCAGAUCAUGCGACAACGAGCUGGAACCGGCGGCCCCCUGCGGAUCCGGCUCUGAAGCCGCCUCCCCGCGCGCCGACGAGUCGGCGACAAGACCACAAGAUCCGCCCCUGCAGUCGGCUCUCCUCCAGCCGGCUGCUCAGGCGGCACCUCGGGCUGGCUGCCUUGGCCGGUCCCGGCCGACGGAGGGAGCACCACUUCUCCCUCCGGGACGACUACGUCGCCCCCCUCCCUCUCCAUCGCCGGCGGGUCAUGGCCGAUUUCCUCCAACGGGGGCACCAGGAUGUCCGGGGCCGCGGAGCGGAGGGGGAUGACGAGUUGCGGAGGCUGGCCGCGCAGGGCCUCCGCCGUCCUCUCUGCAGCCUCGGCCUCCGCCUGGGCCUUGGCUGCCGCGUCGGCCUCCGCCUCGGCCGACUCCGCCGUCGUCUCCUGGGCCGACUCGGCGGUGGCUGCCCUUCGCUCCUCCGCCUCCCGCUCCUCCCGCGCCUCCUGCACAUUCCGCUCCAUCGCCGCCUGAAGCUUGGCGCGGGGGUCUAUGCGGCGGGAACCCGCAGAUCCUCCCGCUCCGCCGACUAUGGAGGCGGCGGUAGUACGCUCAAGAGAGAGCGGGGCCCUGGUUGACGAAAUGGAGAAAGGACUUAGAAGAACAUCAACUAAAGAAAGAAAGAAAAGUGCGUAAGGACCAGAACUUACGCCGAGACCGCCUGCGGCUGCUUCACCACUUUGCGGAAGCGGGCCGCCUUCGCGGCCGCCUCGUUCCGCUUGGUCACAGCUGCGGAUCCCUUGGGCUUCUUCGGCCAGACACCGAAGAGAGUCGGCGCCGCCCGACGCUUCUACGCGCCGCCUCGUGCGGUCGGCCCGCCGGACGGGCCGCCGCCUUGGGGGUCGGUCGCCGACUGGCGGCGCGGAAUGGGAUCGGCCUCAUCAUCGUCGGGCCAGUCCUCAAAGCCGGCGGUGAAGCCGGAGCCGCCUGUCUCGCCACCUCCCCCAACGGCAUCGUCGUCCAGGGCGGCCGCCACCAAGUCGGGGUCAUCAAGGUCGUCCGCCUCGCGGUCGGGGGUGAAUCGCGCUCCGGCCCUGCGGUCCCGGUCGAAGGAUGAACAAGGGGGUUCUGAUUGAAGACAAGCCGACUGGUCAAGAGCCGACCAGAAAGAACUCGGCAACAAGAAAGGAAGAAAGGAAAGAAAGGCUUACCACGGGCGGGGGGUUGGCACGAGAGUAUGGUUCCUUGCCAUACUGCCACUCCUCGGUGAGCUUGCAGUUGGCGAUGUGGUUCACCAGGUAAGAUACCUCAUCGUGAGGCAUCUCUCUGGUGCUGAGCCGGCUGGGGUCGAAGCGGCCGCUCAUCUGACAGAUCAGAUGAGGGCGGCCUUGAAGCGGAAGUACUCGGCACUCGACGAAGGCGGCAAUCAAGUCGGGCCAGGUCAGGCGCUCCGACUAGAUCAGAACCCGAAGCCGGGCGAUGGCACCAGCUCCAGCCGGCGUCAGCGACCUGGCCCGGAAGGACCAUGAAGGCUGCCUCCCAGGCGGCGGGCCGACUACGUAAGCCGGCAAGUUGACGUAGUCGCCGUUCGGCGCGACGUUCUUCACGUAGAAAUAAGACCGUUGCCAGAGCUUCACCGACUGGAUCAGCGCGAUAGGAGGGAAUGGGUUGUCGGCGGUGGACCUCCUCAUGGCGAUGAAGGCGCCGCACGGAGCCGGCACGCCUGCGAUGACCGUGCCGAGCUUGGAUUGGAACACUCCCCCAGAGCUCGAUGGGGGGGAGGACACCGAGGAAACCUUCGCACAAGGUGACGAAGGCCGAUAGCAGCAGCACCGUGUUGGGGGUGAGGUGGUGCGGCUGGAGAUGAUAGAAGUCGAGAAACACGCGGAAGAAGCCGCUCGCGGGGAGACCGACGCUGUGCAGGCAAUGCGAGUAGAAGAUCACUCACUCGCCUUCCUCCGGCGCCGGCGAAACCUCCGUCGCUAGCGCGAGGCGGACCCGCACAAGAUCUUCGCCCGACAGCCGCCGAGUCUUGUGGAGAAAAUCGAUGUGGUCGUCACGGACGGUGGAGCUGUCCCAGGAGCUCCACGUCGGAGCCAUGACGGUGAACGCGGCGGCGGAAAGCGCUCGGCGCGGAGGCAGCGAGCUUGUGGCAUGCUGGAAAGAAGAGAGAGUGGUGGAGCAGAAGCACGGCGAAGCGCUACCGCAAUGAAGAAGAAGAGGGAGGAGGCAGAGUAAGGGCGAGCAUGCAAACGACUGCCGCUCCCCCUUCCCGCCCCUACUUAUAGCCUCGCGCGGCGAAGCCGAGGAGGCGAGGCGUGGGGGGCAUGGGAUUAACUGCGCCCACUCCCCCACGACCCGCGAUUAUCGCGCCUUUAUGGUGAGUGGGAACCGCCGCCGGAAGACGUGUGGUCGGUUCGGGCCACAGAAGAUCCACGCGCGGGCCGAGGCGCGGAAGUGGCAGGCCCCGGCCUGCGGCGGCGUCCUGUCACACGCGUGGGCUGGCAGACCCUUCCAGCCGAAGGGUGCCACAUGGCGCGCGGUCAGCCCGCCGCCUGGCCAGCGCGCCAGCUGGUUCCCGCCUUCGGAUUUCGAGGAGGCGUCGCCGAGAAGGCACGCACAAGGGAGGCCGGCUCCUAGCUGCCGGCUAUUCGGAUAGGAAGUUGGCCGAGCUUCUCGAUUCCCCCUUCAGCCGCGAAGCCCAACCAGCUUCGGGGACUACUGUCGGAGUAAAUGACCACGGGUAGCCUAGCCGGCUCCCUUUGGCCCUCAGAAAAAACAAUGGGCCGACCGAGCUUUGAAGCACCCAAGACACGGGGCCGCCUUCUUCCGGCCGGCUAUCACAUAGGCCGGCUGGCGGAAGGCGGCCCGGCCAUAAAGAGCCCUUGGAGGACACCACGAUAGGGCCGACUCUAAGAAGCCGGCCCCUGAUGGACCGACUCCAAGAAGCCGGCCCCUGGCAGACGGCCGUGUGCCGCACCCUAAAGUCCACCCCCCAUAACGGUGACGGGACAGGGCGUGGCUACAGUGGACCCUGCCACCCCCGAAUCCCAGAACAUGCACGGCUACAGUACGCCAUACGGGGCGGCCAUCUCCUGUCCAGCGAGGCACUGUUGCCAUGCAGAUCAUGACGCCAUCCACGACGGGUCGCCAGUACGGCCCGUAGGCGGCGGGCCCCUGUUGGAAAUAUGCCCUAGAGGCAAUAAUAAAAGUAUUAUUAUAUUUCAUUGUUCAUGAUAAUUGUCUUGUAUUCAUGCUAUAACUGUAUUAUCCGGAAAUCGUAAUACACGUGUGAAUACUUAGACCACACUAUGUCCCUGGUAAGCCUCUAGUUGACCAGCUCGUUGUGAUCAACAGAUAGUCAUGGUUUCCUGACUAUGGACAUUGGAUGUCAUUGAUAACGGGAUCACAUCAUUAGGAGAAUGAUGUGAUGGACAAGACCCAAUCCUAAGCAUAGCAUAAAAGAUCGUGUAGUUCGUUUUGCUAGAGCUUUGCAAGUGUCAAGUAUCUCUUCCUUCGACCAUGAGAUCGUGUAACUCCCGGAUACCGUAAGAAUGCCUUGGGUGUACCAAACGUCACAACGUAACUGGGUGACUAUAAAGGUACAUUACAGGUAUCUCCGAAAGUAGCUGUUGGGUUGACACGGAUCGAGACUGGGAUUUGUCACUCCGUAUGACGGAGAGGUAUCUCUGGGCCCACUCGGUAAUGCAUCAUCAUAAUGAGCUCAAUGUGACCAAGGUGUUGGACACGGGAUCAUGCAUUACGGCACGAGUAAAGUGACUUGCCGGUAACGAGACUGAACAAGGUAUUGGGAUGCCAACGAUCGAGUCUCGGGCAAGUAACGUACCGAUUGACAAAGGGAAUUGCAUACAGGGUUUUGAUCGAAUCCUCGACAUAGUGGUUCAUCCGAUGACAACAUCGAGGAGCAUGUGGGAGCCAUCAUGGGUAUCCAGAUCCCGCUGAUGGUUAUUGACUAAGAGAGUCUCGGUCAUGUCUACAUGUCUCCCGAACCCGUAGGGUCUACACACUUAAGGUUCAGUCACGCUAGGGUUGUAGGGAUAUGUAUAUGCAGUAACCCGAAUGUUGUUCGGAGUCCCGGAUGAGAUCCCGGACGUCACGAGGAGUUCCGGAAUGGUCCGGAGGUAAAUAUUUAUAUAUGGGAAGUCCUGUUUCGGGCAUCGGGACAAGUUUCGGGGUUAUCGGUAUUGUACCGGGACCACCGGAGGGGUCCCGGGGGCCCACCGGGUGGGGCCACCCAUCCCCGGGGGCCACAUGGGCUGUAGGGGGUGCGCCUUGGCCUACAUGGGCCAAGGGCACCAGCCCCACAAGGCCCAUGCGCCUAGGGUUCCAAAGGGGGAGGAGUCCUACUAGUGGAAGGCACCUCCUAGGUGCCUUGGGGGGGAGGGAAAACCCCCUAGGCCGCCGCACCCCCUAGGAGAUUGGAUCUCCUAGGGCCGGCCACCCCCCCUUGGCACCCCUAUAUAUAGUGGGGGGAGAGGAGGGACUUCAUACCUUGUGCCCUGGCCUUUGGUUGCCUCCUUCUCCCUCCCCAACACCUCCUCCAACUCCAUAGCGCUUAGCGAAGCUCUGCCGGAGUACUGCAGCUCCACCAACACCACGCCGUCGUGCUGCUGCUGGUGCCAUCUCCCUCAACCUCUCCUCCCUUCCUUGCUGGAUCAAGAAGGAGGAGACGUGGCUGAUCCGUACGUGUGUUGAACGCGGAGGUGCCGUCCGUUCGGCGCAGGUCAUCGGUGAUUUGGAUCACGUCGAGUACGACUACAUCAUCACCUUGCAAGCUUCCGCACGCGAUCUACAAGUGGUAUGUAGAUGCAAACUCUCUCCCUAGACUCGUUGCUUAGAUGAACUCAUAGAUGGAUCUUGGUGAAACCGUAGGAAAAAAUUUAAUUUUCUGCAACGUUCCCCAACAGUGGCAUCAUGAGCUAGGUUUAUGCGUAGUUCUCUUUGCACGAGUAGAACACAACUUUGUUGUGGGCGUGGAUUUUGUCAUCUUACUUGCCUCUACUAGUCUUUUCUUGCUCAACGGUAUUGUGGGAUGAAGCGGCCCGGACCAACCUUACACGUACACUUACGUGAGACCGGUUCCACCGACUGACAUGCACAAGUUGCAUACGGUGGCUGGCGGGUGUCUGUCUCUCCCACCUUAGUUGGAGCGGAAUCGAUGAACAGGGCCCUUAUGAAGGGUAAAUAGAAGUUGACAAAAUCACGUUGUGGUGAUUAGUAGGUAAGAAAACGUUCUUGCUAGAACCCAAUUGCAGCCACGUAAAAGAUGCAACAACAAUUAGAGGACGUCUAACUUGUUUUUGCAGCGAUUGAUCAUGUGAUGUGAUAUGGCCAGAAGUUGUGAUGAAUGAUGAAUUGUGAUGUAUGAGAUCAUGUUCUUUGUAAUAGGAUUCACGACUUGCAUGUCGAUGAGUAUGACAACCGGCAGGAGCCAUAGGAGUUGUCAUUAUUUUUUGUAUGACCUGCGUGUCAUUGAAUAACGUCAUGUAAACUACUUUACUUUAUUGCUAAACGUUAGUCAUAGAAGUAGAAGUAGUCGUUGGCGUGACAACUUCAUGAAGACACGAUGAUGGAGAUCAUGAUGAUGGAGAUCAUGGUGUCAAGCCGGUGACAAGAUGAUCAUGGAGACCCGAAGAUGAAGAUCAAUGGAGCUAUAUGAUAUUGGCCAUAUCAUGUCACAACUAUAUAAUUGCAUGUGAUGUUUAUUAUGUAUUAUGCAUCUUGUUUACUUAGGACGACGGUAGUAAAUAAGAUGAUCCCUUAUAAAAUUUCAAGAAGUGUUCUCCCCUAACUGUGCACCGUUGCUACAGUUCGUCGUUUCUAAGCACCACGUGAUGAUCGGGUGUGAUGGAUUCUUACGUUCACAUACAACGGGUGUAAGACAGUUUUACACAGCGAAAACACUUAGGGUUAACUUGACAAGCCUAGCAUGUGCAGACAUGGCCUCGGAACACGGAGACCGAAAGGUCGAACACGAGUCGUAUGGAAGAUACGAUCAACAUGAAAAUGUUCACCGAUGAUGACUAGUCCGUCUCACGUGAUGAUCGGACACGGACUAGUCGACUCGGAUCGUGUAACACUUAGAUGACCAAAGGGAUGUCUAAUCUAAGUGGGAGUUCAUAAUUUGAUUAGAACUUUAUUAUCAUGAACUUAGUCUAAAACCUUUGCAAAUAUGUCUUGUAGAUCAAUGGCCAACGCUAAUGUCAACAUGAACUUCAACGCGUUCCUAGAGAAAACCAAGCUGAAAGAUGAUGGCAGCAACUAUACGGACUGGGUCCGGAACCUGAGGAUCAUCCUCAUAGCUGCCAGGAAACAAUAUGUCCUAGAAGGACCGCUAGGUGACGCUCCCGUCCCAGAGAACCAAGACAUUAUGAAUGCUUGGCAGUCUCGCGCUGAUGAUUACUCCCUCGUUCAGUGCGGCAUGCUUUACAGCUUAGAACCGGGGCUCCAAAAACGUUUUGAGCAUCACGGAGCAUAUGAGAUGUUCGAAGAGCUGAAACUAGUUUUUCAAGCUCAUGCCCGGGUCGAGAGAUAUGAUGUCUCCGACAAGUUCUACAGUUGUAAGAUGGAGGAAAACAGUUCUGUCAGUGAGCACAUCCUGAAGAUGUCUGGGUUGCACAACCGUAUGACCCAGCUAAACAUUAACCUCCCAGAUGAGGCGGUCAUUGACAGAAUCCUCCAGUCGCUCUCACCAAGCUACAAGAGCUUUGUGAUGAACUACAACAUGCAAGGAAUGGAAAAGACCAUUCCUGAAUUGUUCUCGAUGCUGAAGUCAGCAGAGGCUGAAAUCAAGAAAGAACAUCAAGUGUUGAUGGUCAAUAAGACCACUAAGUUCAAGAAGGGCAAGGGUAAGAAGAACUUCAAGAAGGACGGCAAAGAUGUUGCCGCGCCUGGUAAGCCAGUUACCGGGAAGAAGUCAAAGAAUGGACCCAAGCCUGAGACUGAGUGCUUUUAUUGCAAGGGGAAGGGUCACUGGAAGCGGAACUGCCCCAAAUACUUAGCGGAUAAGAAGGCCGGCAACACCAAAGGUAUAUUUGAUAUACAUGUGAUUAAUGUGUACCUUACCAGUAAUCGUAGUAACUCCUGGGUAUUUGAUACCGGUGCCGUUGCUCAUAUUUGUAACUCACAGCAGGAGCUGCGGAAUAAACGGAGACUGGCAAAGGACGAGGUGACGAUGCGCGUCGGGAAUGGUUCCAAAGUCGAUGUGAUCGCCGUCGGCACGCUGCCUCUACAUUUACCUACGGGAUUAGUUUUGAACCUCAAUAAUUGUUAUUUAGUGCCAAGUUUGAGCAUGAACAUUGUAUCUGGAUCUCGUUUAAUACGAGAUGGCUACUCAUUUAAGUCUGAGAAUAAUGGUUGUUCGAUUUAUAUGAGAGAUAUGUUUUAUGGUCAUGCUCCGAUGGUCAAUGGUUUAUUCUUAAUGAAUCUCGAGCGUAAUAUUACACAUGUUCAUAGUGUAGAUGCCAAAAGAUUUAAAGUUGAUAACGAUAGUCCCACAUACUUGUGGCACUGCCGCCUUGGUCACAUUGGUGUCAAGCGCAUGAAGAAGCUCCAUGCAGAUGGACUUUUAGAGUCUCUUGAUUAUGAAUCAUUUGACACGUGCGAACCAUGCCUCUUAGGUAAAAUGACCAAGACUCCGUUCUCCGAAACAAUGGAGCGAGCAACCAACUUGUUGGAAAUCAUACAUACCGAUGUGUGCGGUCCAAUGAGCGUUGAGGCUCGCGGAGGAUAUCGUUAUGUUCUCACUCUCACAGAUGACUUGAGUAGAUAUGGGUAUGUCUACUUAAUGAAACACAAGUCUGAGACUUUUGAAAAGUUCAAGGAAUUUCAGAAUGAGGUGGAGAAUCAACGUGACCGAAAGAUAAAAUUCUUACGAUCAGAUCAUGGAGGAGAAUACUUAAGUCACGAAUUUGGUACACACUUAAAGAAAUGUGGAAUCGUUUCACAGCUCACGCCGCCUGGAACACCUCAGCGAAACGGUGUGUCCGAACGUCGUAAUCGCACUCUAUUGGAUAUGGUGCGGUCUAUGAUGUCUCUUACCGAUUUACCGCUAUCAUUUUGGGGAUACGCUCUAGAGACAGCUACAUUCACUUUAAAUAGGGCACCGUCUAAAUCCGUUGAGACGACACCGUAUGAAUUAUGGUUUGGAAAGAAACCUAAGCUGUCGUUUCUAAAAGUUUGGGGAUGCGAAGCUUAUGUCAAGAAACUUCAACCUGAAAAGCUCGAACCCAAGUCGGAAAAAUGCGUAUUCAUAGGAUACCCUAAGGAAACUAUAGGGUAUACCUUCUACUUAAGAUCCGAAGGCAAGAUCUUUGUUGCCAAGAACGGGUGCUUUCUGGAAAAAGAGUUUCUCUCGAAAGAAGUAAGUAGGAGGAAAGUAGAACUCGAUGAAGUACUACCUCUUGAGCGGGAUAGUGACGCAGCACAGGAAACCAUUCCUGUGAUGCCCACACCAACUGAAGAGGAAAACCAUGAUAAUGAUCAAGGUACUUCGGAUCAAGUUACUGCUGAACUUCGUAGGUCCACAAGGACACGUUCCGCACCAGAGUGGUACGGCAACCCUGUCCUGGAAAUCAUGUUGUUAGACAACAAUGAACCUUCGAACUAUGAAGAAGCAAUGACGGGCCCAGAUUCCAACAAAUGGCUUGAAGCCAUGAAAUCCGAGAUAGAAUCCAUGUAUGAAAACAAAGUAUGGACUUUGACAGACUUGCCCGAUGAUCGGCGAGCGAUAGAAAACAAAUGGAUCUUUAAGAAGAAGACGGACGCGGAUGGUAAUGUUACCAUCUAUAAAGCUCGACUUGUCGCUAAGGGUUAUCGACAGGUUCAAGGGAUUGACUACGACGAGACAUUCUCUCCCGUAGCGAAGCUAAAGUCCGUCCGAAUCAUGUUAGCAAUUGCCGCAUACUAUGAUUAUGAGAUAUGGCAGAUGGACGUCAAAACAGCAUUCCUUAACGGGCAUCUUAAGGAAGAACUGUAUAUGAUACAGCCGGAAGGUUUUUUCGAUCCUCAGAACGCUAACAAAGUAUGCAAGCUCCAGCGAUCCAUUUAUGGACUGGUGCAAGCAUCUCGGAGUUGGAACAUUCGCUUUGAUGAGAUGAUCAAAGCGUUUGGGUUUAUGCAGACUUAUGGAGAAGCCUGCGUUUACAAGAAAGUGAGUGGGAGCUCUGUAGCAUUUCUCAUAUUAUAUGUAGAUGACAUACUCCUGAUGGGAAAUAAUAUAGAAUUUCUGGACAGCAUUAAGGCCUACUUGAAUAAGUGUUUUUCAAUGAAGGACCUUGGAGAAGCUGCUUAUAUAUUAGGCAUCAAGAUCUAUAGAGAUAGAUCGAGACGCCUCAUAGGUCUUUCACAAAGUACAUACCUUGAUAAGAUUUUGAAGAGAUUCAGAAUGGAUCAGUCCAAGAAGGGGUUCUUGCCUAUGUUACAAGGUAUGAGACUGAGCUCAGCUCAGUCACCGACCACGGCAAAAGAUAAAGAAGAGAUGAGUGUCAUCCCCUAUGCUUCAGCCAUAGGAUCUAUUAUGUAUGCCAUGCUGUGUACCAGACCCGAUGUAAACCUUGCCGUAAGUUUGGUAGCAAGAUACCAAAGUAAUCCCGGCAAGGAACACUGGACAGCGGUCAAGAAUAUCCUGAAGUACCUGAAAAGGACAAACGACAUGUUUCUCGUUUAUGGAGGAGACGAAGAGCUCGUCGUAAAGGGUUACGUCGACGCUAGCUUCGACUCAGAUCCGGAUGACUCUAAGUCACAAACCAGAUACGUGUAUAUAUUGAAUGGUGGAGCAGUAAGCUGGUGCAGCUGCAAGCAGAGCGUCGUGGCGGGAUCUACGUGUGAAGCGGAGUACAUGGCAGCCUCGGAGGCAGCACAUGAAGCGAUUUGGGUGAAGGAGUUCAUCACCGACCUAGGAGUCAUACCCAAUGCGUCGGGGCCGAUCAAACUCUUCUGUGACAACACUGGAGCUAUUGCCCUCGCAAAGGAGCCCAGGUUUCACAAGAAGACCAGGCACAUCAAGCGUCGUUUCAACUCCAUCCGUGAAAAUGUUCAAGAUGGAGACAUAGAGAUUUGCAAAGUACACACGGAUCUGAAUGUCGCAGAUCCGCUGACUAAACCUCUCUCGCGUGCAAAACAUGAUCAACACCAGAACUCUAUGGGUGUUCGAUUCAUCACAAUGUAACUAGAUUAGUGACUCUAGUGCAAGUGGGAGACUGUUGGAAAUAUGCCCUAGAGGCAAUAAUAAAAGUAUUAUUAUAUUUCAUUGUUCAUGAUAAUUGUCUUGUAUUCAUGCUAUAACUGUAUUAUCCGGAAAUCUUAAUACACGUGUGAAUACUUAGACCACACUGUGUCCCUGGUAAGCCUCUAGUUGACCAGCUCGUUGUGAUCAACAGAUAGUCAUGGUUUCCUGACUAUGGACAUUGGAUGUAGUUGAUAACGGGAUCACAUCAUUAGGAGAAUGAUGUGAUGGACAAGACCCAAUCCUAAGCAUAGCAUAAAAGAUCGUGUAGUUCGUUUUGCUAGAGCUUUGCAAGUGUCAAGUAUCUCUUCCUUCGACCAUGAGAUCGUGUAACUCCCGGAUACCGUAAGAAUGCCUUGGGUGUACCAAACGUCACAACGUAACUGGGUGACUAUAAAGGUACAUUACAGGUAUCUCCGAAAGUAGCUGUUGGGUUGACACGGAUCGAGACUGGGAUUUGUCACUCCGUAUGACGGAGAGGUAUCUCUGGGCCCACUCGGUAAUGCAUCAUCAUAAUGAGCUCAAUGUGACCAAGGUGUUGGACACGGGAUCAUGCAUUACGGCACGAGUAAAGUGACUUGCCGGUAACGAGACUGAACAAGGUAUUGGGAUACCGACGAUCGAGUCUCGGGCAAGUAACGUACCGAUUGACAAAGGGAAUUGCAUACAGGGUUUUGAUCGAAUCCUCGACAUAGUGGUUCAUCCGAUGACAACAUCGAGGAGCAUGUCGGAGCCAUCAUGGGUAUCCAGAUCCCGCUGAUGGUUAUUGACUAAGAGAGUCUCGGUCAUGUCUACAUGUCUCCCGAACCCGUAGGGUCUACACACUUAAGGUUCAGUCACGCUAGGGUUGUAGGGAUAUGUAUAUGCAGUAACCCGAAUGUUGUUCGGAGUCCCGGAUGAGAUCCCGGACGUCACGAGGAGUUCCGGAAUGGUCCGGAGGUAAAGAUUUAUAUAUGGGAAGUCCUGUUUCGGGCAUCGGGACAAGUUUCGGGGUUAUCGGUAUUGUACCGGGACCACCGGAGGGGUCCCGGGGGCCCACCGGGUGGGGCCACCCAUCCCCGGGGGCCACAUGGGCUGUAGGGGGUGCGCCUUGGCCUACAUGGGCCAAGGGCACCAGCCCCACAAGGCCCAUGCGCCUAGGGUUCCAAAGGGGGAGGAGUCCUACUAGUGGAAGGCACCUCCUAGGUGCCUUGGGGGGGAGGGAAAACCCCCUAGGCCGCCGCACCCCCUAGGAGAUUGGAUCUCCUAGGGCCGGCCACCCCCCCUUGGCACCCCUAUAUAUAGUGGGGGGAGAGGAGGGACUUCAUACCUUGUGCCCUGGCCUUUGGUUGCCUCCUUCUCCCUCCCCAACACCUCCUCCAACUCCAUAGCGCUUAGCGAAGCUCUGCCGGAGUACUGCAGCUCCACCAACACCACGCCGUCGUGCUGCUGCUGGUGCCAUCUCCCUCAACCUCUCCUCCCUUCCUUGCUGGAUCAAGAAGGAGGAGACGUGGCUGAUCCGUACGUGUGUUGAACGCGGAGGUGCCGUCCGUUCGGCGCAGGUCAUCGGUGAUUUGGAUCACGUCGAGUACGACUACAUCAUCACCUUGCAAGCUUCCGCACGCGAUCUACAAGUGGUAUGUAGAUGCAAACUCUCUCCCUAGACUCGUUGCUUAGAUGAACUCAUAGAUGGAUCUUGGUGAAACCGUAGGAAAAAUUUUAAUUUUCUGCAACGUUCCCCAACAGCCCCUUCGGUCAGAGAGACAUCCGAAGGCGGCCUGACCUCCCCCAGCCGGCCUGAGGCCAGGCCGGCUUCCUAUAGCCGGCUUGCUCCCCUCCUCGGGGCGCACGCACCAUUAAGCAGACAAGACGAGGUAAGGCUACAGUGAGAGCCCGCAAGGCGGCGACACUGUAGCCAUGCUUACCUCGACAAAGCCCUCGUCAUCAGGGGCGAGGCAACAGUAACCAGCCCCCGACAAGAUCCCCCAAGCGGUGGGGCCGGCCUGUCGACCAAUGGGCCGGCAGCCGGCGGGACCCACCAGUCGGCGGGCCCCAGUAGCCGGCGGAGAAGCCGGCGGUCGUAGACGCUGACGGCCUGGACUCACGCCCAGCCGGAUUACCAUUGUACCCGGGGGGUAGGCCUAUAUAAACCCCCCGGGACACCCAUGCAAAGGAUUGAUCUCAUAGAGUUUUAGACACUACCAUAGGGAGAGAAGAGAGCUAGCCUUGCCCUUCUUCCUCCUCCCACCGAACAGCUCAAGGAGCCUCUUGUAGCUUCUUAUCGAUCUAGUGAUCAUGCGGAGACCCCGCAAAGCAGGAGUAGGGGUAUUAUCUCCACGGAGAGCCCCCAACCUGGGUAAGAUCCGCCGGCGUGCAUGUCUUCGCCUUAUCCCGUUUCCAGGCACCGGCGAUGUCUUACUGGCUCCCACAAUGAUAAGCCAUCCGUUGGCAUAUGUCGCACCUGCCACCCGACAGCGACUUAGUUUUGGGGAAAUCUUAUUUUACGAAGUACGUACCCACUAGGGUUUAUAGGGCACAUCUAAAAAACAUUCAUUUUUCUGUUUUAUAAGUCUCAAUUCUACUACUACUAGUAGUAGUAGUAGUACCAUCACAUGUUGGAUUUCGAGGUGCGUUAGAUCACCCGAUGCAAGCAGUGUCAAGAGAAAACUCACCAAUGCAUGUAGAAGUUCAUGGAAAUUAGUGGGCAUUCAUGCAUUCGUUCUAACUAAUGCCUCGGUAAACAUAAUUUCUUGAGAAAAACGAGCGUACUAAUUACUUGUGCAAACUACGAAAUUAAUUCCACCACUCACCGUCUACCUUGGUUGGAGAGAUUUUGAAAUUGAGCCAUAAACUAGAAAGGAGGGAGUAGUAACUUUUGUCUCGAUUACUAUUUUUGGCCUUGUAUAGAUGCAAAAUGUAUUUUUUAUAGUGGCCUUGUAUAAGUAAAUGGAGGGAGUACUAAAUGACAUAUAUAUUCCAAACAAUAUGAUAAUCUCUCUAACCAAGGUAGGGACGAGGAGUAAACGGAGGGAGUAGUAAAAUUUUCUCCUCGUCCUGUGAGCCACCGCGCGCGUGGGCGAGUGAGCGGGUGUAAGGCGUACAAUACUAGGAGUACUAGUAAGCAAGCUUCACCUCAUCCUGUGAGCCACCACGCCCAUGGGCGGGGGAGACGGCGUACUAAGCAAGCUUCUCCUUGUUCUGCGAGUUGACGGGACACAUCGAAAGAACUCCAGUGUAUAGAACCUUGCCUCUAAGGUAGGCCCCACAUGGUUUGCCUCUUUUUUAACAUAACGCAUCAAGUUGAAAUUUGUUUGUUCACUCGUGGUAGACGAUCCUCCCUCCAUCAAGUGGACAACCAGUACACGUGUCAAAUUACCACGUGGGCUGCCUUUUCAUAUAGAAAUGAGCUCCACCGUGUACCCGUGCGGGUGUGGUUGGGAAAGAGACGGGAGUACGUGCACCGUGCGUGUACCUCUUCUCUUCGUGCACGUCCCCCACCUACGUGGGUGUGUGAUAGAGAGAUACAGACCUAGACAUAAUGCGCCAUCCAUCCCCAUGCCUCCGCCCAGUCCGACCACCAGUCACCACCACGCGCCACUCCUCCUCACCUUAUCUCUCAUCUUUCUCCCUCCAUUUUUAUAUACAAGGCCACUAUCAAUAUUUACAAUUUGCAGAUAUACAAGGUCACUAACACUAAUCGACGCAAUAUUAAUGGUGUUUGCCUCAUAGUACUAGCAAAGGAGGACAUUAAUUAUCCCGUGCAUGCAUGUGGGAGUGUGAGCAUUGGCUUGAUGUGCAUGAAAGAGAAGAAUACACAUUAAUUUACACGGCAAUCAAGGAAACAAGGUGGAUUGCAACAUUGACUUAGAAGACAUUAAUUUUUGCCUUGGUACCUGUAAUAUGGGUUCGUGGCCUUGUAUACAAAAAUGGAGUCCGGUAAAAUUCUCAAGAUACCAUUUUUCCGAUAAAAUUCUCGAGAUAUCAUUAGUUUUUACAAAUGGGAUUACUCCUGCAUGGGUCAAUCACAACAGGUGUUUUGUAAAAAAAAUACAUCUUGAUGUUCCGUGCAAUGCACGGGCAUCUUGCUAGUCCAUGAAAACAACACAUGGCAAAAUUCGACAGUGAACGAGGGAUUGGAAUCUGCUUGGAGGGGAUGUUUGGAUCUUGCCCGGGGUAGCCAAAAUAUUGGCGACCCUUUUGUCCACCGGUGCCUUUGCCACCAAUGAACGAGGAAUGGCUCGGGUGCUCAUGCAUCCUCCAGCGUGCAUGUUGGAGACGAGCUCGCAUGAGCUGUGUUUCUUUUGUCCCACCACGCUGCCCGAGCCGCCCGUAGAGCGAACGGUGACCCACAAAUUACGCCAUCCAACUGUAGCCGCACACAAACCGGACGAAAUUCAUGCAAACACGGAGAUAUUUCAUAUAAACAACGAUGAAAAUCAUAUAAAAUACCAGAUUUUCAUACAAACAUGACGGAUUUUAUUACAUUCAAAUGAACUAUGCGGUGCUAGUUCUGGACAGCAUAGGUAUAUAAUACCUGGCCUAAAUGGUCGCCCGCCGAUCCAUUUGUGUUCGUCAUGUCCGGCAACACGAUCACCGGACUGCCGGGAGCCCCGGAGGUAUAUGCUUCAGCGCAAAGGAGUGCUUGCUUCCCCACUGCCCAACUAAUAUCAUUGGCCGAUGCCGAAGAUGAUGGUGGAAGGGGGCUUCCCCGCUUCCGUGGAGCCCAUGCGGGGUCGACAAAGGUCCUCGCAACAAAAGGAUCCGGCAAGACACUUGUUGUGUAUGCCGGCGUCGCCUCCGUGAUGGCCUUCAUGGGACCCAAGCGGCGGCGGCCUCCCGUGUUCUACUUCUCCUCGAUGAUGGCCGCGGACGCGGAGGCGCUGGCCACCGAAUCGUCGCUCUCCGCGCACCCGACUUCUGUCGCUGCUUGCAUGGCACGACCGCCGGCAUGGGGUAUCGGCCACAAAAACGGGAGACGCGGUAUGAGGCGUCGGCUUGGACGGCAGCAACAACGCUCAUGUGUCGCUCCUCGUCGAGCUGGCCUGGAGCGGCGAGUUGCUGAACCGCGCGCUAGCUUGGGGCGGCAAUUGGCUCCAUCGGGCGAGGGGAGGGAGAUGGAUCAACAAGCUACGUAGCUCAUAUCCGGCGGGCUCGGCGGGCCACCCAGCCGGCUUGGAUGCGGGAUAACUACUCUUCGUAAGCCAUUGUAAGAGUGGACAAAAUGGUGAAGGAGGAGAUAGGGGAGCGGUGGAGGUGUGUGAUUCUUGGCUAGCGCUUGGCCUUGUUUAAAUAGGAUAUUAAAUAGACGGCGGGCGGGAGGAGCUCGGUCGGUGUUGCGUUUAAUGCCAGCCCGGUCAUGAACGGACGUGUGUACAGAUUGGGUUUCUCGGCUUCCACACGGCGGGUUUCAUGGAGGCAUUUGAAUGCGGCAAGGAGGCGUGUUCAGCCGGGCGUGCAGUGAGUGGCGCCCUCGACUCUGACGUACAACACCGCGCUGUUCUUCCACUGACCUGUGGGCUCUUUGGGUACAUGGCCUGCAUGUCAAUGACCCAACGCAGGCAGCGCACAGUAGAGGAACUUUUGGUGGGCUAGGGCGGUCAGAAGCGGGCAUUUCAUAAACCGAUGAUUGUUCAUUGAGUGUGACGUCAUUUAUUUCAUGUAGAUAAGCCUGUUCGAUACGUUGUGAUUCAUAAAGACUGCUGCAAACAUCAAUGUUCUGCUUAUCAUAGAUAAGAUUGAUUAAUACCCGUAACAAUCCAUGUCCUUAACAAAGGGUGCAUGCACAUAUAGGUUGAGCGUGUGUCAUGCGUCAUGUGUUGUGUGCAUGGUGGCGUGCGAGUGUUGCGUGCAUGCAAGGGUACAUUUCAGUGUUGCAUGCAUGUGUGCGUACGUGCGUGUGUUCGUGAGUGCAUGUGUACGUGUCAGUGCUGCACGCAUGCAUGCGUGCGUGUCUUCGUUAUGUGUAUGUGUCAGUGUUGCAUGCCUGCAUGCGUGUGUGUCUUGCGUGCGUGCAUGUGUACGUGCGGGGUGAGGCUACACGUCAGUCGACUGACUAUUUCAUCUCUGGUCAUUAGAUUUUCCAGCCGUUGGAUACGAAAUCAAGGGCCUGCAGUUUAUCUUCAAACUCCACCCCCCUAAGCCGCCAACCACCACCGGCCGAACCGCUGGCCCACGCUGCCCACGGCCAGCCCGCGCCGCCACGCCGCCCCGUCCGCCCCGAAACAACUCCUCACCGCUGGUCUGCCGCUGCACCGGCCAUCCCUCUAGCCCCCCCCUCGCGCCGAGCUUUUUCUCCGACGAUCCCCAUGCCAUCGCCCAAUCACCACCACCCCUCCCCCCACCACCAGCGACUGCUAACCAGAGGUCUCACGACUUCAAAUACCCACCGACCACUAAUUUAUUACCAUUUCUGUCCUUCAUAUAUGCGCUGACGGGUGGGCCCUAUGGUAAUGUGCCUUGUUGAAUGUGGACCGUUUGACUGGUCAAUUGAUCGCGUCAUCAACAAAUUACGGAGCUGUAUGGUGAGCCAGUGACCGUAUGAUCACCCUAAAAUGUAUUUUAUUAACACACUAUAGACUCAAACUACCAUUUCUUUCUUUCAUAUACGGGCUGACAGGUGGGGCCCCACGGUUAUGCGCCCCGACAACACUAGUUGCGCCACAUGGAAUGUUUGACUGGUCAAUUGACUGUGUCAUCAACGAAAUAUGGAGUUUUGUGGGUGAGCCAGUGACCCUAUAAUCAUGACAUGUAUUUUUUUAACACGGUACAGACGCAAGGGCUCAUAUAUACGUGCAAGCACUCACCCGUAUAAGCACACACAUGCAGACCCUACCCCCAUGAGCACCUUCGAGAGAGUGAGCCAGCAUAUGAUCUUGAGAUUUUACAAACUCACCAUAGGUGCCUCAUAGUCGAGUGGAACGUCUCCUCCCACUGAACGCACGUCGCCGAAAAAUACUGAAACUAACCCAGGAUAAAUGCGAGCAGCGGGACUUUAACCCUGGUGGGCUCAAGAAACCACUGUCCUCCUAACCAUCCAACCACAUGUUGGUUAGCAUGACAAAAUGUAUGUGCUGACCGUGAUGAGCUUAUUCUGAAGUCCAGUGACCAUAUCGUGCAUUCGCUUCAAAUACAAUGACUGUAAGUGUCGUCAACAAAAUACAGAGCACUAGUCAAAUGCAAAGUCCGUUAGUGUCAUCAACAAAAUACGGAGACGUAUCGUGAGCUAGAUACCGUAUGAUCACCACGAGAAUGUAUACGGUUACCGUAAUGAGCAUAUUCUGAAGUCCAGAGACCGUAUAGUGCUUUAGCUUGAAAUACAGUUACCGUCACACGUAAAUGUGUCGUGGGCAUGCAUACUUUUAGAGGGCCGAGAGAUAGUUUGUGUGCGUACGUGAAAGUGGUGUAGAAAGAGGGGGUGUCCGAUGGAGACAAGGAGAGAUAUGCCCUUCGUUUCUCUUUCCCGUGACUAAUAUUUUAGGAGAAUAUAUAAACAUACACAAUGCAGAACAAAUAUUUUCGGAUGCACCAUGCAAUUAACUUUCAUGUAUAACAUUGUACUAUUAUAUAUGCUCAUUUUCUUAGUGGCCGAUUGCAUGUGUGGUGUGGUGGGCACAUCAUUUCUAGUUUUGGCGGGUCAACAUGAGGACUCAUGGGUCGGUUCCAUCCUGCGCCACAUAGGUUGGACCGAGACGCGUUAUAUGAAGACCCAUGUGGAGGACUCGGCGUACAACAUGAAGCUACCAGUGUCGUGGAGGACUCUAUCCCCACUGGUGAUAAGCCGACUAUAUAUGAUUUGUAACCCUAGGCCCCGAGUAUGCUAUAGAAGCUUGGGGGCUAGUUCGUUGAUAGUAUACACACACGCACAAUGCAUGGUAUUCACGUGUACUUUGUACACACCCCUAUCACUAAUAUACAGUACCAAUAGUAGGCUUUUUCCUCAACUGCAAGGGUCCGAACUAGGGUAAAACUUUGCCUCGUAUUACCAUCCAGCCUAACAAUCAGGGAUAUCCUACCGAAUGAUAUGAUGGAAUCAUAUCUGCCAACUANNNNNNNNNNNNNNNNNNNNNNNNNNNNNNNNNNNNNNNNNNNNNNNNNNNNNNNNNNNNNNNNNNNNNNNNNNNNNNNNNNNNNNNNNNNNNNNNNNNNNNNNNNNNNNNNNNNNNNNNNNNNNNNNNNNNNNNNNNNNNNNNNNNNNNNNNNNNNNNNNNNNNNNNNNNNNNNNNNNNNNNNNNNNNNNNNNNNNNNNNNNNNNNNNNNNNNNNNNNNNNNNNNNNNNNNNNNNNNNNNNNNNNNNNNNNNNNNNNNNNNNNUGUGCGAGAGAGGCCUAAAGGUAAUGUGCGUGCAGGAGACACGUAGGCAUAUAUAUGUGCGUAUAGAGGGCUAGUAGAUACCGUGCGCGUAUAUAUAUGCAUGUGAGAGAAAUAGUGUUUUCCAACUGAGAUUAGUGAAAAGAGUGGUACAUAGUAGUCAGAAAGAGAAAGAGAGAGAUAUAGAGAGAGCAUGUGCGUGAGACACCCCGAGAGAGAUUGUGAGCAUGUGUGAAAGAGAAAUGCCGAUGCAUAUAAAGUGUGUGCACUUAUGCGUUGGAUAGAGAGAUAUAUAGCGCAUUUGUGAGAACGGGCCGAGGCAUACUGCAUCUAUGUGUAAAAGGCGGUUCUACACAUUAAAUUAAAUAUAAAUGGCAUUAUUAUUUUUGGAUGAGAUCAUGAAUUUUGCAAAUUGCGUAUGGACGAAAAUCGAUCUAUGAGUCACCCAUACUCUACUGAACUCUAGCAUGUGCAUGUGUUUAUUUCAUAUUAUCGAUCCAUAGAGUGAGAGCAGUUUGAAAUACAUGCAGUGGAUUGCUUUUGCCAUUCAUAUAUAAACAUUAAUUAGUGCACUCCAUGUUGUUAGUGUGAAGCACUUUAUACAUUUGUCACUUGCAUGGAUACAUUCCAAAUUGCUAGCUACGAAAUAGAAUACAUGUUGAAUUCAACAUAAAGGGGGUUUCGAAGAUUCGAAUUCAUAGGGAGUCCAUUCAUCUAUUUGAACCCGAGAUAAUGGCAUUUCUAAAUCAGAUCUAAAAGGGGGCAUCAUCUUUGUUGUGCGUUUGAACAUGCUAUAUAUUCAUACGCAUGUCUAACUAUUUUUUUUUUGCAACCAAGAAGAUUAUAUCUGGAACCAUGCAUGAACUGAGGUAAGUUGCAUAUUUUUUAAUAUAUACUCCUGUACAAUGUAUAUUCAAAUGUACCCCCUCCAUUCCAAAAUAAUCUAGCUUUAGGAUUUUCAAGAGUAAAGAUUUGUGAAGUUUGACAAAUCCUGAAAGUUCAAUUCAAGAGAACCGAAAACGUUAAUGCUUCUGCUCCCAAAUAUUGAACGAAGUGCCAAAUAAGCCUCUGGUCACCCGAAACCGUGCGAGACUAAUGUUUGGUGGUAGGAAAUUACUGUCCUGACUCUGGCCCGUGUAGCUUAUCAUCCCGAUGUCCAAAGGUCUAAACCGGGGUAGGUUUGUAACUUCACCAAGAUGCCAGUCUCAACCGCCUCCGAGAAGCAUUCAUACGCCGUGGGUGCCUAAACACCCAUGCGCUCGGCCGAAAUCUAUCCCACCCACAUUUGGGACACCUGAGAUUACUGUCCUACCCCCAACCCGCAAUAUGUACGAAAUUUUAGAUGGGGGAAAAGUUUGUAACUUUCCCCAAAUUUCAAACAAGCACGUCCCAAACCGAAACAUUGUUCCCCCUUAGUUCUCCCCUCCCUCCGUUUCCCCAUUCAUACUCCAUGGGCGCCAAAACGCCCUCUCCACCAGCCGCGAAACCCCAGCCUCCUCCGUCCUCCACCCCAUAGCGCCCAAUCCACCGCCGCCCUCCUCCAUCACACCGGAGGAGGUACCCCGACGUAAUCGUCCAAUGCAACUGCAACCGCAACGCCCUCAAGGACUUAGCAGCUGAAGCCGAGGCAGAGCUGCCUCCACGAUGUCGACGCCGAUGUGCGCCGUACCAGAACCACUCCGACCAUGCCGUCCUGCGCCUCACCGCUGCCGCUCCACUGUCGCAACCGUCCACCGCACCAGAGUUGUUCCUGCUACGCCAUUGUUCGCCGCCUCGGAUUUGGUUCCCCACCGCCGACAAACGGCCACCGCACCACACUGAACAACUUGGCCAUGGGUUCGUCCAAGGCUCCACCGUCCUCCACAACUUCUCGCUUCCAGUGAACCACAAGAAGAUCAUUGGAAAAACAGAAGGAGGACACAGCACUGCCAGUAGAAAGAGGUACUCCUCUUCCCUUAUUCAUGCAAAUCUUAUGUCUCUACUCACACCGUAUUCAUCCCAUGAAAGAAACUAGUCGAGCGCUUCUUACUGCAUCUUCUUCAUGAUACUAAAUGCACAAGGUUUCCUCCCUUUACUAUUUCACAUUUGCUAGAGGUCAGUAGCCCGCCUGGAUUUCAAUUUAGGGUCAAUCAAACCGCAAUUAAAAUAAGCAUCACUUGCUUAGGCUCGCAGAGCACCUAGUCCGUCUGUUCGUCGGGGAAGUGGCGCAUCAGUGUCUAUCAUAGGGGUGUGGGGUGCAGGAGCUGCUUGCGCCCGAUCUGGAGGUCGGUGGGGCUUGAAUGGAUGGCCGAGGGGUGGUGCCAUGCACGGCGGUGUGGUGAGGUCGAGGGGAGGGCGCAGGCAGGGGACUGGGCCGGUGGUCGUUGGCGUUUCGAGGAAGAUCGUCAACACUGACUGGCUGGAGGUAGAUGAAGGUGAUCUGCCCAUUCUUUGUACAUCAUAUGGUGCAGAAAAAAUGGACUGACCUAUUUGUUUUCAGUCGACUGUUAUUUUCAUAAAAUCAUGUAGUAAUUUAGUGUGCCAUGCAAGUUGUAGAGCUAUCAUAUGUCUCCCAUCAUUUAUUUCUCACCGACCUGCUAUCUGCUACCUUUACACUGUACUAAUUCUGCACACACUUCACCCAUACUCACACUAUUGUUUUUUUAUGCAUGGGUAUUUGAGAGUCUGACAUAGUGUUGAUGAAUGCAGAAAAUAAAAGACAAGAAGUCUCUCCAGUGUAAUUAGAAGAUAAGCACUAAGCGUUUCAGCGCUCUAAAGGGUGCGGUGUCAACAGUUGGAGACAGUAAACAUAGCUCCGUAGUUGAUGAUCUCAAUUGCCACACACAACCAUCCCAGGUGCUUACUUUAACUUCACGCUGUCAAAUGUGGUUGCAUGUUGCAUAUGGUGUCUAGCUUGUAUUGCUUCCAAUUUGGUUAAAUUGCAUCUGCUUACUUUACACAUUAUACCUUUGAUAAUGACAUGCCUUCCUGUUUUUGAUACAUACUACAUAUGUCUAUUAACCAUGUUCGUACAUCAAACUAAUGCUCUUUUGUAUCCCUCAUCAAUCACUUAUGAUGAGACAAUCACCCCAGUGGGUUACUGUGAGAUGCCCUACUCGUUUAAAGAGUGCAGUAUCAUCCUCCCCACAUGAUUCUCAAGAAACAGCAAGGCUAAAUGAACAUAGUCAACGUAGCUCUCUAGUUGAUGACUGCAAUUCCCCCACAUCACCAUCGCAGGUGCUUGCUCUUACUUGGCAGUGUGAUAUGUGGUUGCAUGUUGCAUAUGGUGUCUACCUUGUAAUGCUUCUAAUUAGGGUAAAUUGCAUCUGCUUAGUUAACACAUUAUACCUGUGAAUAUGACAUGCCUUCCUAUUUUUGGUACAUACUACAUCUUUCUAUUAACCAUGUUCUUACAUCAAACUACUUUUCUUGUGUAUCCCUCAUCAAUCACUUCUGACGAUACACCUUCAAGUUGAUAGUGUAAUAUUGGUUGCAUCAUGCAUAUCAUUUCAAACAUGUAUUGCCUCUAAUUUGUUGAAGUGCCACUUAUAAUGAGACACAUCUAACUUGGUAGAGUGAUUUUGGUUGAAUCUUUCAUAUGGUGUCUAGAUUGCAUUGCUUUCAAUUUGUUGAAAUGCCUUCUGCUUAGUGUUUUUCAUACAUAUUCCAUCCUCCUACAAUGUGGUUGCCAUACAUAAAAGUUGAGUUCGUCAGUAUCAUGCAUCAACGAAUUUGGAAGUGCGAAUUUCAUUCCUUUUUCAUAUGUGUUUACUUGACAAGGCAAAAUCUGAAAGGACGAAGGCACGGAAUGAUGGUGGUCCUAUGUAGCAACCGAAACAGAUGAUCUCUGUCGAUUCUCCUGCUACUUGUACUGCAGUGCAAGUUCCAAAUACUAUUCUUGUGUAUCCUGCAUCUAUCGCUUAUGAUGAGACAGUCACGCCCGUGGGUUAGUAUGAGACGCGCUACUCUUAUAAAGAAUGCAGUUUCAUCCUCUCCACAUGAUUCUCAAGAAACAGCAAGCCUAAAUGAAGAUAUUGAACGUAGCUCUGUACUUGAAAACCGCACUUCCCCUACACACAGUGUGAUAUGUGGUUGCAUGUUGCAUACGAUGUCUAGAUUGUAAUGCUUCUAAUUAGGGUAAAUUGCAUCUGCUUAGUUUACACAUUAUACCUGUGAAUAUGACAUGCCUUCCUAUGUUUGGUACACACUACAUCUAUGUGUUAACCUUGUUCUUACAUGAAACUACCUCUCUUCUGUAUCCUGCAUCAAUCACUUAUGAUAAGUCACCUUUAUUCGUUGCAUAUUGCAUAUUAUUUCUAACCUGUUGCCAUGUAUUGCUUCUAAUUUGGUCAAAUACAUUUGUUAGGGCACCCUUUUAAUUUGGCAGAGUGAUAUUGGUUUCGUCUUUCAUAUGGUUUCUAGCUUGCAUUGAUUCUAACAAGUUCAAACAGCUUGUGCUUAGUUUACACUUUAUACAUCAUACAUGUCAAUAUGUCACACCGUCCUGUUUUUCAUACAUAUUCCAUCCUCCUAUCAUGCGGAUGCCUUACAUCAAAGUAGUGUUCAUCAGUAUCAUGCAUCAAUGAGUUCUGAAGAGCAAAUUUUAUUCCUUUUUCUUGUGGGUUUGACUUGACAAGGCAAAAUCAAGAAAGAGGAAGGAAAAGAGUAAGGAAGGCGAUGAUGGUGGUCCUCUGCAGGAACAUAAACGGAGCAUCUGUACCGAUUCUCCUUGUACUGCUAGUGCAUUACAAGGUCCAAGUCUCCGCUCCCCUACUCCACCAUCCAAGGUGCUUGCUCUAACUUGGCAGUGUGAUAUCUGGUUGCAUGUUGCAUAUGGUGUCUAGCUUGUAUUGCUCCUAAUUAGUGUAAAAUGCAUCUGCUUAGCUUACACAUGAUACGUGUGAAUAUGCCACGCUUUCCUAUUUUUGGUACAUACUAUAUCUGUCUAUCACACCAUGUUCUUACAUGAAACUACUCUUCUUGUGUAUCUUGCAUCAGUCACUUAUGAUGGGACACCUUUAAGUUGGCAGUGUGAUAUUGGUUUGCGUAUGAUUUCUAGCAUGUAUUGCUUAUAGUUUGAUGAACGCCACCUAUGAUGAGAUAGUUUUAACUUGGCAGAGUGAUAUUGAUUGCACCUUCCGUAUGGUGUCUAGCUUGCAGUGCUUCUAAUUUGUUGAAGUGCUUUCUGCUUAGUUACCACAUCAUAUGUGUGAAUAUGUCAAGCCGUCCAGUUUUUUGUACAUAUUCCAUCCUCGUAUCAUGACUUUGCCUUUCAUCAGAGUAGUGUUCGUCAGUAUCAUGCAUGAAUGAGUUCUGAAGAGUGAAUUAUAUUCCUUUUUCUUGUCGGUUUGACCUCACAAUGCAAAAUCAAUAAAGCUGACGGAAAUUUUCAAGGCAUUGGAUGAUGAUGGUUGAGGGAGUCCUGGAUUAGGGGGUGUCCGGAUGGCCGGACUCCCGAACUAUGAAGGUACAAGAUUGAAGACUCCGUCCCGUGUCCGGAUGGGACUUUCCUUGGCGUGGAAGGCAAGCUUGGUGAUACGAUAUGAAGAUCUCCUCCCAUUGUAACCGACUCUGUGUAACCCUAGCCCUCUCUGGUGUCUAUAUAAACCAGAGAGUUUUAGUCCAUAGGACGAACAACAAUCAUACCAUAGGCUAGCUUCUAGGGUUUAGCCUCUCUGAUCUCAUGGUAGAUCAACUCUUGUAAUACCCAUACCAUCAAUAUUAAUCAAGAAGGAGUAGGGUUUUACCUCCACCGAGAGGGCCCGAACCUGGAUAAAAACAUUGUGUCCCUUAUCUCCUGUUACCAUCCGCCUAGACGCACAGUUCGGGACCCCCUACCCGAGAUCCGCCGGUUUUGACACCGACAUUGGUGCUUUCAUUGAGAGUUCCUCUAUAUCGUCGCCUUUAGGCCCGAUGGUUUCUUCGAUCAUCAAUCACGACGGGGUCCAGGGUGAGACUUUUCUCCCCGGACAGAUCUUCGUAUUCGGCGGCUUCGCACUGCGGGCCAACUCGCUUGGCCAUCUGGAGCAGAUCGAAAGCUACGCCCCUGGCCGUCAGGUCAGGUUUGGAAGCUUAAACUACACGGCCGACAUUCGCGGGGACUUGAUCUUUGACGGAUUCGAGCAACGCCCGAGCGCGCCGCACUGUCUCGAUGGGCAUGAUCUAGCUUUGCCGCCGGACAGCGCCCAGAGUGCCGCUCAGGAGUUCGCUCCGACCAUUAGUUCGGAGCCGACUGCGCUAACCAGGGACGGACGGUUGGACGCCGCCCCAGGAGCCACAAUCUCUACGGCGAUAGAGCCGAAUACCAGCCUAGUCCUUUGCAAGGCCCGUGACUCCAAGGUGCCGGACUCUGUUCUGGACUCUGAAUCUUCCGCACCCCUUCCGAUCGAUCCCGAUUGGGCUCCGAUCAUGGAGUUCACCGCUGCAGACGUCUUUCAGCACUCGCCCUUUGGCGAUAUCCUGAAUUCACUAAAGUCUCUCUCUUUGUCAGGAGAGCCCUGGCCGAACUACGGUCAGCAUGGUUGGGAUACGGACGACGAAGAAAUUCGAGGCCCACCCACCACCCACUUCGUAGCCACUGUCGACGAUUUAACCGACAUGCUCGACUUCGACUCUGAAGACAUCGACGGUAUGGACGCCGAUGAAGGAGACGACCAAGAACCAGCACCUAUAGGGAACUGGAAAGCCACCUCGUCAUAUGACAUAUACAUGGUGGACACCUCCAAAGCAGGGGAUGGCGAGGAAAAAACGGAGGAUGACCCCUCCAAGAAGCAACCCAAGCGCCGACGUCAGCGGUGCCGCUCUAAAUCCUGCCAAAGCAAGAACGGCGAAUCCGGCACCAGAGAUAACAACACGCCGGAUAGUGCCGACGAUAACCCCCUCCAGCAGGAUUCAGUGCAGGAGGACGAAGGAGCCAGCCCUCAUGAGAGAGCGGCCGACAGAGAGGUUGAGGACGACAACUAUAUGCCUCCCUCCGAAGACGAGGCAAGCCUCGACGAUGACGAAUUCGUCGUGCCAGAGGAUCCCGUUGAACAAGAGCGUUUCAAAUGCAGGCUUACGGCCACGGCACGCAGCCUCAAGAAAAAACAGCAGCAGCUUAGAGCUGACCAAGACUUGCUAGCCGACAGAUGGACUGAAGUCCUGGCGGCCGAAGAGUAUAAACUCGAAUGCCCAUCCAAGAGCUACCCAAAACGCAGGCUGCUACCCCAACUUGAGGAGGAAGUAACUAAACCUACAUCACCAACGUACGAUGCGCCCGAUCGGCCACCCCGUGGCCGCGAUAGAGAGGCCUUCAGGCCCUCAACCCAAGACGCACCCCGGCACCGCUCAAAACAUGCCAGAAUACAGGGAGACGCAACAGACCUGCAAGACAUAUUGGAGAACAAGGCAAGGCAAGCAAGAUUGAUCUACGGAUCGCAUGGGCGCCCCGCAUCACGUGAUGAUAACCGUCACACCGGAUAUGAUAAAUACGGCCAGGCCGAAUACAACAGACCAAGCUCAUCCGAGCUGCGCCGCGAUAUAGCCCAGUACAGGGGCGCCGCACACCCACUAUGCUUCACAGACGAAGUAAUGGAUCGUCAAAUCCCCGAGGGUUUUAAGCCCGUAAACAUUGAAUCAUACAACGACACAACUGAUCCCGCGGUAUGGAUCGAGGAUUAUCUCCUUCAUAUCCACAUGGCCCGCGGUGAUGAUCUACACGCCAUCAAAUACCUCCUGCUCAAGCUUAAAGGACCAGCACGACAUUGGCUUAACAGCCUGCCAGCAGAGUCAAUUAGUUGCUGGGAGGACCUGGAAUCCGCAUUCCUUGAAAACUUCCAGGGCACUUAUGUGCGACCACCAGACGCCGAUGACCUAAGCCACAUAAUCCAGCAGCCAAAAGAAUCGGCCAGACAAUUCUGGACGCGGUUCCUAACCAAGAAAAAUCAAAUAGUCGACUGUCCGGACGCCGAGGCCCUUGCAGCCUUCAGGCACAACAUCCGAGACGAAUGGCUUGCCCGGCACCUAGGACAGGCAAAGCCGAAAUCUAUGGCAGCCCUCACGACACUCAUUACCCGCUUCUGCGCGGGCGAAGACAGCUGGCUAGCUCGUAGCAAUAACAUAACCAAGAGCCCUGGUAAUUCGGAUACCAAGGACAACAAUGGCAGGUCACGUCGCGACAAGCACAAGCGCCGCAUUAACAGCGACAAUACUGAGGAUAUGGCAGUCAACGCCGGAUUCAGAGGCUCUAAACUGGUCAGCGGAAGAAGCCAUUCAAAAGAAACCCUUCGGGUCCAUCCAACUUAGACCGGAUACUCGACCGCUUGUGCCAGAUACACUGCACCCCCGAACAACCAGCCAAUCACACCAACAGGGAUUGUUGGGUGUUCAAGCAGGCAGGCAAGUUAAGUGCCGAAACCAGAGACAAGGGGCUGCGUAGCGAUGACGAGGAGGAGCCCCGGCCGCCGAACAACAGAGGACAUAAGGGAUUCCCCCCGCAAGUGCGGACAGUGAACAUGAUAUACGCAACCCACAUCCCCAAGAGGGAGCGGAAGCGUGCUCUCAAGGACGUCUAUGCGUUGGAGCCAGUCGCCCCAAAGUUCAACCCAUGGUCCUCCUGCCCGAUCACGUUUGAUCGAAGGGACCACCCCACUAGCAUCCGUCAUGGCGGAUUCGCCGCAUUGGUCCUAGACCCAAUCAUUGACGGAUUUCACCUCACCAGAGUCCUCAUGAAUGGCGGCAGCAGCCUGAACCUGCUCUAUCAGGAUACAGUGCGAAAAAUGGGUAUAGAUCCCUCAAGGAUCAAACCCACAAAGACAACCUUUAAAGGUUUCAUACCGGGUGUACAAGCCAGCUGUACAGGCUCAGUUACACUCUAAGUGGUCUUCGGAUCCCCGGAUAAUUUCUGAAGCAAAGAGUUAAUCUUCGACAUAGUCCCAUUCCGCAGUGGCUAUCACGCCCUGCUCGGACGAACCGCAUUUGCAAAGUUCAAUGCGGUGCCGCAAUACGCAUAUCUCAAGCUCAAGAUGCCAGACCCUCGCGGAGUCAUCACGGUCAAUGGAAACACCAAACGCUCUCUCCGAACGGAGGAGCACACAGCGGCCCUGGCGGCGGAAGUACAGAGCAGCCUCUCAAGGCAGCUCUCCAAUCCGGGUAUCAAACGUCCGGACAACGUCAAGCGCGCCCAAAGCAACCUACAACAGAGCCGGCCGGCACGAUCCGAGCAAGCAUAGCAGUGCGGCCCCAACCCCAGCCCUCGUCAGAUGGUGCUAUCGGUACCGCGCGUACAUAAUUACGCUUUGAAAAUACCAUGGGCAUAAGGGGAGGGGCACAACUACGGCACGCCCAGAAUGCGGCUCAACCACACUUAGGGGCUCCCUAUUCGGCCGUUUUCCUUUUUUUAUAUAUAUACUUUCAGGACCCAACUACUCAGAAGGCAUGUCCGACAAUACACUAGCCGAACACACGAUGCAACAGCCAGGGUGAGGACAAGCCGCGUCGAAUGUCCAGGUGGCCUCUAUAACGAGUUAAAUACCUGUUUUUAUUUACAAAAGCCGCAGCUUGCCCCUGGAGGGGGACAUGUCAAAUAAUCCCAUCUCUUGCUUAUCGCACUAUUUGUAUCGUUCUGCUUUCAUAGUAGCCCCUUAAUAAUAAACAAUACAUAGCUUCUAUCUAUUAUUGUAUUCCUUAAAGACUUAUGCAGCCAUGACAUUAUGCAGCCAUACACUUUGGUAUGGCCAAUACACCAGGGGCUUAAGCACCCCAUAACAUGGUGUGAGAAGACCGAACACUCUCAUGAGUGCGGCACCCCGAACUUAUAGCACUAUAUGCAUCGGCUCCGAAUCAUGUCUUUGGUCAAUAGUUGGGUUUGCCCGGCUCCCAUGUUUUGGUACCUUAUGUUCCGCGUUGUUGGCUAAGGUAGCGCUGGGAGAACUACUGCGAUUGUGCCCCAGGUGAGCUGGGUUAACACCUCAGUAGAGAAAGCUAAAACUGGCUGUCAUGAUAAUGCGAGAGACCGAUCGCUAUUCACGAGGUUUUUCGAGUCCUUAAAGACUUAUGCCGCUUAGAGGGAGGAACCAAACUUAUCCGGCCUAGGCGUGGAUAGCGCCCCGAACUCGGUCUUCCGAAUACUAGGGGCUUCGCCGAAAUUUAAAUUAUAGAAUUCUAUGGCUAAGUGAGAGUGAUAAAGCAUUAUAAGUCCGACGGCCUGGUUCGUUGUGCUGAGCGCCUCCCUAGAUGGACCCAAGAAUGGGAACAAGAGCGCUCGGGUUUAUCCCGAACACCCCAGCACUCGUGGCAUGGGGGUCGAAGCCGAUGACUUGCAUCUCUCAGAUUUGAUAAACGGCCGCACAGAAGGUAAUAUUUUAAAUUAACAAGCGUUGCUUAACGCAUAUGAACAAAGUUUUCAACGUACAGGAUAACAGAUGCGAGCCUACUCAAAAAUUACAUCUUUGGAGCAUUCGUCCGCUAUACGGCGAGCAGCCUUCAGGACACCCUUAUAAUACAUCUCGGACGUGCGAUACUCCUUGCCCGGCGGUGGCGCGUCCGUCAAAAGCUUCUUAGCGUCCAGCUUGCCCCAGUGCACUUUAGCACGGGCAAGGGCCCGAUAGGCACCUUCGAUGCAAGCGGGGCGCUUGACGACCUCAAUCCACGGACACGCGUCCACCAGCCACCGCACCAGACUGAAGUAGCUCCCAGGCAUGGCUUCUCCAGGCCACAGCCGAGCUAUGAGGCCCUUCAUGGCCUGUUCGGCCACCUUGUGGAGCUCGACCAGCUGCUUUAGCUAGUCGCUCAGGGGCACCGGAUGUUCGGCCUCAGCAUACUGAGACCAGAACACUUUUUCUGUUGAGCUCCCCUCUUCGGCUCGGUAGUAUGCGGCGGCAUCAGACACACUACGAGGCAGAUCGGCGAACGCUCCUGGAGAGCUUCGGAUUCGGGUAAGUAGCAGAUAAUUAACUUUUAUAUUCUUGCUUUGCAUAAAGAAUGCCUUACCCACCGCUAUUUUCUUCAUUGCCUCGAUCUCCUAGGGGGCCUUCUGGGCUUCGUCCUUAGCGUUUUUGGCACUCUCAAGAGCCAAGGUGAGCUCGGACUCUCGAGUCUUUGAGUCACGCUCCAAAUUCUCAUGUUUUUCCACGAGAGCCUGGAGCUCUUGCCGCACCUCCGCCACCCGCGCCUCCUGCUUCUCUCGCUCGGCCCGCUCCAGGGCCGCACUGUUUUUGGCCUUGGAGACCGCCUCCUUCAGGGUCGCCACCUCGGCCGUGGCCCCUGCAACAUUUAAGUUGGUCCUAUCAUUAUUUGCAACCAAGUAUUUCUAUAUACAUUUACAUGUGGUAUUACAUACCCUCCUUGUCCUCGAGCUGCUUCUUGGCACGGCCGAGCUCGUUCUUGGACCGCUCGAGGCUUCCCUUCAAUGCAUUAACCUCCGCAGUCAGUGCGGUAGAGGUCAGCAGCGCAGCCUGCAUUCCUAUAUUGACAUAUUUUUUAGACUCCUGCGUAUAACUUUUUAGAUCCUCAGCUCGGCUUUUCUUUCUAAACGCCGAACCGAGCAUCAGGGGCUACUGUCUAUGCGGUAACAAUUUUAUAUGUUUUGAACACAUACCUCAAAGCCUGUUAACAGACUUGUACAGGCUUCUAUCAGCCCGCUCUUGGCGGACUGAACCUUUUGAAUCACCGCACUCAUAACAGUGCGGUGUUCCUCGUCGAUGGAGGCACCAUUAAGCGCCUCCAGCAAAUUGUCCGGCGCCUCCGGAUGGACGAAGGUCGUCGGCGCUGUAGGCUUGCCCUUCUUAUGAAGGCGCCGCCUGUCGGACUCUGGAACCGCUGGUGGUUCCAGAGCAGUGUCCGGCCCGGCGCCGGACUUAGACCCCUCCGGGGCUUUAACCCCUUUGGGCCUGGAAUCCGGGAGGUCGCCUUGAGGCGCCUCCAGGACCACCUCCUCCUGGUUCGGUCCCCUUCGGGACCCCACCUCGGCGUCAUCCGCAGGGAGAGGGGAGGAGGCCGUCGGAAGUGAAGCACUAUUCACAUCCGACGAAUUUAGGGAGCCGCUCGACGAAUCGCCGAGCUGAGCUCUGGGCGGACUGCAUGAUUAAAAUUCGGCGUUAGACAUUACCGAAUAAUAGAGGAGCGCCAUGAGUCAUUCGGGUAACCGGACACUUACGAUUUUGCCAGGGGCUUGACCCUGGAUGGCCACUCCUCCCCGUCGUCUUCGGCAUUGGAGGCGUAGUCCGGCAGAAGAGUUUUCCCCUUCUUGGACCCUCCGGCCUCCCCAGUUGGGGCGGCCUUCCUUUUCUUUCCUCCCCCCGUUGGAGGGGGAGAGGCUUCUUCUUCUUCUUCUUCUUCCUCGUCUUCUGAGGCGGAGGGUGCGCCGGGGUUGUCGGGCGAUGAAUCCGGCACACCCAUGCGCCGGGAGCUCUUUCGAGUCCCCGUGGCCUUCUUCCUGGCCUUCUUCUCCGGCACCACGUGAGGUGCCGGAACUAGCAGCUUCGUUAAAUGAGCGUCCGCUGGGUCUUCGGGCAGAGGAGCCGAAUAGUUGAUCUGUCUGGCCUUCUUCUGCCAUUCCUGUUAAAGGGAUGGGGGUUUAGAUCCCGCAUAGAAUCAAAUCUAUGGAAAACAAAUACCCCGUAAUGGGAAAAUUAGCUCACCGCGCUGGCUUGGCGCUUGGUGCAGAAUCUGCGAUCCUCGGUGACGGGAGGGAACACCUUGGAGCUCUUGAAUAGCACCUUCCAUGCAUCCUCGUGCUUUGUGUCGAAGAGCUGGGACAGAGUCUGGUGCUGGGUCGGGUCGAACUCCCACAAGUUAAAAGCCCGUCGUUGACACGGGAGAAUCCGGCGGAAGAGCAUGACCUGGACUACGGUGACAAGUUUAACCUUCCUGCUGAUCAGGUCUUUGAUGCAGGCUUGAAGUCUGGUCACUUCUGCCGAGUUACCCCACGACAGGCCCGUCUCUUUCCAAGAUGUGAGCCGUGUGGGAAUGCCAGAUUGGAAUUCGGGGGUCGCUGCCCAUUCAGGGUCACGCGGCUCGGUGAUGUAGAACCACCCUGAUUGCCACCCUUUGAUGGUCUCUACGAAGGCGCCCUCGAGCCAUGUAACAUUGGGUAUCUUUCCCACCAUGGUGCCUCCGCACUCCGCUUGGCGGUCGCCCACGACCUUCGGCUUGACGCUGAAGAUCUUUAGCCAUAGGCCAAAGUGAGGAUGGAUGCGGAGGAAGGCCUCGCACAUGACGAUGAACACCGAGAUGUUGAGGAUGAAGUUCGGGGCCAGAUCGUGGAAGUCCAGGCCGUAGUAGAACAUGAGCCCCCGGACAAACGGGUGAAGAGGAAAACCUAGUCCGCGGUGGAAAUGGGGAAGGAAAACAACCCUCUCAUGGGGCCUGGGGGUGGGGAUGAGUUGCCCCUCAUCUGGAAGCCGGUGCGCGAUGUCGUCGGACAAGUAUCCCGCCUUUCUCAACUUUUUGAUUUGCCCCUCCAUGACGGAGGAGGCCAUCCAUCUACCUCCCGCUCCGGACAUGAUUGGAGUAGGUUGAGGUGGGAAGUGCGGGCUUGGGCGUUGGAGCUCGAGCGCGCAGGGACGAAUGAGCAAAGGAGGAAGAAGGCGUAAAUGAAAAGGGUAGAUUCUUAUCCCCUUAUAUGGGCGGCCAAAACUACGAGCCCCCACCGGCCUAAUAAAACUCGCUUAUCUCCCAAGCGCCAUGGUUAAUGGCACGGUUGGGUUACCCACGCCCGUAUUGAUGAGAAUCCCGGAAUAAGGGGACACGAUCUCUGCUUCGACAAGACGUGCCAAGGAAACCGCCUCGCUAAACGCGCUGAGGUGGAACGGUAAAAUGAAUAAAGGCUUGGCCGUGGCAUGAUGUCACGCCGCAGAAUGCGUCAACAGAUUAGAUUUGUGUAAAUAUUAUUCUCUCUACGGUGGCAUGUGGAACUUAUUUUUGCAGAGCCGGACACUAUCUUUGUGUUCAAACAUCUUCUAUGAAGUAUUCGGAGGAGGAACCUGCCUUGCAAUGCCGAAGACAAUUUGCGCGCCAGACUCAUCGUCAUUGAAGCCUGGUUCAGGGGCUACUGAGGGAGUCAUGGAUUAGGGGGUGUCCGGAUGGCCGGACUAUGACCUUUGGCCGGACUCCCGAACUAUGAAGAUACAAGAUUGAAGACUCUGUCCCGUGUCCGGAUGGGACUUUCCUUGGCGUGGAAGGCAAGCUUGGCGAUACGAUAUGAAGAUCUCCUCCCAUUGUAACCGACUCUGUGUAACCCUAGCCCUCUCCGGUGUCUAUAUAAACCGGAGAGUUUUAGUCCAUAGGACGAACAACAAUCAUACCAUAGGCUAGCUUCUAGGGUUUAGCCUCUCCGAUCUCGUGGUAGAUCAACUCUUGUAAUACCCAUACCAUCAAUAUUAAUCAAGCAGGAGUAGGGUUUUACCUCCACCGAGAGGGCCCGAACCUGGGUAAAAACAUUGUGUCCCUUGUCUCCUGUUACCAUCCGCCUAGACGCACAGUUCGGGACCCCCUACCCGAGAUCCGCCAGUUUUGACACCGACAGUGGUCCUUCCGAGGAACUGAAACGGAGGUUCUCUAUAGAUUCUACUCCGCCAUCCUCCCAACAAGUUUCGCAAGACAACGCAAGGCUAGACAGUCAACGUAGAUAUCUAGAUGAUGAGCACAUCUCCCUACUCCACCAUCACAGGUGCUUUCUCUAACGUGGCACUAUUAUAUGUGGUUGCAUGUUGCGUAUGUCUAGCUUGUAUUGCUUCUAAAUUUGUUGAAUUGCAUCUGCUUACUUUACACAUAAUGCAUGUGAAUAUGACAUGUGUUCCUGUUUCUAGAACAUACUAUAUCUCAUCUCACCAUGUUCUUACAUCAGACUACUGUUCUUGCAUAUCCCGCAUCAGUCACUUAUGAUAAGGCACCUUUAAGUUGCCACUGUGAUAUUGGUUGUGUCUUGCAUAUGAUUUCUAGCAUGUACUGCUUCUAAUUUGUUGAAACACCAUACAGUUUGAACUUGGUAGAGUGAUAUUGGUUGCAUCUUUCAUAUGGUGUCUAGCUUGUAGUGCUUCUAAUUUGUUGAAAUGCCUUCUGCUUAGUUACCACAUCAUAGGUCUGAAUAUGUCACGCCAUCCUGUUUUUCAUACAUAUUCCAUCCUCACAUCAUGUGUUUGCCUUUCAUCUGAGUAGUGUUCGUCGGUAUCAUGCAUGAAUGAGUUCUGAAGAGCGAAUUUUAUUCCUUUUCUUAUCGGUUUGACUUCACAAUGCAAAAUCAUUACAGCUGAAGGAAAUUAGUCUGGCAGUGGAUGAUGGUGGUCCUUCGGAGCAACUCAAACAGGGGGUCUCUACAGAUUCUACUCCGCCAUCCUCCCAACAAGAUUCGCAAGACAACACAAGGCUGGACAGUCAACGUAGCUGUGUAGAUGAUGAGCACAUCUCCCCUACUCCACCAUCACAGGUGCUUGCUCUAACUUGGCACUAUUAUAUGUGGUUGCAUGUUGCGUAUGAUGUCUAGCUUGUAUUGCUUCUAACUUUGUUGAAUUGCAUCUGCUUAGUUUACACAGAAUGCAUGUGAAUAUGACACGUGUUCCUGUUUCUAGAACAUACGUGUACAUGAUGAGCACAUCUCCCCUACUCCACCAUCACAAGUGCUUGCUCUAACUUGGAAUUGUUAUAUGUGGUUGCGUUUUCCGUAUGAUGUCUAGUUUGUAUUGCUUCUGAUUAUGUUGAAUUGCAUCUGUGUAGCUUACAACUUAUACCUGCAACGAUCACUUACCCAUAAGACACAUUUAACUUGGGACUGUGAUGUGGGUUGCAUCUUGCAUUGUCUUCUAGCUUGUACUGCUUCUAAUUUCUUGAAAUGGCACUUACGAUGAGACACUUUUUACCUGAUAGAGUGAUAUUGGUUGCAUGUUCAUAUGGUGCCUAGCUUUCAUUUCUUAUAAUUUUGUUGAAAUGCCUUCCGCUUACUGUUUUUUCAUACAUAUUCCAUCCUCCUAUCGUACGUGUGAAUAUGCAACGCUGUCUUUUUUUGUAUAUAUUUCUAUCCUCCUAUUCUGCGCUUGCCUUACAUCAAAGUAGUGUUCGUCUGUAUCAUGCAUCAACCAGUUAUGCAGAGCUAAUUUUAUUCAUCUUCUUGUGGUUUUGACUUCAUAAGGCAAUAUUAGAAAAUAGGAAGGAAAAGAGUAAGUUAGGGGAUGUUGGUGGUCCUCCGCACCGACGCAAAUAGAGACUCUCUAGAUUUGCCACUGCUACUGCUAAUGAAGUUGAAGUCCCAAGUCUACAUGAUGAGUUCAUCUCCCGUACUCCACCAUCGCAGGUGCUUGCUCUAAGUUGACAGUGUGAUAAUUGGUUUCAUGUUGCAUCUGUUGUCUAGCCUGUAUUUCUUCUAUUUUGAUUAAAUUGCACCUGCUGAGUUUAUACGUUAUGCAUGUGCAUAUGACAUGGAUUUCUGUGUCUAGAAUGCACUGCAUCUAUCUAUCAUACCAUGUUCUUACAUCAAAGUACUUCUGUUGUGUAUCCCGCAUCAGUCACUCAUGAUUGGACGCUUUUAACAUGGCAGUUUGAUAGUGGUUGCAUCUUGCAUUGAUUUCUAUGUUGUACUGCUUCUAAUUUUUCGAAUUGCCACUUAUGACAAGACACUUUUAACUUGGCAGAGUAAUAUUGGUUGCAUAUUUCAUAUGGUGUCUAGCUUGCAUUACUUUCAUUUCUUGAAAAACCUUCUGCUUAGUUUACACAUCGUAGCUGUGAAUAUGUCAUGUCGUCCGGUUUUUCUUACAUAUUCCAUCCUCAUACGGUUGUCUUACAUCAACGUAUUGCUUGUUUGUAUCAUGCAUCAAUGAGUUCUGAAGAGCGAUUUUAUUCUUUUGUGUUAUGGGUACGGCUUGACAUGGCAAAGUCAAAAAAGAGCAAGGAAAAUAAUAUAGUAGGGAGUGCUGUUACUCGUCGGGUGAAACGGAAAAGGAUCUGCCGUCGAGAUUCUGCUGGUACUUAUAGUGCAGUAGAAGGUCCAAUUCCACCGGCUAAAUCUACAAACACAGUAUCACCUGCUCCACCAGCUGCAGCAUCCGCUUCAACUGUACCAGCAUCUCAAUGAGUUACUCGUUCAUUUGCCCCGUAACUGGCCAGUUCCCUAGCUGCCUUCACACCUAACACUACUUCGGAAGCACUGCUGACACAAUAGGACUUGGCAAGAUCAUAUGAACCUCAUGAGCAUCAACACCAAGAUGGUGCCUAACCGAGUCAAGUUGCAGUUGCAUGCUCCUUUAUAUGUACUCUCACAGUUUGAUGUACAGUAACACUUUCUAUAUUCGUUGUUGAACUAGCACCACGGUGCAAGCGAAAAUAGACAUCAGGGAUAAUGCUUGACAGAUUAACAAAAUCUAAAGGAGGAAGAAUGGAGAUCCAUUUUGAGGCGGGUUUAAAAAGGCCAUGUGAUGCUACAGAGUCAGCCAAGUUAGUAUCAGAGGCAGCCGUUGACGUUAGGUGUCAUGCACGUAUCCUCCCAACGUGGAUCUAGUACAGGAAUGAGAAAGACAGUACCCAGUUUAACACCUUCCUUGACCAUUUAUCCGUAAGUAAUGUUAUUCAUCGCAAUUAGUAAUAUUGUCUUGCUCUGUCCCAUACUUUCUAGCUUCCUCCUAAUAAGACUCACAUUCUUUUUUCAAUAGAUGAGGUUCAAGUUGGAUCCGAAAGAUGAUGCAACUAAACAAGUACGCACUCAUGUUUUCAGUCUGCUCUACGACAGUAUCGGUACCACCUUAGAAAAUCUCACUUUCAAGGCAAGGCUAACAAUGAAAUCAACUAAACAUCUCGAGUGGAAUAUAUUACAGAUGAAGACUGGACAACCCUCGUUAAACACUGGUCUGAUCCAAAGUAUCAGGUAGGCUAUAUGUAUUUGAUCAGACCACAUAUUGAACUUGUAUUUUUUGUAUGUGCCUUACAAGUGUAUCUUCUUCUAGGCUAUCUGUUUGAAGAACAAGACCAAUGGUUCUAAAGUGAAUUUCCAACAGGCAACAGGAUCUCGUAGCUAUAUUGCACACUGCGAGGCUCUUGUAAAUAGCUGCUACUUCCCUUUUUUUCUGUGCCAUAUUAUCGUAUCUAUAUUGACUUGUUCCAAAUACAGAGGAAAGCUUGUGCAGACCAAAAAGAACCUGAACCGAAUGCAGUGCAAAUCUUCAAGGAUUGCCACACCAGCAAGAUGAAGGGCAUGAGCACACCAGUUCAAACCGUUGUUGUAAGUCCUUACUCCUCCUGCCUUUGAACUGAUUGGUACUGUGAUGUGUUCAUUUAACUCUUGGUUUACAGCCAAUGUCAGUUACUCUGUUCACUUUUAUACACAGUUUUCUUAACGUAUCAUUUCACCUUACAUGGUUUAAAAGAGAUGAAGGAUAUUCUUUUGGUCUUGAUCUGUAAUCUAGUUAUUAUGUUCAUGUGCGCACACAAUGAUAAAAUAGCAUGUCUGUUUUAUAUAUGUUUUCCCAUGAUAUGAAUGAUGCCGUACUAUGUUCAUCCUACUUUAAACCAUGUCUCUUUAUCCUUAGAUGUCAACGGAUGUGAGGAAAUAGACAAUACAGUAGGCAUGCUACAUGGACAUAUGUUCCGAAAGUGAUUUUAUUAUGUAGUUGGCACUACAAUACAUGCUAAUGUAUUACAGUAGUUCACCAAAAUAAGUUAUGUAUAAAUGUGUAACCUACUUUAUUUAUUUUUGUCUCAUUAGUAACUUAUUUGGUACACUAAUCUACAAGUUCAAACUUUUAGGAAGCUAUGGAAUAAAUGAUUGACAUCCACAACCACCUGAAGGUGACGAGGCUACCACAGGCACAAUGUCACCUCUUGCUACAGUGCGUCAGUAUCUCUCCACUAACAGUGCAAAAGGCACAUUCCUGCGUAAUUCUGGGUUGGUGCUACGUCUUGAGCUUGCGUUGGUUUUCCUUGAAGAGGAAAGGGUGAUGCAGCAAUAGUAGCGUAAGUAUUUCCCUCAGUUUUUGAGAACCAAGGUAUCAAUCCAGUAGGAGGCUCCUCAAAAGUCCCACGCACCUACACAAACAAAGAAAGAACUCGUAACCAACGCAAUAAAGGGGUUGUCAAUCCCUUCAAGGCCACUUGCGAAAGUGAGAUCUAAUAGAGAUAGUAUGAUAAGAUAAAUAUAUUUUUGGUAUUUUAUAAUAUAGAUGCAAAAAGUAAAGAUGCAAAUAAAAGUAGAUUGAAAGCAAAUAUGAUAAAAGAUAGACCUGGGGGCCAUAGGUUUCACUAGAGGCUUCUCUCAAGAUAGCAUAAGUAUUACGGUUGGUGAACAAAUUACUGUCGAGCAAUUGAUACAAAAGCGAAUAAUUAUGAGAUUAUCUAGGCAUGAUCACGUAUAUAGGCAUCAUGUCCGUGACAAGUAGACCGACUCCUGCCUGCAUCUACUACUAUUACUCCACACAUCGACCGACUCCUGCCUGCAUCUAGAGUAUUAAGUUCACAAAGAACAGAGUAACGCAUUAAGCAAGAUGACAUGAUGUAGAGGGAUAAAAUCAUGCAAUAUGAUAUAAACCCCAUCUUUUUAUCCUUGAUGGAAACAAUACAAUACGUGCCUUGCAACCCUUUCUGUCACUGGGUAAGGACACCGCAAGAUUGAACCCAAAGCUAAGCACUUCUCCCAUGGCAAGAAAGAUCAAUCUAGUAGGCCAAACCAAACUGAUAAUUCGAAGAGACUUGCAAAGGUAACUCAAUCAUACAUAAAUGAAUUUAGAGGAGAUUCAAAUAUUUCUCAUAGAUAAACUUGAUCAUAAACCCACAAUUCAUCGGAUCUCGACAAACACACUGCAAAAAGAGUUUACAUCGAAUACAUCUCCACAAGAGAGGGAGAAAACAUUGUAUUGAGAUCCAAAAAGAGAGAAGAAACCAUCUAGCUAAUAACUAUGGACCCGAAGGUCUGUGGUAAACUACUCACAACUCAUCGGAAGGUCUAAGGUGUUGAUGAAGAAGCCCUCCGUGGUCGAUUCCCCCUCCGGCGGAGCGCCGGCGAAGGCUCCAAGAUGGGAUCUCACGGAUACAAAAGAUUACGGCGGUGGAAAUUGUGUUUCGGUUGCUCCCUGGAUGUUUUCGGGGUACGUAGGCUUAUAUAGGAGGAAGAAGUACGUCGGUGGCCGCUCGAGGGGCCCACGAGACAGGGGGCGUGCCCUACCCUCUCGUGGCCGCCUUGGCUGCUUCUUGACUUGCACUCCAAGUCCUCUGGAUCACGUUCGUUCCAAAAAUCACGCUCCCGAAGGUUUCAUUCCAUUUGGACUCCGUUUGAUAUUCCUUUUCUUCGAAAUACUCAAAUAGGCAAAAAAACAGCAAUACGGCUAGGCCUCCGGUUAAUAGGUUAGUCCCAAAAAUGAUAAUAAUGUGUAAAAUAAAGCCCAUAAACAUCCAAAAGGGGUAACAUAAUAGCAUGGAACAAUCAAAAAUUAUAGAUACGUUGGAGACGUAUCAAGCAUCCCCAAGCUUAAUUCAUGCUCGUCCUCGGGUAGGUAAAUGAUAAAAACAGAAUUUUUGAUGUGGAAUGCUACCUAGCAUAAUUCUCAAUGUAAUUUUCUUUAUUGUGGCAUGAAUGUUCAGAUCAAAAUGAUUCAAGAUAAAAGCUUAUAAAACAUAAAAAUAAUAAUGCUUCAAAGCAUACUAACAAAUAAUCAUGUCCUAUCAAAAUAGCGUAGCCAAAGAAAGCUUAUCCCUACAAAAUCAUAUAGUUAGGCCAUGCUUCAUUUUCAUUACACAAAAUACUCCCAUCAUGAACAACACCGAUGACGAGCCGAGCAAUUGUUUCAUACUUUUUAACGCGCUUCAGCUUUUUCAACUCUUACGCAAUACAUGAGCGUAAGCCAUGGACAUAGCACUAAGGUGGUAAAAGAUGGUGGUUGUGAGGACAAAAGGAGGGAGAAGAUAGUCUCACAUCAACUAGGCGUAUCAACGGGCUAUGGAGAUGCCCAUCAAUAGAUAUCAAUGUGAGUGAGUAGGGAUUGCCAUGCAACGGAUGCACUGGAGCUAUAAAUAUAUGAAAGCUCAACAAAAAGAACUAAGUGGGUGUGCAUCCAACUCGCUUGCUCACGAAGACUUAGGGCAUUUUGAGGAAGCCCGUCAUUGGAAUAUACAAGCCAAGUUCUAUAAUGAAAAAUUCCCACUUAGUAUAUGAAAGUGACAACAUAGGAUACUCUCUAUCAUGAAGAUCAUGGUGCUACUUUGAAGCACAAGUGUGGAAAAAGAGAUAGUAGCAUUGUCCCUUCUAUCUUUUUCUCUCAUUUUAUUUUUUCUUUUUUUCUUUUUACUUUUUUUUCUUUGGCCUUUCUUUUUUUUUGGCCUUUCUCUUUUUUUCUUUUCUUUUUCUUCUCUUUUUUUUUCUUUUUGUAAAGUCCGAAGUCUCAUCCCGACUUGUGGGGGAAUCAUAGUCUUCAUCAUCCUUUCCUCACCGAGACAAUGCUCUAAUAAUGAAGAUCAUCACACUUUUAUGGAUUUACAACUCAAGAAUUACAACUCAAAGCUAGAAGAAGAUAUGACUCUAUAUGAAUGCCUCCGGCGGUGUACCGGGAUAUGUAAUGAACCAAGAGCGACAUGUAUGAAAAUUAUGAAGGUGGCCUUGCCACAAAUACGAUGUCAACUACAUGAUCAUGCAAAGAGCAAUAUGACAAUGAUGAAAUGUGUCAUAAUAAACGGAACGGUGGAAAGUUGCAUGGCAAUAUAUCUCGGAAUGGCUAUGAAAAUGCCAUAAUAGGUAGGUAUGGUCGCUGUUUUGAGGAAGGUAAAUAAUGGGUUCAAUACCGGCGAGAGUUGCGCGGUAAUAAGAGAGGCUAGCAAAGUGGAAGGAUGAGUGUGCGUAUAUCCAUGGACUCACAUUAGUCAUAAAGAACUCAUAUACUUAUUGCAAAAGUCUACUUAGCCCUCGAAGCAAAGUACUACUGCGCAUUCCCCAAGAGGGAUAGAUUGGUAGGAAAAGACCAUCGCUCGUCCCCGACUGCCACUCAUAAGGAAGACAAUCAAAAGAGCACCUCAUGCAAUAAAUUUGUCACACAACUUUUACCAUACGUGCAUGCUACGGGACUUGCUAACUUCAACAAAAGUAUUUCUCAAUUUCAUAAGUAUCCACUAGCAUGACCUAACAUUACUACCUUUAUAUCUCAAAACAAUUAUCAAGCAACAAAUUGAUCAUAGCAUCCAAUUCACUUCAUAUGGUAGUUUAUAUUAUACCCAACUUGGAUGCUCAUCAUUCUAGGACCAAAUUUGUAACCAUAGAAAAUACCAUGCUGUUCUAAAAGACUCUCAAAAUAAUAUAAGUGAAGCAUGAGAGACUAGAAAUUUCUUCAAAAUUAAGUUACCACCGUGCUCUAAAAAAUAUAAGUGAAGCACUAGAGCAAAAACUAUCAAUCUCAAAAGAUAUAAGUGAAGCACAUAGAGUAUUCUAGCAAAUUCUAAUCAAGUGGGCUUCCCCCAAAAGGUGUGUACAUCAAGGAUGAUUGUGACUAAAAAGCAAAGACUAAAAUAAUACACGACGCUCCAAGCAAAACACUCAUGUGGCAAAUAAAAAUAUAGCUCCAAGUAAAGUUACCAAUGAACGAAGACGAAAGAGGGGAUGCCUUCCCGGGGCAUCCCCAAGCUUAGGCUUUUGGCUAUCCUUGAAUAUCUUGGGGUGCCAUGGGCAUCCCCAAGCUUAGGCUCUUGCCACUCCUUAUUCCAUAGUCCAUAAAAGCUUUACCCAAAACUUGAAAACUUCGCAACACAAAACUCAACAGGAAAUCUUAUAAGCUCCGUUAGUGAAAGAAAACAAAACCACCACAUAAGGUACUGAAAUGAACUCAUUCUUUAUUUGUUUUGGUGUUAAACCUAAUACAUUCCAAGUUCUCUAUGGUUCAUACCCAUACAUACUAGUCAUAGAUGCAUCAAAAUAAGCAAACAACACACGAAAAACAGAAUCUGUCAAAAACAGAACAGUAUGUAGAAAUCUGUAACUAAUGCAAACUUCUGGAACUCUAAAAAUCCUACCAAAAUAGGACAUACUGGACAAUUUUUUUAUUGAUCAGCAUCAAAAAGAAGCACGUUUCUGUGAUUUAUUGAAUUGUUUCUCGUGAGCGCAAAGUUUCUGUUUUUCAGCAGAAUCAAAUCAACUAUCAUCAUAGGUUAUCCUAUAGGUUCUACUUGGCACAAACACUAAUUAAAAGAUAAAAACACAUCUAAACAGAAAGUAGAAGCAAAAUUUAUUACUAAACAGGAACAAAAACAAAAAACACAAAGAAAAUUGGGUUGCCUCCCAACUAGCGCUAUCGUUUAACGCCCCUAGCUAGGCAUAAAAGCGAAGAUAGAUCUAAGUAGUGCCAUCUUUGGCACUCAAUUCAUAUGUAGCUCGCAUGAUAGAUUCAUAAGGUAAUUUGAAUUUCUUUCUGGGAAAGUGCUCCAUGCCUUUCUUUAGUGGAAAUUGGAAUCUAAUAUUCCCUUCCUUCAUAUCAAUAAUCGCACCAAUCGUUCUAAGGAAAGGUCUACCAAGAAUAAUAGGGCAAGAAAGAUUGUAAUCUAUAUCAAGAACGAUAAAAUCUACGGGCACCAAAUUUCUAUUUGCAACAAUGAGAACAUCAUUGAUCCUUCCCAUUGGCUUUUUAAUGGUGGAAUCCGCAAGGUGCAAAUUUAAAGAGCAAUCAUCAAGAUCAUGGAAACCUAGAAUAUCACAUAAAGUUUUCGGAAUCGUGGAAACACUAGCACCCAAAUCACACAAAGCAAAACACUCAUGAUCUUUAAUUCUAAUUUUUCUAGUAGGUUCCCACUCAUCAUUAAGUUUUCAAGGUAUAGAAACUUACAAAUUAAGCUUUUCAUCAAAAGAUUGCAUCAAGGCAUCAACGAUAUGUUUGGUAAAAGCUUUAUUUUGACUAUAAGCAUGUGGAGAAUUAACAACGGAUUGCAACAAGGAAAUACAACCUUCUAAAGAACAAUUAUCAUAAUCAAAUUCCUUGAAAUCCGAGAUAGUGGGUUCAAUGCUAUUUAAAGUCAUGACCUCUCCAAUCCCACUUUUACCAAAUUUAGCAUCAAGAUCUAAAAACUCCGAAUUUUUGGGACGCCUUCUAGGUAAAGUUGACUCAUCUUCAGUCCCAUUAUUAUCAAGAUUCAUAUUGCAAAACAAAGAUCUAAUAGGAGACGCAUCAAUAACUGUAAGAUCUACAUCAUUAUUUUCAUGGAAACCAGAGGAACACGCCUUUAUAAAGCUAUCUUUCUUAGCACGCAAUCUAGUGGUUCUUUCCUUGCACUCGUCAAUGGAAAUUAUCAUUACUUUUAGAGACUCAUUGAUAUCAUGCUUAGGGGAAGAAGAUCUAAGUUUAAGAGAAUCAACAUCAAGCGAAAGUCUAUCAACGUUCCUAGCCAAAUCAUCAACUUUGAGCAAUUUUUCUUCAAGCAAAGCAUUAAAAUUCUUUUGAGAAAUCAUAAAUUCUUUCAAGCUAUUCUCAAAAUCAGAGGGCAUCUUAUUAAAAUUACCAUAAGAAUUAUUGUAGGAAUUUCCAUAAUUAUUAGAGGAAUUACUAAGGAACAGUCUAGAAUUAAAGUUUCCUCUAUAAGCAUUGUUUCCAAAACUAUUCUAACCAACAAAAUUCACAUCCAUAGAUUCAUUAUUAUUCUCAAUCAAAGUAGACAAAGGCAUAUCAUUGGGAUCAAUAGGAGUAUUUUUAGUAGCAAAAAAUUUCAUAAGUUCAUCCAUCUUUCCACUCAAAACAUUGUUUUCUUCUAUAGCAUGCACUUUUUUACUAGAAGAUCUUUCGGUGUGCCAUUGAGAAUAAUUUGCCAUAAUAUUAUCAAGAACUUUUGUAGCAUCUCGUAACGUGAUUUCCACAAACAUGCCUCCCGCGGCCGAAUCUAAGAGAUUUCUAGAAGCAAAGUUCAAACCGGCAUAAAUUUUUUGUAUGAUCAUCCAUAAAUUCAAACCAUGAGUAGGGCAAUUGUGAAUCAUCAAUUUCAUUCUUUCCCAAGAUUGGGCAACAUGCUCAUGAUCAAGUUGUUUAAAAUUCAUAAUAUCGUUCCUAAGAGUGAUAAUCUUAGUGGGAGGAAAAUACUUAGAGAUAAAAGCAUCUUUGCACUUGUUCCAAGAAUCAAUACUAUUUUUAGGCAAAGACGAAAACCAAACUUUAGCACGAUCUCUAAGUGAAAACGGAAAUAACUUCAAUUUAACAAUAUCAUUAUUCGUAUCUUUCUUCUUUUGCAUAUCACACAAAUCAAUAAAGUUGUUUAGAUGAGUAGUGGCAUCUUCACUAGAAGGUCGGCGAAUUGAUCUUUCAUAACAAGAUUCAGCAAAGCAGUAUUGAUUUCACAAGACUCAACAUCAUUAAGAGGAGCAAUCGGAGUACUAGGGAAAUCAUUAUUAUUGGUAUUCGAGAAAUCACACAAUUUGGUAUUAUCUUGCGCCAUGGCAACAAGUAAUCCAACACACAAGCAAACAGAAAAAGGCAAGCGAAAAGAGAGAGAGACAUUGGGAAAGAUAGGGCGAAUAAAACGGCAAGGGUGAAGUGGGGGAGAGGAAAAUGAGAGGCAAAUGGCAAAUAAUGUAAAUGCGAGGGAGAUGAGUUUGUGAUGGGUACUUGGUAUGUCUUGACUUGAGCGAAGACCUCCCCGGCAAUGGCGCCAGAAAUCCUUCUUGCUACGCCUUGAGCUUGCGUUGGUUUUCCUUGAAGAGGAAAGGGUGAUGCAGCAAUAGUAGCGUAAGUAUUUCCCUCAAUUUUUGAGAACCAAGGUAUCAAUCCAGUAGGAGGCUCCUCAAAAGUCCCACGCACCUACACAAACAAACAAAGAACUCGCAACCAACGCAAUAAAGGGGUUGUCAAUCCCUUCACAGCCACUUGCGAAAGUGAGAUCUAAUAGAGAUAGUAUGAUAAGAUAAAUAUAUUUUUGGUAUUUUAUAAUAUAGAUGCAAAAAGUAAAGAUGCAAAUAAAAGUAGAUUGAAAGCAAAUAUGAUAAAAGAUAGACCUGGGGGCAUAGGUUUCACUAGAGGCUUCUCUCAAGAUAGCAUAAGUAUUACGGUGGGUGAGCAAAUUACUGUCGAGCAAUUGAUAGAAAAGCGAAUAAUUAUGAGAUUAUCUAGGCAUGAUCAUGUAUAUAGGCAUCACGUCCGUGACAAGUAAACCGACUCCAGCCCGCAUCUACUAAUAUUAUUCCACACAUCGAUCGACUCUUGCCUGCAUCUAGAGUAUUAAGUUCACAAAGAAUAGAGUAACGCAUUAAGCAAGAUGACAUGAUGUAGAGGGAUAAACUCAUGCAAUAUGAUAUAAACCCCAUCUUUUUAUCCUCGAUGGCAACAAUACAAUACGUGCCUUGCAACCCUUUCUGUCACUGGCUAAGGACACCGCAAGACUGAACCCAAAGCUAAGCACUUCCCCCAUGGCAAGAAAGAUCAAUCUAGUAGGCCAAACCAAACUGAUAAUUCAAAGAGACUUGCAAAGAUAACUCAAUCAUACAUAAAAGAAUUCAGAGGAGAUUCAAAUAUUUCUCAUAGAUAAACUUGAUCAUAAACCCACAAUUCAUCGGAUCUCGACAAACACACCGCAAAAAGAGUUUACAUCGAAUAGAUCUCCACAAGAGAGGGGGAGAACAUUGUAUUGAGAUCCAAAAAGAGAGAAGAAGCCAUCUAGCUAAUAACUAUGGACCCAAAGGUCUAUGGUAAACUACUCACAACUCAUCGGAAAGGCUAUGGUGUUGAUGUAAAAGCCCUCCGUGGUCCAUUCCCCCUCCGGCGGAGCGCCGACGGAGGCUCCAAGAUGGUAUCUCGUGGAUACAGAAGGUUACGGCGGUGGAAAUUGUGUUUCGGUUGCUCCCUAGAUGUUUUCGUGGUACGUAGGCGUAUAUAGGAGGAAGAAGUACGUCGGUGGCUGCCCAAGGGGCCCAAGAGACAGGGGGCGCGACCUGUAGGGGGGGCGCGCCCUACCCUCUCGUGGCCGCCUCGGCUGCUUCUUGACUUGCACUCCAAGUCCUAUGGAUCAUGUAUGAUGCUGCCAAAGGCUUCAGUAAUUACGAUGCUAUUUUUAUAUAGUGUAGGUUUAUCUUAAUAACGUAUUCGGCCGAAAGCUUCAUAGGAGCCCAACAUGCCAACAUUCGUCGGGCCCACUCCAAUUGGGCUAAAACUGAUUAUGGGCCGAAAUUUGCAUGUAGCCCACUAAAAAUAUUUGGGCUUAAAUCAGCAUAAGCUUUCAUAUUUUUCUGGUAGGCCUAUGCCCAUAGUGGUCCUUUAACAGGCCUAAACAUAAUUUGGGCCCUCAGUAACAAUAGGACAUUUACAGGUGUAAAUAUCUCGAGCCCAUAAAAACAUGGGCCUUUAAUAGGCCGAAAGUAAGAUUGGGCCCUGAUAGUGCCAAAUAACCCACUAGUCUUAGCAGGCCGAAAUGGUGGCCCACUUACGAUGCAGAUCUUUCACAGGCCGAAAUUCGGACGGGUCGUAAAUACGCAGACCUAAUACACGGGCCUUUAACAGGCCGGAAGUUCGGCCGGGCUAGAUUAGCGUCAUUUUUAUAUGGGUCCUUAAUGGGCCCGAUGUGACGUUAGGCCACGUAUGGCCCAUGGAUUUCGUCCGAUGUUAACAGGCCGAAAAUCACAAUAGGCUGAAAGUGGACCAAAUAUAUAGUGGUCCUCUAAUAGGCUGAAUGUUAGACAUGGCCGAAUAUGAUCCAAAUCCUUCACGGUCAUUUGUGGGCUGAAAGUUUCAAUGGCCUGUAAAAGGUCCUAAAUGAAGUGGGACCUUUAACAGGCCGAAAAUACACUAGGUCGUAAUUUAGUCCAAAUACUUAGUGGGCUGUUAAUGGGACAGAAGUGACCAUGGGCCACGAUGAUGACAAGUUUAGGGCAUGUCGUUGACGGGCCGAUUUGACACUAGCCGUACGGGCCUUAACUGAGAAUGUUGGGCCUUUAGCUGGGCAGACCCAUUAUGGUCUGCAAAAUCUUGUGGGCCUUUAGCUGGGUCGGCCCAUUGUGGUCCGCUAAAUCUUGUGGGCCUUUAGCUGGGCCAGCCGAUUAUGGUCUGCAAAAUCUUGUGGGCCUUUAGCUGGGUCGACCCAUUAUGGUCUGCUAAAUCUGGUGGGCCUUUAGCUGGGCCGGCCCAUUUAAACUUUACGGUCCACUUUUGGGCCCGUCCACGUGUCGACAUAUCAUAGGCCCAUCUUGACCGUUGGAUGAGUGACACCUAUGCCAACGCGGAGCUGACACGUGGUUCCGUCGGCCAAUGAGAAUUUUACACAUGGAAAAUCGGCAUUGGUCGUGGCUGUUAGCGGGUUAUCGGAUCCAAAACCGGACUCGAUAGCUUAAUGGCGCUUAACGGCAUCCCGUUAUGGUGGAUGCCACAUGUCGGUCACCGUUGACAAAAGCACUUUUAUGAUGCGCGAUUUAUCAUCAUGGAAGUGGACACUUCCGUGAUGAUAAUUUUGGUAAUGUCAUGGAACACUUCUACGACAGCACAGGUAUGACUAUAUUGAUUCUGUCAUAAAAUCGUCAUGGAUGUACAUGCAUGACAGAAAACGUGACCUACUGUGACAAACAUGUAUCAUCACGGAAGUAUAUUUUUUUUGGAGUGCGGUUUGUGGUUCUGCAAUUGUUCGGACAGCGGGUUGGAGUUCUUGUAGCUUCGGUCAGCCAUCCCCAACGUACAGGUUACAUCCAACCUUGGCAGGUAUAAAGCUAGUUAUCCCGGCUGCUUGCAGCUAGUUAACCCUGAUGUCUACUACACAACCUUCUUCUUGUAGACGUUGUUGGGCCUCCAAGUGCAGAGGUUUGUAAGACAGUAGCAAAUUUCCCUCAAGUGGAUGACCUAAGGUUUAUCCAUCCAUGGGAGGCGUAGGAUGAAGAUGGUCUCUCUCAAACAACCCUGCAACCAAAUAACAAAGAGUCUCUUGUGUCCCCAACACACCCAAUACAAUGGUAAAUUGUAUAGGUGCACUAGUUUGGCGAAGAGAUGGUGAUACAAGUGCAAUAUGGAUAAUAGAUAUAGGUUUUUGUAAUCUGAAAAUAUAAAAACAGCAAGGUAGCAAGCGAUAAAAGUGAGCGUAAAUGGUGUUGCAAUGCUUCGAAACAAGGCCUAGGGUUCAUACUUUCACUAGUGCAAGUUCUCUCAACAAUAAUAACAUAAUUGGAUCCCUCAACGCGCAACAAAGAAUCACUCCAAAGUCACUAAUAGCGGAGAACAAACGAAGAGAUUAUUGUAGGGUACAAAACCACCUCAAAGUUAUUCUUUCCGAUCAAUCCAUUGGGCUAUUCCUAUAAGUGUCACAAACAGCCCUAGGGUUCGUAGUAAAAUAACACCUUAAGACACACAUCAACCAAAACCCUAAUGUUACCUAGAUACUCCAAUAUCACCACAAGUAUCCGCGGGUAUGAUUAUACGAUAUGCAUCACACAAUCUAAGAUUCAUCUAUUCAAACCAACACAAAGUACUUCAAAGAGUGCCCCAAAGUUUCUACCGAAGAGUCAAGACGAAAACGUGUGCCAACCCCUAUGCAUAAGUUCACAAGGUCACUGAACCCGCAAGUUGAUCACCAAAACAUACAUCAAGUAGAUCACGUGAUAUCCGAUUGUCACCACAGAUAAGCACAUGCAACACAUACAUCAAGUGUUCUCAAAUCCUUAAAGACUCAAUUCGAUAAGAUAACUUCAAAGGGAAAACUCAAUCCAUUACAAGAGAGUAGAGGGGGAGAAACAUCAUAAGAUCCAACUAUAAUAGCAAAGCUCGCGGUACAUCAAGAUCGUGCCAUAUCAAGAACACGAGAGAGAGAGAGAGAGAGAGAGAGAGAUCAAACACAUAGCUACUGGUACAUACCCUCGGCCCCCGAGGGUGAACUACUACCUCCUUGUCAUGGAGAGUGCCGGGAUGAUGAAGAUGGCCAUCGGUGAUGGAUCUUCAGCAGGGUGCCAGAAUAGGGUCUUGAUUGGUUUUUGGUGGCUAUAGAGGCUUGCGACAGCGAAACUCCUGAUCUAGGUUUAUUUCUGGGGGUUUCUUUAUUUAUAGGAAUUUGUGGCAUCGGUCUCACGUCAGGGGGGUCUCCGAGUCGUCCAUGAGAUAGGGGGCGCGCCCUCCGCCCUCGUGGACGGCCCGGGACUCUCCUGGCCCAACUCUUUUACUCGGGGGGCUUCUUUUGGUCCAUAAAAAAUCAUCAAAAAUUGGAACGUCAAUUGGACUCCGUUUGGUAUUCCUUUUCUGUAGAACUCAAAAACAAGGAAAAACAAAAACUGGCACUGGGCUCUAGGUUAAUAGGUGAGUCCCAAAAAUCAUAUAAAAUAGCAUAUAAAUGCAUAUAAAACAUCUAAGAUGGAUAAUAUAAUAGCAUGGAACAAUCAAAAAUUAUAGAUACGUUGGAGACGUACCAAGCAUCCCCAAGCUUAAUUCCUGCUCGUCCUCGAGUAGGUAAAUGAUAAAAACAGAAUUUUUGAAGUGGAAUGCUACCUGACAUAUUUAUCAAUGUAAUCUUCUUUAUUGUGGCAAGAAUAUUCAGAUCCAUAAGAUUCAAAACAAAAGUUUAAUAUUGACAUGAAAAUGAUAAUACUUCAAGCAUACUAACAAAGCAAUUAUGUCUUCUCAAAAUAACAUGGCCAAAGAAAGCUUAUCCCUACAAAAUAAUAUAGUUUGGCUAUGCUCCAUCUUCGUCACACAAAAUAUUCAAAUCAUGCACAACACCGGUUUCAGCCAAGCAAUUGUUUAAUACUUUAGUAUUCUCAAACUUUUUCAACUUUCACGCAAUACACGAGCAUGAGCCAUGGACAUAGCAGUAUAGGUGGAAUAAAAUAUGGUGGUUUUGGAGAAGACAAAAAGGAGAAGAUAGUCCACAUCAACUAGGCGUAUCAACGGUCUAUGGAGAUGCCCAUCAAUAGAUAUCAAUGUGAGUGAGUAGGGAUUGCCAUGCAACUAAUGCACUAGGGCUAUAAGUGUAUGAAAGCUCAAAAACAAACUAAGUGGGUGUGCAUCCAACUCGCUUGCUCACGAAGACCUAGGGCAUUUGAGGAAGCCUAUCAUUGGAAUAUAAAAGUCAUGUUCUAUAAUGAAAAAUUCCCACUAGUAUAUGAAAGUGACAACAUAGGAGACUCUCUAUCAUGAAGAUCAUGGUGCUACUUUGAAGCACAGGUGUGGAAAAAGGAUAGUAACAUUGCCCCUUCUCUCUUUUUCUCUCAUAUCUUUUUUUAUUUUGGCCUUCUCUUUUUUAUGGCCUCUUUGUUUUUCCUUUUUUUUAUUUUCUUUUUUUCGUCCGGAGUCUCAUCCCAACUUGUGGGGGAAUCAUAAUAUCCAUCAUCCUUUCCUCACUGGGACAAUGCUCUAAUAAUGAUGAUCAUCACACUUUUAUUUAAUUACAACUCAAGAAUUACAACUCAAUACUUAGAACAAAAUAUGACUCUAUAUGAAUGCCUCCGGCGGUGUACUGGGAUGUGCAAUGAAUCAAGAGUGACAUGUACGAAAGAAUUAUGAACGGUGGCUUUUCCACAAAUACGAUGUCAACUACAUGGUCAUGCAAAACAAUAUGACAAUGAUAAAGUGUGUCAUAGUAAACGGAACGGUGGAAAGUUGCAUGGCAAUAUAUCUUGGAAUGGCUAUGUAAAUGCCAUAAUAGGUAGGUAUGGUGGCUGUUUUGAGGAAGGUAUAUGGUGGGUGUAUGGUACCAGCGAAAGUUGUGCGGUACUAGAGAGGCUAGCAAUGGUGGAAGGGUGAGAGUGUGUAUAAUCCAUGGACUCAACAUUAGUCAUAAAGAACUCACAUACAUAUUGCAAAAAUCUACAAGUGAUCAAAACCAAGCACUACGCGCAUUCUCCUAGGGAAGGGUUGGUAGGAGUUAACCAUCGCGCGAUCCUGACCUCCACACAUAAGGAUGACAAUCAAUAAAUAAAUCAUGCUCCGACUUCAUCACAUAACGGUUCACCAUACAUGCAUGCUACGGGGAUCACAAACUUUAACACAAGUAUCUCUCAAAUUUACAACUACUCCACUAGCAUGACUCUAAUAUCACCAUCUUCAUAUCUCGAAACAAUCAUAAAGAAUCAAAAUUCUUAUAGUAUUCAAUGCACUUUAUAUGGAAGUUUUUAUUAUAUCCCUCUUGGAUGCCCAUCAUAUUAGGACUAAAUUCAUAACCAAAGCAAAUUACCAUGCUGUUCUAAGAUACUCUCAGAAUAAUAUAAGUGAAUCAUGAGAGUUCAUCAAUUUCUUCAAAAAUAAAACUACCAUCGUGCUCUAAAAAGAUAUAAGUGAAGCACUAGAGCAAAUGACAAACUACUCCAAAAGAUAUAAGUGAAGAUCAAUGAGUAGUCGAAUAAUUAUGCAACUAUGUGAAGACUCUCUAACAUUUAAGAAUUUCAGAUCUUGGGAUAUUGUUCAAACAGCAAUCAAAACAAAAUAAAACAAAAUGAUGCUCCAAGCAAAACACAUAUCAUGUGGUGAAUAAAAAUAUAGCUCCAAGUAAAGUUACUGAUGAACGAAGACGAAAGAGGGGAUGCCUUCCGGGGCAUCCCCAAGCUUAGUUUCUUGGUUGUCAUUGAAUAUUACCUUGGGGUGCCUUGGGCAUCCCCAAGCUUACGCUCUUGCCACUCCUUAUUCCAUAGUCCAUCGAAUCUUUACCCAAAACUUGAAAACUUCACAACACAAAACUCAACAGAAAACUCGUAAGCUCCAUUAGUAUAAGAAAAUAAUCACCACUUAGGUACUGUUGUGAACUCAUUAUAAAUUCAUAUUGGUCUUAUAUCUACUGUAUUCCAACUUCUCUAUGGUUCAUACCCUCCGAUACUACUCAUAGAUUCAUCAAAAUAAGCAAACAACACAUAGAAAACAGAAUCUAUCAAAAACAGAACAGUCUGUAGUAAUCUGUAACUCUCGAAUAAUUUUGUAACUCCAAAAUUUUUGAAAUAAAUUGGUGGACGUGAGUAACUUGUCUAUUAAUAUUAUGCAAAAAUAAUCAACUUAAAAUCACUCUUAUGUUAAAAAUGACAAUUAUUCUUGUGAGCGCAAAGUUUCUGUUUUUUACAGCAAGAUCGCAUUAACUUCCACCCAAGUCUUCCCAAAGGUUCUACUUGGCACUUUAUUGAAACAAAAGCUAUAAAACAUGAUUACUAAGAUUAAUCAUGUGGACACACAAAAAUAGUAGGGGUAAAUAUUGGGUUGUCUCCCAACAAGCGCUUUUCUUUAAUGCCUUUUUAGCUAGGCACGAUGAUGACAAUGAUGCUCACAUAAAAGAUAAGAAUUGAAACAUAAUAGCAGCAUCAUGAAGCAUAUGACUAGCACAUUUAUGUCUAACCCACUAUGCCUAGGGAUUUUGUGAACAAACAACUUAUUAGAACAAUAAUCAACUAGCAUAGGAAGGCAAAACAAGCAUAACUUCAAGAUUUUCAGCACAUAGAGAGGAAAUUUGAUAUUAUUGCAAUUCCUACAAGCAUAUAUUCAUCCAUCAUAAUAAUUUUCAGUAGCAUCAUGAAUGAAUUCAACAAUAUAACCAUCACAUAAAGCAUUAUUUUCAUGAUGCACAAGCAUAGAAAUUUUAUUACUCUCCACAUAAGCAAAUUUCUUCUCAUGAAUAGUAGUGGGAGCAAACUCAACAAAAUAACUAUCAUGUGAGGCAUAAUCCAAUUGAAAAUUUAAAUCAAGAUGACAAGUUUCAUGGUUAUCAUUAUUCUUUAUAGUAUACAUGUCAUCACAAUAAUCAUCAUAGAUAGCAACUUUAUUCUCAUAAUAAAUUGGAACCUCUUCUGAAAUAGUGGAUUCAUCACUAAAUAAAGUCAUGACCUCUCCAAAUCCACUUUCAUCAAUAUAAUCAUCAUGAAUAGGAGGCAUGCUAUCAUCAAAAUAAUUUUGCUCAUCAAAACUUCGGGGACUAAAAAUAUCAUCUUCAUUAAACAUGGAAUCCCCAAGCUUGUAGCUUUGCAUAUCAUUAGCAUCAUGGAUUGUCGGGGAAACUGAUCCACGAACACCUAUGGGACCGGCGGACCGAGCCCCUUUCGGUUCGGCGGGGGGCGGAGAUCACAUGAAGAGCAGGUCGAGGCGAAGCACACGAGCGGUUUACCCAGCUUCGGAGCUCUCCGGAGAGAUAAUACUCCUACUGCUGCUUGUCUGAUUGUAUUGAGUUCUUGCUCGAGAGCGCUGAGUGCUACAGUGCACUCUAGCUGCUAACGAGACCGAGCGUGAGUGUUUUCUGGCUUCGAACCUCCCGAACCCCCCUCUAUGUUGCGCAUGGGCCUCCUUUUAUAUGCUCAAGGGGUCACCGACAGGUGGCCACGUAGACAAGGGUAAAAAUGGAAAAGGAGUAGCGGUUGGUACAGCUACCUGUACAGUGUAUCCUACCUAACCCUGACGGUAGGGGACAAAGGCAUUAAAUGCCCGUCUAUGUCGCCCAAAUAGUGCAAAAAGGGACCGUCAGGGACGCCACCGCUCGCCACGAUGGCAAUCUUGUCAGCGCUGCUUGCCACCGUGCACCGCUGGCUGCAUAGCCUCUCGCCACACGCGCCUGGAAAGGUCCCAGGGCGACACGUUGGUGGAUGUGCUGGAGCGCAGGUGCAGAGCGAUAGCUUGUCGCGGCAAACGCCUUGCCGCGGUCGUUGUCUUGUCGCGCUCGGAAACUUGUCGCUCACCGGGCCUCGCCGGGACGCGUGGCGCGUCGCGGCAAGUUCCUUGAGAUGCCUUGGUUGGCCUUCCCGGCAAGCUCCUCUUGCCGGGGCCUUGUCUCUUUGGCUUGAAUAUUUUGUUCAUGUGCCUUGGUCGGCCUUCCCGGCAAGCUCCUCUUGCCGGGGCCUUGUCUCCUUGCGUGAAUACUUUGUUCUUGAAUGGCUCCACAGGAACCACAGAGGACCUUGGCGGUUGCCCGGCAAGCCCUGCCGCGGGGUGCUGCAACUGCCCGUGCACAAGUUCGGGAUACUAGGGUACCCCUACUCUAGUACACCGACAGGAGCCCCCGGGCCUGGGCCACACAUGGUGCCGAGCGUUGUUGGGCCAGGCCCAAAACAGGGCACGGGCACGCGCGGCCUGGGUUACGCUGUAUCUUACUCCGUAUCCACCGCGCCCUCCCCGAACGGCACGCGUUGAAUGCGGCAUCAUGGGAGAGAUCGUGGGUGGUUUCUUUAAUCGGAAAGACGGAACGCCCGCCCCCUCCCCCUUUAUAAGCAGGGGAAAUAGGGGCAGUUCGCCCAUCUCGCCGGUUGCUGCUCCAAUCUCAGAAAUCUCCGUCGCUCCCUCCCUCUUCCCAAAGCCGAAAGAGAGCAGCGCUCCGCCCCCCAUCGCCACUAGCAUCACCAACGCUGUUGAUCUCCCCCACCACCUCCGCCAUGGCUCCGAAAGCCGACAAGGGGAAGGUCGUGAAGUCGGCCGAGGCGCAGCGGCUCGCGGUGCUGCGGAUGGNNNNNNNNNNNNNNNNNNNNNNNNNNNNNNNNNNNNNNNNNNNNNNNNNNNNNNNNNNNNNNNNNNNNNNNNNNNNNNNNNNNNNNNNNNNNNNNNNNNNNNNNNNNNNNNNNNNNNNNNNNNNNNNNNNNNNNNNNNNNNNNNNNNNNNNNNNNNNNNNNNNNNNNNNNNNNNNNNNNNNNNNNNNNNNNNNNNNNNNNNNNNNNNNNNNNNNNNNNNNNNNNNNNNNNNNNNNNNNNNNNNNNNNNNNNNNNNNNNNNNNNNNNNNNNNNNNNNNNNNNNNNNNNNNNNNNNNNNNNNNNNNNNNNNNNNNNNNNNNNNNNNNNNNNNNNNNNNNNNNNNNNNNNNNNNNNNNNNNNNNNNNNNNNNNNNNNNNNNNNNNNNNNNNNNNNNNNNNNNNNNNNNNNNNNNNNNNNNNNNNNNNAGGAACUGAGGGAGUACUACUACCUCUUCUGGUCGAUGGAGACGCGAGCGCAUCCGCGCACAAAGGUACUCCCCGUUGCCGCUUCGGAACUGGCUCCAAAUGGGUACCCCUUCUUCGCGCUGUUCUUCUACUGCGGGCUCUGCCCGCCUUUCUCUGAAUUUUUCUGCGACAUCAUGAACACCUACGGGUUCCGCCUCCUUGACUUCACCCCCAAUGUUGUCCUGACCAUGGCAGUUUUCGCACAUCUCUGUGAAAACUUUGUCGGAGUCCAUCCCAACGUAGCUCUUUUCCGCCAUUUCUUCAUGCCCCGGGUAGAGAGAGGAGAGCCCUUAUCCGGUGGAAUCGCCUGGAUCUCGAGGACUGGCAAGAAGGAGGCCUAUCUGGAGGGAGAGCUCCGCAGAAAGUGGCUGGAAUGGAGGGCAGAAUGGUGCUGGAUCGUCGAGGAGAACCCGCAGCCCUUCACCGCCCAGCGCCAAGUCCCAAUAGCACGCGGCAAUGAUUGGAGCAACGUGGCCCCGGAAGACGACAAGCUGAGGAUUGCCGUCACCCGGAUCCUAUGCCUUAGGCUUGCCGGGCUCACCGUAGGCGCCGUUGGCGCAGAUUUCCUUCGCCGCCGCAUCGCCCCCCUGCAGGAGAGGAGGAGACCCGCCUGGGAGUCCCAGAACUCGGCGGAUAUCAUGAGGCUGCGCCCGGGCCUCAACUUCAACUUCACUGUCCUGGAGCUGGACGUGAUGCUCCUGGAACUGUUCAAGCGCGAUCCUCAACAUCCAUUCAUGUUGCCGAGGGGUGUGAUUCCGCUGUGUAACAACUCCUCGCUCGACCGCAUCCGGGCAAUGAUGCCGUUGUGCGAUUCACAUGGGAUUGUCCCAACUUGGCAAGAGCCUGCCGAUGACGUCGUACAGGAGUUCUUCGACAGCUUGGUAGAAGUGGCGAUCCGCUCUGAUGAACAGAAGAGCCUCACCCGCGACACCACCGAUGCGGAGAUGCAGUGCAUCGCCACCAGGCUGGAAGAGGCGGCGGCAGCAGCUGCUGCGGGCGAGUUUGGAUUCACCGUGGAGGAGGCAGAGGCAGCAGAGGCGGCAAGCCUUGCCGAGCGAGAGGAGUUUGCCGGCGAGGAAGAACUUGUCGGGCCUGAAGCUGAGUCGAGCGAGCCCGGCGAGGGAGAGCUUGUCGGGCUCGAACCUUCAGGCAGCUCGUCGCAAGCGGAGCCCCCAGCUCCACCAAGAAGGCGUCUCCGCAGGGCCGGGGACGUAGCGGAGCGGCAGACGAGUCAACAGCCGCCGAGCCGUGCGACACGCUCUACUACGGCAAGCAGUGCUGCUGCGGGAGUGCCUCACGCCGCUGCGGUAACUGGAGCGGGGUCUUCCCGAUCCACCGCCACUGCCCCUGCCAAGCGGGCAAGGGAACCCACUCCUCCGCCUCGUCGCACCGGAGGCGAGCCGGACUUCGAUCUUUCCGCGCUCAGCUCCGACGAGGAAGAAGAAGAGUAAGACUCUUUACUGUACUUGUAAUUCUUCAAUUUUUGUUGCUUUGUCUUGUAUCUGACUUGCUUCACUCUGAACCCAUUCCUUUUCAGGACGCUGGCCCAGAGAGCGGCGAAGAGAGCCAAGGCCCCGGUAAUUGUCAUCGAGGACAACCCCACUGUGAUGGCAGGGGACAUGUCCGAGACUACCUUGCCGGACCCGGCAACCCUUCCUCCAAGCAGCCCCCAGCGCAGCCCCCAGCGUAAGUAUAUGGUUUAUUUCCUGCUGUUGGGCGCGCAUGGGUGCUUUUUCUUUGCUGAUAUCUGACUUUGGCUUGUGUAGGAGCAGAGCAGCCUCACCAGGAGUGCCCGGAAGCCGCUCCCGAAGUGCCAUCUGCUUCAACUACACCGCCAAGGGAGAAUUCCCCGGCACGGGAGCGUUCUCCGGCAAGGGAGAAUUCUCCGGCAAAGGACCGUUCUCCGGCAAGGGAGAAUUCUUCGGCAAGGGGCAGUUCUCCGGCAAGGGACAGCACUAGCGACCCUCCAGUGGUUGAGGCCACGACUGCAGGUCCUAGCACAGGUAAUCCUUCUGCUUGAAAAUUUCCCUUGGGCUCUUCUUCUUCUGAUUUUUCUUUUUGGAUGUUUGCUUGACUUCUCUCCCUUUUUCCGUUCGUCAGAUCCAUCUGCCAUGGAGCCGAUGGAAACCGAGGCCGUCGGCGAGGAGAACGCGCGCAGCAGUGUUGACGACGUCGUCGCCACCGAAGGAGAAGCCAGCGCUGAUGAUCCCGCCAGCGAAGAGGCCGCCAAGGCUGCCGCCGCAGAAGCCGGCGAGGGAUCAGGCGAUUGCACUGACAGCCCCGAGGCCGCAGGAGCGCUAGGCGCUACGCCGACCGCCGAUCCUUCUGCCGCUGCUGCAGCGCCAGGCUCCGAAGAGCCCCAGCCCGGCGCCUAUCUGAAGGCCGGCGGCGGCAUCUUCAUCAAUCUCCCCUGGGCAUCAAGCUCCAGGGCGCCGGUUGAAGGAGAGAUGCUGGAUGGAGAAGUGCCUAGCGCCAAGCAGCAGCAGCGACGAGCCUGAGGAGGAGCGGCUGCUGCGGAAGCUGUUAUCGCUGUACCGCGCCCGACAAGCCAAGCUGGUCUCUCGAGAAGCACUUGUCGCGAAGGCGGGAGUAGACAUUGAGAAGCGCGCGGAGGAGCUCCGGAGUUUCAGGCAGGAAGCUCUCCGGGCCCUGGCAGAGGAGCGGGAACAGGUCGACGAGGAGCGGAAGGCCUUCCUCCUCGAGAAGGCUGAAAUUGAAGAGCGACGGCGACUUCUUGCCGAGAAGUUGUCUGCGCAAGAAGGCGAGUUGGCGCAGCGCAAGGUCAACCUUGACAGCCACGAGGAGGAGCUUGCCGCGCGCGAGCAAACACUCGGCGGGGCUCUCAAGGAGGCAAAGGAUGCUGCCGCAGCCACCAAGGCCGCCAAGAAGGAGCUGGAGACGAAGAUGGCGCAGCUGGAAGCCGAUCUCAAGGCGAGCGGCGAAGAGCUUGCUGCGCUCAAGCGCGAGCGCGAGAAGGACGCCGCUGCUCAUGGUGAGCUGCAAGGUCGUCUCGCUGAGAGGAGCAAGGAGCUCAGCGCUGCCAAGGACUCCAACGCAGAUCUCGAGUUGAAGCUGGCCACUUUGACUCAGACGCUAGACGGCGCCAGGGAGCGGGAAGCGGCCUUGUCGGAGAAGAUCAAGGCCGACGAGGCGCUGCUGGCGAAUGCUGCUGCCGCCCAGGACACUUUUAGGGAGACCGUGGAGCAUUGGACCGAGGGUCUUGUGGAUGCUGCCGCGGCCAUCGACAAGGAGCUGGCGCAGCUGGGGAUGGAGGAUUUCGGGUACUCCUCCGAUGAGCACCUCCAACCUAGCGCCAAGCUCAGCUUGUUCUUCGAAGGCGUGGUGACGGCCCUCCAGCGACUCCGGGAGAAGAUCCCAAAGCAGCUGGCCGACGAGUCGCGCAAGAUCUGCGCAGGGGCUCUCCAGAAGGUGCUGGUGAAGGUGGCCUUCCGCAACCCAGGCCUCAACCUCACCAACGUCCUCAGGUCCUUGCCGCCGGAUGCUGACCUAGAAGCGCUCAAGGCCCUUGUCGCACCCAUUGUGGACAAGGUGAGCGGGAUCAAGAGGGUUGAGGGCGAUCGUGUAGAUUAGGCCGCCCAUUUUCUCUUUUCCUUGUCGCUGCUGGUCAUGUUACGACACAAACUGUUAGAGCUGCGACAAGCUAUCUUGUAAUACGACUUUAUUUUGGAUAGCAAUUGCUAUGUUAUCUCCUUUACUUGAUUCCUUCCUUUGUAUGUUUUUGCCCUACGCUUUUAGGGAACUUGUCGGCGCAGGCACCUUAGCCGUGAGCGCUGAGUGCGGAACGUCAGCAGCCUGCUGGCGGUGCCGCUGCCGACAAGAAACCUUGUCGCAACUAGUCGCAGCUCACUUAAGUUGUUGAGCGGACUCGAAACAAAAUAAGGGCGCAACUAGCUACGAGUUGGUUCCUCCGCGCACAGGUUUUCCAUACAAAGCAGGGUCGUUCGAGGAAGAUAACUUAAAAAGUAAAACUGAUUGCUCAAACUUUGGCAACUUAGCUUUUCUCUUAGCUUUUCUGUCGUUUGUUUUCCGGUAAGGCGAAAACUUCCUUGAACGACGCCUGGUCCACACCAUUAUCUUCUCCUUUCCCCCCGGCAAACUUGUGUGCGAGGGAACUUCCUUCCUUUGAGAAAUAGAAAGAAGAGAAAAUAAUGAUAUGGAGCCUUACGGCUCGUUAUUGCUUACCGGGGGUAGGCGCUGCACAAAGUGUUAGAUACAUGCAUGCAAAGAAAAGUAGAAAGCAUGAAAUUGACAAGAUGUGCAGAGCACAUGAGCUUUACUUAUGCACGGGAUCUGCGCCCGGCUUUGUACAAAGGAUUACAUGCAACAUCGGCAAGACUUGUACAAAAGGUGGUUGCCGGAAUAGGUUCCGGCAACCGCGCCUUACGGGUAAAACUUACGAAGAUGCUCAAUGUUCCAGGAGUUGCUCACCGGAAUGCCAUCUUCGGUCUCAAGGCGGACAGCGCCAGGCCUAGUGACUCGUUUCACCCGGUAAGGGCCUUCCCACUUCGGCGUCAACUUGUUGGAAUUCUUGGCGGACUGAACGCGCUGAAGAACAAGGUCGCCUUCCUCGAGACUUCUGGCAUUAACUUGGCGGCUAUGGUAGCGGCGCAAAGCUUGCUGGUAUCGAGCAGCUCGUACAGCAGCCUGAAGACGGUCCUCCUCAAGGAGCAGCGCGUCGUCUUGUCGCAGCUGCUCUUGCUCAAGCUCAUCAUAAGCGAGCACUCGAGGCGACCCGUAUACGAGUUCCGUGGGGAGAACAGCCUCUGCUCCAUAGACUAGAGCGAAAGGUGUCUGGCCAGUGGCUCGAUUUGGCGUCGUCCUGACCGACCAAAGAACCACCGGCAGCUCCUCAAUCCAGUUCUUUCCGCACUUGCGCAGCCUGUCGAAAGUUCUGGUCUUGAGCCCGCGCAGCACUUCAGCAUUUGCCCUCUCCGCUUGACCGUUGCUUCUCGGAUGGGCAACAGAAGCGAAGCAGACCUUGGCGCCAAGAUCUUGGACGUACUGCAUGAAGGUGCGGCUCGUGAAUUGCGUGCCGUUGUCGGUGAUGAUCCUGUUAGGGAUCCCGAAGCGGCAAACAAUCGACCUGAAGAACUUGACUGCUGACUGUGCUGUCACCUUCCUCAUUGCUUCCACUUCCGGCCACUUUGUGAACUUGUCGAUUGCAACGUACAAGUACUCAAAGCCCCCGACAGCUCGGGGAAAGGGACCGAGGAUGUCGAGCCCCCAGACCGAAAAUGGCCAGGAUAAAGGGAUCGUCUGGAGAGCUUGAGCUGGCUAGUGUAUCUGCUUGGAAUGGAACUGGCACGCUUCACAUUUGGUUACUUGUGCAGUUGCAUCCUGGAGGGCUGUCGGCCAAAAGAAACCAUGCCGGAACGCUUUGCCGGCAAGUGCUCUUGCGCCAAUGUGGUGACCACAUAUGCCUCCAUGUAUCUCUGCCAACAGCUUUUGUCCGUCUUCCCGGUGAAUACACUUCAAUUUCACGCCGUUGAGUCUUCUUCUGUAUAGUGUGUUGUCGACAAACUGGUACAUACUUGACUGUCGGGCUACUCUUUCCACUUCUUCUUGCUCUUCGGGAAGUUCUCCUAUCUGAAGGAAACGGACAAUUUGCCGUGCCCAUGCUGGAGCUUGCGGCUUGACAACAAGGACUAAAGGCACAUCUGCUGCUGUGGGAACAUCCGCUUCUACGGCGAGAACCUGAGGCUCAGCCGGAGCUUGAUGUUCCCCGGCAAGCUUGCCGGAGCAAAGCUUGUCGGGAGCGUCUGCUUCAACGAAACAAACCUUAAGGCUUGCCGGAGCAGACUGCUCCUCAGCACCCUUGGCGUUGAUCUUGGGGACCUUCUUGGCGGCGGCUUUGGGGAGCUCUGCCGGAGAAUAGUCACCAGAAAUCAACUUCCUCUUAUUGCUCUGUCCAGUUGAUGGCGUUACAGACGGUUGAGUCAGCUUGAGCACAAAGAUCCCUGGUUCCACAGGUAACUUAAGUGCGGCGCACUUUGACAGGCCAUCGACAAUGUCGUUCUGAGCUCUUGGAACAUGUUCCAUUUGUAGGCCGUCAAAGUGCUCUUCUAGCUUUCUCACUUCAUCAACAUAAGCUUCCAUCAACGGGCUCUGAUAAUUCUUGUUCACUUGGCGGACGACAAGGUGUGAGUCACCCUUGACAAUGAGCUUCUUGAUCCCAAGGUCUGCUGCGAUCCUGAGACCGGCAAGCAAACCUUCAUACUCUGCGGUAUUGUUUGUUGCUUGCUCCUUGGGAAACUGCAUCUGGACUACGUACUUGAGGUGCUCUCCGGUGGGUGCGACAAGUAGCACGCCCGCACCGGCGCCUUGCAGCGAGAAGGCACCAUCAAAAUACAUCAGCCAUUCUUUGCUUGCUUCCUUGACGGGGAUGCUUGUCUCCGAAAUUUCUUCAUCUUGUGUUGGCGUCCAUUCUGCUAUGAACUCUGCCAACGCUCUGCUUUGGAUAGUUGAAGUGAUCUCAAACUUAAGGCCAAAGCUUGAUAGUUCCAGUGCCCACUCGACAAUCCUGCCUGUUGCUUCUGGAUUUUGCAAUAUCCUCUUCAGCGGAAAACGAGUGACGACUGUGAUUUCAUGUGCUUGAAAGUAAUGGCACAGCUUUCUCGAGGCCAUGAGAAGGCCGAAAAGCAAUUUCUGCACACCAGCGUACCUUGACCUAGCCCCCUGCAGAAGGGAACUGACAAAGUAAACUAGGCGCUGCACCAUUCUUUUCUGCAUCUUCUCUCGCGUCUGCGCGGAUCCAUCUUUGUCGGGACCAGAGCUUGCCGGUGAAGUCUCGUGCUUGUCGCUGGAUGCAUCUGCCGUGGUUGCUGGCUCAUCAUCCGCCUCCCUCUCCGCUACUAACGCAGCACUAACCACUUGAUUGGUUGCCGCUAUAUAUAGCAGCAACUUCUCUUGUGGCUUAGGUGCGACAAGUGUUGGAGCGGAGGACAGGUAUCUCUUCAAGUCCUGCAGCGCAGCCUCCGCCUCCGGAGUCCAUUUCAUUGGACCUGCCUUUUUCAAUAUUUUGAAAAAUGGCAGGGCGCGCUCAGCAGACCUAGAGAUAAACCUGCUGAGAGCAGCUACGCAACCGGCAAGUCUUCGUACAUCCUUGACGCGCUUUGGGGCUUCAAUCUGCUCAAUGGCCUUGAUCUUGUCGGGAUUGGCUUCGAUUCCCCGCUGAGAUACGAAGAACCCGAGAAGCUUGCCGGAGGGGACUCCAAACACACACUUCUCGGGGUUAAGCUUGAGGUUGAUCUUGCGCAGAUUUGCAAAGGUUUCGUCUAAAUCUUGAAUCAGAGUCGCCUUGUCCUUGCUCUUGACCACUAUAUCAUCCAUGUAGGCUUCCACAUUUCUGUGCAUUUGCGGCUCAAAAGCGUAAUGGACUACCCUUGCAAAUGUUGAACUAGCAUUUUUAAACCGAAAGGCAUCCGUACAAAACAGUAUGUGCCACAUGGGGUGAUGAAUGCGGUCUUCUCCUCAUCCUCUUCUGCCAUGAAGAUCUGAUGGUACCCUUAGUAUGCAUCAAGAAAUGACAGCAAGUCACAUCCGGCCGUGGAGUCAACAAUCUGGUCGAUGCGCGGCAAGGGAAAUGGGUCUUUGGGACAAGCUUUAUUGACAUCGGUAAAGUCGAUACAAAGUCUCCAUUUCCCGUUUGCUUUGCGCACGACUACAGGAUUGGCCAACCACGUAGGAUGGAGCACUCCUCUGACAAGGCCUGCUGCCUCCAAUUUCUUGAUUUCUUCUGCGAUGAAUUCUUGGCGCUCCACUGCCUGCUUCCUAAGUUUCUGCUUGACGGGCCGCACAUGAGGGCAGACGGCAAGAUGGUGCUCGAUUACUUUCCUGGGAACACCGGGGAUGUCAGACAGUUGCCACGCAAACACGUCGACGUUCGCCCGCAGGAAAGCAACGAGUGCGCUUUCCUAUUUAGGGUCGAGAGUGGCACUGAUGGUGAAGGUACCACCAGUGCCAUCCUCCUUGGCGGACACCUUCUUGGUCUCUGGUGGAGCUGCCAUUGUCUUCUUACACUUGCCAGUGGAGCUCGAUGGUGCGUCCUCGACGGUAGCGCAGCACUCCAAAGAGGUGCGCUUGCCGGAGUGGGCAUCAGAACUCUUGCCGGACUCGGUCUUCUUCUUCGCCCCGGGAGCUUCAACGGCAAGUGACUUGCGAUCUGUUGCGGCUGCUGCUUCCCGGUAGAUCUUGUCGGCGCAGAUAAGGGCAUCCUUCUUGUUGCCAGGGACAGAGAUGACACUUAUCGGGCCUGGCAUCUUUAGCAUGUUGUAUGCAUAGUGAGAGGCUGCCAUGAAUUUGGCGAGUGCUGGACGGCCGAGUAUCCCAUUGUAAGGCAAUGGAAAGUCAGCAACGUCAAAAGUGACCCUCUCAGUCCUGAAGUUUAACUCGCUGCCCAAUGUCACCGGCAACGUGAUCUUUCCCUUCGGCUUGCUUCUUCCCGGAUUGAUUCCUUGGAAUGUGCCGGUCUCUUCGAGCUCGCUAUCAAGGAUCUGGAGUUUCUGGAGCACCGCGGAGGAGAUUAGGUUCAAGCCGGCCCCGCCAUCAACUAGCAUCUUAGUGACCUUGAGGUUGCAGAUAGUUGGAGAAACCAACAUCAGCAAGCACCCGACCGCAGUUAUGCGAUCAGGGUGGUCCUCAAUAUCAAAGAUGAUAGGUGUGCUGGACCAUUUCAGAGGCUUGCGUGACUCGACGGGUGGCUCUGCUGUGUUAACUUCCCGCAACCACUGCUUGAGCUGGCAGUGGGAAGUAUGUAGAGAAGCACCGCCGUCAAUGCACAGGACCUCUGUGGCUUUCUGGAACUCCUGCUCAUCGGUCUCGUCAUCAUCCAUAUCUUCAUCGUUGUCGUCAUCUGCAUCCUUGUCGCGGCCGCGGGGAGGUCUAUCUCCUUGCCGCGACGUCCUCCUUGGCCGGGGCGUUUCUUGCCGGCUCCUCUAGCACCUUCCUGGGCUUUCUCCUUGUCGCGUCGCUCGUAUUCAGCCUUUUGCUGCUCAACAAGCUGCUCGACCUUCUUGCAGCUCUGGAUGUCAUGGCCCUUGGUGCGGUGGAUCUUGCCGUACUGCUUGUUGGUGUCGUCCUGCUUGUCGGCGACCGCCACAGCCUGGUAGUUAGUGCCACCGGAGCUACCAGCUUUGGCUUUCUUGGCGCCACCUUCGUUGCCGGACUGCUCAACGACUAGCACAUCUUUGCCUUUCUUCUUCCUGUUGUUCCGCCACUGGUUUUUCUUUGCCGGGGCGGCCUCUUCGCUGUCAGACCCUCCUGCUUCUGUACUCUCUCCGGGGAGUUUCCUCCCUUCCUCAGCACGUGCGCACUUGUCGACCAGGGCAUAUAGCUCACUGACGUCUCUGAUCUUGCACAUCGCCAUCUCCUCCCGCAUCCUGCGGUUUCGCACGUUAUGAUGGAACGCGCUGAUUACCGCGGCAGGGUGGACAUCUGGGAUGUUGUGCUGCACGCGGCUGAAUCUCUGAAUGUACUUGCGCAGGGACUCUCCUUCCUUCUGGGCGAGCAGAUGAAGAUCGCUCUCCUAGCCAGGAGGCUUGUGGCCACCUGUAAAGGCGCCGACAAACUGGUGGUAUAGGUCUGGCCAGGAGGAUAUGGAGUUGUUCGGCAAGUGCAUGAGCCAGGAUCUGACAUUGGGCUUCAGCACCAGCGGGAAGUAGUUGGCAAGGAUCUUGUUGUCCCGCCCCCCAGCAGCUUGCACCGCGAUGGUAUAGAUGCUGAGGAACUCCGACGGAUGCGACUUGCCAUCAUACUUCUCUGGUACAUCUGGCUUGAAAUUCUUCGUGCUGGGCCACUGGACUUGCCGCAGCUCACGAGUGAACGCAGGGCAACCUACCACGUAUGGCAAGUCGCCUGGUUCCCCUGGUGCAUGCAUGUCGACAGAGGGCCCGGCGCGCUGAUCCGAUUGACGCCGCGCUUCUCUUCGGCGCUCGAUGCGGGUUCGAGCAUCUUCUUGCUGUCGUUCGUGAAGAACUUGGCAUUGAUCGCGACGAGCUCGUGGAUCUGACGAUGCGGUGGAGUCGUUGUCGAGGUGGAUCCGGCGAGUCGGCGAUCUUGGCCUUCGGGGUGGAGAGUGCUUGGUGGUUGCACCCCCACCGGUUUCGUCGCCAUCGGCCCGUGCCCGGUCGUCCUGCCGCGGAGUGUCGCCGUUGGCGAAGCCGAUGAGACUCUGAAUGGUGGCCCUCCAUUCAUCGAUCUUGUCUGACGUUGGAGGGUAAUCCAGGAGCAGUUGAGCUCGCGCCAAAGCUUAUGCUGGAGUGGUGGGCGGCAGUGGCGAACGGUGCGAGGAGCGGGAUAUGCUCGGACUUCUAACUAUGUUAGAAGGAGCAGUAUCCCGUCCAAGCGACCGUGCCUCGCUCGUGCCAGCAUGUUGGCGUGCAUGCUGGUCUCGAGCAUCCCGAGAUCCUCCAGCUCGAUCUUGGUCCAACAAACGUAUGGUACUACGAACACCAUGAUGCUGUCGGUCCUGCGCCUCUUGAGACGGGCGCGGUGCAUGUACGGACGCCGAGGUCUGCGCGGCCUUGCCCUUGGAUCUGGCAUCGCCGUGAGCUCCCUCGUCAAUGUCCGUUCUUCCGCCGGUGUCUACCACACCACCCGUUUGCUCCGGUGGUGGUGGGAUCGACGUGGACGGAACAGCUGCCGCCGAAGUCUUCUUCUUCGGUGGCAUGUCGAUGGAGAAGAUGAAGAUCUAGCUCAUGUGAAUGCCGGAUUAGGUUCACACAACCUCGACGCCCCCUACCUGGCGCGCCAAAGAUGUCGGGGAAACUGAUCCACGAACACCUAUGGGACCGGCGGACCGAGCCCCUUUCGGUUCGGCGGGGGGCGGAGAUCGCACGAAGAGCAGAUCCAGGCGAAGCUCACGAGCGGUUUACCCAGCUUCGGAGCUCUCGGAGAGAUAAUACUCCUACUGCUGCUUGUCUGAUUGUAUUGAGUUCUUGCUCGAGAGCGCUGAGUGCUACAGUGCACUCUAGCUGCUAACGAGACCGAGCGUGAGUGUUUUCUGGCUUCGAACCUCCCGAACCCCCCUCUACGUUGCGCAUGGGCCUCCUUUUAUAUGCUCAAGGGGUCACCGACAGGUGGCCACGUAGACAAGGGUAAAAAUGGAAAAGGAGUAGCGGUUGGUACAGCUACCUGUACAGUGUAUCCUACCUAACCCUGACGGCAGGGGACAAAGGCAUUAAAUGCCUGUCUAUGUCGCCCAAAUAGUGCAAAAAGGGACCGUCAGGGACGCCACCGCUCGCCACGAUGGCAAUCUUGCCAGCGCCGCUUGCCACCGCGCACCGCUGGCUGCACAGCCUCUCGCCACGCGCGCCUGGAAAGGUCCCAGGGCGACACGUUGGUGGAUGUGCUGGAACGCAGGUGCAGAGCGAUAGCUUGUCGCGGCAAACGCCUUGCCGCAGUCGUUGUCUUGUCGCGCUCGGAAGCUUGUCGCUCACCGGGCCUCGCCAGGACGCGUGGCGCGUCGCGGCAAGUUCCUUGAGAUGCCUUGGUUGGCCUUCCCGGCAAGCUCCUCUUGCCGGGGCCUUGUCUCUUUGGCUUGAAUAUUUUGUUCUUGAAUGGCUCCACAGGAACCACGGAGGACCUUGGCGGUUGCCCUGCAAGCCCUGCCGCGGGGUGCUGCAACUGCCCAUGCACAAGUUCGGGAUACUAGGGUACCCCUACUCUAGUACACCGACAUGGAUAUUCAAGGAAUUCAUACUAACAACAUUGCAAUCAUUCUCAUCACACAAAGAUUUUAUGCCAAACAUUCUAAUGCAUUCUUCUUCUAUCACUUGGGCACAAUUUUCCUUUCCAUCAUUUUCACGAAAGAUAUUAAAAAGAUGAAGCAUAUGAGGCACCCUCAAUUCCAUUCUUUUGUAGUUUUCUUUUAUAGACUAAACUAGUGAUAAAACAAGAAAGUAAAAGAUUCGAUUGCAAGAUCUAAAGAUAUACCUUCAAGCACUAACCUCCCUGGCAACGGCGCCAGAAAAGAGCUUAGUUGACGGGGUGUUAGUGCCGCUUCCUAUCCUCCCCGGCAACGGCGCCAGAAAAGAGCUUGAUGUCUACUACGCAACCUUCUUCUUGUAGACGUUGUUGGGCCUCCAAGUGCGGAGGUUUGUAGGACAGUAGAAAAUUUCCCUCAAGUGGAUGACCUAAGGUUUAUCAAUCCGUGGGAGGCGUAGGAUGAAGAUGGUCUCUCUCAAACAACCCUGCAACCAAACAACAAAGAGUCUCUUGUGUCCCCAACACACCCAAUACAAUGGUAAAUUGUAUAGGUGCACUAGUUCAGCGAAGAGAUGGUGAUACAAGUGCAAUAUGAAUAGUAGAUAUAGGUUUUUUUGUAAUCUGAAAAUAUAAAAACAGCAAGGUAGCAAGCGAUAAAAGUGAUCAUAAAUGGUGUUGCAAUGCUUCGAAACAAGGCCUAGGGUUCAUACUUUCACUAGUGCAAGUUCUCUCAACAAUAAUAACAUAACUGGAUCAUAUAUCAAUCCCUCAACGUGCAACAAAGAGUCACUCCAAAGUCACUAAUAGCGGAGAACAAACGAAGAGAUUAUUGUAGGGUACGAGACCACCUCAAAGUUAUUCUUUCCGAUCAAUCCAUUGGGCUAUUCCUAUAAGUGUCACAAACAGCCCUAGAGUUUGUAGUAAAAUAACACCUUAAGACACACAUCAACCAAAACCCUAAUGUCACCUAGAUACUCCAAUGUCACCACAAGUAUCCGCGGGUAUGAUUAUACGAUAUGCAUCACACAAUCUCAGAUUCAUCUAUUCAAACCAACAAAAAUUACUUCAAAGAGUGCCCCAAAGUUUCUACCAGAGAGUCAAGAUGAAAACGUGUGCCAACCCCUAUGCAUAAGUUCACAAGGUCAAUGAACCCGCAAGUUGAUCACCAAAACAUGCAUCAAGUAGAUCACGUGAUAUCCCAUUGUCACCACAGAUAAGCACAUGCAAGACAUACAUCAAGUGUUCUCAAAUCCUUAAAGACUCAAUCCGAUAAGAUAACUUAAAAGGGAAAACUCAAUCCAUUACAAGAGAGUAGAGGUGGAGAAACAUCAUAAGAUUCAACUAUAUAGCAAAGCUCGCGGUACAUCAAGAUCGUGCCAUAUCAAGAACACGAGAGAGAGAGAGAGAGAUCAAACACAUAGCUACUGCUACAUACCCUCAGCCCCGUGGGUGAACUACUCCCUCCUCGUCAUGAAGAGCGCCGGGCUGAUGAAGAUGGCCAUCGGUGAUGGAUCACCCACUCCGGCAGGGUGCCAGAACAGGGUCCCGAUUGGUUUUUAGUGGCUAUAGAGGCUUGCGGCGGUGGAACUCCCGAUCUAGGUUUAUUUCUAGGGGUUUCUGUAUUUAUAGGAAUUUGUGGCGUCGGUCUCACGUCAGGGGGGUCUCCGAGUCGUCCACGAAAUAGGGGGCGCGCCCAAGGGGGUAGGGCGCGCCCUCCACCCUCGUGGACGGCCCGGGACUCUUCUGGCCCAACUCUUUUACUCCGGGGGACUCUUUUGGUCCAUAAAAAAUCAUCAGAAAUUGGCACGUCAAUUGGACUUUGUUUGGUAUUCCUUUUCUGUAAAACUCAAAAACAAGGAAAAACAGAAACUGGCACUGGGUUCUAGGUUAAUAGGUUAGUCCCAAAAAUCAUAUAAAAUAGCAUAUAAAUGCAUAUAAAAGAUCUAAGAUGGAUAAUAUAAUAGCAUGGAACAACCAAAAAUUAUAGAUACAUUGGAGACAUAUCAAUCCCUCCCGAUUCGAUCCUACGACGUGAAGAUCGGACAACCCUCGGGCAUGAACUCGUUCAUUGGGUUCCCACCUAUCAUCUAGCAUCAGAGCCUUUGUUGACAUGGUAGGAUCUGUUAUUCGAGUUUAUCUUGCUACCAUCCCUUUAGAUCGAGUGUUUUUCAUGCUAUAUUUUCUGUCCUAGAAGUCCAAAGCCCCACCACCAAUAAAUUCAAGCCUUGUUGGUGCUGAGAUGUUGUUGUUGCAUACCUUGCAUGUUCUUCAUCUUUUAGAUCUACACCAAGUUUAUCUUGUAAUUUAUUUUAGAUUUGGUUGGUGUGCUUUGGAAAAAGAGAGAGAAAAGAGUGGCAAAAAAGAAUCAAAGAGGGAAAAAAGAAUGGCAAAAAAAGUCAAGAGAGAAAAAGAAAGUGUUGUGCAAGAUCCAAAAGAUUCAGCUUGGUAGAAAAAUUUCAGAAGCUUGUGUGUUGUGUGUUUUCUAUCUUGGUGCAAAGGUCCAGCACAUCCAUCCACAUAUUUUCUUGAUUUGCAUCAACUUGAUUUCAGCACAAGCCCCUUUUUGUUUACCCCAUCGAGCUCCACCAAAAAAGCGAAGCUAGUUCUUUGAUCCCUGUCUUUCAAUCGCUUUAACACAUCUGGGAGAAGCACAAUCUGAUGUGAACUCAUAAGAACUUCGGUGAGUAAGAGGUGAGGUUGUGUGAUUCCACAAAAAUUAUCCUAUCCCACUUUUCAGCCCCACUAACAUGGCAGGAACUGCAUCGAGUGAUCAUGGAGAAGAUCAAGGGGAAGAAGAUGCCCCAUUCACACGUGCCGAGUUUCUGGAAUUACAGAACAUGGUUCUAGAAUUUCGAAGGAGGCUUAACGAGCGUCUUCAAGCAAGUGGUGAUGGGGUCCGACACUGCAAUACCCUGUUUAUCAUGAAGUGCAGCAAAGAAGACAUGCUCAAGGGCAUGAUGUUGUUGCUCGUGGGCGUGUCACUACUACUCAAGAAGUGCAACAAGGAGCACAUGCCCGAGGGCAUGGUGUUGCUGCUGCUUAUGGGUGUGGCGUUGUUUCUCCUGAAAUGCGGCAAGGAUGGCAUGCUCGAGGGCAAGCUACCGCUACCCCUAGGUGUGUCGCUGCUGCUCAUGAAUCGCAGCAAGGAUGUCAUGCCUGACGGCAAAGUUACGGCACCCGUCGACACACUAACGACCCACCGCAAAGGAUGACCGUGGUUGAUGAACCGACUCUGGUGAUUCAUAGCCCAUGUUUACCUAAGAAGCUCACUCCUAAUGUUGGCAUCUCAACCACCACCACUGUCCCAACAUCCAGGAAACAUGCGCCACAAAUUCCAUGUGAGGAAGAGAGUCCACAAUCCAAAAUACCACAACUUGAGAGUGAUAAGAAAAGCAAGCCGAGUGACUCCACCAAAAGUGAGGAAGAGUGUCCACUUUAAAAAAUUCCACCACUCGAGAGUGAAAACAAAAGUGAGUUGAGUGACUCCACCAAAUGUGAGGAAGAGUUUCCACUUUCCACAAUUCCAUAUAUUGAGAGUGAUAAGGAAAGUGAGGUGAGUGAGUCCACAAAAUGUGAGGAUCAGAUUGUUCAUCAUGAGAUUAGAGAAAUGCAAGAUCUCCACCUAGAUAUACCACACAUUCAGGGAGAGAGGAUUAAUGAGUUGUGUGAGUCCACAAAAUGUGAGAUUGAGAUCAUUCCACGGCUCAUUAGAGAGAUGAGUGAUCCACAACCCAAUAUACCACACAAUAAGAGUGAGAGGAUAAGUGAGUUAUGUGGCUCCACUAAAUAUGAGGUUGAGAUUUUUCAAUAAGAGAAUAGCGAUCCGCCACCAUGGAAAAAUAGUAGUCCACCAAAUGAAAAGAGAGUGGAACAUUCAAUAACUAUCCUUUCACAAAAUUCUCUUUCUUUGCAAUAUGUGCAGUUGCAAAAGGCAUACCUAUCAGCUCUCUUGCAACGAUGGGAGAUUGAGAUACAAGAGCAAAUAUGGAGGACAUGGAACACCACUACACAAGGUGCGUGUGUGAAGAUUGAUUUUCAGAAAGGCAUUCAAGUAAUCAAUUAGGUAAAACAAAAAGGAUCUUCCAUUUUGAUGAAGCCGGAGGUAUGCACUUAUGAGUUUUUGAAGCAAUGGCGUGAUAAGAUUAGAGAAAAAUUGUUUGGUACAUCAACCAUCUAGCAAUAUGAUUUUGCUAAUCUUGAAGAGGCUAUAAAAGAUCCAAUAAAACUGAAUGUUGCACAUGAUUAUUUAUCAUUUUCUUUUCCUAGUUAUUUUGUAUUGUCCUUGUGCUAUAAUUUUGCAGGCCAAAUGAAGUUGAGGACGACUUUUAUCCUAAAGAGGGAGGCUGAUAUGGACAUGGUCAUGGUUAGUUAUAAAAUUGUACUCCAUGGAAUAUUUGCUGGAAGGAACUCCUAAGUCGAACAAAGCAUCAUAUUGACAUCAUCCAUAAGCUAGCAAAGUUGAAAACUAAAAUUCUCUAUAUCAUGAAACCUUUGCAUUAUGAUUUGUUAUUGCCCUGCUUUCUUUUGUGUUAUGCCCAGGCAGAGUCAAGGAUGAAUCCUUUUCAAGAGAGGGGGGAUGAUGAGGACAUCUUGGUCACUGAAACAACACUUAUCAUCCCUAAACAAACUUUAAGUUGUGACAAACAAAUACAUGGUCAGAUGCAACACAAUUCAAAGGUGAAAGCUACAAAUGAGGUUUCCAUUAUUCCUUUUCAUGGAUAUUAUCUACUUAUCUUUUGUAGAUCAAAGAGAGUGAAGGACGACUCUUCAUCAAGGGAGGGAGGAUGAUGAGCACAUGGGAACAACAUACAUAACAUUUCAGAAAAGUGCACAAUUUAGUUGGAAGGAAUUACUAAGCCGAAUCAAGCAAACACAUGACCAUGUGAACGCUAACUUAAGUUUACCUAGUAACCUUGAUGACACAACUAUGCUUUCAUCCCCAUUGUUUUUGUUUGAACUUAGGUAUCACAUGGAAGAAAUCCAACAACGUAUGAUAUCUUGAAGCAACCGGUCUGGAGGAACAAGUUUGGAGAAAACAAGUUUCAAGUGAAGCUGAUGCUAUCAGAUUUUACCUCUGAUGUUUCGUUGUGCCACACCCAUGUGGUGGAGAGACGGGGCCAUAGGGGUACAUCACUAGAAGCUCCAUCAAAUUAUCUUUCCAAUGCAAAAAAAUCUCACAUCAUUUGGAGUUGUGAGCCAAAAGUUGUAGUCAUUCUCGUGGAAGGUGUUCAGGUUGUCAAGAUUUCGAGAAUUUCCAAGGAGCUCUCCAAUAACUCCCAAAGUUGACUGCUUAUUCUCCCAAGGAAGCCAUGCAAACCUUCUUACUUUUGAAACCAUUUUCACACCUAGCUAAGGGGGGUUGUCCCUGCUAUAAAACCCCAUCUCCCCCAUCCUCUUAGAAACCUUUUGUCAAACCAUUCAGCUACAAGUUUAUGCAGCAAGACUGCUAGAGAGAUCCGAGAGAUCCUUGCUACCUUAGCUCUUGUGAGUUCAUCCGGAUUCGCGAGAAGGAGCCUCUAGUUCCCCCUAAUUUGUUCUCUACGGUUCCGGCUGUUUUGUGUGGGUUAGUCCCGGUUUGUGGUUCUGCGAUUGUUCGGACAACGGGUUGGAGUUCUUGUAGCUUCGGUCAGCCAUCCCCAACGUACGGGUUGCAUCCAACCUUGACAGGUAUAAAGCUUGUUAUCCCGACUGCUUGCAGCUAGUUAUCCCUCCCGAUUUGAUCCUACAACGUGAAGAUCAGUCCACCCUCGGGCGUGAACUCGUUCGUCGGGUUCCCACCUACCACCAUAUCUUCGUUGAACUAGUGCGCCUAUACAGUUUACCAUUGUAUUUGGUGUGUUGGGGACACAAGAGACUUUUUUAUUAUUUGGUUGCGGGGUUGCUUGAGAGAGACUAUCUUCAUCCUACGCCUCCCACAAAUUGAUAAACCUUAGGUCCUCCACUUGAGGGAAAUUUGCUACUGUCCUACACAACUCUGCACUUGGAGGCCCAACACGAGUCUACAAGAACAAGUUGUGUAGUAGACAUCACAAAUGUGUACGACCAAGAUCAACGACUCACGGAAAGAUAUCACAACACAACUCUAGACACAAAUUUAAGUCAUACAAGCUUUAUAUUACAAGCCAGGGGCCUCGAGGGAUCGAAUACAUCAGCUUGAACACAAGCAAUUCAGCAAAAGCAAUAAUAUAUAAGUGCAGACAUAAGUUAAACAAGUUUGCCUUAGGAAAGCCAGCGCAAAACUAGCAUCGAUCGAAAAGGCAAGGCCUCCUGCCUUGGAGCCUACUAUCUACUCCAGGUCAUCGUCGAUCUCCAUGUAUUAGUAGGCACCAUCGGGGUAGUUGUAGUCGUCAGUAGUGGCAUCUGGCUCCUGGGAUCCAUCAAAUGAUCGCAACAACCGGAAAGAAGAAAGUAGGGGGGGAAUGGGUAGCAAAGCAACCGUGAGUACUCAUCCAAAGUACUCGCAAGCAUCAUAUUUAGACUAAGUAUGCAUUAGUAUCAAAGUAAUGAGAUGUUACUGUGGACUGAACUGCAGAAUGCCAGAAUAGAGUGGAAGGCCUAGCCUAUCGAAGACUAGCAUCUUGUAGCAUUCAGAAGAGUAGAUAACAACAUGUUAUAAUUAACAAGCAUGUUGUAGUAUUUACACCCAUAGAUCCUUCCUCGAAUCCCUGCAAGAAAGCAAUCCUGGAGCCAUCAUAUCCAUCUCAUGUGUCAAGUAUCCAUUUCUAGUUGUAAUAGAUCGGGAUACAUCUCCGAGCGUCCAUUAUCAUGGAUAGGGAUAUUCGAAUGGAUAACUUCCCUACAGGGGUGCACCACAUUACCCAACACACUUGAUUACUCUAGCCAGACACACUUUCCUGGGUAAUGCCCAGCCUUAGAAGAUCAACAUGUCGUAGUCCUACCUAGGCUCCCUAGAGAGGUCCCCGUCGGUCAACAUCCUAAGCGCUCUGGGGUCUUGGGACCAUUGCCCUUUACACUCUGAUACGUCUCCAAUGUAUCUAUAAUUUAUGAAGUAUUCAUGCCAUUAUAUUAUCAUUCUUGGAUAUUUUACAAUUAUUUUAUAGCAACUUCAUAUCAUUUUUGGGACUAACCUAUUGACCCAGUGCCCAGUGCCAGUUGCUGUUUUUUGCUUGUUUUUUACAUUACAGGAAAUCAAUAUCAAAUGGAGUCCAAACACCGCGAAACUCCUUGGAGAAUUGUUAUGGACCAGAACACCCAGGAUGGGCCAGACCAUCACCUGGGGGUGUCCCAAGGGGGCACAACCCACCAGGGCGUGCCUGGGCCCCUAGGCGCGCCCAGGUGGGUUGUGACCACCUCGGUGGCCUCCCGCACCCCUUCUUCGCCCUAGAAAAUCCCAAAUAUUCCAAAACCUUCAGGGUAGCCCUAGAUCAGAAGUUCCGCUGCCGCAAGGCCUCUGUAUCCACGAGAUCCAAUCUAGACCCCGUUCCGGCACCCUGUCGGAGGGGGAAUCAUCACCGGUGGCCAUCUUCAUCAUCCCGGCGGCCACCACGAUGAGGAGGGAGUAGCCCACCCUCGGGACUGAGGGUUUGUACCAGUAGCUACAUGUUUAAUCUCUCUCUCUCUCUCGUUUUCUUGAGAUGUCACAAUCUUGAUGUAUCACGGGCUUUGUUAAUAUAGUCAGAUCAUAUGGUGUUUUCCCCUCUCUAUCUUGUUGUGAUGAAUUGAGUUUUUCCCUUUGAGAUUUCGUUGUUAUCAGAUUGAAUAUUUUUACGGAUUUGAGAACACUUGAUAUAUGUCUUCAAAUUGAAUACUCGUGGUGACAAUGGGGUAUCGUAUUAAUUCACUUGAUAUAUGUUUUGGCACUCAACUCGCGGAUUCCGUGACAUUGGGGGUAAUCUAUGCAUAGGGGUUGAUGCACGUUCUUGUCUUUGUUUCUUCAGUAGAAAUCUUGGGGCACUCUUUGAAGUUAUUUGUGUUGGAUUGAAUAUUAUAAAUCUGAAUUUGCUUUGGUGUUAUUUUAGUACUAACUCUAGGAUACAUCGAACGAAAAUAACAGCUUUGUGUUAUUUUAGUAUGAACUCUUGAAUAGAUCAAACGGAAAGACUAGCUUUGAGGUGGUUUCGUACCCUACAAACAAUUCGGUCUUAUGUUCUCCGCUAGAUAGGAACUUUCGAGUGAUUCUUCAUCGCACUUUGAGGGAUGGUUAUAUGAUCCAACUAUGUUAGCAUUGUUGAGAGAUUGCAAUAGUGAAAGUAUGCACCCUAGGCCUCAUUUUCCAUUAUUGCAAUACCGUUUGUGCUCUGUUUUACUAUUUACUACCUUGCUGUUUUUAUUGUUCGCACUACAAAAACUCAUAUCUACUAUCCAUAUUACACUUUUAUCACCAUCUCUUCGCUGAACUAGUGCACCUAUACAAUUUGCCAUUGUAUUGGGUGUGCUGGGGACACAAGAGAUUUCUUUUAUUUGGUUGCAGGGUCGUUUGAGAGAGACCAUCUUCAUCCUACACCUCUCACAGAUUGAUAAACCUUAGGUCAUCCACUUGGGCGAAAAUUGCUAAUGUCCUACAAAACUCUGCGCUUGGAGGCCCAACACGUGUCUACAAGAAUAAAGUUGCAUAGUAGACAUCACACUCCAGGUAAUUGCAUGCAGGGAGGGUCUAGCAACCACCUCUGUCAUGGAUGGCACCGGCCCAGUCGUGCUGCAAUGAUGGACUUGAUAUCUGACAGAUCUUUCGGAAGAAACAUAACGCCGAGUGCCCAUAAUUGUUCCCGCGUGGCGGUUAGUGCGUAUAGGCUAGUGGCCAGCUCAAAUCAAAUACACAAACCCUUAGUGUAUUGGGAGCUUGCGGAGACGAGUAAAGACUCACGAUCAUGUGACCCCAUUGCCCCGUCUCGAGGAAAUAUGGCAAGGCCCAGGCCCAACGCUCUCUCUCUCUCUAGGGUGGUCUACCUGCCCAGUUGUGCCUCGUAAUAAUCCUGUGGGUACCCUCCAGGUCAACCCGAGUUCAGUAACUCUCGCAGGUACCCCUCGAGGCCGACCCGGCUUCAACAAUGGUCUGAAGUAAAGUCCAGGUGACCAUGUGUCCAUAACAUCAAGGGGGGUCCGAGGAAUCAUCUUUGAUGGAAUCUACUUGAUGUAAUCAUCAAGGUGAACUUAGGAGAAAUCACCCUCUAGGUUCAUACUUGAGAUGUUGCACGACAGAGUCAUAUUGGGAGUGGUGAAGGAGGAAUCACCCUCGAUUGACCAUAACCGUUUAAUUACACUAUAGAGAUAUCAUUCGGAGUGUGUUAUGAGGUAUCACGUUCGGCCCUCGUUAGCAGCUCUGCAGAGUCAUACAACUACGGGGGGGUGUAGUGAUGUGUCGGUCUCUGGUCGUUGAUCAUGUUGAUCGAGUCAUCUGGUAAUCCAGCGGGGGCAACAGGGACAAGGUGGGGGUCACUGGUGGAUCACCAUCCAACCUAUACUAAGCGUUUUAGGAUAAGCAUGUAAGGUACAAUGAGCAGGUUACAAAAGCAGGCUAUGCAUCAGAAUAGGAGCAAUCAAGUAUGAUAGCAAAAUCUAAUGCAAGCAUGAGAGAGAAUGGAAAUGGGCGAUAUCAGAAUGACCAAGGGGGGUUUGCUUGACUAGAAGCUCUAUUGAAAUGGAAGAAGAGUCGUCGGUGACGUAGUCGAUCACAGGGGCAACACGGGUCUCGGGGUCUACCGGAGAGGAGAGGGGGAAGAAACAGUAAAUAUAAAGCAAACAGGUGUAACACAGAUGCACGACCUGACAACACGCAGUGCUAGGGGUGUUCUAUGAUAUGUCUCCAAUGUAUCUAUAAUUUUUAUUGUUCCAUGCUAUUAUAUUAUCAACUUUGGAUGUUUUAUAUGCAUUAAUAUGCUAUUUUCUAUUAUUUUGGGGACUAACUUUUUAACCCACUGCCUAGUGCCAGUUUUUAUUUUUUUCCUUGUUUUUGCCUUUCGCGGAAAAGGAAUAUCAAACGGAGUCCAAAUGGAAUAAAACUUUACAAUGAUUUUUCUUGGACCAGAAGACACCUACGGGACUUGGAGUGGGGGCCAAGGGACCGACGAGGUGACGACAAGCCGUAGGGGCGCGCCCUAGGGGGUGCCCACUAGGCUUGUGGCCCCCUCGGGAGUCCCCUACACCGCCUCUUUGGCCUAUAAUUUCCCAAAUAUUCCAGAAACCCUACAGGAGUCGCCAAAAAUACUUUUCCACCGCCACAAGUUUUUGUUCCCAUGAGAUCCCAUCUUGGGGCCUUUGCGGUACUCCGCCGGAGGGGGGAUUCGAUCAUGGAGGGCAUCUACAUCAACCUUGUUGCCCCUCCGGUGAUGUGUGAGUAGUUUACCACAUACCUACGGGUCCAUAGCUAGUAGCUAGAUGGCUUCUUCUCUCUCUUUGAUAUUCAAUAUGAUGCUCUCCUCUAUGUUCUUCGAGAUCUAUUCGAUGUAAUCUUCUUUUGCGGUGUGUUUGUUGAGAUCCGAUGAAUUGUGGAUUUAUGAUUAGAUCAUCUAUGAAUAUUAUUUGAGUCUUCUCUGAACUCUUUUAUGCAUGAUUAAGAUAGCUUUGUGUUUCUUUUCAAUCAUCGAUUUGGUUUGGCCAACUAGAUUGGUCUUUCUUGCAAUGGGAGAGGUGCUUUGUGAUGGAUUCAGCCUUGUGGUGUCCUCACCCAAUGACAGAAGGGGUAGUGAUAUGUCUAUUUUGCAUCAUGUGUACCUACUGUUAUUUAUGUUGUUUCAUUGUAUAAUAAUGCUUUUUGGAGUAAUUCUAAUGCCUUUUCUCUCAUAAUAUGCAAGGUAUACACAAAGGGGAGAAUUCUGGCAGCUCGAAAUCUGGACCUGAAAAAGCUACAUCAGGCUACCUAUUCUGCACAACUCCAAAUGAGCUGAAACUUUACGAGGCUUUUUUAUGGAAUAUUUGAGGAAUAUUGGAGCAAAUAAGUACCAGAGGGGCCCACCAGGUGCGCACAACCCACCUUGGGCGCGCCAGGGAGCCCAGGCACGCCCUGGUGGGUUGUGCUCACCCAGGCCCACCUCCAGAGCCCCUCUUCUGGUACAUAAGUCAUUUUGACCUAGAAAAAAUAAGGAGAGGACUUUCGGUAUGAAGCGCCACCGUCUCGAGGCGGAACCUGGGCAGGAGCACUUUUGCCCUCCGACGGAGCGAUUCCGCCAGGGGAACUUCUGACCAGGAGGGGGAAAUUAUCGUCAUCAUCAUCACCAACAACUCUCCCAUCUUGGGGAGGGCUAUCUUCAUCAACAUCUUCAACAGCACUAACUCCUCUCAAACCCUAGUUCAUCUCUUGUGUUCAAUAUUUGUACCAGAGCUAUAGAUUGGUGCUUGUGGGUGAAUAGUAGUGUUGAUUACAUCUUGUAGUUGAUUACUAUAUGGUUUAUUUGGUGGAAGAUUAUAUGUUCAGAUCCAUUAUGAUAUUUAAUACCCCUCUGAUCUUGAGCAUGAUUAUCAUUUGUGAUUAGUUGCUUUUGUUCUUGAGGUCACGGGAGAAAUCAUGUUGCAAGUAAUCAUGUGAACUUGAUAUGUGUUCGAUAUUUAGAUAAUAUGUAUGUUGUGAUUCCCUUAGUGGUGUCAUGUGAACGUCGACUACAUGAAACUUCACCAUAUUUGGGCCUAAGGGAAUGCAUUGUGGAGUAGUUAUUAGAUGAUGGGUUGCGAGAGUGACAAGCUUAAACCCUAGUUUAUGCGCUAUUCCAUAAGGGACCGAUUGGAUCCAAAAGUUUAAUGCUAUGGUUAGAAUUUAUUCUUAAUACUUUUCUCGUAGUUGAGGAUGCUUGCGAGGGGGUUAAUCAUAAGUAGGAGGUUUGUUCAAGUAAGAAUAGCACCUAAGCACCGGUCCACCCACAUACCAAAUUAUCAAAGUAGCGAACACGAAUUAAGCCAACAUGAUGAAAGUGACUAGAUGAAAUUCCUGUGUACCCUCAAGAACACUUUGCUUAUCAUAAGAGACCGUUUUGGCUGUCCUUUGCCUCAAAAGGAUUGGGCUACCUUGCUGCACUUUUGUUACUACUAUCGUUACUUGCUCGUUACAAAUUACCUUGCUAUCAAACUACUCUGCUACUUACAAUUUUAGCACUUGCAGACAUUACCUUGCUGAAAACCACUUCUCAUUUCCUUCUGCUCCUCGUUGGGUUCGACACUCUUACUUAUCGAAAAGGCUACAAUUGACCCCAUAUACUUGUGGGUCAUCAAGGCUAUUUUUUGGCACCAUUGCCGGGGAGUGAAGCGCUUUUGGUAAGUGGAAAUUGGUAAGGAAACAUUAUUAAUACAUGUUGAAAUUUAUUGUCACUUGCUACUAUGGAAAACAAUCCUGUGAGGGGUUUGUUCGGUGUAUCUUCACCUCGACCGGAACCAUAAUUAGUUGCCCCUCAACCUACUGCACGUACUGAAAAUAUUGAAUAUGAAAUUCUUUCGGGUAUGGUAGAACAAUUGCUAGCUAAUCCUUAUGCGGGAGAUGGAACUGAACAUCCUGAUAUGCACUUGAUAUAUGUGGAUGAAAUUUGUGGAUUGUUUAAGCUUGCAGGUUUACCCGGAGAUGAAGCUAAGAAGAAGGUUUUCCCUUUAUCUUUGAAGGGAAAAGCAUUGACAUGGUAUAGGCUAUGCGAUGAUAUUGGAUCUUGGAACUGGAAUCAGUUGAAAUUGGAAUUUCAUCAAAAAAUUAUCCUAUGCAUCUAGUUCAUCGUGAUCGUAAUUAUAUACAUAAUUUUUGGCCUCGUGAAGGAGAAAGUAUCGCUCUAUCUUGGAGGAGGCUUAAGUCAAUGUUAUAUUCAUGCCCCAAUCAUGACCUCUCAAGAGAAAUUAUUAUUCAUAAUUUUUAUGCUCGGCUUUCUCGUAAUGAUAAAUCCAUGAUCGAUACUUCUUGUACUGGUUCUUUUAUGAAGAAGACUAUUGAAUUCCGGUGGGAUCUUUUAAAGAGAAUUAAAUGCAACUCUGAAGAUUGGGAACUCGAUGAAGGUAAAGAGUCAGGUAUUGAACCUAAGUUUGAUUAUGUUAAAUCUUUUAUGAAUACCGAUGCUUUUCAAAAGUUUAGCACUAAAUAUGGACUUGACUCUGAGAUAGUAGUCUCCUUUUGUGAAUCUUUUGCUACUCAUGUUGAUCUCCCUAAGGAGAAGUGGUUUAAAUAUCACCCACCUAUUAAAGAAUAAAUUAAAAAACCAGUAAAAGCUAAAGAAGAAACUAUCAUUUACAAUGUUGAUCCAGUUGUUCCCACUGCUUAUAUUGAAAAACCACCUUUCCCUAUUAGGAUGAAUUAACAUGCUAAAGUUUCAAAUGUGGUUAACAAAAGUUAUAUUAGAACACCCAAACCAGCUGAACAAAUCAGGGUUGAACCUAGUGUUGCUAUGACUAAAGAUCUUUUGGUCGAUAAUAUCGAUGGGCAUGUUAUUUACUUCUAUGAUGAAGCUUCUAGAAUUGCCAAACCCGAUAAAAAAGAUAGACGUAGACCAGUUGUUGCCAUGCAUGUUGUCUCAGUCAAGAUAGGAGAUCACUAUUAUCAUGGUUUAUGUGAUAUAGGUGCCAGUGUGAGUGCUAUUCCUUUUUCCUUAUAUGAAGAAAUUAAGAAUGAAAUAGCACCUGAUGAAAUAGAAGACAUAGAUGUUACUAUUAAACUUGCCAAUAGAUAUACUAUAUCACCAAUUGGGAUCCUUAGAGGUGUUGAAGUCUUGUGUGGGAAAGUAAAAUACCCUACUGAUUUUCUUGUUAUUCGUCCCCACAAGAUGACUUUUGUCCCAUUAUCUUUGGUAGACCUUUCUUGAACACCGUCAAUGCUAGAAUAGAUUGUGAGAAACAAACUGUCGGUGUUAGCUUUGGUGAUGAAUCUCAAGAAUUUAAUUUUUCCAAGUUUAGUAGAAAACCUCAUAAGAAAGAUUUGCUUAGUAAGGAUGAAACUAUUGGUCUUACUUCUAUUGUUGUACCUCCUACUGAUCCUUUAGAAUAAUAUUUGCUAGACUAUGAAAAUGAUUUGCAUAUGCGUGAAAGAAAUGAAAUAUAUAGAAUCUUUUUCGAACAACAACCUCUGCUUAAACACAAUCUGCCUAUUGAAACUCUAGGAGGUCCUCCUCCACCUAAAGGAGAUCCUAUGUUUGAAUUAAAACAAUUGCCACACACUUUGAAAUAUGGUUAUCUUGAUGAGAAAAAGAUAUAUCUUGUUAUUAUUAGUGUUAACCUUUCAGAACAUUAAGAAGAAAGAUUAUUGAAAGUUCUAAGGAAGCACCGAGAUGCUAUUGGAUAUACUCUUGAUGAUCUUAAGGGCAUUAGUUCCACUCUAUGUCAACACAAGAUUAAUAUGGAAUCUGAUGCUAAACCCGUUGUUGAUCACCAACGUUGGUUAAAUCUGAAGAUGAAAGAAGUGGUAAGAAUCGAAAUAUUGUAACUUCUAGAAGCAGGUAUAAUGUAUCCUAUAGCUGAUAGUAGAUGGGUAAGUCCUGUUCAUUGUGUCCCUAAGAAGGAAGGUAUUACUGUUGUUCCUAAUGAUAAGAAUGAGCUUAUUCCACAAAGAAUUUUCACGGGCUAUAGGAUGGUAAUUGAUUGUAGAAAAUUAAACAAAGCAACUAGAAAAUAUCAUUACCCUCUGCCUUUUAUUGAUCAAAUGUUAGAAAGAUUAUCUAAGCACACACAUUUUUGCUUCCUUGAUGGAUAUUAUGGUUUUUCACAAAUACUUGUUUCACAACCUGAUCAAGAACUUAUGCUUAAAAACGUAUGCCUUUUGGUUUAUGCAAUGCACCUGCUACCUUUCAAAGAUGUAUGAUUGUUAUAUUCUCUGAUUUUUGUGAAAAGAUUGUUGAGGUUUUCAUGGAUGACAUCUCUAUUUAUGGGAAGUCUUUUGAUGAUUGUUUAAGCAAUCUUGAUCGAUUUUUGCAAAGAUGUGAACAAACAAAUCUUAUCUUGAAUUGGGAGAAGUUCCACUUUAUGGUUAACAAAGGUAUCGUUUUGGGCCAUAAAAUUUCUGAAAGAGGCAUUGAGGUGGACAAAGCCAAGGUUGAUGCAAUUCAGAAAAUGCCAUGUCCUAAAGAUAUCAAAGCUAUUCGUAGUUUCCUUGGUCAUGCUGGUUUAUAUAGGAGGUUUAUCAAAGACUUUUCUAAAAUUUCUAGGCCUCUUACAAAUCUUUUGCAAAAGGAUAUUCCUUUUGUGUUUCAUGAUGAUUUUUUGGAAGCCUUCAAAACACUAAAGAAAGCCUUAAUUACUGCACCUAUUGUUCAACCACCUGAUUGGAACUUGCCUUUUGAGAUUAUGUGUGAUGCUAGUGAUUAUGUUGUUGGUGUUGUUCUAGGACAAAGAGUUGAUAAGAAAUUAAACGUUAUCCAUUAUGCUAGUAAAACUCUGGACAAUGCUCAAUGAAACUAUGCUACUACUGAAAAAGAAUUCUUAGCAGUGGUGUUUUCUUGUGAUAAAUUUAGAUCCUACAUUGUUGAUUCUAAAGUGAUUGUUCACACAGAUCAUGCUACUAUAAAAUAUCUUAUGGAAAAGAAAGAUGCUAAACCUAGACUCAUUAGGUGGGUUCUUCCGCUACAAGAAUUUGAUUUUCAUAUCACUGAUAGGAAAGGAGCAAAGAACCCCGUAGCUGAUAACUUGUCUAGGCUUGAAAUUCUUGAUAACCCACAACCUAUUAAUGAUAGCUUUCCUGAUGAAUAGUUAGCAGCAAUAAAUGUUUCUAAUAGCACACCUUGGUAUGCUGACUAUGCUAAUUAUAUUGUUUCUAAAUACAUACCACCUAGCUUCACAUACCGACAAAAGAAAAAAUUCUUCUAUGAUUUAAGACAUUACUCCCACAUCUUUAUAAAGGAGUAGAUGGUAUUAUUAUAUGUUGUGUACCUAAGCAUGAACAGGAAAAAAUCCUACGGAAAUGUCACUCCGAGGCUUAUGGAGGACAUCACGCGGGAGACAGAACCACUCAUAAGGUAUUGCAAUCUGGUUUUUAUUGGCCUACUCUCUUCAAGGAUGUCCGUAAGUUCGUCUUGUCUUGUGAUGAAUGCCAAAGAAUAGGUAAUAUUGGUAAGUGUCAAGAAAUGCCUAUGAAUUAUUCACUUGUUGUUGAACCAUUUGAUGUUUGGGGAUUUGAUUUCAUGGGACAUUUUCCUUCCUCUAAUGGGUGUACUCAUAUUUUGGUUGUUGUUGAUUAUGUUACUAAGUGGGUAGAGGCUAUUCCAACUAGUAGUGCUGAUCACAACACCUCUAUUAAAAUGCUUAAGGAAGUUAUUUUCCCAAGGUUUGGAGUCCCUAGAUAUUUAAUGACUGAUGGUGGUUCACACUUUAUUCAUGGUGCUUUCUGUAAAAUGCUUGCUAAGUAUGAUGUUCCAUAGAAUUGCAUCACCUUAUCAUCUCAGUCUAGUGGCCAAGUUGAACUUAGCAAUAGAGAAACAAAAUUAAUCUUAUAAAAGACUGUCAAUAGGUCCUGGAAGAAUUGGUCUAAGAAACUAGAUGGUGCACUUUGGGCUUAUAGAAAGCAUAUAAAAAUCCUAUGGGUAUGUCUCCUUAUAAAACGGUUUAUGGAAAAGCUUGUCAUUUGCCCAUUGAGUUAGAACAUAAAGCAUAAUGGGCAAUCAAGGAACUCAAUUAUGAUUUCAAACUUGCUAGUGAAAAGAGGUUAUUUGAUAUUAGCUCAUUAGAUGAAUGGAGAACCCAAGCUUAUGAAAAUGCAAAGUUAUUCAAAGAAAAAAUUAAAAGAUGGCAUGACAAAAGAAUCCAAAAGCAUGAGUUCAAAGUUGGAGAGUAUGUUCUUUUGUACAACUCUCAUUUCGGAUUCUUUGCAGGAAAACUCCUCUCCAAAUGGGAAGGACACUAUGUUAUCGAGGAAGUUUAUCUAUCCGGAGCUAUCAAAAUAAAUAAUGAUGAAGGUACUAACCCAAAGGUUGUUAAUGGGCAACGAAUAAAACAUUAUACCUCAUGUAUGCCCAUUAAUGUUGAAAGCAAUAUUAUCCAAACUAUGACACCGGAAGAACACAUAAAAGAAACCUUCCAGAACACUCUAGAAUCAUGAAAAAAGGGAGGUACGUGAUACGGUAAGUAAACGGACUCAAAAAAUCCGCAAAAAUAUUUUUCGUCGGUUUUGGAAUAUUUAAAAAAUUAGGAAAAUAAGAAACUACCAGGAAAGUGACCCUGGUGGGCACGAUACGCGCGCCCUGGUGGGUUGUGCCCACCUCGGGUACUUUCUGGACUCCGUUUUUCUUUUGUUCUGCUUGUNNNNNNNNNNNNNNNNNNNNNNNNNNNNNNNNNNNNNNNNNNNNNNNNNNNNNNNNNNNNNNNNNNNNNNNNNNNNNNNNNNNNNNNNNNNNNNNNNNNNNNNNNNNNNNNNNNNNNNNNNNNNNNNNNNNNNNNNNNNNNNNNNNNNNNNNNNNNNNNNNNNNNNNNNNNNNNNNNNNNNNNNNNNNNNNNNNNNNNNNNNNNNNNNNNNNNNNNNNNNNNNNNNNNNNNNNNNNNNNNNNNNNNNNNNNNNNNNNNNNNNNNNNNNNNNNNNNNNNNNNNNNNNNNNNNNNNNNNNNNNNNNNNNNNNNNNNNNGGAACCUGUUAACCUCCGUCUCGCGGAAAAAUCUUCUGUUUUCUUUUCUUGCUGUUUUUCUGUCAGAUCUAAUCCACCAUGGCUGCUUCAAGCUCCUCCAAGGACAAGUUCUUCGAGAACGUCAUCAACCCAUAUCUGCGGGAGGUGAUGCAGCACCCUCAAGCUAUCCAGAUGCGCGAUGGGGUGCUGCACAUCCACGAUGUGCAAGGCCCCAAGGGAACUGGAUCCAUGGAGGCCAGGCUUGAAGCUAUGGAGCAGGAAGUCUUCCGCUACAAGGGGAUGGUGGAACGUGGACUCAAUGCCAAUCACCUCAUGAUCGCGGACUACACCCGUGAUCUCAAGGUGGAUGGGAAGUCCAUGAAGGACAUCGUCUUAUCCUUCAACGAGCAAAUCAACUUCCUCCAGAGCCAGAUCUAUGACCUCCAAAACCAAGUCUUUGAAUAUGAGGCAAGGUUUAAAGGUAUGAGUUUGGCUGCCAGUUGCAGGACCCGAGAGACUCACUCUUCCUCUUAUGACGGUGAGCCUCUGCCGUGGAAGCCCGAGGACAAGAUCGCUUCUACUUCAUCACCACCACCACCUCCUUAUUCAUCACCAAAAGAAAAUUGUAUAUCGGGUAUGGGCACUCCCCUUGGCUUUCGCCAAGCUUGGGGGAGGUGCCUCGGUAUCCUAUCAUCUCCACUAUCUUUUGCCUUUACUUUUCUUAGUUCGAUCCAUGGUUAUCUUUUUCUUUAGAUGAAUAAAAGUUUAGUUCGAUCCUUUCUUUUCGAGAGUUUGCUUAGUGAUCUAUCUUUGUAAUCGUGUGCGAGAUAUAUAAUAAAGUUUAGUUUGAGUUUUGUUUUCUUUACUUUCUUGUUUCAAUAAAAAGAAAGGAAAUAAAUGAAAAAGAUCAUAUGCUAAUCUAAUGGUAAGUGAUGACAUUGCACAAGGAAAGUAUAAGUAGAAAAAUUUAUUGUAGAUUGACAAACAUAGCAUUGGUCAAUGAUGCAACUCAUUAAAGAAUUAAUAAGGGAAGAGAAGAUUCACAUGCAAAUACACUGUCCUGGAAAUCUUUUGUGAUUGUGAGCACCCAUCGAAAUAUUAUAUGCCAAAAUUGUUAGCAUUGCACAAGGAAGAAAAUGUAAUGAUUUAUGUUUGUUCAUAUUCACAUAGAAGUUAUAUUGUCAUAGAUCCUUCAACAUGUGGUGCUUGCCCCUAUCUUUGCUAGCCAAAAAUUCCGCACUAAAUAGAGAUACUACUUGUGCAUCCAAAACCCUUAAACCCAAAUAUUGUUUGAGAGUCCACCAUACCUACAUAUGGAUUGAGUAAGAUCCUUCAAGUAAGUUGUCAUCGGUGCAAAAAGGGCAAUAAAAAUGCUUUUAAAAGUGUAAGAUCAUUUAGUGUAAGGGAAAAUUGAGCGUUGUACGAACUUGUGAUGGCAAAGAAUAAAAGCGACAGACUGCACAAUAAAGGUUGCCAUCAUAAGGGCCAAUAUAAUGUGACGUCCUCUUACACUAAGGGGUUGAGCAUACAAACAAAAACGCAUGGCAACCUCUACUUCCCUUUGCGAAGGGCCUAUCUUUUACUUUCAUGCAAGAGUCAAAGUUCUUCUCUCUAUUCCUUUCUAUUUUCUCCUUUGGCAAGCAUCAUGUGGUGUGGAAAGAUCUAGGAACAUAUAUCCAGUUGAAUAUGGGUAGCAUGAGUUAUUAUUGUUAACAUCAUCCUUGAGGUGAAUGCGUUGGGAGGCGAAACUAUAAGCCCCUAUCUUUCUAUGUGUCUGGUUGGAAUGUUUUGCUCAUGUGUAUGUGGUGAGUGUUAGCAAUCAUAGAAGACUAAAUGAUGGUUGAGUAUGUGGACUUGCCUAAAGGCUUUGAUACGUGACCCUUCGUGAAAAGAUGAUGAAUUGUAGUUGCAAAGUUGACCGAGAACAUAGUUUGUUGGUUUCCAAUAGAGUUUAUGCUUUAUACUUUGAUGUUGUGAUGAAUUGUCACUUGUUCAUGAGAAGUCUAUGAUAAAAGUUCUAUGUUAAAGUUUGUUGUUGUUAUAAUAAAUUACAUGAUGCUGCUAUGUCUGUAUUUUUGUUUUUAUCGACACCUCUCUCUCUAAGCAUGUGGACAUGUUUUUCGAUUUCGGUUUUCGCUUGAGGACAAGCGAGGUCUAAGCUUGGGAAGUUGAUACGUCCAUUUUGCAUCAUGUUUACCUACUGUUAUUUAUGUUGUUUUAUUGUAUAAUAAUGCUUUUUAAGUAAUUCUAAUGCCUUUUCUCUUAUAAUAUGCAAGGUAUACACAAAGGGGGGGAAUUCUAGCAACUGGAAACCUGGACCUGAAAAAACUACGCCUGGCUACUGAUGUCUACUACACAACCUUCUUGUAGACGUUCUUGGGCCUCCAAGUGCAGAGGUUUGUAGGACAGUAGCAAAUUUCCCUCAAGUGGAUGACCUAAGGUUUAUCAAUCUGUGGGAGGCGUAGGAUGAAAAUGGUCUCUCUCAAACAACCCUGCAGCCAAAUAACAAAGAGUAUCUUGUGUCCCCAACACACCCAAUACAAUGGUAAAUUGUAUUGGUGCACUAGUUCGGCAAAGAGAUAGUGAUACAAGUGCAAUAUGGAUAGUAGAUAAAGGUAUUUGUAAUCUGAAAUUAUAAAAACAGCAAGGUAACAAGUGAUAAAAGUGAGCGAAAACGGUAUUGCAAUGAGUGGAAACAAGGCCUAAGGUUCAUACUUUCACUAGUGCAAGUUCUCUCAACAAUAAAAACAUAAUUUGAUCAUAUAACUAUCGCUCAACAUGCAACAAAGAGUCACUCCAAAGCCACUAAUAGUGGAGAACAAACGAAGAGAUUAUGGUAGGGUACGAAACCACCUCAAAGUUAUCCUUUCUGUUCUAUCCAUUCAAGAGUCCGUAGUAAAAUAACAUGAAGCUAUUUUUUCCGUUCAAUCUAUCAUAGAGUUCAUACUAGAAUAACACCUUAAGACACAAAUCAACCAAAACACUAAUGUCACCUAGAUACUCCAUCGUCACCUCAAGUAUCCGUGGGCAUGAUUAUACGAUAUGCAUCACACAAUCUUAGAUUCAUCUAUUCAACCAACACAAAGUACUUCAAAGAGUGCCCCAAAGUUUCUACCAGAGAGUCAAGACGAAAACGUGUGCCAACCCCUAUGCAUAGAUUCCCAAGGUCACGGAACCCGCAAGUUGAUCACCAAAACAUACAUCAAGUAGAUCACAUGAAUAUCCCAUUGUCACCACAGAUAAGCACGGCAAGACAUACAUCAAGUGUUCUCAAAUCCUUAAAGACUCAAUCCGAUAAGAUAACUUCAAAGGGAAAACUCAAUGCAUUACAAGAGAGUAGAGGGGGAGAAACAUCAUAAGAUCCAACUAUAAUAGCAAAGCUCCCGAUACAUCAAGACCGUAUCACCUCAAGAACACGAGAGAGAGAGAGAGAGAGAUCAAACACAUAGCUACUGGUACAUACCCUCAGCCCCGAGGGUGAACUACUCCCUCCUCGUCAUGGAGAGCGCCGGGAUGAUGAAGAUGGCCACCGGUGAUGGGUUCCCCCUCCGGCAGGGUGUCAGAAAGGGCUCCCGAGAGGUUUUUGGUGGCUACAGAGGCUUGCGGCGGCGGAACUCCCAAUCUAUUGUUGUCUUCGAAGGUUUUAGGGUAUAUGGACUUAUAUAGGCGAAAGAAGUCGGCCAGGGGACGCUUGAGGGGCCCAUGAGACAGGAGGCGUGCCCAGUAGGGGGGCGCCCCCACCCUCGUGGCCACCUCUAAGCUUCCUUGACUUCAACCCCAAGUCUCCUGGAUCACAUCUGUUCCAAAAAUAACGCUCCCGAAGGUUUCAUUCCGAUUGGACUCUGUUUGAUAUUCCUUUUCUUCGAAACACUGAAAUAGGCAAGAAAAGAGCAAUAUGGGUUGGGCCUCCGGUUAGUAGGUUACUACCAAAAGUAAUGUAGAAGUUUAUAAUAAAGCCCAUAAUCAUCCAAAACAGAUAAUAUAAUAGUAUGAACUAGCCGUGUUACCCGCGCAUUUGCGCGUCUAGAUUUUUGUUUAUAAUUUUUAUAUUUGGCAACCAUAAUUUGUCAUUUCAAUGUGUCUUUGUAUUUGAAAAUGUAUAUUAUUGAAGCCUUAUUGGUUGCACACAAUAAUUCAUUCGGAAGGUGCGCCAUAAAAAAUAGUGGGGUUAUUUAUUUUGGCAAUGAAUGUAAAAUUUUAAUAUUUUUUUAUUAAAAGAUCUGCAAUUGUAAAAAAAAUGCUUUCUGAAUGUUUAGAUUGGUCAUGCAUACUUGGUUUUUUUUGCGGGAGAAAUCACUUGGUUUUGAAGUAACUACAUAUUUUCAUUUAUAGAGUGUAAAUGUAUUGUACCUUUUUGUAGGAUCUAUUUGAUAAAGAAUCAAUGGUUGUAUAGUGUUUAAUACCAUUUUAUACCAAAGUUGUACUAAAUCAGCGACACUUUUUUUGGGACUAAGGGUGUAUUAGUUAUUGUCUCUUAUCCCAAAUGUCAUAUCAUGUUAUGAGACUCAUUUUACAUGAUUAAUGUUUUACCUAACUUUUUUUAUCUUUUAAUGUUAACCAUACUAAUUAAAAUCAAUGGACCAGAGAUGGAUGGCCCACGCAAUUGCAUAGCUCGACUUACCAUAUAAUUUUACAUGUAUAUUACUUUUCUCGUUUAUAUAGUAUUAAUAUAAAAUUCAAAAUGAAAAAUUGACAUAAAAGUGUAAUACCAAAAAUGUAUAUCUUGAGAACUUACAUGCAAAUAUUUUUUCAUUAUUUUUGGAAGAAGGUACGUGUUUCCAUUUUAGUAAAUUGGAUUGUAUCCAAGGAACUUUCUAAAUCAAAACAAAGGAUAAAUGGUACUUGUAUAUGUAUAUGCCAUGCAAAACAAUAGAAAUAUUAUUCUAAAACAACAUUGAGUGGUGUAUGACUUUCUCUCAUCUACUCCACAUCCAUGAGGACUAUCUCUCUAUCCAUAAAAUUAUAAGGCACUUGGUUCGUAAAUAAUCAUCUGUCAUCUUCUUCGCUCAUCAUUGGUCGCAUUUCUAAUUUUUACUCCUACAAUAUCAUGUCUUUUAUAUGAUUUCAUGCAUGGCCAUUUUAAUUUAAUUUUCUGUGUCACAUGCCAUUCUAAAGCAAUUUAAUUUCACCAUAUAUUUACUGAAAACUAUUAAGAAUUUUUUUUAUUACUGGAGCUCACCACAACUUGUCCUUCUUAUCAUAUCCACCUUCAUCAACUUAUAUUCCUUUGCAUAACUGACAUGGCACAUUAUGUGCAUGACAUUGUUCCUUCCAUAGCAUUGUAGCCAGAACAUGGUUAUGCUUCCUGGAUAUUUUGUCUGUGGUGACGUACAUUUGUUUUUGUGCUAUAUGGAGCUCAUGCAUGUUAAUAUAUCCAUGAAGCAGAUACAUUUGGUCCUUUUAUUUUCACACUGGUCCUCCAUCGCAUCAUAAAAAAUUCUGUGGAAUGGACAUCAAUUUUCUAUUUGUAAAUUAUAUAUUCCAUAUUAGUGUGUUUCAUAAAAACUAAACUAUUAAUCUGUAUAUUAAAUUUAUAUGAUAUUUGUCCAGGUAUGGAUUCCACAUACUAUUCCUUAUGUUUAAAAUAGAGAUGCAGUCUUUAUCCACCAAGUAAGAGUGUUAUAAAAAACUAAUAUUAAAACUAAAGGAAAUUCUCCAAGGUACAUUGAACUAAAUUGUAGCUCAUGAUGACUUUUAGUCUAUGUGUUGAGGUUUUGGAGAACAGGCGUGGAUUGUCCCUCCCGUUGUUAGGGUUCUCUUCUCUUGAUCCAUAAGAACUUUAUACAUCUUUUGCUUCUGCUUCAUCAAGAUAACACUAUUUUUGAAGGUGAGCCUAUAACAUGCAGAACUUGUACAAAAAAUACACCGUGGAGAAUCUUGUUUAACAAUGAUAAUACGCUACAAAAUCUCCCAAAAAAGCAAGACAUUUAUUUGACGGACCAUAUAAAGUUUUUACAAUGCGGUUUGAGCAGAGAAAAGAAGAAUAUGCUAGAAAAUAUAUCACAUAAAAGCAAAACAUUAGGAAAUUCAUUUAGUAGGCCUUUAUUAUAGUAUAUCAUACGAAAAUGCUCUUUGGAGGCCGAGCACCGUGGAGCUCGCUAUCUUGGGCGUCAGUCUUCACAGUGAUCAGGCGCAGCUACGUAAUUGUCUCAUGUAUUCCAGCCGGCAGGCUUUUACACGGCACCGUAUUGCACAGUGGCAGCACACAUUAACUAGUGGCUGUACCAUCGCACGAACAAGUGCCAUCAUUUAGUACUGGAAAAGAUCACAACCCACUGCCCCUCCGGACAGUUAACAAACCUGCACCACCGUCAUCCUUUUCCGUCAUCCAACCCUCAUCCAACUUGGUAUAUCAAAUUUCUAGGACAAUCAUCAUCAUGUAAUCACCAAAAUAUGUGCGUUUUAUUACAAGAAAUCACCCAAAAACAUAAUUUCUUCCUUGAUAUUUAAAGAAAAAAGAGAAAUUAUGCAUAAUUCGAAAUGAUUUUAGUGACACAUCUUGGAAUGAGUUUUCCUUCACAUGCAUUGUCUAGAUGCUUUUUCCAUAUUACUUUUGCAUUUUUUGUCAGAAAAUUCCGGUGACAAAUUUGUUUUAGCAAUGCGAGAAGCGAUUUUCUAUGCAUGGUGACAGCUACGCACGUAGGAUGGCACCUACACACCCUUUGGCAUAAAUGCCUUUUUUGAUAUAUGAGGUGUUGCCGUGUCGGGUUUCUGAUGACAUUGGUGCAAGCGCCUUUUUGCCGUAUAGAAUGACCUUUUCUCACUUCUCUUUGUCUUUUUAUUUCCCUUUUUACACAAGUGUCUUUUCGUUGUGUAGAAAGAGUCUUUUCUCACUUUUCUUAGUCUUUUUGCUUGCCUUUUUUUGGCACAAUUGCCUGUUUGCUUGCCUGGCUAGUCCAAAGUCAUGAUAUUUUUGUUAUAGAAUUAUUUUUCAUAGUCUAAAAUAAUUAGAGAUAAAUAUUGGGGCCAUGCGUAGCUAUCAUCAUGGGUAGCAAGUUAUUUCUCUAUGCACAAUGCCUUCCUCUCAAAGUCUGGCUCUUUUUGUUUUGCGAGGGAAAGUCUUGCUCUUUUUAACGGGCAACGAUGCAACGACUCCUUAUCCGAUACACAAAUAAGUGUACCCCGCUAAGCUCGCACGUAUACCACAACUCAUUCACUCUAUUGUCAAAUUUUCACACGCUAUACUAGAAGUUUAUUUUAAAAAGAAUCGCCUCGUAGCACUAGUAAUUCUGUUACCAAAUGAAUGUACAUCCUCCUUUAGUUCUUCCAUGUCUACCAUAACUUCCCGUAAAAAAUGUCAUACCAUAACUGCGCCUCAGGUCAACCCCAUGGCACUCCAAGUAAUCGGCGUUUUCCAGAUGUAAAUAUGUUAGGAAAUUCUCAUAUGUUAUACUCACAUGGGAACAAGAUAAAUCACCCAUACGAAAUGAUAGUUUAUGUUCCGGCCCCUCUAGCAAUGGCUGGAAACUAUUCGACUAUUGUCACUCUUCAGAUUUUUAGCCAACCACGGAUGCUACACCAGUGUUCCUAAUCUUUUCAAUUAAGAUGCACUCUAGUAAUUUUAUGGCGGCAUUUGUUUAAGACAAAACUGUAAAAAUAAUUAUGGUAUUUUUUCUUUUUAAAUGAUAUUUCUUAUUUUCUUAAUCAGCUAAAAUAAGAUGCACUCUGCCUGGUGCGGUCAUGUUUUAUUUUUAAAUCAAAUUGGCACACCAGGACCGUCUUGAUUUUAUUUUUAUUUUCUAACUAGCACCACGCUACCUUGCAUGAAGAUUUGUAUAAGGAACUGUUUUGGGGGUUUGUUGCAGCUGAGAUUCCCCGCACACCCAACCGAAUCCCUAAACUAAAACAAGUGUAAUUUUUGACAAAUUUAUGAUUACCCUGAAUUGCAUUUCUCCAAGGAGAAUUCCAUCCCAAUCCCAUCCAUGGCUAAAUCGCUCCUGUUAGCGUGACAGAGAAAAAGGACAAUCGGUCUAAAGAGGCAAACAUGUGCAUCACUUACAAUUAAUAUAUUUUUUGAACAUGACUUCCAGUUAAUUUUUUGGGGGGUAAGGCCUAGUCUUCGUCACUUCCAGUUAAAUGUAACGUGAUUUGAAUCAUUAUUAGCUUUUUUAGGGGUUUGUAUCAUUAUUAGUUGGACCCAUCCAUAUUAAUGACACACUAGGCCGGCCCUGCACCAUAUGUGGAUUAGGCACAUCUGCCACCCAAGCAGAGGCACAUCCGCCCAUGUACAAAUCUAGCACAUCCGCCACGGCACCUGUGUAUUCCCCAUCGUACAUGCAUAUGCUAAUGCACGCUGCACACAUCACAGCAUGUCAACGCAAGGCCUAGAUAACGGCCUCCAGGUCGCUCGGCCUCCAAAAUGCUCCACUCUAUAUCAUAGCUGUUCAAAAUUGUAUCAAAGACUAUACAACUAUCUAUUCUUUAUCAAAUAGAUCCUACAAAAAGGUACACAUUGACACAAUAAAUGAAAUAUGUAGUUACUUCAAAACCAAGUGAUUUCUCCCGGAAAAAAAACAAGUGAUUUCACGUACAUGCAUGAUGCAGGAUGUAGUAAAUUUAGACAACUGCAUAUAGCCCCGUACAGAACGUAUAUAACUCACAUACAUAUCCAGAUAUGAUACGCAGCCUAGCUGGCACGAUCAUAGAUAUGUCAUGUAGUAGCUUUACCCAUAAAGAAUCAAUGAGUAUGAGCAAGACAAAGACUAAUCAGCACACGUCAUCACAUCUAUAUGCAUGCGUACGUGCGUGUUAUGCUUCGGCUGGUGCCCAUAAUUGCAUUGGCCCCUUGACUCAGCUUGAUGGUGAGGCUACCACCGUGAGUCAGCGACCAUACCGCCACGCCGCGGCGUUCCUAUCCCCUGAGACGCGGCUCUGCUCUGCUGCCGCUGCCGUCGGCCGGCGACCGCUACGGGCGAGCUAAUGAUACAAUCAGUUCGUCGUCAUAUUCAUCCUCAUGCCAUGCACAUCCAUAUACGUAUGUCUUCUACUGUUGUUGCACUGUUCAAAAUCGUAGAUUAGGACUUGCAUCCAGCAGCCGGCAUCGGUGUGCAGGGCUUUGGCUAGAAAGAAGGCCUACGUACGGUGUGCCGGCGAUGCCAAGGUGGUCAAGGUCUUUGGCAGCUGGAAGCCCUAUGUAGGCACACGGUCGGUCUCCUUAAUAUAUCCGGCCUUGUGCAAAGCAUAGUAGCUUUUGACUUUAGUAUAUCUGGGACAGACUCCUUCGGAAGGAAUAGCUUUUAGUUCUUUUCUUCUUUUUCACGUCUAUGUGAAUAGCAUCAGCCGGAACCAAUCUAUUAGUAUACGUGUCUUGUUGAACUCUUUGUACAUAACAAUAAUUAUUUGUAUGUAACGUUACAUCUUGACAUCUUAGCCGUUUAUAUCUAAAAUUAAUGGCUUAGAUAAUUUAAUAUGUGUGGAUGAACGUGAUGUCUCGUUUUACUUCUGUCUUAAUUAUAUAAUAGAUAGAUGCUUCAUAAAUUAUAGAUACGUUGGAGACGUAUCGGCUACCUAUUCUGCACAACUCCAAAUGAGCUGAAACUUUACGAGGAUUUUUUAUGGAAUAUGUGAGGAAUAUUGGAGCAAAUAAGUACCAGAGGGGCCCCACCAGGUGGGCACAACCCACCUGGGUGUGCCAGGGAGCCCAGGCGCGCCCUGGUGGGUUGUGCUCACCCAGGGCCACCAUCGGUGCCCUCUUCUGGUAUAUAACCCAUUUUGACCUAGAAAAAAAUGAGGAGAGGACUUUCGGGAUGAAGCGUCGCCAUCUCGAGGCGAAACCUGGGCAGGAGCACUUUUGCCCUCCAGCGGAGCGAUUCCGCCGGGGGAACUUCCCUCCCGGAGGGGGAAAUCAUCGUCAUCAUCAUCACCAACAACUCUCCCAUCUUGGGGAGGGCUAUCUUCAUCAACAUCUUCAACAGCAUCAACUCCUCCCAAACCCUAGUUCAUCUCUUGUGUUCAAUCUUUGUACCGGAACUAUAGAUUGGUGCUUGUGGGUGACUAGUAGUGUUGAUCACAUCUUGUAGUUGAUUACUAUAUGGUUUAUUUGGUGGAAGAUUAUAUGUUCAGAUCCAUUAUGUUAUUUAAUAUCCCUUUGAUCUUGAGCAUGAUUAUCAUUUGUGAGUAGUUACUUUUGUUCUUGAGGUCACGGAAUGUCGGUGUACUAAAGUAGGGGCACUACUUUGUACCCCUUACUAAGUGCACGGGCAGUCAGAACCGCGCUCACAACCACACUAGGCGAGGCAGAGGGAGGAGUUAGAACCACAGAACUAUCAGAAGCCAUGCCAAGACCAGAAGGCCAAGAGAGCAAGGUGGUUCUCCCCGGCAAGAUCCUUGCCGGGGCAGCCUCCAUGGCUCCGACAGGAGCCUUGCUGGGGCAACUUGCCCAAACUAACACCAGCAGAGUGCACCACCCUUGAGCCCCAGUUCCUCUAGCGCCACCAACCGCGUUGGGACCUAGGCUCGGGAGGCGCCUCCAUGAUGGCAUGCAGAUCUUUGUGAAGACAAGGAUAACACUCCAAAUCAGAGGAGGAAUAGAAGACGACGAACCUCGGCGAGAUUCUUGCCGAGGAAGACCACAAGACCCUCGGCAAGAUCCUUGCCGGGGACGACCGCAAUGCCACGGCAAGACCCUUGCCGUGGCCCCGGCAAGGCCCUUUCCGAGGGCGUCCGCGAGGCCGCAGCCAGGCCCGCACCCGCCAAGCUUCUGCCACCGCUCCCAUGCAACUGCCAGCCCACCAGCUGGGCGGGUGCUUGCGUGUCAACGUGAGGCUCCUCGACCAACUCAGCUCAUGCCUACGUGGUGGCAUGCAAAACUUCGUGAAGGCCCUACCACCAUGCCACCUCAGUUGCCUACCAGCUUACAUGGCGCUGACCGCCUCGCUGGCCCAGGCGCGUGUCAAGGCAGGGUGAAGCGGCGGUAAAGUGGAGGGGACACGUCGAAGGCGCAUUAAAUGUGUCUUGUCCCGUAAUGGCUAGUGAUAGGCUUAACCACAAUACCCCGAUGCCACAUCCUGUGUGCCACUGUGGCGAUCCCUUGCCUAUAAAAGGAGGCCCAAGGCAUCCAGGAGAAGGAUUCGGACUUUUGGACAAGUUACGCUCAUUGUAGCUAGUUCAAGAACCUCAAGAACACAGAUAUACACAUCAAAGCAGGACUAGGGUAUUACGCAUCUCUGCGGCCCGAACCUGGGUAAACGACCUGCGUGCUUGUACUGACUGCUGAACCCGCUCUCCUCACCACCCCGCGCCCCGCAACCAUAGUGGGGAUUCUUGUGAUCCCAUAGGUGUCGUUUCCUACCAACAUCUUUGGCGCGCGAGGUUGGGGCGCAGUAGUGAGAAUCUGGUUUAGCAGCUAGUAGCACAGCUCCUCAUCGCCAUGGCUCCCAAGAAGAAGACGACCACAAUGAUCGGUUCGUCCGGGCCGGACUGCCUGUACCGGUGCGGACCAGCAGCGGGCCAGUCGCGGAAAGAACCCGUGGCGCGGCCCGCGAACACCCACAUCAUCCUGGCAGUCCGGGCCCGAUGAGCGGUGUCGUUCGUGCGCUAGGCGACAAGCCACGCGCCACAAACUCUAGAGAUGGAGUUGGGCCCCCCGCAGGUGGCGCGGGGCCCUCCAGGAGCGUCGUCGCGCCGCCAGACGGCAGCGCGGCGACCUCCAAGACACUAACACCGGCGCCCAUGGUGCGCUCUUCUCAGGUCGUGCGUGAUGAGCAGCACCGCCCCGCUGGUGACCCUGGGCGCCGCCCUAGGAAGAGUCCCGUGCGCCCUUCACAUGACGAGGAGGGCCAACAUGCGCGCCGAGGUGUUGGCGAAAAUGGCAGACGGCCGCAGGGCCAUGAUGGAGCUUCUUCUAACAUAGUUAGAAGUCGAAGCGCGUCGCGGUCCACGCAGCUCUCACCGGCGCCCACACUAGCAGAAGCCCUAGCACACGUGCAGCUGCUCCUCGGCUUUCCUCCUGCUGCGGAGAAGCUGGAGAGCUAACGUCCGGAGCCUCGUUGGCAUCGCCUACAAAGAUGAGUUGCGACCGGCGGGGACCGUAGGCCGUCGCUUCGUCGAACCACCGCAUGCCAGCGGUGGAUGGGCCGGGGGCGAUGCGGCCACGGUGCACUCCCCUCCUCCACACCAGCCACCGCGGAUGUCGAUCCGUCGCGACGACGCUCGUGAUGAUAUCUCUGUAGCAUCGUCCGACCCGCGAACCCACCGCAAUCAACGUCAAGUUCUUUGGGAGCAAGCUCAUGAAGACGCUCGAACCACCAUUGAGCGCCGACGCGAUGCGCGCCACCAGUCGGACAGGCAGGUAGGGCCCACUAUGGAACACCCAGCAUCGGGAGGCUACGGUGGCCUACCCUACGAGGUGGGUUGUCCUGCCUUCACCCGUGAGUUGCGGCAGUUCCAGUGGCCCUCUCACCGCAUGUUCAAGCCCGACGUUGGCGAGAAGUACAACGUCAAGACUCACCCGUCGGAGUUCCUCAGCAUCUACACCAUCGCAAUGCAAGCUGCUGGGGCUCGCGAUGAUAAGGUGCUUGCCAAUUACUUCCCGUUGGCACUCAAGCCCAAUGUUAUGUCAUGGUUGAUGCACUUGCCAGUGGACUCCAUUUCUUCUUGGGAGGAUCUGUGUCAUGAGUUUGUUGGCGCCUUUACUGGAGGCCACCAAGCUCAUGGAAAGGCGAGCGAUUUGCAUGUCAUCCCCCAGAAGGAAGGAGAAAACUUGCGCAAGUACAUCCAAAGGUUCAGCCGAGUGCAGUACAACAUCCCAAACAUUCAUCCUACCGCCAUGAUCAGUGCGUUCCAUUAGAAUGUGUGCAACUGCAAGAUGCGUGAGGAGCUGGAAUGAACAAGGUCAAGGACGUGGCCAAGCUGUAUGUUCUGGUCGAUCGGUGUGCUCGAGCUGAAGAGGGGAGGAAGUACUCCGGUGAGGACGCCAGUGCGGAAACCGACUCCACAGAUGACACCGCCGCCCCGGCAAAGAAGGGUCGGCGCCGUAACAGGAAGCGCAGGGACAAGACCAUGCUUGCCGUUGAGGGGUCCGACGACACCAGCACUGCCAAAAAGGCCAAGGCAAGCAACCCCGGCAAGGAGGUUGCCGGGUGUGCCGCUUGUCGGGCCUUGGCAGCUACCGACAAGCCAGGGGACUCCGACAAGCAGUAUUGCAAGAUUCACCGCACCAAGGGCCAUGACCUCCAGAACCGUCGGCAAGUUGAGCUGCUCGCUGAGAAGCAGAAAGCCGAGUAUGAGCGGCGGGACAAGGAGAAGGGCCAAGAGGGUGCCGAAGGAUCUGGCAAGAAGCAUGGCAGCCAAGGAGGCCACCACGGCAAUGAUAAUCAGCAGGAGAGGCCCGCCCGGGGCCGCGACAAGAAGCAGGAAGACGAUGAUCAUGUCAAGGACGAUGAGUCCGGCGACCACGAGUUUCAGAAAGCUAUGGAGGCCAUGUGCGUCGAUGGUGGCGCCUUGCUGCAUGCAUCCCACCACCAACUCAAGCAGUGGGCGCGUGAGAUCACAGCGGCGGAGCCGUCACUCGACGCAUGGAAGCCGCUGAAGUGGUCCAGCACACCUAUCAUCUUCGACACCGAGGACCACCCUGACCGCACUACUGCAGCCGGGUGCUUGCCAUUGUUGGUCUCACCAACAAUCCGCAACCUCAAGGUGACGAAGAUGCUAGUUGACGGCGGGGCUGGUAUGAACUUGAUCUCGCCUGUUGUGAUCAAGAGGCUGCAGAUCCCUGAUGGAGACCUCGAGGAGACGGGCACGUUCCAAGGGGUCAACCCGGGGAGGAGCCAGCUGAAGGGAAAGGUCACGCUGCCCGUGACGUUCGGAGGUGAGUUAAACUACAGGAUGGAGAGGAUUGUCUUUGAUGUAGCCGAGAUCCCCUUGCCUUACAACGGGAUCCUCGGUCGCCCGGCGCUGGCGAAGUUCAUGGAGGCCUCUCACUACGCCUACAACACACUGAAGAUGCCCGGGCCGAUGAACAUCAUCAUUGUCCCCUCCGACAAGAAAGACGCAUUGAUCUACGCUGACCAACUCUAUCGGGAAGCGGUUGCAGCAGCUGCCGCCAAGGAACAUGCUCCUGCCGUUGAAGCCCCGGGAGGAAAGAAGACCGGCGAGACUCCUCGCACCCACUCCGGCAAGUGCACCUCUUCGGGGUGUUGCGCUUCCAUCGAGGACGUGCCAGAGAGCUCCACCGGCAAGAGCAAGAAGUACAGAGCUGCACCACGAGAGACCAAGAAGGUGUCCGUCAAGGAGGACGGCACGGGAGGAGUUUUCACCAUAAGCUCCACCCUCGAUGGCAAAUAGGAAAGCAAGCUCGUCACUUUCCUGCAGGCGAAUGUCGAUGUGUUUGCAUGGCAAACAUCCGACAUCCCCGGCGUUCCAAGGGAAGUGAUUGAGCACCAUCUUGUUGUCUGUCAUCAUGAAUGGCCCAUCAAGCAGAAGGUCAGGAAGCAAGCUCUGGAGAGGCAGGAGUUCAUUAUGGAGGAAAUCAAGAAGUUGGAAGCAGAAGGUCUGGUAAGAGGGGUGCUCCACCCAACGUGGUUGGCCAAUCCGGUAGUAGUGCGCAAGGCGAACGAGAAGUGGAGGCUGUGUAUUGAUUACACAGAUAUCAAUAAGGCUUGUCCAAAAGACCCUUUCCCGUUGCUGCGCAUUGACCAGAUUGUCGACUCCACAGCCGGGUGUGACCUCUUGUUCUUCCUCGACGCUUAUUCGGGAUACCACCAGAUCUUCAUGACAAGAGAAGAUGAGGAGAAGACAUCAUUCAUCACCCCAUGUGGUACAUAUUGCUUUUUACGGAUGCCUUUCGGGUUGAAGAGUGCUUGCUCGACUUUUGCAAGAGCAGUCCAAAUUGGUUUUGAGCCCCAGCUCCAUAGAAAUAUGGAAGCCUAUAUGGAUGACAUAGUGGUCAAAACCAAGGACAAGGCAACACUUGUGCAAGAUCUGGAGGAAAUGUUUGCAAAUCUGCGCAAGAUCAACCUCAAGCUGAACCCUGAGAAGUGUGUCUUUAGCGUACCAUCCGGCAAGCUUCUCGGGUUCUUUGUGUCGCAGCGUGGGAUUGAAGCAAAUCCCGACAAGAUCAAGGCCAUCGAACAGAUUGAGGCACCCAAGUGGAUCAAGGAUGUGCGUCAGCUCACUGGCUGUGUUGCUGCCAUGAGCAGAUUCAUCUCCAGGUCUGCCGAGCGUGCCCUCCCCUUCUUCAAAAUAUUGAAGAAGGCAUGCCCAAUGGAGUGGACCCCAGAGGCCGAGGCGGCGCUGCAAGACUUGAAGAAGUACCUCUCCUCCACGCCGAUACUAGUUGCGCCUAAACCACAAGAUUCGUUGAUGUUGUAUCUAGCGGCGACGAAUCAAGUGGUCAGUGUUGCGGUAGUGGCGCAGAGGGAGUUCAACAAAGAGACAAUCGCAAUGGCAGGCUUGGCAGAUGGCGAGCCAAAGCUUCCCUCGGCAGGGCGUGAUCCCGGCAGUGCGAGGCACUUGGCAGAAUCUGAUACCGCCAAGACAGGGCCUGCGCAGCCAGGUGAAGUGGUGCAGAAGAAGAAGGUGAUGCAGCACCCGGGUUACUUUGUUAGCUCCCUCUUGCAGGGGGCUAGGUCAAGGUACUCUGGUGUGCAAAAAUUGCUCUUCGGCCUCCUUAUGUCCUCGAGGAAGCUGCGUCAUUACUUCCAGGCACACGAGAUCACCAUUGUCACCCGCCUUCCGCUGCAACGGAUACUGCAUAACCCAAAUGCAACGGGAAGGAUUGUGGAAUGGGUCUUGGAGCUGUCGAGUUUUGGUCUGAAGUUUGAGAGUACCUCGACAAUCCAGAGCAGAGUUUUGGCGGAGUUCCUUGUGGAAUGGAGCUCGACGCCCGACGAAGAGGUCCAGGAGACCACUCUCCCCGGUAAGAAAACGAGCCGCAACUGGAUCAUGUACUUUGAUGGGGCUUUCUCGCUGCAAGGCGCCGGUGGUGGCGUGCUGCUUGUCGCACCCACCGGAGAGCACCUCAAGUAUGUCAUCCAAAUGCACUUUCCCCGGGAGAUGUCAAUGAACAACACCGCCGAGUACGAGGGCUUGCUUACCGGUCUCAGGAUCGCAGCGGACCUUGAAGUCAAAAAGCUCAUCGUCAGGGGUGAUUCACAGCUUGUUGUCAGGCAGAUCAACAAGGACUAUCAGAGCCCAUUGAUGGAGGCUUACGUGGAUGAAGUGAGGAAACUGGAGGAGCGCUUUGACGGAAUACAAGCAAAGCACAUCCCCCGAGUGGAGAAACGUGGAUGAAGUGAGGAAACUGGAGGAGCGCUUUGACGGAAUACAAGCAAAGCACAUCCCCCGAGUGGAGAAUGACAUCGUCGACUAUCUGUCAAAGCGUGCUGCCCACAAGCUACAUGUGGAACCAGGUACUUUUGUGCUUCGGUUAACUCAACCUUCCGUUGAACCAUCAACGGGGCAGAGCAAGCGGAGGAGAUUAGGCCCCGGCAAGUACUUCCCCAAUGAGCUCCCCAGAGCCGCCGGCGAAGAUGUUGCCAUGGAUGCUGAUCCUGCAGUGGGGCAACUGACUCCGGCAGGGCCUUAGGCCAUGGCCGUAGAGAUGGCCGCUCCCGGGGUAGAAGAGAUGCCUUUAGUCCUUGCCAUUGAGCCCCAGGCUCCGGCAUGGGCACAGCACAUCGUCCAAUUCCUCCAGACAGGGGAACUUCCUGAGGAUCAGGAAGAAGCAGAGAAAGUAGCAUGUCGGUCUGCCAUGUAUCAGUUUGUUGACGACGCUCUAUACAGGAAAAGACCGAACGGUGUGAAGUUGAAGUGCAUUCCCCGGGAGGAAGGACUGGAGGGCAUAUGUGGCUCCCACAUAGGGUCGAGGGCCCUUGCCGGCAGGGUUUCUUCUGGCCCACUGCCCUCCAGGAUGCGACGGCACUAGUAACCAAGUGUGAAGCGUGCCAGUUCCAUUCGAAGAAGCUUCAUCAACCAGCUCAAGCCCUUCAAACCAUCCCUUUCUCCUGGCCCUUCUCGGUCUGGGGGCUCGACAUAUUGGGCCCUUUCCCUCGUGUCGUCGGGGGCUUUGAGUACUUGUACGUUGCAAUCGACAAGUUCACAAAGUGGCCUGAGGUGGAAGUAGUGAGGAAGGUGACAGCACAGUCAGCCAUCAAGUUCUUCAAGGGGCUAGUUUGCUGUUUUGGUGUACCCAACAGGAUCAUCACUGACAACGGCACAUAGUUCACAAGCCACGCCUUCAUGCAAUACAUCGAGGAUCUCGGCAGCAAGGUCUGUUUUGCUUCUGUGGCACACCCAUGAAGCAACGACCAAGCAGAGAGAGCAAAUGCUGAAGUUCUGCGAGGCUUGAGAACGAAGACUUUUGACAGGCUGCACAAGAGUGGAAGGCGCUGGAUUGACGAGUUGGCGGCGGUUCUUUGUUCGAUCAAAAUGACGCCAAAUCGAGCCACCAGCCAGACACCCUUUGCCCUGGUCUACGGGGCUGAAGCAGUUCUCCCCAUGGAACUCAUAUACGGGUCACCUCGAGUGCUCGCUUAUGAUGAGCUUGAUCAAGAGCGAUUGCGGCAAGAUGACGCGACGCUCCUUGAGGAAGAUCGUCUUCGGGCGGCUGUGAGAGCAGCACGCUACCAGCAAGCCUUGCGUCACUACCAUAGCCGCAAGGUUCAUGCCCGAAGCUUUGAGGAAGGCGGCCUUGUUCUUCGGCGAGUUCAGUCGGCCAAGAAUUCCAACAAGUUGACGCCAAAGUGGGAAGGCCCUUAUCAGGUAACACGAGUCACCAGGCCUGGCGCAGUCUGCCUGGAGACCGAAGAUGCCAUUCUAGUGAGAAACUCCUGGAACAUCGAGCAUCUUCACAAGUUUUACCCAUAAGGCGCGGCUGUCGGCCCCCCGGCAAGCCACCUUUUGUACAAGCCUUGCCGGCAAGGCAUGUAACCCUCUGUACAAAGCCAGGCGCAGACCCUGAGCAUAAAUAAAUGAAGCGCUGGCGCCCUAAGUUAUAGCAUGCAUGCUAGAUUGAGUCUCUCCCUCGGUUAGGGUUGAUAGUGCCUAGCAGCGACUAACCCAUAGCAUAGAGGUCAAGUUUGCGUCUCUUUGUUCCUAUCCAUCCUCUUUGGUUUGCAGGGUACAUAAAUGUUUCCGCCAAGCCGAGUGGAAGGAAGAGGACAAGCCGGCGCUCGGGACCCGGCAAUCCAAGCUUGCCGAGGACUAAAGACACGAAGAUCCACCCACGGCAAGCUAGAGUUUCUGGGGGCUGCAGAUCCAGAUAAGUUUUUCCAUCCCCUCUUAUGCAUUUCCGUAUGAAACUUGGGACGUACGGAACCUCAUUUUGUUCCAAGGCUACCAUGCUCCCCUCGUUCCUAUUACCCAAGGACUUCUUGGUUCAGAACAUGGCUGUAGCCGCGGCAGCAAGGAAGCAAGCGCCGGGCCCACCCUCACUUCAUCCCUGCCUCCGCCAAAGGCGGUGGUAUGGAUGAACAGAGUGGGGGAACGGCAAGGUUUGCUGCCGGGCAACGGUGUUUAGAUAGAAAAUAACAAGGAUUUGUUCCUUGGCAUGGGCUUUGCUCACACACACACAAAACCUGGCAAGCACCCUUUUUCCAUUAAUACGUUCCAUACAGGUACAGCUCGUACGGAAUGUAAACAUGAACAGGGAGAUUACAGGUUUUAGAUCUAACUAAGGCCCGUAGGCUUACGAGCUGAAAAAAAAGAUAAGGUGCCCGUAAUCCCUUUCUUGUCCCUCUCCUCGGGAAAUGAAACAAGAAGGUAAAAAGGGCAGAAGGAGCGCCUAGGCGAGGUAUGAGCAGCAGAAGGCGCCAAGAGAACAUGUCGGCGAUCGCCUAGGAGAGGGUUGGCGGUGGUGGCGCCGGAGGAAGAGCUAGAAGAUGAGGCAGCUGUCCGUCAAUACGCUACGAAGACGUCGGUGCCAUCGUACUCCAACUUGAUGGCCCGCCACCGGCCUUCUUCACCUUCUCCGGCCUCCCCACGCCAGCCGCCCAAGGAGGCGACCCUGAGAAGUUCAAGGAGCCGGCGACACGGAUGAUGGGGUCGCCGGUGUCGCCCCGAAGCGGCGUGCCCGACGCCUAGUCAGACCCAUCAUCCUACCGCCCGCUACCCUCAUCGUCGCUGCCGCUGUCCUCCUCGCCACUCCUGCUCGAGGAAGAGUCUUCGUCAUCAGAGGAGCUCUCCAUGCAGCAUCUUACGCGAGUCCCGAAGUGUCCAAAAACCUUGACGGAGAGGAGGCCACUCUCCAUUAAUUUGAAAUGGAGGGUGAGCCCCUUCGUCAGGCUGUGGAUGCGAGCAAAGAUCUUCCACCCACGGCGAAGGUACAUGACAUGAGGGGCUGGGAAGUCGACAUCGGCCCAUGUGUUGCUGUUCCCACAGCCCCUCAUGUGCAGCCUCAGCGCCUGCGGCGGGUCCAGUUCCAUCUCCCGAGCAAAUGGAGUCGGAAGACGAAGACGAUGGCACGCCGGCCGGCGCAACCUGAUGAAGAACUCGUAAGGGUUGUCCCCGACGUGGCCCUCCAUUGGGGGAAGGACUGCUGGCAGAGGCGAGGCCGAUACGCCGCCCCAUCCUCCUCUUCCCCGAGCACCACGGCGGCCUAGGCCUCGCCCCCUCCACCUUCCCCUCACGGCCGGCUCAGCCGCCGCGGGCUCUUGGGGAGGAGCGGCGCGUUGUCGAGCAGAGUGUUGGGGAACGUUGCAGAAAAUAAAAAAAUUCUAUGCUUCACCAAGAUCAAUCUAUGGAGUCAUCUAGCAACGAGAGAGAGGAGUGCAUCUACAUACCCUUGUAGAUCGCGUGCAGAAGCGUUCAAGAGAACGGGGUUGAGGGAGUCGUACUCAUCGUGAUCCAAAUCACCGAAGAUCCUAGUGCUGAACGGACAGCACCUCCGCGUUCAACACACGUACGGUUGGGAAGACGUCCCCUCCUUCUUGAUCCAGCAAGGGGGAAGGAGAGGUUGAUGGAGAUCCAGCAGCACGAUGGCGUGGUGGUGGAAGUAGCGGCGAUCUCGGCAGGGCUUCGCCAAGCUCUACGAGAGGGAGAGGUGUUGCAGAGGGAGAGGGAGGCGCCAGGAGUAGGGGUGCGCAGCCCUCCCNNNNNNNNNNNNNNNNNNNNNNNNNNNNNNNNNNNNNNNNNNNNNNNNNNNNNNNNNNNNNNNNNNNNNNNNNNNNNNNNNNNNNNNNNNNNNNNNNNNNNNNNNNNNNNNNNNNNNNNNNNNNNNNNNNNNNNNNNNNNNNNNNNNNNUCUCAAGGGGGGCAAGGGGGGUGGCUUGCCCCCCAAGCCAAGUGGGGCGCCCCCCCCCCCCACCCCUAGGGUUUCCAACCCUAGGCGCAGGGGGAGGCCCAAGGGGGGCGCACCAGCCCACUAGGGGCUGGUUCCCUUUCCCACUUCAGCCCAUGGGGCCCUCCGGGAUAGGUGGCCCCACCCGGUGGACCCCCGGGACCCUUCCGAUGGUCCCGAUACAAUACUGGUGACUCCCGAAACUUUCCAGAUGGCCGAAACUGGACUUCCUAUACAAUUCUUUACCUCCGGACCAUUCCGGAACUCCUCGUGAUGUCCGGGAUCUCAUCCGGGACUCCGAACAACUUUCGGGUUACCGCAUACUAAUAUUUCUACAACCCUAGCGUCACUGAACCUUAAGUGUGUAGACCCUAGGGGUUCGGGAGACAUGUAGACAUGACCGAGACGACUCUCCGAUCAAUAACCAACAGCGGGAUCUGGAUACCCAUGUUGCCUCCCACAUGCUCCUCGAUGAUCUCAUCGGAUGAACUGCGAUGUCGAGGAUUCAAGUAAUCCCGUAUACAAUUCCCUUUGUCAAUCGGUACGUUACUUUCCCGAGAUUCAAUCCUCGGUAUCCCAAUACCUCGUUCAAUCUCGUUACCGGCAAGUCACUUUACUCGUAACAUAAUGCAUGAUCCCGUGACCAAACACUUGGUCACAUUGAGCUCAUUAUGAUGAUGCAUUACUGUGUGGGUCCAGAGAUACCUCUCCAUCAUACGGAGUGACAAAUCCCAGUCUCGAUCCGUGUCAACCCUACAGAUAUUUUCGGGGAUACCCAUAGUAUACCUUUAUAGUCACGCAGUUAUGUUGUGAUGUUUGGUACAUCCAAAGCACCCCUACGGCAUCCGGGAGUUACACGAUCUCAUGGUCUAAGGAAAUGAUACUUAACAUUGGAAAAGCUCUAGCACACGAACUACAUGAUCUUGUGCUAUGCUUAGGAUUGGGUCUUGUCCAUCACAUCAUUCUCCUAAUGAUGUGAUCCCGUUAUCAACGACAUCCAAUGUCCAUAGUCAGGAAACCAUGACUAUCUGUUGAUCAACGAGCUAGUCAACUAGAGGCUUACUAGGGACAUGUUGUGGUCUAUGUAUUCACACAUGUAUUGCGAUUUCCGGAUAACACAAUUAUAGCAUGAAUAAUAGACAAUUAUCAUGAACAAGGAAAUAUAAUAAUAAUCAUUUUAUUAUUGCCUCUAGGGCAUAUUUCCAACAGUCUCCCACUUGCACAAGAGUCAAUAAUCUAGUUACAUUGUGAUGAAUCGAACACCCAUAGAAUUCUGGUGUUGAUCAUGUUUUGCUCGCGGAAGAGGUUUAGUCAACGGAUCUGCAACAUUCAGAUCCAUAUGCACUUUGCAAAUAUCUAUGUCUCCAUCUUGAAGAUUUUCACGAAUGGAGUUGAAGCGACGCUUGAUGUGCCUGGUCUUCUUGUGAAACCUAGGCUCCUUGGCAAGGGCAAUAGCUCCAGUGUUGUCACAGAAGAGAGUGAUCGGCCCCGACGCAUUGGGUAUGACUCCUAGGUCGGUGAUGAACUCCUUCAUCCAGAUUGCUUCAUGCGCUGCCUCCGAGGCCGCCAUGUACUCCACUUCACAUGUAGAUCCCGCCACGACGCUCUGCUUGCAACUGCACCAGCUUACUGCCCCUCCAUUCAAAAUAUACACGUAUCCGAUUUGUGACUUAGAGUCAUCCAGAUCUGUGUCGAAGCUAGUGUCAACGUAACCCUUUACGACGAGCUCUUCGUCACCUCCAUAAACGAGAAACAUGUCCUUUGUCCUUUUUAGGUACUUCAGGAUAUUCUUGACCGCUGUCCAGUGUUCCAUGCCGGGAUUACUUUGGUACCUUCCUACCAAACUUACGGCAAGGUUUACAUCAGGUCUGGUACACAGCAUGGCAUACAUGAUAGACCCUAUGGCUGAGGCAUAGGGGACGACACUCAUCUUUUCUCUAUAUUCUGUCGUGGUCGGACAUUGAGCCGAGCUCAAUUUCACACCUUGCAACACAGGCAAGAACCCCUUCUUGGACUGAUCGAUAUUGAACUUCUUCAAUAUCUUAUCAAGGUAUGUGCUUUGUGAAAGACCUAUGAGGCGUCUCGAUCUAUCUAUAUAGAUCUUGAUGCCUAAUAUGUAAGCAGCUUCUCCAAGGUCCUUCAUUGAAAAACACUUAUUCAAGUAGGCCUUAAUGCUGUCCAAAAGUUCUAUAUCAUUUCCCAUCAAAAGUAUGUCAUCCACAUAUAAUAUGAGAAAUGCUACAGAGCUCCCACUCACUUUCUUGUAAACGCAGGCUUCUCCAUAAGUCUGCAUAAACCCAAACGCUUUGAUCAUCUCAUCAAAGCGAAUGUUCCAACUCCGAGAUGCUUGCACCAGCCCAUAAAUGGAUCGCUGGAGCUUGCAUACCUUGUUAGCAUUCUCAGGAUCGACAAAACCUUCUGGCUGCAUCAUAUAUAGUUCUUCCUUAAGAUAGCCGUUAAGGAAUGCCGUUUUGACGUCCAUUUGCCAUAUCUCAUAAUCAUAGUAUGCGGCAAUUGCUAACAUGAUUCGGACGGACUUCAGGUUUGCUACGGGAGAGAAAGUCUCAUCGUAAUCAACCCCUUGAAUUUGUCGAUAACCCUUAGCGACAAGUCGAGCUUUAUAGAUGGUAACAUUACCAUCCGCGUCCGUCUUCUUCUUAAAGAUCCAUUUAUUUUCUAUCGCUCGCCGAUCAUCGGGCAAGUCUGUCAAAGUCCAAACUUUGUUUUCAUACAUGGAUCCUAUCUCGGAUUGCAUGGCUUCAAGCCAUUUGUUGGAACCUGGGCCCGCCAUCGUUUCUUCAUAGUUCGAAGGUUCACCAUUGUCUAACAACAUGAUUUCCAGGACAGGGUUGCCAUACCACUCUGGUGUGGAACGUGUCCUUGUGGACCUAUGAAGUUCAGUAGCAACUUGAUCCGAAGUACCUUGAUCAUCAUCUUUAAUUUCCUCUCCAGUCGGUGUAGGCACCACAGGAACAUCUUCCUGAGCUGCACUACUUUCCGGUUCAAGAGGUAGUACUUCAUCGAUUUCUACUUUCCUCCCACUUACUUCUUUCGAGAGAAACUCUUUCUCCAGAAAGGACCCGUUCUUGGCAACAAAGAUCUUGCCUUCGGAUCUAAGGUAGAAGGUAUACCCAAUGGUUUCCUUAGGGUAUCCUAUGAAGACGCAUUUUUCUGACUUGGGUUCGAGCUUUUCAGGUUGAAGUUUCUUGACAUAAGCAUCGCAUCCCCAAACUUUUAGAAACGACAGCUUAGGUUUCUUCCCAAACCAUAAUUCAUACGAUGUCGUCUCAACAGAUUUAGACGGUGCCCUAUUUAAAGUGAAUGUAGCUGUCUCUAGAGUGUAUCCCCAAAAUGAUAGCGGUAAAUCGGUGAGUGACAUCAUAGAUCGCACCAUAUCCAAUAGAGUGCGAUUACGACGCUCGGACACACCGUUACGCUGAGGUAUUCCAGGCGGCGUGAGUUGUGAAACGAUUCCGCAUUUCCUUAAGUGUAUACCAAAUUCGUGACUUAAAUAUUCUCCUCCACGAUCUGAUCGUAAGAACUUUAUUUUUCGGUCACGUUGAUUCUCUACCUCAUUCCAAAAUUCCUUGAACUUUUCAAAGGUCUCAGACUUAUGUUUCAUCAAGUAUACAUACCCAUAUCUACUUAAGUCAUCAGUGAGAGUGAGAACAUAACGAUAGCCUUCGCGAGCCUCAACGCUCAUUGGACCGCACACAUCAGUAUGUAUGAUUUCCAAUAAGUUGGUUGCUCGCUCCAUUGUUCCGAAGAACGGAGUCUUGGUCAUUUUGCCCAUGAGGCAUGGUUCACAUGUGUCAAAUGAUUCAUAAUCGAGAGACUCUAAAAGUCCAUCAGCAUGGAGCUUCUUCAUGCGCUUGACACCAAUGUGACCAAGGCGGCAGUGCCACAAGUAUGUGGGACUAUCGCUAUCAACCUUACAUCUUUUGCUAUUCACACUAUGAAUAUGUGUAACAUCACGUUCGAGAUUCAUCAAGAAUAAACCAUUGACCAGCGGGGCAUGACCAUAAAACAUAUCUCUCAUAUAAAUAGAACAACCAUUAUUCUCGGAUUUAAAUGCGUAGCCAUCUCGUAUUAAAUGAGAUCCAGAUACAAUGUUCAUGCUCAAAGCUGGCACUAAAUAACAAUUAUUGAGGUUUAAAACUAAUUUCGUAGGUAAAUGUAGAGGUAGCGUGCCGACGGCGAUCACAUCGACCUUGGAACCAUUCCCGACGCGCAUUGUCACCUCGUCCUUCGCCAGUCUCCGCUUAUUCCGCAGCUCCUGCUUUGAGUUACAAAUAUGAGCAACCGCACCGGUAUCAAAUACCCAGGAGCUACUACGAGUACUGGUAAGGUACACAUCAAUUACAUGUAUAUCACAUAUACCUUUAGUGUUGCCGGCCUUCUUGUCCACUAAGUAUUUGGGGCAGUUCCGCUUCCAGUGUCCCUUUCCCUUGCAAUAAAAGCACUCAGUCUCAGGUUUGGUUCCAUUCUUUGGCUUCUUCCCGGCAACUGGUUUCCCGGGUGCAGCAACUCCCUUGCCGUCCUUCUUGAAGUUCUUCUUACCCUUGCCUUUCUUGAAACUAGUGGUUUUAUUGACCAUCAACACUUGAUGCGCCUUUUUGAUUUCUACCUCCGCUGAUUUCAGCAUUGAAAAUACUUCAGGAAUAGUUUUCACCAUCCCCUGCAUAUUGUAGUUCAUCACAAAGCUCUUGUAGCUAGGUGGGAGCGACUAAAGGAUUCUGUCAAUGACCGCCUCAUCCGGGAGGUUAAUGUCCAGAUGGGACAAGCGGUUGUGCAACCCAGACAUUUUGAGUAUGUGCUCACUGACAGAACUAUUUUCAUCCAUCUUACAACUGUAGAACUUGUCGGAGACUUCAUAUCUCUCGACCUGGGCAUGAGCUUGGAAAACCAUUUUCAGCUCUUCGAACAUCUCAUAUGCUCCGUGUUGCUCAAAACACUUUUGGAGCCCCGGUUCUAAGCUGUAAAGCAUGCCGCACUGAACGAGGGAGUAAUCAUCAGCACGUGACUGCCAAGCGUUCAUAACGUCUUGGUUCUCUGGGAUGGGUGCUUCACCUAGCGGUCCUUCUAGGACAUAUGCUUUCUUGGCAGCUAUGAGGAUGAUCCUCAGGUUCCGGACCCAUUCUGAAUAGUUGCUGCCAUCAUCUUUCAGCUUGGUUUUCUCUAGGAACGCGUUGAAGUUGAGGUUGACAUGAGCGUUGGCCAUUUAAUCUACUAGACAAUUUUUGCAAAGGUUUUUAGACUAAGUUCAUGAUAAUUAAGUUCAUCUAAUCAAAUUAUUUAAUGAACUCCCACUCAGAUUAGACAUCCCUCUAGUCAUCUAAGUGAUACAUGAUCCGAGUCAACUAGUCUGUGUCCGAUCAUCACGUGAGACGGACUAGUCAUCAUCGGUGAACAUCUCCAUGUUGAUCGUAUCUUCCAUACGACUCAUGUUCGACCUUUCGGUCUCUUGUGUUCUGAGGCCAUGUCUGUACAUGCUAGGCUCGUCAAGUUAACCUAAGUGUUUUGCAUGUGUAAAUCUGUCUUACACCCGUUGUAUGUGGACGCUGGAAUCUAUCACACCCGAUCAUCACGUGGUGCUUCAAAACAACGAACUUUCGCAACGGCGCAUAGUUAGGGGGAACACGUUCUUGAAAUUAUUAUGAGGGAUCAUCUUAUUUACUACUGUCGUUCUAAGCAAAUAAGAUGCAAAAACAUGAUAAACAUCACAUGCAAUCAAAUAGUGACAUGAUAUGGCCAAUAUCAUAUAGCUCCUUUGAUCUCCAUCUUCGGGGCGCCAUGAUCAUCUUCGUUACCGGCAUGACACCAUGAUCUCCAUCAUCAUGAUCUCCAUCAUCGUGUCUCCAUGAAGUUGCUCGCCAACUAUUAAUUCUACUACUAUGGCUAAUGGUUUAGCAAUAAAGUAAAGUAAUUACAUGGCGUUUAAUCAUUGACAUGCAUGUCAUACAAUAAUUAAGACAACUCCUAUGGCUCCUGCCGGUUGUCAUACUCAUCGACAUGCAAGUCGUGAUUCCUAUUACAAGAACAUGAUCUCAUACAUCACAUAUAUAUCAUUCAUCACAACUUUUGGCCAUAUCACAUCACAAGGCAUAUGCUGCAAAAACACGUUAGAUGUCCUCUAAUUGUUGUUGCAUGUUUUUACGUGGCUGCAACAGGGUUCUAGCAAGAACGUUUCUUACCUACGUGAAAGCCACAACGUGAUAUGCCAAUUUCUAUUUACCCUUCAUAAGGAUCCUUUUCAUCGAAUCCAAUCCGACUAAAAUGGGAGAGAUAGACACCCACUAGCCACCUUAUGCAACUAGUGCAUGUCAGUCGGUGGAACCUGUCUCACGUAAGCGUACGUAUAAGUCGGUCCGAGCCGCUUCAUCCCACGAUGCCGCUGAAACAAGAUAAGACUAGUACUAGCAAGAAAAUUGAAAACAUCUACGCCCACAACAAAUUUGUGUUCUACUCGUUCAAAGAAACUACGCAUAGACCUAGCUCAUGAUGCCACUGUUUGGGAAUGUUGCAGAAAAUAAAAAAAUUCUACGCUUCACCAAGAUCAAUCUAUGGAGUCAUCUAGCAACGAGAGAGAGGAGUGCAUCUACAUACCCUUGUAGAUCGCGUGCGGAAGCAUUCAAGAGAACGGGGUUGAGGGAGUCGUACUCGUCGUGAUCCAAAUCACUGAAGAUCCUAGUGCUGAACGGACAGCACCUCCACGUUCAACACACGUACGGUUGGGAAGACGUCCCCUCCUUUUUGAUCUGGCAAGGGGGGAGGAGAGGUUGAUGGAGAUCCAACAGCAUGACGGCAUGGUGGUGGAAGUAGCAGCGAUCUCGGCAGGGCUUCGCCAAGCUCUACGAGAGGGAGAGGUGUUGCAGAGGGAGAGGGAGGCGCCAGGACAGGGGUGCGCAACCCUCCCUCCCCCCUCUUUAUAUAGGGGCCCUGGGGGGGCACCGGCCCCCUAGAGAUUGGAUCUCAAGGGGGGGCAAGGGGGGGGGCUUGCCCCCCAAGCCAAGUGGGGCGCCCCCCACCCCUAGGGUUCCCAACCCUAGACGCAGGGGGAGGCCCAAGGGGGGCGCACCAGCCCACCAGGGGCCGGUUACCUUCCCCACUUCAGCCCAUGGGGCCCUUCGGGAUAGGUGGCCCCACCCGGUGGACCCCCGGGACCCUUCUGGUGGUCCCGGUACAAUACCGGUGACCCCCGAAACUUUCCCGAUGGCCAAAAAUGGACUUCCUAUACAAUUCUUUACCUCCGGACCAUUCCGGAACUCCUCAUGACAUCCGGGAUCUCAUCCGGGACUCCGAACAACUUUCGGGUUACCGCAUACUAAUAUCUCUACAACCCUAGCGUCACCGAACCUUAAGUGUGUAGACCCUACGGGUUCGGGAGACAUGCAGACAUGACCGAGACGACUCUCCAGUCAAUAACCAACAGUGUGAUCUGGAUACCCAUGUUGGCUCCCACAUGCUCCUCGAUGAUCUCAUCGGAUGAACCACGAUGUCGAGGAUUCAAGUAAUCCCAUAUACAAUUCCCUUUGUCAAUCGAUACGUUACUUGCCCGAGAUUCGAUCGUCGGUAUCCCAAUACCUCCUUCAAUCUCGUUACCGGCAAGUCACUUUACUCGUACCAUAAUGCAUGAUCCCGUGACCAAACACUUGGUCACAUUGAGCUCAUUAUGAUGAUGCAUUACCGAGUGGGUCCAGAGAUACCUCUCCGUCAUACGGAGUGACAAAUCCCAGUCUCGAUCCGUGUCAACCCAACAGAUAUUUUCGGGGAUACCCGUAGUAUACCUUUAUAGUCACCCAGUUAUGUUGUGACGUUUGGUACACCCAAAGCACCCCUACGGCAUCCGGGAGUUACACGAUCUCAUGGUCUAAGGAAAUGAUACUUAACAUUGGAAAAUCUCUAGCACAUGAACUACACGAUCUUGUGCUAUGCUUAGGAUUGGGUCUUGUCCAUCACAUCAUUCUCCUAAUGAUGUGAUCCCAUUAUCAACGACAUCCAAUGUCCAUAGUCAGGAAACCAUGACUAUUUGUUGAUCAACGAGCUAGUCAACUAGAGGCUUACUAGGGACAUGUUGUGGUCUAUGUAUUCACACAUGUAUUAUGAUUUUCGAUAACACAAUUAUAGCAUGAAUAAUAGACAAUUAUCAUGAACAAGGAAAUAUAAUAAUAAUCAUUUUAUUAUUGCCUCUAGGGCAUAUUUCCAACACGGAGACCCUCGCCGCCACCGAUGAAGCAUCAGCACAGCCUCUUGCCAUGACAGAAGAGAGGAAGGGGCAGAGAUGGGGAGAGGCGGAUGGCGAAGGACUGAGAGGUGCCGUUCCUCCCUCUCCCCUCUUUAUAAAGGGACGGGGGCGGGGUUCGGCCGCCCUUUCGGCCAAUCCGGCUCAUUAAGGUGACAACGGGCGAGGCCGUUGACCGUCCUCCCCGCCCAAUUGAAGGCGUGUGGGUAUCUACCCACGCGCGCACGUCUUCCCGUAUUCCGCGCGCCUGUCACUCGCCCCGCGCCGUGCAUGUGGCGUACAUGGCACGGGGGACGAGCGUAAUGGGAUGCGUGGAGCGACGGUUCCUAGGUAAGGAGAGUAAAUGAGCAGCAGCCCUGCGGGCUCAAAGAGAUACGCAAGCCGCCUCUUUAUUGUUCGCCGCAGAUGACGCAAGCAUGCUUCGAUCACCCGCGCACGUAACCCCCACGUCAUGCAUUCAACACGGGUUGUGGGGAAGCGCAGCGGACGGAAAGUUACUGCGGUAAAAACCGUCCCGCCUGCUCGCGCACCGUUUUUGGGCCUAGCCCAACAAACGCGCCGCGCUUAUGUAUGGCCCAGGACCGGGGGAUCCUGUCGAUGUACUAAAGUAGGGGCACUACUUUGUACCCCUUACUAAGUGCACGGGCAGUCAGAGCCGCGCCCACAACCACACUAGGCGAGACAGAGGGAGGACUUAGAACCACAGAACUAUAAGAAGCCACGCCAAGACCAGAAGGCCAAGAGGGCAAGGUGGUUCUCUCCGGCAAGAUCCUUGCCGGGGCAGCCUCCACGGCUCCGGUAGGAGCCUUGCCGGGGCAACUUGCCCAAACUAACGCCAGCAGAGCGCACCACCCUUGAGCCCCAGUUCCUCCAGCGCCACCAACCGCGUUGGGACCUAGGCUCGGGAGGCGCCUCCAUGAUGGCAUGCAGAUCUUUGUGAAGACAAGGAUAACACUCCAAAUCAGAGGAGGAAUAGAAGACGAUGAACCUCGGCGAGAUUCUUGCCGAGGAAGACCACAAGACCCCCGGCAAGAUCCUUGCCGGGGACGACCGCAACGCCACGGCAAGACCCUUGCCGUGGUCCGGCAAGGCCCUUGCCGAGGGCGUCCGUGAGGCCGCAGCCAGGCCCUCACCCGCCAAGCUUCUGUCACCGCUCCCAUGCAACUGCCAUCCCACCAGCUGGGCGGGCGCUUGCGUGUCGACGUGAGGCUCCUCGACCAACUCAUCGCAUGCCUACGUGGUGGCAUGCAAACCUUCAUGAAGGCCCUACCACCGCGCCACCUCAGCUGCCUGCCAGCUUACAUGGCGCUGACCGCCUCGCUGGCCCAGGCACGUGUCAAGGCAGGGCGAAGCGGCGGUAAAGUGGAGGGGACACGUCGAAGGCGCAUUAAAUGCGUCUUGUCCCAUAAUGGCUAGCGAUAGGCUUAACCACAAUACCACAAUGCCACCUCUUGUGUGCCACUGUGGUGAUUCCCUUGCCUAUAAAAGGAGGCCCAAGGCAUCCAGGAGAAGGAUUCGGACUUUUGGACAAGUUACGCUCAUUGUAGCUAGUUCAAGAACCUCAAGAACACAGAUAUACACAUCAAAGCAGGACUAGGGUAUUACGCAUCUCUGCGGCCCGAACCUGGGUAAACGACCCGCGUGCUUGUACUGACUACUGAUCCCGCUCUUCUUACCGCCCCGCGCCCCGCAACCGUAGUAGGGAUUCUUGUGAUCCCAUAGGUGUCGUUUCCCACCGACACGGGAGAAAUCAUGUUGCAAAUAAUCAUGUGAACUUGAUAUGUGUUCGAUAUCUAUCUAUCUAUCUAUCUAUACCUAUACUAAUUACAGACUUCCUAGAAAUUACCACAUUAAUCAGUAAUUAGGAGCCGUUAAUCUACCAGAAGGCCAUGUCACCUUAGUUUCAGCCCAAAAUAUAUAGAUUAGAAAGCCCAGUCGAUGGAGCUUGCCUACAAUGCUUUUACGGUUGUAUACAAAACCAUUCCAUGUGUUUCUCAAAAAAAAGCAUUCUAUCUACUCCACGUAAUUGCCUAAAAAAAACUCUACUCCACGUAGCCAUUCACAAAAAAAAACUCCACGUAGCCCUCAAAACAAAUCUAUCUACUCCACGUCUCAUACUCUUCCCGUAAAAUAGAUUGAAGCAAUCGUACGCCAUAGAAUCUCCUGUAUCUCUCCUCCCCAUGAGAAACAACUCAAUGUCUCUCAAAUUGGAACAAACAAGUAGAGGAAUUGAUAGUUGAGGAACUAAUCUGGUGCGCUCAGGCCAUGGAUCUGGUGCAUUAAUCAGGAAGUUACUUCAUCAAAAUUAUUUUUGUCUUUGGAUCAGGUUCGUUUUCUCACAUGAUUUCUUCAAGAUUUGUUUUCUUGAUUGUUCUACUGCAACUAUUCCUUUUGAUUUGGAUUCAGAUUGAAAGAAAUUUGUUCUCUCCACAGAUUGAAUCUCGGAUCUUCUCACAUACAACUUUUGGAUUCUCAAUCUCUCUCACGUGUUCCUAAACACCAUAUAGCAGCGGCCAUCGUCCACCACUGCUAAUGACCCCAACAUCGCCGAUGCUUAUGUUCGUGCUUUAGCCCAUGGAAUACAGUAUCAGACGCACGUCCAUGUUGAUGGUCGAUGUAGACUGAUGGAUCCUUUAGGAAGCUGGCUAAAUUGCAACGUAGAAAGCUGGCUUAUCUCUAUCACGUUUGAGCGCAACUAUAUGCACAUCCGAUUAGCUUAUAAAUUAAACAUGACGUCUAAACAAACAACAUCAAGAUCAAGGAGCCUCAUGUUGGUCUGGAUUAAUAAAAUUCAAAAAUUAGUAAUAAUUAAUGAAUCUGAAAAAUCACAACAACCUUGAUGACCCAUUAAGCAAGACAAGCGAUAGAUUGGUUUCUUCAGAUUUGAUUGCUCGAUGCCUUUAUGUGAUACAAUUGCUUAGUGGCAUGCUGAAACUUGAUUUGUGUUAUUAAAUAGUGGCUUUGUGUCUUCAGCGUGGGUUAUGUUAUCAAUAAAAUGUUGUAUGAUCCAGGUAUAUAGAAUAAGGUAUCAAAUAGACAUGUCAGCAUGUGUCUCUUUCUUUCUUUUCAUUGAUAACCGAAUGACAUAACUGAAAUUUGAAUUGUCCCUUCCCUUGAAUACGACAAUUUGAUUUCUAGCAAAUGAGAUUAGCACCGUGGCGCGAAGUCAAGGAGAUGCUCAUUCAUCAAGCCAUCUUAAAGGCAUUGGUUGAAUAUUUAGUAAUAUUAAAGAGUAAUUUACUGUUAUUUUGAUCUCCUCAGAGACAAUCAUAUUGUGUAAAUAUGAUGAUUGUUAUUUUUAUUAUUAACCUUAUGUAUUCAUUCAGUUUUCUGAAUUGUAGCAGUAGACCAUCCCAUCCGAAAUGUCCAUGUGUGCUAGGAAGAAAAUAUUCGGUCGUUGUGCUACUGAAAGGUUCAUAUCUCUUGGUCCUUCUGUAGGAUUCACUAACUCUGUUUUAUACAUUUCUUGCUUGCUGGCUUUAAUAUUUGUAGACCUAUGUUCAGGUGCUGUGAUGUGUAUUCUUCAUUUGGCAAUAUUACACCAGGUAGCAUAUUUAACCUGUAUGACAUCUUCGGUUGAUGCUGAGCCAAGAAGAGCAAGGGUUCGAAAGAAUAGAAAGUUAUGGCCUCCACCAUUCAUCAUUUUCUACCCCCAUGGCAUGCAGCGAGGAAAUGGAUCCAUGGAAACGAUCAUGCUGGUGGAUGGCGGUGAUGUGGAAACUCCAGAUGGCGGCGCCUUGCAGAGUUUAGACAAAAUUCUAUGUUGAAUCCUGAGUGUAAAUUACUCACUUCUGGUCUCGCACAAAAGAAAAGAGUCAGAUCCUUGGACUGCAGGAAUUAUCUUCAGAGUUUAUGAUGGUCUUAACAAAAAAUGGCCCAAUAAAUGCAGUGUGUGCACAAAAUCCUUCAGCUAAACCAUUCCUACAUGUACGUCAUCCUACAAAUACUUCAUUACAUGGUGUACUGUAGAGCCUAAAUACUAUAUUAUGAUUGUUUUCUUCUCGCACUAUCUUUGACAUACACACACACACUAUGAUUGUUCAGAGGAACAUUAGCUUACAUACUACGAUUGUUUUCUUCUCGCAUACUAAGCACACUGAGACUAUUAUUUUUUUGCACAGAAGAACAAUACAGCGUUGCAUUUUCAUUCAGUGAGAGCAGUACUAAGAACAGCACAAAGUGCAGAGCAGGGAAACAUCUACUGAGCUAGAAAUGAGAAAAAUAAAACAGCUGGAUUAUAUCAUCUGAACAUAAUUCAGCUGAACUAGGGACAUGGUCAAAACUUUAUAUGGACAUUAUGUUUUUACUUCCAAAUAACUGACAACUGUAGUUUCAAAAACCAAAGUUACCAAAUUGCCGACUAUUGAUUUGAUUUGAUUAUUUAUGCAUCUAAUCACAAUGUUUCGCUAUUAAGUUUUUUCAAGAUAACAAAACGUUGCUUUUCAGUGACUCGAUUGACACUACCCUUUUCCUGUUAGAGUUAUCCUUCAAGUUGACUAUUUCUAAGUAGUUAUCUUGAAUAUUAAACUAAUAGGAGCUACUUCAAUUAUUCUUUUAUUGAAAAGAAAUACCUUAAGAUAUUUCAUGGAACUGUACGUGUUUUAUUCCUAGAGCAGCAGAAGCUUAUUGAUGGUAACCUGAAGAUUCUGCCCUUACUUUAUUAUAUCAACAUUAGUUUCAGAUUUACAUAAUGAUCUGCAACAUUGAUAUUGAUGGUAAUUCUACAAAGAAUUCCACGAAAUAAGGUUAGUCCAUGUCGUUACUAUUGCUAACUAAGAGACACUAACAAAUUUGUUUUGCAAUGUAAGGUUCACAACAAUGAUGUACGAUAGGCUCAAUGCCAUUAGCCAUGAGAAGGAUCUCUUAAAACCGGAAGUCAGAGUAGAAAGACUUAGAUCCACACAUCAGAUGAAGAGCGUCGAUCCUCACAAGGUUGCAAAAAAUAUUGUUUACUAAGAUAUAUUUCAGAUAUUUUCUUACUCAUGGCCAUAAUUAGAACAAGUACAAGCAAUAGUAUCGGACUAAAUGUAAUCUGGUCCACAAACAGUAACCAUUUAUGUUUAAAUUACUAAUCUCUCCAAGAUUUGUUUGUGGACAAAGUACUUUGGGGCAUUGGCGUGUCCGUAUAGACUCAAGGCAAAGGUAGAGGAUACAUAGUGAAUGGAUAAAAUAAAGUGCUCCUUCUUUUUAGAUGGAUAACAAUCGCUGGCAUUUGGAUGAUGAAAUUCUUCUUGAGGACGACGCGUAGGAGGAGGUUGCAGUCUUGACGGAGAUGGUGUAACACACCGCAAAAGGAAAGGCCAGAUGCCCGGUGAUCCUGCCAGUGCUGCCGUGAUGUUCGUGAGGAAGAACUUUGUGAGGGUUCUGAUGUAGGCAUCCACAAGAGCCACCGGCGCAGCCACACUCAUGCUGCCGCUCAGACUAGCCGCAGUUGACAAGGCGGCAUGAUUGAAUCUGCCGACAAUCCUCGCCGAAAUCUCUUAGUAAAGAGAAUAAUAUGCACAUCUCAAGUAGCCACGUUGUGGCUGACUAUAGAGCACGAUUAUUAACAGAUUUAUUACCUUCCAAGGAGUUUUAGAAUUGGCCGUUGUUGAGUAGAGCAAGAAGUCGACUUAUAGAGGUUCAGUAAAAAGAUGACCAAGAUGGACCGAUCUGGCGAACGGAUAUAAUGGGAAAGAUGAGUGAGGGAUAAAAGACAGAUUUAAAUAAAAAACAAAUAACAAGUUAUCUCCCCCACCUUAUAAAGAUUGUGGUUUCCACAUGAACAAACUAGCACUUUUUAUACUAUAUGAGAGUUCCGCUAGAUUUGAAAUUAUAAACUAAUGCCAAGUGUUUCAAGCAAUAUGCCCCAAUAUUAAAUAAAUUAAGGAAUUUUUUUGUAAAUUGGAGGACAUACAUAAUGGGUCUAAAUCCAUUAAUAUGGGAGCGACACAACACAAAAUAUCCAUGUUGCAUCGUUCGUAGAAGUUCAAGUUUGCUCCACAACAAAUAUGCUAGCCCGUGCGAAUGCACAGGUUCACGACUAGUUUUAAUUUAGAUAUAUUGAAACUGAGCACCCUCCAAGCCCUCUCAGGCCAUCCACAUUUUUAAUCGUUGGAUCGCCAUUGAUUUUGUGUGUUAAACGUUCUUGAGCGUCCGAUCUGAAGUUAACGCUAUGUUUAGCGCGAGCUGGUCUAACGUUGCACGGGCAGCUACUCCCGUAGCUAUUUUGGAGCCCCGUGGUUAGUUGGGCCAGUUUACCUGGUCGGCCCAAGCUAGAGAAGGCCCUGUCCUACGAGCGCUUCGCUAUUCCUCCCUCCCGUGUCACACCUCUUCCUAUGACAAUGGCGAUGGCGGCGUCGCACCUUCCCACGCUCGACACAACCCUCUCGCUCGCAGAACAAGGGCACACAAUCACCGCAGUGGGGCAGCGCCGGAUCCCCGUGGAGCCGCGGUGGAUAGCAUGGUCUUGUUGCCACGCUAGGGGGCGCAGCAGCAGUGGUGAAUCCAAUCCAUGCUUAGAUUGGUUUUUUACAGUCCAGAUUCAGCGGCAGUGCCGCAAUAUUUUCGAGAUUCACUGGCAGUACAUGCUAAUUAUAUUGUUUUUACAGUCCAGCGGUAGUGGCAGAUCGGCACCGUGCGACCGCUGCCGCUGUUGCUCUAGCUCAGGCGGUGGAGGCCAAGGGAAGAAUAAUGGGAGCCUUUCCACGAGGUUCAAUCUGCUCGAGAGAGACACAGGUAAUUCAAGUGAAAAUCGAUGCACCAUUUGGCACUUGCGAUCCCCAUGGUUCCACGUAACAACUGUAGUUCUUUUUUUCAUAGCCUAAUUGUGCAGCCCCUUUGAUUUAUUUGCAUGCCAUUUUCAGGUAUAAUCCGGAUGAGAUGACACACUUGAUUGAAAAGGAAGGGUCCCAAGUUCUUGACAGGGCUCUAGACUGACAGAUCGCAAUGACAUUGACAACUGAUAAAAUAUAAAUCCAUAGUCCUAGCACUCCCGGCUCAAAGAAUUAUGGAGCUGCUGCCUCCUCGGCCUCCUCUGGACAGGAGAGAAAACAUCUAGCCGCAUCUGAACGAGAUGAAGAAGGGAGCCGUGGUCGAAGGCAAAGCUAACGUGGUAUACUUUGUGAAGCGUGCUAAGGAGCUUCAUCCAACCAUGGUAACAUGUUGGUUUCCGAUGAGACACAGUUCCUCAUGGAGAUGUCCCGUCAAUUGUUCAGACAAGAAGCCGACACUUUGUCUCGGGAGCAAUGUGCGGAUAAUCAAUACUAUUAUAAUACAAUGCUAACCUUGCAGUUGAUAGAUCAGCGUCAAUGCUAAUUUGUUUUCUCUAGGCAUAUAUUGUUUGCAUCAUGAUCGAGUGUUAAUAUGACCAUUGUAGUGUGCCUUACUUCUGGUAGAUGCGUUAGUCAUUGUGCUGAUAUGGUCUAUAUGGGGGCAAAAGCAUGUUGGUGUUGGCCGCAAUCAGGUAUUGCACCUUGAAGGCCUGAACUCAAAUAUUAAAUUUUGUUAUCUCGGUAAUAAGAUCCAGUUCAAUAUUCUAAUUGAAAGCAUGUACAAAAUAUGAUUAGAAAAUUGGUGUGAUGUAUGCAUAUUUUGGAAGCUGAUAUUUCAUGAUUGGUGGUAGGUAACCAUAUGUCGCUGAAAACAUUUAGACAUUAUAAUUAGAAGUAACCAUUGGUAGAAGUUUCAAUCAUUUUAUCACUGCAUCAUGAUGCUUUGCAAGAUGCAAGUUCUGAUGAUGUGGCCAUAUGAUCUAUAUUCAGGUGAUAUCUUUCAGCUUAACAUGAACUAGGUUAUUUUAAUAUGAGUUGACCUUGAUCCCCUAAGUAUCAUAUCAUUCACUGAUGUGAUUUUGAUUCUUGUAGUUCACUUCUAAUACUAUUACUUGUGUGGUUGUGUUUCUUCUAAAUUUGAAGUUGGGGGCGUGGAGGUAGGGUUUUCAAUUCAGACACAUUGGCAUGCUGCUCGACCCCUCGACCUCACCACCCAAAUAUGCCCGUUCUGGUAUCUUCAACCUGCUCUAGCACCAUAUUGCGUGCCCUCAGAUCUUAUCAAUGUUGCUCCUGUUUGUCAUUCCUGUAGGUGCUCAAGUUCUUUAUAUGUAUGUUUUCUUAGACCAAUCCUAUAAUAGGUUUGAUGUUUUUUGGGUCGUGAAUAGAGGUAUAAAGAUAACAGGUGGGGUCCUAAGAAGCAUAUUGGCUCAUUGCAACAACAACAAUAUUCACAACUGUCGUAGGUUGUCCAUCUCAUUUCGAAUUUUACAUUAGAAAAAUAUUGCUUAGUCAAAGAAGAUUAGCUUGCACAUUGUGUUUCCUGGACUUGAUUUUCUAUCUUGAUUUGGACAAUAAGAUGUUGAGUGUAAGCAUUGUGCAAGGCGUUAUUUCUAAUUAUUCCUGCCUGUUAAUUCACAAUUAGGAGGGCUCUGAAUUUCUGUUCUGUCACUUGAUCGGUGAUGUAGAAUGCAUUAUGGUGUCACAGUGCUGGCUGGAAAGCAAGAAUUUUGUAUCGAACAAUUGCUUUGUGUAAGUCUCAUCUCAAUGAUGUUCUUAUUUUUGUCAUUAUGCAUAACUUAUCUUUAUUUUGUUCAUUCUUUAGUUGCUGAAUCAAAUAGUCUGAACUUAUUGCUGAUAUUUUGGAUGAAACAAGAUCAUUUACUCAUUGCAAAGUUGCAGAUGGACUAGAGUGGUAUGCAGGCUCAUAUGAUAGCCUUACAUGAUAAGAAAAUCAUAUUAUGGGUGUAUAAUAUCUGAUUAGUUGUAUCUGAUUAUUUUAUUGGCUUUGUGUCCAUUCCUUUUGCUAAUGUUUGAUUACUAUAUAUACCCACUACUGCCUGUAUCUGUAUGGUGGUAUGUAGUCCCAUGAAAUGGCCAGUAGUAUAUGGACCAUGCACACAAUCUAAUGUUUAUUAUUUUUCCUGGCAGUACUGAUUAGUACUCCCUCCGUCCCAAAAUUUUUGUCUUAAAUUUGUCUAGAUAUGGAUGUAUCUAAUACUAAAACGUGACUUGAUACAUCCAUAUUUAGACAAAUCUAAGACAAGAAUUUUAGGACAGAGGGAGUAGUAUUUGUUGUGUACAUUGUUGCGUAUGUUAUUCCAAGCCAAUUUGUAUCCAUGAACCUUGCUUUUAGCGAGUAUGUAUGUGAUGUCUGUUGAUUACUAACAGAUACAUGGUGUUAUUUAUGCAAAUUCUAUAUGUUUCAUGUCAUAUUAUAUUUAUGAAUAUUCCUACCAUUUCAUUUUAUAUAUAGAGGGGCCAGCAACGCGCGCCACCAAUGAUCUAGUAAUAUGUAUGUUGUGAUUCCCUUAGUGGUGUCAUGUGAACGUCGACAUGACACUUCACCAUAUUUGGGCCUAAGGGAAUGCAUUGUGGAGUAGUUAUUAUAUGAUGGCUUGCGAGAGUGAUAGAAGCUUAAAAUCCUAGUUUAUGCGCUAUUCCGUAAGGGACCGAUUGGAUCUAAAAGUUUAAUGCUAUUGUUAGAGUUUAUUCUUAAUAUUUUUCUUGUAGUUAAGGAUGCUUGCGAGGGGGUUAAUCAUUAGUAGGAGGAUUGUUCAAGUAAGAACAACACCUAAGCACCGGUCCACCCACAUACCAAAUUAUCAAAGUAGCGAACACGAAUUAGCCCAACAUGAUGAAAGUGACCAGAUAAAAUUCCCGUGUACCCUCAAGAACACUUUGCUUAUCAUAAGAGACCAUUUUGGCAUGUCCUUUGCCUCAAAAGGAUUGGGCUACCUUGCUACAUUGUUGUUACUACUAUCGUUACUUGCUCGUUACAAAUUACCUUGCUAUCAAACUACUUUGCUACUUACAAUUUUAGCACUUGCAGACAUUACCUUGCUGAAAACCACUUGUCAUUUCCUUCUGCUCCUUGUUGGGUUCGACACUCUUACUUAUCGAAAAGGCUACAAUUGACCCCAUAUACUUGUGGGUCAUCAGGUAGCGAGGCACGUAUUGUGUUAUUGCCAUUAAGGGUAACAAGAUAGGGUUUAUAUCAUAUUGCUUGAGUUUAUCCCUCUACAUCAUGUCAUCUUGUUUAAGGUGUUACUCUGUUUUUAACUUAAUACUCUAGAUGCAUGCUGGAUAGUAGUCGAUGAGUGGAGUAAUAGUAGUAGAUGCAGGCAGGAGUCGGUCUACUUGUCACGGAUGUGAUGCCUAUGUUCAUGAUCAUUGCCUUCGAUGUCGUCAUAACUUUGCGUUUUUCUAUCAAUAGUUCCACAGUAAUUUGUUUACCCAUCGUAUGCUUUCUUCGAGAGAGAAGUCUCUAGUGAAACCUAUGGCCCCUAGGUCUAUUUUUCAUCAUAUACUUUCAGAUCUAUAAAACCAAAAACCCAAAAAUACCUUGCUGCAAUUAUUUUGUGUUUACUUUAUUUUGCCUUUCACUUUUAUUUUAAAUCUAUCUCUAUCAGAUCUCACUCUUGCAAAUAACCGUGAAGGGAUUGACAACCUUUUUCCGCGUUGUGUGCAAGUGUUUGUUAGUUUGUGCAGGUGCAUAGAUUGGAGACUUGCUUGUGCCUCCUACUGGAUUGAUAUCUUGGUUCUCAACUAAGGGAAAUACUUAUCUCUACUUUGCUGCAUCACACUUUUCUCUUCAAAGGAAAAAUCAAUACAAGCUCAAGAAGUAGCAUUCUAACGAGAGCGGCGUUUUGGCUCCUAGGUGCAUAUGCACCCAUUGUCAAAAUACACAUUUUGAAAAUUUGGAAAAUUCAAAACAAAAAUCCCACGUGUAUAUCCGGACAUUUUAUGUGCGUUCAAAAGGUUUCGGUGAAAAACGACAUUUUUUAUGCCUUGUGUAAAAAAGAUAAAGAAAUGCCUCGUGAAUAGUUAGAAUGAAGCAUCAGAAAUUGUCUUUUUUACACAAGCCACAAAAAAGUCAUUUUUCACUGAAAUCUUGUGCAUGCACAUAAAAUGUCCGGAUAUACACGCGGGAUUUUUGUUCCGAAUUUUUCAAAACUUUUCAAAAUGUGUAUUUUGACAAUGGGUGCAUAUGCACCUAGGAGCCAAAGGCAAUUACCGCGUUCUAACGCGGUACUCCACGUUGCAGAUGGAGAGGGAAAAUAUGUUUUCAUAGAGUUUGGCCUUUUUCGGACAGAUGAAAAGAGGGGAACGGUUCCAUGUCCAGCAUGAUAGGGCAUGUGAAGAUGAACGGAUUGCAUAUUCGGAUUCGUUGGAUUUUUCUGAUCAACUUUCAUAUAUAAAUUAUUUUCAUUGAGUUGCGGAUUAUUUUAUAUUAAUUUUUAAAGUUUUAAUUAUUUUCUGGAUUUGUUUUAAAUAUUUAAAUUCAAAUUAACUAAAUUAUAAAUACUAAUACACCCAGAGUUAUACCCACACAUAGCGGCUGACUGGUGGCGAUGUUGACUGGGUCAACAGCCUAGUCAGCAUAGGUUGACUAGUGGGCAAGUGCCCAGUCAGUAGGCUGACUGGGUCAACCUUACCCACUGGAAUAGUGGACAGGGCCCACCUGUAAGUGACUCGGGCUAAUUACUGCAAAAAAAUCUAAUAGAAUUAAUUAGUUAGCAGGGCUCAUAGGUCAGUGUAAUAAAUAAUUAAACUAAUCCAAUUUAAUUAAAGUUUUUAUUAAUUAGUAGGGGUGGUCCCAUAUGUCAGUGACUGGGUGUUACCUAGUCAUCAUUGACCGUGGUCAACAAGUCAAAGGGGGCCCUUGCGCCACUAGUCAGCGACCCUGAUGGUGGCCCUAGGCCGGCAACAUCGGCUCUCGGCGGUGGCGUGCCGACGGCGACCUUCCAGACGGCUACGAUGUGCGGACAUGGUCGAAAAACAGGCAUCGGGGGUCGUUUGAACCGCCGCGAGCAUCUACAAGCGCAGAGGGACGUCACACUUUGAACUGCAGCGAAGGUGCGGGGGCUGGCCGGAGCGGCGCCGACAACGAGCAUGGGCGGCGGUUGGGUUCGGGGCUCGUGGGAGACUGUGCCCCGGGCCACCAUUCGGACGGCCGCGACUACCUUCGAGAUGCAGGGGCUUGUGCGUGUCCAACAGAGCAAGCGGCGGAGGCGGAGACGACCUACAUCGACUGCAGUGGCGACUGGGGUGACUGCCAGAGUUCGGUGAAACUCGGAUGCGGUGCUACGGAGCACGGAUGGACGUGUGGGUGCGUGCCUUUGGUCGCUGUGAACAUGCUAAGCAUGCUAACGAGCACGGAUGCAAGCUACGGGGGCUCUGGCCACGGUGGCGACAAAGAACGGCGACGACGAGCUCGGCCACGAUGGCGGCCACAGUUAGAAACACGGGAACGCGGAAUGAGGAGAGGGAAGAUGCGAAUGCUCGCCGUGGUCCUGUAGAUGUGCCUAAAUGAGCUUGGGGAGGUGUGGCGGCACGGCGAUCUCCGGCACCCGGUGACGGAGACGAAGGAGAGGGUGAUGCUGUGGGGCGCCCCGGCUCGAUCCAGCAGGCGAGGUCGACGUAGCCGACCGCGACGACACUUCAAGGCAAGCUGGCGAGACGAGGGGUGGCCGAUGGCCACGGUGGCGCGAGGCGGACGGGGGCGAAUGUGUCGGGCGAGGAGGGGGAAGGGGAUCUGGGGAGGAGGAAGGGAGGACGAGAGGGCGAGGGGAGCGAGCGGGGUGACUGGGAGGGCGUCUAGGGUUAGGGUUCGUCGGGGAGACCUAAUCCUCCUUGUAGCUCGCCGACGAGGUGGUGUGACGGGGCGCGCUCGGGUAGGAGCCCGAUCGGAGGAACAUGAGGGGAGGGAGACGACCCAGGGAAGGCAGGCUGGGUCGGCUAGCUGGGUUGCGCCGGUUGGCUGAGGCCAAGGGGGGCAGGGGUUGUGGCCUUUUUUACUUUUGUUUUGUUUUUCUUUUCAAAACUUUUAUGUUUUCUUUUAUUUCCUAUUUAUUUUAACCUUAUAAAAUAUAAAAUUAGCUCCUACAUUAGUGAUCCUAAAUAUUCCACAACCACUAAAAGUUUUGUGCAAAUUAAAAUACUUUGCAUAUUUUUAUCAUUUUAAAGGCAUUUAAAUAUUUGUUUUAGCCACUAUUUUAUUAUUUUAAUGUAUUUGAAUACUUUAUAAAAAUGUGAGUUCACCACCAUUAUUAACAAAUGAUUAUUUACCACAAUUUGAACAUUUUAGUUUUGACAUUUGAAUUUUUUAUUGUUUGACUUUAUUUUAAAUUUGAAUUUUGAUUUGGUUUGGAUCAAUGUGGGACCUAGCAACAGUAAAAGUGAUGACAUGACAUCAUUAGCAGGGGAUUAUUGUAGCUUAAUUAUCUGUGUGUUACAUCUGUAUCAGAAAACACGAUGAUUUCUUCUCUCAUAUGUUUUUUUCUGAAUGAAUAGGUACUUAUGGACUUGGAGUUAGGGUUGCAAUAGCUGCCAGGGGCUCACAAGCCUGCCAGACGCGCCAUGGGGGGUGGGCGCCCCCUAGGCUUGUGGAGCCCUGGUGGCUCUCCUCUGGUAAUUUCCUUCGCCAAUAUUUUUUAUAUAUUGUGAAAUAAUUCUCAGUAAUUUUUCAACUCAAUCUGAGAACUUUUAUUUCUGCACAAGAAAAAAACACCAUGGCAAUUCUGCUGAAAAUAACGUCAGUUUGGAUUAGCUCCAUUCAAAUCAUGCAAAUUAUAGUUCAAAACAAAAGAAAAAAUGUUUGAAAAAGUAGAUACGUUUAGGACGUAUCAUGAAGCAUGACUUUGUUCAAAUGAAAUUCUAAGAAAAAAUUAGGGGCUUGAAGUUUUGAGAGAACGAGUGAUACGUCUCAAAUGUAUCUACUUUUAUAAACACUUUUGCUCUUAUUUUUUACUCUAAUUUUCAUGAUUUGAAUGUAACUAACCCAGACUGAUAUUGUUUUCAGUAGAACUACCAUGAUGUUAUUUUUAUGCAGAAAUAAAAGUUUUCGGAUGAAGCAGAAAUUUUACGUAUAAUUUUUCUGGAAUAUAUAAAAAUACUGGUGAAAAGAUCUACCAGAGAGGGGCCACCACAGAGCCACAAGCUCCCGUGGCGCCCCCUAGGGCGCGCCACCCAGGCUUGUGGGACCCUCGGGACACUGUUUGCCCUACCUCCAACUCCAUAAAUACAAUCUUGUGGAGAAACAAAUAAGAGAAAAUGUUUCAUCGCGUCUUACAAUAUGGAACCACCACCACCUCCCGAUCUUCAUCGGGAGGGCUAUUCUGGAGGCCGUUCAGGGCUCCGGAGAGGGGAUUCGUCGUCAUCAUCAUCACCAACCCCUUUUCACCGUCAAUUUCAUGAUGCUCACCGCCAGGAGUAAGUAGUUCCUUCGUAGGUUUGCUGGACGGUGAUGGAGUUGGAUGAGAUUUAUCAUGUAAUCGAGUCAAUUUGUUAGGGUUUGAUCCCUAGUACGUAUCCACUAUGUUUUGAGAUUAAUGUUGUUAUGACUUUUCUAUGUUCAAUGCUUGUCGCUAGGCCCGACUGCCGUGAUUUCAGAUCUGAACACUCUAUGUUUUCAUGAAUAUAUUUGAGUUCUUGAUCCUAUCUACUAGUUAUAUGCAUUUGUUAUUGUUAUGAUCCAUAGACCCCAAAGUGACAACAGUUGGGAUGCUCUCCGGGGAUGACUGUGAUUCGAGUUCAUGUGUAUUCAUCAUAUGUUGAUGCUUUGUUCCGGUGCUUUAUUAAAAUGAGGCUUUAAUAUCUCUUAGCUUCUUUAUGGACCCCGCUGCCACGGGGGGUAUGACAACAGAUAACAUGCAAGUUCUUAUAAUAAGCAUGUGUGGCCAUAUAUGAAAUACAUACCUAUACUGAAUUGAUGAAUUGGAGUAUAUGAUGAAUGUCAUCCAACACAAAUAUCCAUCGUUGAUUCAAUGCCUACGCUUUGCUCAUAUUGAUUUUGCUAAGUUAGUAUUGUUGUCGUUACUGUUACAAUCACUACAAAACUGCUAUUGUUAUUCUUCCUGCGACUACUGCUAAUAUCAAAACUAUCAAACUACUGUGCCACUAAACACUUUGCUGUAGAUAUUUAGCUCUCGAGGUGUGGUUGAAUUUACAACUCAACUGCUAAGGCUUAUAAAUAUUGUUUGGAUCCUCUUGUGUUGAACCAAUAAAUUGGGUAAAAUACUAUCCGCGAAUACUGUCGCGAUCCCCUAUACUAUUGUAUUUCCCCUUUGUUUUACUAUUCCUGCGUUUGCAUUAGGGAGAAAAAAAAUCAUGUCCCUGUAUAAACUUGAUUUUUUGAAUAGUUUGGUAUAACUUUGUUUAUUCUUGCAUUUUCACCCGGGAGAGUUGCUCAUUCGUUUGGAUGCCGAUAUGGCGCUGACGUUCGGUCUAGGAGACCCCUAGAACGAAUGACUCAUCCAUUCUGGAGGGGAGAUCAAUGCGAACGAAUUUAUUCGGGGGGAGAACCACCACCGGUGCGAACGCACCCCCAGCACGAACGCACCUCCGCGUGACCCAACAGCCCGGUAGCGAAAAAGCCCAACUAUUUUUUUGAUGUGCCAGAUUAAAGUUUAGAUUUUGGUGUGCUACAAAACAAAAAUGUCAACAACUUUAAAAGCACAAAAUAUACCACGGGUAAAAAGAUUAUUUUUGUAGUGACCCAAAAGAAAUUUUUCCAUCGAACAUUCAUACUAAAAAAUGCCAUGGUAUGUUUAAUUAAUUUUCCUUAUAUUGUAUACACAUUUUGAACACAAAAUUAUGGGUGAUGAAUUUGCCAUGGUGUGGUAGUAUAAAUUGCCGUGUUUAAAAAAUACAAUUGCCAUGGUACUAAAGAAUAAAAUUUACAUCACAAAAAUUAAAGAAAAUAAGGGAAUUUGCUAUGGUCCAUCUUCUCAUACAUAUUUUUUCAUGAUCUAAAGAAAUAAAUUUACAAUGGAUUAAAAAAUUAACACACUACCUAUAAUGAAAUGUUUAUGCAUGGCAAAUUUAGUUAGUUUUUCUUCAAAAAAAGAUGGCAAAAUUAGAAGACUAUUCACUAAAACACAUGUCAACCUUUUGAAAAUGUAAAGGUACAUGGAUUUUUGUUAAAAAAAGAUGGCAAAAAAAUACUCAUGAAAAAUAAUCUAGGAAAUCAUAGUGCACAACCAAGAAGUUGCCAUGCUAUAUAGUGAAUGAAAUAAAAAUUUGCCAUGGCAAUACAUGUUAAAUAUUUGACAUGGCUAUUUAGGUAAAGUUGUCAUGUCAAUUAAGCUAAAUUUACCAUGGCAAAAAUAAAAGGAAAAAAUUGCCAUGGCAAUGAAAGUUAAGAGUUGCCAUGGCGAUUUAGGUAAAUUUGACAUGCCAAGUAAGGUAAUUUUGCCAUGGCAAAAAUAAAGAGUUAAUUUUAUUGCCAUGAUUUUUAUCAUAUACAUGAAGACACAAAAAAUGUCGAUUGAAAAAUGCCAAGGCAACUAAAAAGUAAAAUUUGACAUGGAUGUAAAGGUUAAUUUGCCAUGGCAAGUAAAGAAGUAAACUUGCCAUGAGCAAAAUUAAAAGUAAAAAAGUUGCCAUGUAUGUAAAAAAAGUGAAUUUCCAUGUAUGUAAAGGUCAAGUUGCCAUGGCAAAACAGAAAAGGUUAAUAUGACAUGACAUUUUAAAGAAAAGGUAAACUUGCCAUUGGCAAAAAGAAAGGUAAAAUUGCCAUGGCAAAAACAUGGUAAAUUUGCCAUGGUUAUAAAGUAAAAAUUGCCAUGCUAUAAAACUAAUUUUACUAUUACAUAAAUUGUCAUGAAGGUAAAUAAGCCAUGGCAGAAAGGAAAAGUAAAUUUUAAUUAGCCAUGAUUGACUAAAAAGUAAAAUUAGGCAUGUAUGUAAAAGUUAAAUUGCUAUGACAUCAUAGAUAAUUCUGCCAUGGCAAAAAAUAAAUGUAAAAUUAAAAUUCGCCAUGAAAAAAAUAAAAGUAUAAAUUUCCAUGGCAAUAAAAGUUAAAAUUUGCCAUGACAAUUAAGGUGAAUUUUCCAUGGAAAAAAAGUAAAUUAAUUAGCCAUGAUGGGUUGAAGUAAAAAAAUUGACAUUAUAAGUAAAAGGAAAAUGCCAUAUUAGUGUAGAUAUUUUUUCAUAGCCAAAAAAAGCAAAUUUGCCAUUAAAAAUUAUAUGUUUCAAUGGAAAUAAAACUUAAAAUUUUUCAUGGGGAUUUAGGUUAAAUUACCAUAUUAAAAAGGUAAAUUUGUCAUGUCAUCAUAGAUAAUUUUGCCAUGGCCAAAAAAUGUAAAAGUAGAAACUGACAUGCUAAAAAAAAUUGAAAUUUGCCAUGGCGAUUUACGUAAAAUUGCCAUGUCAAUGAAGGCAAAUCUGCCGUGUGACUAAGAUACAAUUCUAAAAAUAUCGUUAGAUUUGCCAUCGUCUUAAUCAAAAUUUAGACAUAGGCCUAAAAUGUCAAAAUGCUUAUACCAUAAGGGACAUGGCUACAAAUUAUGAACAAAAAAAAUGCUAUGUCAUAUGCGUAUUAAAAUCUUGCCAUGACGUUUCAUUUAUAAUUGCCAUUCUUUGUGUAAGAAAAUUGCCAUGAACAUAUUCAUAUAUUAAAACAACACCCGCCAUGCUCCAUGCUGGCUCUCAAAAACAUUCAUAGCAAAAAAUCAUAUAAAAAAUUGCCAUGGCAAAACUAGUUACAAAAAAGAGAGAUGGUAGGAGGUUUUAAAUUGAAAUUUUGCCAUGGCAAAUGAUAUCUAAUUCAAAAUGAUUUGCCAUGGUAUAUGAAAUUAAAUGAUGUGUAAUUCAUGAGAAAAUGUAGAAGAAAAGUGGUGUGAAUUAAUCACUAGGGUGGAACUACAUCACUGGGUGGCGGCGAAAAUGGAAGCUGGGCGGCGAUUAGUAGCGGAGCCCCCUCCCGGCGACACCGGGCAACUACUCGGGCUCUGCCAAAAAACUUCCAUUAGAUUACAGUAGGAGCUGGAUAAUCAAUCACUAGUCUUAGCGGGCAAAUGCCCAUGAAGCACAUCCCUCUGUAUUAUGCCAGGCUCCAUGGACGGGCUAGCUCCACCACCGGCGACGGUGGAACUGAAGCUGGAGAAAGUGAGGGACGGUAGGAAGAGAAGAGGGGUGAGGUGGAGCCGUACGCGUUCGUUUCGGUCGCGCAUCGCACCGAACGACAGCGAAAAAUGGCGUGGACACUGAGCUAACAUUAAGAUUAGUGCGAAUUUAACGGACGGUGGAAACAGCGUUCGGCCUAAAACGUCCAAAAUCUGACGUUCGACACUUGUUGUUUCCAAGAAGGGAAAUGUCUGCAGCCGGUGCGCCGGCUCAAACUUGCGCCGGACCGCACCCACGCGUCCGUGGGGCCCCGCACCGCUCUGUCCUUUUCUGCUCCUUAUCUUCUUCCUCCUCCUUAUCUUCUUCCUUCAUUGAGUUUUCUAGCCACAAUUCCCCACGGCGCUAUCCACCUCUUCCUCUCCUUCCACCUCUCCUCCCCAUCGGCGCUGCCAACCUCUCCCUCUCCUUCUGCCUCCCUCGCCAUCAGCGUUCUCUACCUCUCCCCCUCCUUCUACCUCAAGCCGCCAGCACUCCCACAAGCGGGCGGAGCUGCGACGACCGUCGAACGGCAACUGCUGCGAAGGUUCAGCACCGGUGUGUCGACCGGUGUUGUGGACAGGAGAAGCCACUGGCGUUGUGGACAGGAGAGCCCACCGGUGGUUCGACUUCGACGACACCCAUUGCCUGGACCCGGCUCAUGGUGGUGCUGGAACUUGCUCAUGACGUGCUGCAAUUGCUUGCGGGCCGAGCUAGGAACAUGGCGAUGCUGGAAGCGAAGUUACUUUUUAUGUUGGACUAAUUUUACAUUUUUGCUACCACCGUUUUUUGGUUUGCUGGAACCAACACUAAUUUUUGCUACCAUCGACGCUUUGGUUUCGCUAGUACCUGCGCCAAUUUUUUGCAAUUUGCUACAACAGGUGUUUUGAUUUGCUGGAACCAACUACAAUUUUUCGCUACAAGUGUCGCUUUCGAUUUUGCUGGAAGAACGACCAAUUUUACAUUUUUGCUACAAAUAGUGUUUUGACUUGCUGGAACUAGCUCCAAUUUUUGCUACAGCCGCCGAUUUCGCUUUUGCUGGAGAACGCCCAUUUUUGCAUUUUUGCUACAAAUGGUGUUUUGACUUGCUGGAACCAGCUCUAAUUCUUGCUACAACUGCCGCUUUCGCUAUUGCUGGAAGAAUGCCCAAUUUUGCAUUUUUGCUACAAAUGGUGUUUUGAUUUGUUGGAAGCAGCUUCAAUUUUUGCUACCACCGAUGUCUCAAUUUUUGCUAGAACAUCCUUGCACAAAGGGCCUAGUUAUGCAUUUUUGCUUCCACUGUUUUUGGCUUUGCUGGAAUCAACACAAAAAUUUGCUACUACCGCUGUUGGCUGCGAGCCAUGGUUUUCUACUGAUGAGAAUUUUUGCUGGAACAAUCAUUUAGUUGUGCUAGAACCGAUAUUUUUUGUUGCUUCAACCUAGCACCACCAGGUUUUGUUGCUUAGAUUAUUUUUGCUGGACAUGGCGGGCAAGUCGACAAUGGCGGCGAGCCGGAGAUGAGGGAACGCCGGGGGGUAUUGCAAACCAUGGUGACUGCGUGCCAUGGAGAGCGGAGGCGGCCAUGGCGAGUGGAGGCACGAGCGGCCGGCGAACACGGGUGGCAGGCGUGGUGGCACAGGUGGCAAGCAAGCAUGGGAAGCCGACGACAAGCGCAGGUGGCCGGCGAGCGCGCAGGUGGCCGGCGAGCGUGUGAGAUCCAACGUGUGCGCACGACUGCCUUUUUUUCCCGUGUGGGUGUGACUUUUUAAGAGAAAGCAAUCUGACGGUGAUGAAAGGUUGUAUCGGACGUUUGGCAGCGGACCGGCCCAAAUUUGGGCCGGUGCGCUGGCGCCUAGUGCUCGCCUUCCAAGAAAGAGUCGCUUGUUCAUCUCACAUCACUCGGCUGGUCUCUGGGCCAUCCGUCGGGCCGGGCCACACACGACUACCCUUCACUUCCGCGGGCCCAUUCUCCCUCCCCUUUCGGCCCUCACGUAUCCGGGCCGGGAGACUACCACUAUAUAUACCGGGCAAGCGAUGCCGCCCUAGGGUUCUUCCUUCACCCCUGCUUCCAUUCUCUUCCUCCGGGAGCGCCGCCGCUUGCUCAUCUCCCACCUCUCGCCUCGGGAGCCGGAAGCGAAACCCCACGGUGAGCCGGACCUCCCCCUCCUCCCUCCCUUCUCCCCCGCCCUCCGGUAGCUUCGUCGGCGCCUCGCUUCUCUGUAGUCCGUGCUAGCUGCUGCCUAGUCGAUCGAUCGAUCGAUUCCACCGGUUCUAGUCUCCUCGCUAGCUCGAUGCGCUUCAGUUCACGUCGCUGGAUCUGUCGUCGUUCUUCCGUGUUUAUUCAUGUUCCCAAGCGCUGUAGAUCUACUGCUUUGUCCGCCCUGCUCGCAUGUUCCGGGAUCGAUUUUGUUCUGACGUCUCUAGAUGUGCGGUCCCUAGGGUGUUGUUUCCGUCGUGAUUCACGUGGAUCUGUUGCCCCGGUGUUGGUUUUGGCCAUUUUGCUGUGCUGUUCGUUCAUGAGGUUUGCUAGAAUGCUCGAUCUGUAGGGUAUUCCCUGCCUAUCGUAACCUGGUCGGUGUUAUUCUCUGCUCUCAUGCUCAGAUCGGAGAAAAUUGUAUCACUGCUUUGCAUGUUCAAUUUAACUUGAAAGGGAGCUACCGAUAUUUCAUCAUCUGUGUGUUUCAGUGUUUUAUGUAAGUUUAGUUCAGGCACUCUGCAUGAAUUUCGGUCUGAUCUGAUCAUUAUUUCGUUUGGAUGAGUAUGUGCGAGUAUUUUCUGUGUUUUCCUUGGUAUUUGAUGGUUGCACCACUUGAGAGUUCCUACUCAAUGACGUUCUGUGCCAUUGUUUCUAGUGUUUAUGUGGGUAGUGCCAUGAUAUUACAGUCGGUGCUUGUGCAUAAAACUGUGAUUCCCUGAUAAAUCAGCCUCCAUUACAUUUACCCAAGUCUUGACUUCGUCUGUAAUCAUCUUUACACUGUUUUGCCAUUUGACAUAAUCUUCUGGAGAAGUUUUUAUCUAUGUACCACCCCUUUAUAAGCUCCACAGACCUGGAAGUACUUGGGGUUUUAGUUAGUGAAUCCAUUUCCUGUUUUUGCUUCAUAGUUGCUUCAAUGCUUUUGCAUGUAUGCUCUCCAUAAUAUUUCUUUGUUAUUGCUGUGUUUUUUUCUCAUACUUUGACUGUCAGUUCUCUUAAUAUUGUUUGGGCUUGCUUUGUUGCUGCCUUCUCAUUGCACUUCUAUUAGUCCUAAUAUAUUAAAUUUAAUAAGCUUAGUUGACCAUAUUAUAUAUUUCAGGGGCUGUUGUUGGAAGUGUUGGUUAAAGUAGUUUUGUAGCAGUGUAUGAACCUUGUUGUUGCACACCAAUGUUAAGUGCACUUUCGAGUGGACAAUUGUGGGUUUAAUUACUUGGACAUCCAUUAUUAUAUUACUGCCAGAUUUCAUGUAUAGUUAUUCGAACUGUAUUAGCGCUUGAUUCUGAUAGCUUGCUAUUCUUUGAACAGGUACUAUAGUCCCGGUGUGACAUUCAAAAGCAGUCAAGAUGGUGAAGUUCACAGCGGAGGAGCUCCGUGGAAUUAUGGAUAAAAAGAAUAAUAUUCGUAACAUGUCUGUUAUUGCUCAUGUUGACCAUGGUAUGUGAUCGAACAGUGUCAGUUGUCUCUAAUUAUCAUGUUUAUACAGUAUAAUCUUUUGAAUUGAUGUUUUUGUAGCCUGCUCUUAGUUGUGCCAUAUUAUUUCUAAAACCUGGAUCUCUAUAUUAAUAACUGUUUCACUGUUUUAAUAUAAGUAGUUUCAGUUCUUGCUGUCUCCUGGAGCUUAUUCUUACUGCUUUUAUGAUUGAUUUAUGCUUUAACAAGCUUAAAUGCAACUAGUAGCAUAUAAUCCCAUGUCUCAAAAUCUCCCCAGUUUGGUGUAUGCUCUUGCUAGUUGCUGAAUCUAUUACAAUUUACAUGGUUGUACUUAGUAACACAAAAAUGCAUUUCCUUCUAUUAAUGUUUGCAAUGUCCCACCAGAUUUUGUUAACCAUGUUACUAAAUACCUGGUUUGUCCUCUUUUAAUCUUCUUUUAAUCAUGGUUUGUUUCAAUGUACUUUAAUGUUGUGCUGUACUCCCUCUGUCUGGGUUUAUUAGGCCUCUCAGCAUCACAAGCAUGUCCCCUUUUAUAAGGCCCCGCAUUGGAAAGGUGCAUGCAUGCAACCAUUUCAUUGGUUGUAUUGAAAGCUAUUGUUGUUGGUGCCAUGGCUGAAAAGUUAAUACACUUCAUGUGUGCUUUUUCAUUGGCUGCAUGCAUGUGAGAGAGUGCAUUGGGAGUGGAAUGGAAUAAUUAAUGUGAGCAAAUUACUAUGUGUCUUGAUCUAAGAGAAGUUGUCUUUAGGCCUAAUAAACCCGGGCGGAGGGAGUACUUUACAUCUCUCAGUGGUUAAUAUGUUCAAGUGUAUAUUAAUGUAUAUCCUGUUCAACUGUCAAUCUGGAUGCGUUUGCACUGUCCUCACACAUAUUUACAUGUUUGCAGGCAAGUCUACGCUUACGGAUUCCCUUGUGGCAGCUGCCGGGAUUAUCGCCCAGGAAGUUGCUGGUGAUGUUCGCAUGACUGAUACCCGUGCAGAUGAGGCAGAACGUGGUAUUACAAUCAAAUCCACGGGUAUCUCUCUGUUCUAUCAGAUGACUCCUGAAUCACUUGAGAUGUACAAGGGUGACAGGGAUGGGGACGAAUACCUGAUCAACCUUAUUGACUCACCUGGUCAUGUUGACUUCUCUUCGGAAGUGACAGCUGCUCUUCGUAUCACUGAUGGUGCUUUGGUGGUGGUUGACUGUAUUGAGGGUGUCUGUGUGCAGACCGAAACUGUGCUGCGCCAAGCUCUUGGUGAGAGGAUUAGGCCUGUCCUCACCGUGAACAAGAUGGACAGAUGCUUCCUUGAGCUUCAAGUGGAAGGUGAGGAAGCAUACCAGACUUUCUCCCGUGUCAUUGAAAAUGCCAAUGUCAUCAUGGCAACAUAUGAAGAUGUGCUCCUUGGUGAUGUCCAAGUGUACCCGGAGAAAGGGACUGUUGCAUUCUCUGCUGGUUUGCAUGGGUGGGCUUUCACCCUUACAAACUUUGCUAAGAUGUAUGCCUCCAAGUUUGGAGUUGAUGAGGCGAAGAUGAUGGAGAGGCUUUGGGGUGAGAAUUUCUUUGACCCAGCCACAAAGAAAUGGACCUCCAAGAACACUGGGACAGCUACUUGCAAGAGAGGUUUCGUUCAGUUCUGCUACGAGCCAAUCAAGCAAAUCAUCGCCACCUGCAUGAAUGAUCAGAAGGAUAAGUUGUGGCCUAUGUUGAAGAAGCUGGGUGUGACCAUGAAGAAUGAUGAGAAGGACUUGAUGGGCAAGGCUCUCAUGAAGCGUGUGAUGCAAACUUGGCUGCCUGCCAGUCGUGCUCUGCUUGAGAUGAUGAUAUUUCACCUCCCCUCUCCUUCGAAGGCACAGAGGUAUCGUGUGGAGAACUUAUAUGAGGGGCCUCUUGAUGAUAUAUAUGCAAAUGCUAUCAGGAACUGUGACCCUGAAGGUCCUCUGAUGUUGUAUGUCUCCAAGAUGAUUCCAGCAUCUGACAAGGGUAGAUUCUUUGCCUUUGGACGUGUUUUUGCUGGGAGGGUUGCAACUGGCAUGAAGGUCCGUAUCAUGGGUCCCAACUUUGUUCCUGGCCAGAAGAAGGAUCUGUAUGUGAAGAGUGUCCAGCGUACUGUUAUCUGGAUGGGAAAGAAGCAAGAGUCUGUUGAGGAUGUUCCCUGUGGUAACACUGUUGCUUUGGUUGGUUUGGAUCAGUUCAUCACCAAGAAUGCAACCCUGACAAAUGAGAAGGAAGUUGAUGCCUGCCCAAUCAGGGCUAUGAAGUUCUCUGUGUCCCCUGUUGUGCGUGUUGCCGUUCAGUGCAAGGUGGCAUCUGAUCUUCCUAAGCUUGUUGAGGGUUUGAAGCGGCUGGCGAAGUCUGACCCUAUGGUUCUCUGUAGCAUUGAAGAGUCUGGUGAGCAUAUCAUUGCUGGAGCUGGUGAGCUUCACCUUGAAAUCUGUUUGAAGGAUCUGCAGGAGGACUUCAUGGGUGGUGCUGAAAUUAUUGUCUCACCUCCUGUUGUCUCCUUCCGUGAGACUGUUCUGGAGAAGUCCUGCCGCACAGUUAUGAGCAAGUCCCCGAACAAGCACAACCGUCUUUACAUGGAGGCUCGCCCAUUGGAGGAGGGACUGGCUGAGGCCAUUGAUGAUGGCCGCAUUGGCCCACGUGAUGAUCCUAAGGUGCGCUCUAAGAUCCUAUCUGAGGAGUUUGGCUGGGACAAGGAUCUUGCCAAGAAGAUUUGGUGCUUUGGACCUGAGACGACUGGCCCCAACAUGGUUGUCGACAUGUGUAAGGGAGUGCAGUAUCUGAAUGAAAUCAAGGACUCUGUUGUGGCUGGGUUCCAGUGGGCAUCGAAAGAAGGUGCUUUGGCUGAGGAGAACAUGCGUGGCAUCUGCUUUGAGGUCUGUGAUGUUGUUCUGCACACUGAUGCUAUUCACAGGGGUGGUGGCCAGGUCAUCCCAACAGCCAGGAGGGUCAUUUAUGCUUCUCAGCUCACUGCUAAGCCAAGGCUGCUGGAGCCUGUGUACCUGGUUGAGAUCCAGGCCCCGGAGAAUGCACUUGGCGGUAUCUAUGGUGUUCUGAAUCAGAAGAGAGGGCACGUGUUUGAGGAGAUGCAGAGGCCUGGUACCCCGCUGUACAACAUCAAGGCUUACCUCCCGGUCAUCGAGUCGUUCGGGUUCUCAAGUACCCUCAGGGCUGCGACAUCUG